CAAAUUAACAGCUUUGAACAAGAUUUACUGACGGGUUAAAAUGUCUGCAAAAUUAGAUCAUCCGUCUCAGAAACAUUCGAAAGAAAACAUUUGGGUACUGGCAAACCCUAAAACAGGGGACUUAUUUUUAGUGUAUGCUUUGUACACAGUAGCUUAUUCUUGAUCUAUCAUUGACACAAGGAAGUACAGUAAGGAAGAAACUAGGUGCAGAAAUUGAUAGACAAUAGACCAAGAAACUCUAGGUCCUGGAACUGAGAGACCACAGACCACGGUCAGGUAACCUACUAACGUUUGCUAAACUGUCUGAAACUCCACCCCUGCUCACAGCGCCUCUAUGAAAGAAUUGGCGCCCAGAUCCUUCAGAUUUGCCACUAUGAACUAUGAACUACGAAAAACUUCAUUACUUCAUUUCACGCGAAGUUUUGGUCAGGUACUGGAACUUCAAAAGAUCAAGCGACUGCGCUCUGCUGUCCUAAGACCUCUGUCCACUCAGCCGGCCACCAAUCUGGCUUAAUCGCCUUGACCCUCACAUCUUGGUUGUCACUGAUGGUAAGGAUAGCGUUUUCCUUCAGUGCUGCUUCGAGCCGCAACAGACCCAUCCCACGGCUGCCGAGAGCAGUGCUUACCGUACCCACUUUCUUACCAGAGGCAUCGUCCAAGACAUCUGAGCCAGGAGCAACAGCCUGCUCGAGUUCUGAUAACAGAGGUUGCAGAAUCAAUAUCCGGUUGACAUAGACUAGAUUGCAUAAUUUAGCACAGAAUUAAUAUCUUUGUCAUUUUCAUCUACAAACUUCAAGGGUAUCAGGCGCUUCCGGAUGACACCACGGUGGUGUGUGCGUGCGAUCAGCUCCUGACCAAUAUAGCACCCCUUGUCAAAUGAAAUAGCAUUCAGGCCUGCAAGAUUGUACUCGAGUGGAAUUGCUUCACCUGAUACAAGAGAAGAUAGUUUUAGCAAAAGAGGAAAGAACAAGCAUUGUACUAAUGUCUAACAUGGAAAUAUAAGGAAACAUAGUGUAACAGCCAAAAAUGAUAAAAUUAGGAAAGCAAGAAAGGGCAGGAGAAAAGAUGUUAGUUAAGCAUAGACAGAGUUCUCUACCAACUUGCCCAUGUGCUACAAGAGACGAGAGACUAUGCUUCUAAGCAAUAUCCCUAAAGGCACCCUACUGAACGAUUCACUAGCACGAAUCAACCAAACAUUUUGGGCUCCCAGCACUACUAUCUUAACUCUUUAAGACAGAAAUGAAACCGCCUAUACUAUUUACAGUACUGUAGGCUUCUAAGCUCUUCCUUGUAGAUAAUAUAUGCCAUUGUAUAAUAUCCAUCACCACCACAAACCAACCAGAAUGACCUGACAAACCAUGGGUACGCAAUCUAAUUCCUUAAAAUUGCUUCAGUACACACAGAUGUUUUCAUCAAUAGUUCUACUAUUGUUAACAGGGUGUAGCACAGUUCUUCCUGUACCAUUGCAUUGCAUUGCUGGGUACCAGCUUAAAUGGCCAGACUCUUCAACAUAACACUGAACAAAUCAUUCCAGAAUCGACAUUAUGUCCUUAACCAAGGAACAUCAAAUAGCUAUACAAAUCUCAAAGUAUGCCAAUAUUUCAGUGACUUAACAGAUCAACUGGAAAUUAAUCCUACCUUUUGGUAUCUCAGUUGAGCCCUCUGGAACCCCGUUCUCUAUACGCCAAAGCAAAUAAUGGCGUUCAUCUGCUUCUUUGUCAGCCUCAACAAGUGGUGCUGCAGGCAAAAACAAGAGUUACUUACAUGUUCAAAUGACCAUCGGUAGAUAUUGAGCACCAUAUCAAAUGUAAUUUUAGAAAGCACAAAGAACAAAUGACCUACGUAUUGUAUCAGCUGGAAAGAUUCCCCUGUAGCCAAGAAUGUCAAGCCGAGGAUCUUUGAGCCACUGCCAACCAUGACCGUUCCCUUGUGCAGAUGACUCAGCAGCAUGGUCACUACCUUGUCCCCAUCCAAUGGAUUGAGCUUCGGGUUCUUGAGUGGAAGGUCCAGCAUGUGCCACAUCGCUUCCAAAUCCUUGCCAGCACAAAAAACUCCUCGCUUACAUUAUCUAUCUCAAGCUUGCUUCUUAGCCGAUACCUGCAAAAUGGACAAAAAAAUUGCCAGGCCGUAAGAGAUUCAACUGGACCCUGAAUCUUUGGAAAGCUAUAACGGAAGUACUAAACGACAAAAAUAAGCAUCCCAAUUCUCAUAUCCAUACCACAGUCAAGAACAACCCCAAAAAAUGAACUUGCUUUCAAUGUAGUAGUUUUCUGCAAAUGGCACCUUCAAUGUAGUGGUUUUCUACAAUUAACUCAUUAUUUUAUGUUUUGUAACCUAUCGGUUGAAAUAUAUUUCCUCUCCCCCAAUGAAACAGAACUUGAUUUAUGCUAAAUACAUAUGUUGCAUACACAACAUGCCGGUUAAAAUAUUUUCUGAAAAUAUAUGUGAUUGAAAAUAUCUGCCCAUUUCCCCAACAUGGGCCCCGCGUGCACAUGCUUAUACUAAAUACAUAUAUGGUGUAUACAUGGGGGUGUUCAAAUUGUUGGUUUUGAUCUGACGGCUUAAACAGGCCAGUUAGAUCUAUUAGUUUAACAAAAAAAAGGAAAAGAUAACGUUAAUGAAAAGGCCCCACGCACCAACGUACGUGAGGUUUUAUCCCAACUAAGGCGCCCUGAUCGGGGGCACCCAAACCAACUGAUGGUUUAGGUCCCCUGUCGCCAGCGCUACAUAAAAGGGAACGGGAGAGGGUUGGCAGCCUGCGAUCACAAUUCACAUACGGUUUCACUCCCCUCCCAAUAUUCUCUCACCCCAUCCGAUCAGGGGGAGCGCUACAGCGACGGGAAGACCUACUCCAGCCGCCGCUGCCGUCCCCGGGCAGUGCCGGUGGCGUCUUGAGGGCAUCAGGACAUCGAGGAGGACUUCCACCUCGACUACAUCACCCCUACAUCAAGCCUGCACCAAGCAGGCGAUCAUGUCCACUGCCGUGACACGUAAUGAUCCCCUAAACCUUCUCUGUUCAUGUUUUAGGUGAUCUAGAUGCAACCUGUUCCUGCUAAUGGCAUCCCAAAGAUGCAUAAUUAUUCCAACAAUGGUAUCAGUCGCCAAUUCUGAUUGCAUUAGGUCCCUAUAUUAUUGAUCUGUAGAUCAACAUCAAGUUUAGAUCAAGUCAGGAUUAGGGUUUUUUUAUGAUAGAGAUUUAAAGUUUUAGCCUGAUGCUCAUGCUACUGUUUGCUGUUCAUGCCAAUUGCCAUCUGCAAAUAAUUAUGUGAUACCGUUAAUGCUCAUGGUUCUGUCACGGUUGAUAAGAAUCAAUCAUGUUUAAGUACUGGUUUAUUUUUUUUUGCUAAGCACAUUAGAAGGCAGAGGUCUGAACACUGUACAAACAGUGGAAUCCCCACAUCAAGAACCCUAGAAAAAAUUCCCAAUUUCGGUAGAGCCCUAAUUUUUCAAUUAGGCAUGUUUUUUCACCAAUUAAGCCUGAUGAAUACGAUUUUUGGGGAGAAGAGAUGAAAUCCUCACCUAAUGCGCCGCGUACUCGCCUGUUCCCUUCGGGCCCCGCGCAGCGCCCACCGUUGCGCGAGGGCGAAGACGCCGCGAUGCCUCCGUCCUCGGGACGACGUGCGGAACGCAGUUGAGCCGCCGUCGCCUCCGCCCGAAUGGACGCGCCCUUAUCUUCGCCGACGCCGAGCAAGUCGCCGUUGCUCCUCAUGCCGCGGUGGCCGGCGUCCCUCCUCCCUCCUUGAUGUGCCAUCUGCACGGAUGCCAGGGCAACAUUCGACCGGGGAGCGCGCGGGAUUCAUCCUGCUGCACGCUCCUCCGGCGAGCGCAGCCGCCGCGCCGCCAUGGCCGGCACGCCUCGAGCCGCCCUAGUGCCGCCGCUCUCUUCNNNNNNNNNNNNNNNNNNNNNNNNNNNNNNNNNNNNNNNNNNNNNNNNNNNNNNNNNNNNNNNNNNNNNNNNNNNNNNNNNNNNNNNNNNNNNNNNNNNNNNNNNNNNNNNNNNNNNNNNNNNNNNNNNNNNNNNNNNNNNNNNNNNNNNNNNNNNNNNNNNNNNNNNNNNNNNNNNNNNNNNNNNNNNNNNNNNNNNNNNNNNNNNNNNNNNNNNNNNNNNNNNNNNNNNNNNNNNNNNNNNNNNNNNNNNNNNNNNNNNNNNNNNNNNNNNNNNNNNNNNNNNNNNNNNNNNNNNNNNNNNNNNNNNNNNNNNNNNNNNNNNNNNNNNNNNNNNNNNNNNNNNNNNNNNNNNNNNNNNNNNNNNNNNNNNNNNNNNNNNNNNNNNNNNNNNNNNNNNNNNNNNNNNNNNNNNNNNNNNNNNNNNNNNNNNNNNNNNNNNNNNNNNNNNNNNNNNNNNNNNNNNNUUCUGGAUCGGGCGGCUGUUUUGUUCCGAUCGGGAGCGAUACGGACCGUCCGAUUCAAUCGAACGGCUGUAAGCGACGCGCGGCUCCCAGCCGGGCCGUCAGGGGUUUAACGGGCAAUAUCCGGCCGUGGGCUUCAGCCCAGGUUGUUUCAGUCCAGCAAAAAAAAAACGCUACUGGACUGAGCUGCAUUUCGGACAGCCGUGGGGUUCUUGGGCCAAAAUCAGUGUCGCCAUUUUCUGUUUUUCCUGUGCGUUUAAGUUAAAAGUUAUUAUGUUUUUGCACCGUCUAAAACAGAAAAUGCAUAAAAAUAUAAUGAACACAUUAUUAUUCUGGGUAAAAUUGAACCAACGACAUAUUUUAUUCAGGAUUUAUUAUGUGUUUUUGGAUGCUGAACCCUUUUUAGACAUCAAAUAAUGAUAAAAUUUUUUAUGUUGAUGUUUAAAUUGAGAAUGAAAUGACUCUAAUUUUAAUUCGGACCAACGUUGUUUUAUUAUUAUGAGUCAUCCCCUAUGAUAUUUUAAUUCCAUGUUUUUUUUCUGCCCAACGGUGUUUUGACAUGGAGUUGAAAUUAAAUACUUGGCAUGUUUGUUUAUUUACCAAUGUAAAUUUAUAAUCAUGCAAGUUUACUUAUGAACUUUUAUGAUGAUUUCAGCUCCCGCUCCAUUCUGGUCCGACACGAUCGAACCACUUACGGGGAGUAACUUCCCUCGUUGGAAGUCCCAAGUCGAAUUAUGUUUGGGUUGUAAUGAAUUUGACUAUGCCUUGAGGGAAGAAAAACCUAUGGCACCUGUGGCAGGUGUCACAGGGUAUGCAGAACUCAAGAAGGACUAUGAUGUUAAGAUGGAAAAGUGGAACAAGUCCAACCAUAUUGCGCUUCUCAUCAUGAAAGCGACAAUAUCGCCGGACAUUUCUGAAACACUCCCUAAGAAAGACACUGCUAAAGAUUUCCUCACUGAAAUGGAGGAACAAUUUAAAGGCUCCGACAAAGUGUAUGCUCAUGAGCUUUUUGCUAAGCUUCUUCAGAAAUACACUAUUGACAGAAAUGUUAGGCAGCACAUAUUGAGGGUGGUAAAUGUUUUCACCAAGCUUAAGGCUUUGGAGUGUUCUUUAAGUGAAACCCUUCUUGUCAUAAUUAUUCUUGAGUCUCUUCCUGAAGAGUUUGAACAAUUUAAGGUCAACUAUAACUCUCUAAAGGAAAAACGGCCACUCUCUGAGAUGACCGCAAGGAUCGUCCAGGAGGAAGAGAGGAUCAUGAGGCAGAAGAAAGACCAUGUCUUUCAUGUUGGCUCUAACAAGAGAAAGCAUGACGGACAAGGUUUCCCUAAGCAUCAGAAAAGGCAAGUCAAGAAAGAAGGCACUAGGCCAUUCAAUCCUAAGGCAUUCAAGGGUAAAGAAGCCGGUGGUUCUUCUUCUACUCCUAGCAGCUCCACUGCUGAACAAAAUGCUUGUAACUUCUGCAAAGAGGAGGGACACUAUCAAAGGGACUGCCAGGCGUUCUAAAAUGGAUGAACAAAAGAGGUAUUGAUGAAAUUACUUUUGUGGAUGAAUCUCUUUAUGUUGAUUUUUCAAUAAAGUCAUGGUGGAUUGAUUCAGGGGAAACCACUCACGUUGCUAACUCUAUGCAGGGAUUCGAUAUGAUCCAAACCAUAAGAGGAGGAACAAGAAAGCUUAAGGUUGCGAACGGAGUUGAGGCCGAUGUUGAAGCUGUGGGAUCUCUCACGUUGGAGCUACACACUGGCCACACUCUUAGAUUGAAUAAUGUUAUUUAUGUGCCUACCUUAAGUAGGAAUUUGAUUUCAGUUUCUCGUUUAGAUGAUGAUAUGUAUGAGUGCCAUUUUGGCAAGAAACAAUUUGCUUUGAUCAAAUGUAAUAAGAAUGUAGGCAUCGGUGUUAGACGAGGCCAACUAUAUAUAUUAUCUCUUAAUAAUGAUUCAGUUAUGCAUGUGAAUGAUGAAAUUAAUGUUGAGAAGAAAUGGAAAGGAGUUAGUAAUUCUUCGAAAUUGUGGCAUUGUCGUUUUGUCCACAUUUCGAGGGGGAGAAUGGAACGCUUAGUUAAAAAUGAAAUACUCCUCCCAUUAGACUUCUCAGCUGCAGACAAAUGUGUCGACUGCAUUAAAGGAAAAUUCGCAAAAACAAUUAAGAAAGGAGCAGUAAGAGCCACAAGGGUUUUAGAAUUAAUUCACACCGACAUAUGUGGACCCCUUAAUGUUAAGUCUGUAGAUGGUUUUGAUUCAUUCAUUACAUUCACAGAGGACUUUUCCUGCUAUGGGCAUAUUUAUCCCAUACGUGACCGAUCAGAAGCUUUGGAGAAAUUCAAAGUCUAUAAAGCCGAGGUUUAAAAUCAACUGAACGCAAAAAUCAAAGUUGUACGAUCUGAUCGCGGGGGAGAGUACUAUGGUAGGCAUGCUCCUUAUGGGCAGAUUCCUGGACCUUUUGCCAAGUUCUUGUCUGAAAAUGGAAUCAUUGCUCGGUACUCAAUGCCUGGUGAACCAGAACAAAAUGGUGUGGCCGAGCGCCGCAACCGCACCCUUAUGGAUAUGGUGCGAAGCAUGCUUAGUCACUCUUUUACCAGUAAGCCUUUGGAUAGAGGCAUUAAAGACAACUACACACAUACUAAAUCUUGCUCCAACUAAGUCAGCACCGAACACACCUUACGAGAUGUGGGCGGGAAAGAAACCGAGCUUGAAUUACUUACGAGUGUGGGGUUGCCCCGCUGAAGCUAAAAGUUUUCAAUCCACAACUUAAGAAAUUGGAUCCAAAAAUAGUUAGUUGUUUCUUUGUUGGAUACCCUCAUAGGGGAAAGGGAUAUCGGUUUUAUUGUCCAAGUCACACCACCCAGUUUGUGGAGACUAGACAAGCGGUAUUUUUUGAGGAUAAUGAGGUCACAAAUUUAAGGGAGAUCGAUCUUGAGGAGAAGAGGGUUUGUGUACCAUCCCCGACUAUCCAAGAGAUUGUUUUUCCAAUAUGAACAAAUGUGACAUCUGAUGAUCCUGAAUCUCACGGUUCAGUCUCUCAGUCGAAUGGUGAUCCAGAAACUAAUAAUGAGAAUCCAAACACAAAUGAGGAUCUCCGAGAAAAUAUCAGAUGAUUAUAUCACUUUUUUGAUGGAGGACAUGAAUGAUAUGGGGAAGGUGGAGGAUCCAACCUCGUAUAAGGAAGCCAUUAAAAGCGAAAAUUCGUCCAAAUGGUUGGUUGCCAUGGAAGACGAGUUGAAAUCUAUGGGCUCAAACGACGUAUGGGACUUAGUAGAAGUUCCCGAUGGAGCUAAGAAAGUAGGCUGCAAGUGGGUCUACAAAACCAAGUAUGAUUCCAAAGGGAAUGUCGAAGGGUUCAAGGCAAGGCUAGUGGCAAAAGGGUAUACACAGAGAGAAGGUAUUGAUUAUAAGCAAACAUUCUCUCCUGUGUCAACCAAGGAUUCUUUCAGAAUCAUAAUGGCAUUAGUACCUCAUUACGACCUAGAACUACACCAAAUGGAUGUUAAAACGGCAUUUCUAAAUGGUGACUUAAAAGAAGACGUCUACAUGGCUCAGCCAGAAGGCUUUGUUGUGGAAGGAAAGGAACUUUUAGCAUGUCGUCUAAAGAAAUCAAUUUAUGGCUUGAAGCAAGCUUCAAGAGAGUGGUACCUCAAGUUUGAUAAAAUUAUCAAAACUUUUGGUUUCGCCGAAAAUGUUGUGGACAACUGCAUAUACGUUAAGUUUAAAGGCAGUAGGUUCACAUUUUUAAUCCUAUACGUUGAUGACAUAUUGUUGGCAUGUAGCGAUAAGGAUAUGCUGCAUGAGACCAAGAAUUUUCUGUCAUCCAGUUUUGAUAUGAAAGAUCUUGGUGAAGCCUCGUAUGUCCUCGGCAUCGAGAUUCAUCGAGAUAGGUCCAGAGGAACGUUAGGACUAUCUCAAAAGGCAUACUUUGAGAGAGUACUGAAAAAAUUCAAUAUGCAUAAGUGCUCACCCUCACCUGCUCCUAUAGUUAAGGGCGAUAAGUUUGGGACAUUUCAAUGUCCGAGGAACCAAUGUGAAACUGAUCAGAUGAAGUCGGUUCCUUAUGCUUCAGUUGUUGGAAGCAUCAUGUAUGCUCAAGUGUGUACACGCCCAGACUUAUGUUUUGUAACCGGGGUGCUUGGCAAAUACCAAUCAAAUCCAGGACCGGACCACUAGAAGGGCGCAAAGAAAGUCUUGCGUUAUAUGCAAGGAACUAAGGAUUUCAUGCUUACAUAUAAAAGAACUGAUAACCUAGAAAUUGUUGGUUAUUCAGACUCUAAUUUUGCCGGGUGUGUGGAUAGUAUGAGAUCCAUGUCAGGUUAUAUAUUCACACUCGCGGGAGGAGCUAUAUCGUGGAAAAGCUCUAAACAAACGUUAACUGCUGGAUCUACGAUGCAAGCAGAAUUUCUAGCAUGUUAUGAGGCCACCGGGCAGGCUGUAUGGCUAAAGAAUUUUAUACCCGGACUUAAAGUGGUUGACAACAUAUCUAAACCAAUUUUAUUAUACUACGAUAAUGAACCAGCAGUUUUCUAUACGAGUAACAACAGGUCAAGUAAUGCCGCCAGACACAUUAACAUAAAGUAUCGUGUUGUGAAAGAUAGAAUCCAGGAUCAAACAGUUGAUGUUAAACAUAUAAGGAGGAAGCAUAUGCUUGCGGAUCCGCUAACGAAAGGCUUACCACCCAGUAUUUUUCAUGAGCAUGUUGCCGGCAUGGGACUACUGGAGGCCUGAUGAUUCUGGAAUAAGAGGACCAUUAAAAUAAACCACUCCCCAAUUAGCAAAAUGUUUUCCAUUUCGAAAUAGGCGGAUGUACUAUAAGUGUUGAGGUUCUAUGGCGUUUCGAGCUGUUGUAACACCUCACUUUGGUACAUCAUUCCUAUGUAGAAUGGGCGAAUGAAGUUAAGCCUAACGAUCAAGGGGGAGAAUGUUGGUUUUGAUCUGACGGCUUAAACAAGCCAGUUAGAUCUAUUAGUUUAACAAAAAAAGGAAAAGAUAACGUUAAUGAAAAGGCCCCACGCACCAACGUACAUGAGGUUUUAUCCCAACUAAGGUGCCCUGAUCGGGGGCACCCAAACCAACUGAUGGUUUAGGUCCCCUGUCGCCAGCGCUACAUAAAAGGGAACGGGAGAGGGUUGGCAGCCUGCGCGAUCACAAUUCACGUACGGUUUCACUCCCCUCCCGAUAUUCUCUCACCCCAUCCGAUCAGGGGGAGCGCUGCAGCGACGGGAAGACCUACUCCAGCCGCUGCUGCCGUCCCCGGGCAGUGCCGGUGGCGUCCUCAGGGCAUCAGGACAUCGAGGAGGACUUCCACCUCGACUACAUCACCCCUGCAUCAAGCCUGCACCAAGCAGGCGAUCAUGUCCACUGCCGUGACACGUAAUGAUCCCCUAAACCCUUCUCUGUUCAUGUUUUAGGUGAUCUUGAUGCAAUCUGUUCCUGCUAAUGGCAUCCCAAAGAUGCAUAAUUAUUCCAACACAAAUCUCCAUGAAAUUAAUGCUCCAGCCGUCGAGAUCCUUGGAACAGGUGUCCAGUGUCACAAUGCCAAACUGCAUGAAGCAUCCAUGUCAUGGUCGUUGCACCAUAUAUAGAGGUCUUAUUUAUACAAUUGAAGAAAAAUCAUGUGCAUCGUUCUCAAAGAAAGAAGCCAGUUUGUGUAUUUUAGCCAAGCUACGAGUAUAGAUAUCAGUCUUGGUAGGUUCAUAUCAGCAUGCCACACACGUAACAUACGGAACUUCUGCACUUAUUUAGAACUGAAACUGUUUUUGCCAUGCCAAUAAAACCCAUUGGUAUCAUAGGAUUAGGAAGCAUCAGGAUUUGCGAUUAUGCCUACCUAGUUUCAGUUUUCGGUGGUAAAACAUGGAGAAGUCCAUCCUAACCCUCUAAUGAAGGAAUAACAAGAUAACCAAGAACUAAUGAUGCGAGCAGCGCAUGCGGAAGGGCACACAUAAUUAAAGAAGUAUACACGAGUAGCGCUCAACCAGACAAACGGACAUCACUGUGAUCCCCAGCUUGAGGUGUAGUGGUGGGGUUAUUGAUAAAUUUCCCAAAUAUGUGGCCACUCGCCAGGCGAAAGGCGCAAACUUGGAUGUUUGUUUAAGAAAAUUACAAUCUGAAGCUAACGAGUAGCACUAUAGGACGGCAUGUGUCUCUCUGACCUUGGAUGUGCAGCGCUGGCAAAUCAUGUUGAAGUAUUGUUUCGGUGCAGUGCUAUAGAAGCUAAUUAAGCACUAACAAAUCAAUAUAUGAUUAUGAUAAUUGUGAAUGCGACUUUCUGCAUGACUUGUCACAAUAGAGAAUAUCAUAAAUGUUACGACAUUAAAGCAUCUGUUUUGACUAUUCAAGACAAAAAGAACAUUUUGUAAGGGGCAAACUGUAAAUGGGGUAUCUAAUAUGAGUGUGAAUUUUGUGCACCGUGACUUAUACUCGACAAAUCACAUAUACAAGUGAAGGUAUUAAACAUGAAAUUAGACCCAACAACUGAUACAUCAUAUAACACGGUAUCUUUGCUACACUCUAUGAACUACCUCUCUUAAUAAUGGCACCUUCCUGAAAGAUUUGACGCACCAACCCUUUGGGUUUUGCCUCUAUAAAUUCAAAAGAAUUUCAGUACAAUGAAUGUUUUGGACCAAGUUCUCAAAGUUCAAAGGAUCAAACCACAGCCCUCUAUUGUUCUAAGACCUGUGUCCACUCAGCCGACCACCAACCUGGCUUAAUCACCUUCACCAUCACAUCCCUUUCGCUAAUGGCGCAGUAUGAUGAGCUUUGCUUCCAUGCUUCUUCAAGCCCCAACAAACACAUACUGCGACUGCAGAGAAUGGUGACAGUAUAGACCAUUCCGCGAAUGUGGUAGUCAGAACGGGUAAUUGCAUAAUUUUGCACGAAACCGAUGCCUUUUGUCAUUUUCAUCUGCGUACUCUAAGGGCAUUAGACACUUCCCUAUAACACCAAAGUAGUGUGUGCGCACGAAAAUCCCCCGACCAGUAUAGCACCCCGUCUAAAUGAAUAGCAUUCAGGCUCACAUUGGAAUUGCUCCUGCUCUAAUCCAAUCAGAUCUGUUCUGGCACCAUGGUCAAUAGCCAAGUGGCAAGGACUUCUCACCCCACGUGCUUCUAGUUCUAGGUCCCAGUAAGAUCGGGGCCAGAUUAUUCAUUGUAAUUGUGAUGAGUAAAUAGAACUCUUUUGUGGUUGAAUAAAUUCAUUGAAAAAGAAAAAACUCUCUUAAUAACUAUUUUUCUUUUGGCGAGAUUUACUGAAAGCAUCACUGUGUUAUUAAGUGAAGCAAAAAAUGUAUUCCAACUUUGUUAUGUACGUCCUCUUCGUCCAUUCACAUGACUUAUUCAAUGGCCCGACUUGAUAUGGUGAACGUGAAUGCCAUCUUGGAAGGUGAUCAUCUAAGGAACACUGUGAGCUUGAAUUGAAUUAUUAAAACUUCUAUCAGGAAGUUGUACCAUGUGCUCUUUAUGACAAUGUUGAAUAGCUUAAAAGCAUCAAUGUCAUGGUUGUUUCAUCAUACAAUAACCAGACAUUAAUGUAAUGGUGUUCCUAAUUUUCUAAGGGUGGUAGGAGAGAUAAAACAUGCUCAUAUAUACUAGUUUGCAACCUGUGUGGGCUAGGAGUAGAGCUCGGCUGUUGCUAGGUGGAACAUGCUCAUAUAUAGUUUGCGAAGAAGCCAUCAGACCAUCUACAUACCUGCGCGGGCAAGGAGUAGAGCUCAGUCUUUGCUUGUAAUACCAGAAAUGUAAUGUACAUAAGUUCUGCACUUAGUUAGAAUUGGAAUCACACUUGUCAUGCCACCAAAACCUACUGACACUAGUAGAAAACAGGGCAUAUGUUCGGGCCACAUAGGCCCAUUAGUCCCGGUUCAGUCACGAACCGGGACCCAUGCGGGCAUUGGUCCCGGUUCGUCAGGCCAGGGGCCUGCCGGGCCUCGUGGAGGCAUUUGUCCCGGUUCGUCUGGCCCCUUUGGUCCCGGUUGGUGGGACGAACCGGGACCAAUGGCCUCGCUCCUGGCCCACCACCAUUGGUUCCGGUUGGUGACUUGAACCGGGAUCAAAGGUUGCCCUUUAGUCCCGGUUCCAGCCACGAACCGGGACCAAUGAGAUGCCUAUAUAUACCCCUCGCCCCCAAGCAGAGCAGUGGAGUUCUCUGUUUUUUCUGGCCGUUGUGGGGAGGGUUUUGUGGUGCUCUAGCUCACCUGCUAUGCACAUGAGGUGUUUGAUGGAAUGCCCGAGCCACACUACUUAAGCUUUCUCCUCUCCAAACUCGACCUCCAAGCUCCAUUUUCCUCAAUAUUUAUCUAGAUUUAGCGGUCCGUCACGUCACGUCCCUGUCUUCACCGCCGUCGAUCGCCCGUGUCGAUCUCGUCGCCGGCACCACCAUGGUGAGCCUCUUGUUCUUAUCUUCUUUGUGAAUGGAAAAAUUCUUACUUGUAUGUUUAGAUAGAUACUUGUAUAAUUUUCUUACUUUUAUUAUUGCUUCUUAUUAUUUAGUGCGAUGGUUUUGGUAUCCGCCCCCGUCGGCCCUUGUCCUGUCUAUGAUUUGGAUGUGGUAUAUAUUAUCUUUAUAACUAUUUGGUUCAUUUAUUGUUUAUGACAAUUAUGCCGAGCAACGUGACAUAGAUUUUAUUUAUCUAGGAGGUAUGUGAACCGGAAAUUCCAACCGACCCUAUUGUCGAGAGGUUAAAUUUAGUUGAAGAAGAAAACAAUUUCUUGAAGGAAAAAAUAAAAAAAUUGAGGAGUAGAAGAUGUUAUUGGAGUUGCAUGUUGCAGAUGUCGUCGAUGAUCACAAGACCAAGAUGGAUGCAAUGCGCUUGAAGAUUAGAAAGAUUAGAAGAUAUGCCUUUCGUACCGAGCCUUGGUAUCAUUAUGCCAUUGGAUCAAUUGUUACCUUGGUUGCGAUUAUGAUCGCAUUUGUUUCCGCAUUGAAAUGUUUUAGAUAGUUUCAAUGUAUGGUUUAAUUAAUUAGAUGCUCUGGAGAGCUAUAUGUUAUUCAACAAGAACUAUGCAUGUACUUUGGUUUUAACGUGAUGAUGAACUUAUAUUAAUUUGGUCACUUAAUUAUCUAUUCAUGAUGUUCUGUAAUGGUUUUUGACACACAUAAUUAUAUGUAAUGCACGCAGAUGAACCAAGGGAUACCACGCAUGCACGCACUGUCUAGAUGACACCGAAAGUAUAUACUUGGACAAAAGCAGGAAGAAUGUUUACUGGGGCAUCGUCGAUUCCUUUCGACCAACUAUCAGUGUCGAAAGAAAGGCAAGCACUUCAAAGGCGAGGCAGAUCACUGGAAGAAGCCCGCCAUGCAUACGAGUGAUCACAUACUUCCUAUGGUCAAUGAUUUAAAAGUAAUCUUCGGAAAGGGUCCCGGCAGACUAUCUGUUCCGAAAAACACUGAGGGACACGCACCCAUGUGGAAGAAGAAAUCUAUAUUUUGAGAUCUACCCUACUGGAAAGACCUAGAGGUCCACUCUUCAAUCAAAUGUGAUGCACGUGACGAAGAACCUUUUCGUGAACCUACUAGGCUUCUUGGGCGUGUAUGGGAAGACAAAAGAUACACCAGAGGCACUGGAGGACCUGCAACGUUUGCACGAAAAAGACGGCAUGCCUCAAAAGCAGUAUUAAGGUCUUGCCAGCUACGCUCUUAGCAAAGAAGAGAAGGAAAUCUUCUUUGAAUGCCUGAUCAGUAUGAAGGUCCCGUCUGGCUACUCAUUGAAUAUGAAGGGAAUAAUAAAUAUGCCAGAGAAAAAGUUCCAGAACCUAAAGUCUCAUGACCGCCACGUGAUUAUGACGUGACUGCUUCCGGUUGCAUUGAGGGGGCGUCUACCGGAAAACGUUCAAUUAGCCAUUGUGAAGUUAUGUUCAUUCCUCAAUGCAAUCUCUCAGAAGGUGAUCGAUCCAUAAAUCCUAUCAAGGUUAAGAAGUGAUGUGGUGCAAUGUCUUGUUAGUUUCGAGCUGGUGUUCCCACCAUCCUUCUUCAAUAUCAUGACGCACGUCCUAGUUCAUCUAGUCGACGAGAUUGUCGUUUUGGGCCCUGUAUUUCUACACUAUAUGUUCCCCUUUGAGAGGUUCAUGGGAGUCCUAAAGAAGGAAGCAUCUCCAUGGGCCAUCAAAUAAAGGGAGUAAUUGGGUUUUGUGUUGACUUCUACACUAUAUGUACCGUGCUAGGCCAGAAGGAAGCAUCUCCAUGGGCCAUCAAAUAAAGGGAGUAAUUGGGUUUUGUGUUGACUUCAUUCCCGACCUUAAGAAGAUAGGUCUCCCUCAAUCGCAGUAUGAGGAGAGAAUGGAUGGAAAAGGCACGCUAGGAGGGGUCUCAAUAGUAUGUAGGGACGUGCAUUUUGGUCUCAAGCACACUACACGGUUCUAUAGAAUUCUACCUUGGCGACUCCGUAUGUCGAUAAAGACAAGAACGUUCUGCGCUCCAAACACCUGGACCAGUGUGACGACUGAAUUACAUGUGAACACAUCAGGAGUUUUGGUAUUUGGUUCCAAACACAUCUCAGGUGUGACAACACUGUUUCUGAUGACCUAUACUCGUUGGCGAGGGAACCAUCUUCGACUAUAAUGACUUACAAAGGGUACGAGAUAAAUGGGAAUACAUUUUACACGAUCGCCAAAGAUCAAAAGAGCACCAACCAAAACAGUGGUGUUCGAUUUGACGCAGCAAUCAAGAGGGGAAAGGACACAUAUUAUGGUUACAUAGUGGACAUAUGGGAACUUGACUAUGGAUAUGAUAUUAAGGUCCCUUUGUUUAAGUGCAAAUGGGUCAAUCUAUCAGGAGGCGGGGACCAGGUAGACCCACAGUACAGAAUGGCAUCAGUGGAUCUGAACAAUCUGGGGUACACAGACGAGCCAUUCGUCCUAGCCAAUGAUAUGGCGCAGGUUUUCUAUGUGAAGGACAUGUCUACCAAACCGAGAAAAAUAAAAGAUAAGGAAGCGGAUACAUCAUACGAUGAGCCAAAGCGCCAAAUAGUUCUUUCAGCAAAAAGAGACAUCGUGAGAUUGGAGGGCAAGAUAGACGUGUCAGAAGAUUAUGAAAAGUUUCAUCAAAUUCAUCCCUUCAUAGGCAAGGCUGACCAAAGCACCCUGUUAAACGACGAAGAUUAUCCAUGGUUACGGCACAAUAAGCAAAGAACACAAGAAAAGAAAAAGUGAAUACUUUCUAUCAACAACUAUUAUGAUGAUGCCUUUGAUGUAGAAUAUCACUAGAGUUACAUUUGAACAAAUGAAAUUCCUUUGUAACAGAUGAGUUUUCCUCCGAAACCCUGAUACUUCCAAAGAGAUUGUCUGUUUUGUACAUGCACUAGUAGAAAACAGGGCUUUGGUCAAGGCCGGGUUAGCCCAUUAAUCUCGGUUCAGUCAUGAACCGGGACUAAUGUGAGCAUUGGUCCCGGUUCAUGCGGCAAAGGCAUUAGUCCCGGUUCAAAUGGGACCUUUAGUCCCGGUUGGUGCCACGAACCUGUACUAAUGGGUGCGAUGCCCAUUAGUACCGGUUCUUGGCACGAACCGGUACUAAAGGUUAGACCUUCAGUACCGAUUCGGGCCACGAAUGGGUACUAAUGGGUUUGAGGCAUUAGUACCGUUCAUGGCACGAACCGGUACUAAAGGUCUCAUUUUCAAACUGUACCCCCCCUGUGGAUCGCCUUUUCAGUUUUGUAAAAAGCAAAAGAAAAUGAUAAAAACUUCAAGAAUUAAAAUCCUUCGAGAUGUAGUUAUGUUAUUACAUCUACUAGUUAGGAAAAUUUCAAAACUUAAAUUUGGACAUGUUUUGCAAAAAGUGUAGGGAAAAUGUAAAACGGCUAUAACUUUUGCAUACUAUGUCAGAAAAAAUGUAUAAUAUAUCAAAAUGUUCAGCACAAAAAUCCGCAUCUAAUAUUGACAGCCUAUGGCCUGUUUGCAAAUUUUAGAAUCCUCAAAUUCUAAAAGGAAAAAAAGUUAUGCUCAAAUUUUAGUUUUUUUUAAUUUUUUUGUUAAAUCUGGUCAAACUUUGGUCAAACGACUUAUUCAAGAAGUAUUAGUGUUACUAAAUAAUUAUUCAAGAAUAUUAGUGUUACUAAAUAAUUAUUUCAGUUUUUUUGAAUUUUGGUCAAAUCUGGUCAAACUAUGGUCAAACAAUGGUCAAACUACUUAUUCAAGAAAUAUUAGUGUUACUAAAUAAUUAUUUCAAUGUUUUUGAAUUUUGGUCAAAUCUGGUCAAACUGUGGUCAAACUGUGGUCGAACUAUGGUCAAACAAUGGUCAAACUACUUAUUCAAGAAAUAUUAGUGUUACUAAAUAAUUAUUUCAGUGUGUUUGAAUUUUGGUCAAAUCUGGUCCAACUGUGGUCAAACCGUGGUCAAACUGUGGUCAAACUACUUAUUCAAGAAAUAUUAGUGUGACUUCAUGCUCAAGCUAAAUUCCCGAGGGUUAAUAGGAUUGACAUCUUACUAUUGUCAGGAAAACAACAAGUGCAUACUUGGAAACGAGGGAGAAUAGAACUCGGAAGUAAAGCGUGCUCAGGCUGGAGUAGUGAGAUGGGUGACCGUCCGGGAAGUUAGAUGAUUUGGAAUGAUGAGGGGUGAUUAGAGAUUAGAGGUUAAAUUAAGCAGUGAUGAGGGUGAUUAGAGAUUAGAGGUUAAAAAAAUUCAGAAAUUUGAAAAUAAAAAAAUUCAUUUUUUUAAAAAAGUAAAUUUUCAAAAAAAAUCAUAAUCUUUCCUUUAGUACCGGUUGGUGUUACCAACCGGAACUAAAGGUGGACCUCCAGGCAGCGGCCACGUGGACGGCCUUUAGUCCCGGUUCGUGUAAGAACCGGGACUAAUGGGGGAGGCUUUAGUAACGACCCUUUAGUCCCGGUUCCAGAACCGGGACUAAAGGCCCUUAUGAACUGGGACAAUAGGCCCUAUUUGUACUAGUGAUGAAGUGCAUCUAGUUUUUGUCGUAACCCUCUCAACUUUUUAGUACAUGUUAUAUGGGUGAAAUGAUGAUACCAUGGCAACUUUCAACCUUUUCAAUGUUCAUUUGAAAUGAUUUUCAAUUUCAGGGAUCAACCAAAAAGCUUUUAUAAACCUCUGGUAUUAUUGAAACUAGAAUUAUAUAAAAUUUAUGCAACUGGAAUUAUCAAAUUAUUUUCUGUUCAAAACAUUAAAAGCAAAAAGAAUUUUCAUAAAAUNNNNNNNNNNNNNNNNNNNNNNNNNNNNNNNNNNNNNNNNNNNNNNNNNNNNNNNNNNNNNNNNNNNNNNNNNNNNNNNNNNNNNNNNNNNNNNNNNNNNNNNNNNNNNNNNNNNNNNNNNNNNNNNNNNNNNNNNNNNNNNNNNNNNNNNNNNNNNNNNNNNNNNNNNNNNNNNNNNNNNNNNNNNNNNNNNNNNNNNNNNNNNNNNNNNNNNNNNNNNNNNNNNNNNNNNNNNNNNNNNNNNNNNNNNNNNNNNNNNNNNNNNNNNNNNNNNNNNNNNNNNNNNNNNNNNNNNNNNNNNNNNNNNNNNNNNNNNNNNNNNNNNNNNNNNNNNNNNNNNNNNNNNNNNNNNNNNNNNNNNNNNNNNNNNNNNNNNNNNNNNNNNNNNNNNNNNNNNNNNNNNNNNNNNNNNNNNNNNNNNNNNNNNNNNNNNNNNNNNNNNNNNNNNNNNNNNNNNNNNNNNNNNNNNNNNNNNNNNNNNNNNNNNNNNNNNNNNNNNNNNNNNNNNNNNNNNNNNNNNNNNNNNNNNNNNNNNNNNNNNNNNNNNNNNNNNNNNNNNNNNNNNNNNNNNNNNNNNNNNNNNNNNNNNNNNNNNNNNNNNNNNNNNNNNNNNNNNNNNNNNNNNNNNNNNNNNNNNNNNNNNNNNNNNNNNNNNNNNNNNNNNNNNNNNNNNNNNNNNNNNNNNNNNNNNNNNNNNNNNNNNNNNNNNNNNNNNNNNNNNNNNNNNNNNNNNNNNNNNNNNNNNNNNNNNNNNNNNNNNNNNNNNNNNNNNNNNNNNNNNNNNNNNNNNNNNNNNNNNNNNNNNNNNNNNNNNNNNNNNNNNNNNNNNNNNNNNNNNNNNNNNNNNNNNNNNNNNNNNNNNNNNNNNNNNNNNNNNNNNNNNNNNNNNNNNNNNNNNNNNNNNNNNNNNNNNNNNNNNNNNNNNNNNNNNNNNNNNNNNNNNNNNNNNNNNNNNNNNNNNNNNNNNNNNNNNNNNNNNNNNNNNNNNNGGUCUGGCGGCUUUUUUUCAUAUAUGUGAUGAUAUGUUUUUUUUUCAUAUAUGUGAUGACAUGUUCUUUUUUAAAUAUAUGUGAUGAUAUGUUUUUUUCAUAUAUGUGAUGAUAUGUUCUUUUUUUCAUAUGAUGUUUUUUGUGCAUAUGAUGUUUUUUUCAUAUAAUGUUUUUUUCAUAUAUAUAUUAAUUUUUUUAUUUAGGUUGUUAAUUAGUAGAUAUCGAUUUUAGGUUAGUGCAUUUUAGGUUAGUGUAGAUGAAAAUAAGAAGAGGAAGAAGAAGAAGAAAACGGAUAAGAAGAGGAGAGGAGGAAGAGGAGGAGAAAUAAAUAAGAAGAGAAAAAAAAGAAAAAAAUGAGGAGAAGAAGAAAGGAAUAGAAGAGAAAAAGAAAAAAUAGAGUAAUUUCUUUUUUUUCUUCACCUCUAUUCCAUUCUUCUUCUCCACUUUUUUUCUUCUUUUUUUCUUCGAUCUUCUCCUCUCUCUAUUCCUUUCUUCUUCUCCUCUUUUUUUUCUUCUUCUUACUCUUCUUAUUUUUUAUCUGGUAUGUUGUUGUCGAUAUACCACCUCCCCAACAACUUCACAUGAGGGGGGGUUGAUAUACCACCUCCCCGAUAACUUUGACAUGAGGAGGGGGGAGGGGGUCGAAGGUUGAGGGUUCGAGGGUUCUAGGGUUGAGGGUUCUAGGGUCGAGGGUUCGAGGGUCGAGGGUCGUCGAGGUGCCGAGGGUUCGAGGGUCGAGGGUCAUCGAGGGUUCGAGGGUUCGAGGGUCGAGGAUCGCCGAGGGGUCAAGAGGUUGCCUAGUGUCAAAGUAUUGAAGAAAUCCAUGGCUUCAUCAUUAGCCAGAAGUAACCGGGGCAUGAUGGUACGAAGUUCUCCAAAGUUAUUCUGGAACGGAGUCCAGGAUAGGGUAUAUAAGAUAUAAGAUAUAAUAUGGAGAUAAAUAACAGCAUUUAUUAUUGCCUCUAUGGCAUAUCUCCUACACAUGUGCCACCUGCAGAACCGCGUCAAACCCGGUCUGUUGAUGGAGGGGAUGUCCCAUACAGUCACAAGCCUCGGAAAGGCAGUCGCGAGCUCGAGAUCCAGCCUCGAGUCGUACUCACAAUCCCGGAGUCUGCCACCGUCGAAGAACAAGGGUCGCCACCCAAUUUAGUGUGCUACAUGGAGCACCCACCGCUGCGCCAGCCGAUGUCGUCGCCUAUACAACGGCAACCGACUGCGCAGGCGUCAGAGCGGGUUACUAGGUCCCGAAUCCCUUGCUCGCCGCCUCAAGGUCAGCCAUGCUCGACCUACUAUUGUGUGGACGAGCGGGCCGCCGCCAGAUCCGCCGCCCUGGAAUCCAUAGGCCCACCUUGUCCACCCACCAUGAUCAUCCCCCUCACAGGAAGAUGACAAGGAUGGAGGCUGCAUACGCCUCAUGACCAAGGAUGCCGCCCCGGCUACUGCGCCUGGCUAACUCCGCUGAUGCCACCCCAACUGCCCCUAGGAUUUUCCACCGCAUCCCUCCGAUCCCCAGCACCUUCUGCACUGAGGAACGUACGUUAUCGGUAAAAUGAUGUAAUAUAUAUGUUCCCAUUUUGUUUACACACUUAGCCAUUAUGCAUUGGUCAAAUGAUGUAAUAUACACUACAAAAAAAGACACAUUCGUGACAUUUUGGGCUGAACGAUUUUUUUUCCUGUCAUACAUAUGAAACUUCUAUGACGAUAAUUGUGAUAAAAUCCGGUAUCAUCAUAGAUGUGGUGGGCUCCUACUUCUAUGAAAAAAAUCAUGAAAGAAAAUGGGCUUUUUGUCCUGGGCGGGUCGGAUACGCAGCUGCAUGACAUUCUUUGGGCCGUCCAUAACGGAAAAAACCGUGGUAGAAGCGAGGGGGAGGAAAAUUUCGGGGAGUUGCCGGUUACGAUGGGAGGUCGGGGACGGAGCGAUGCGCGUUUCUCUUGUACGUGCGCGCGUGUGUGUGAGGCGUUGGCUCUAACUGAACACGAGCGAGGUGUUGGGCUCUAACUGAACCCGAGCAAUUGCACUGCAGGCUACCCGUUACUGAACCCGAGCGAUCGAUCGAUGGCUGGUAACUGAACACGAUGGAGCGAUUCCUUCGCUACUACUGCUAACAGAAGUCAAUUGAUGUUGCCUCNNNNNNNNNNNNNNNNNNNNNNNNNNNNNNNNNNNNNNNNNNNNNNNNNNNNNNNNNNNNNNNNNNNNNNNNNNNNNNNNNNNNNNNNNNNNNNNNNNNNNNNNNNNNNNNNNNNNNNNNNNNNNNNNNNNNNNNNNNNNNNNNNNNNNNNNNNNNNNNNNNNNNNNNNNNNNNNNNNNNNNNNNNNNNNNNNNNNNNNNNNNNNNNNNNNNNNNNNNNNNNNNNNNNNNNNNNNNNNNNNNNNNNNNNNNNNNNNNNNNNNNNNNNNNNNNNNNNNNNNNNNNNNNNNNNNNNNNNNNNNNNNNNNNNNNNNNNNNNNNNNNNNNNNNNNNNNNNNNNNNNNNNNNNNNNNNNNNNNNNNNNNNNNNNNNNNNNNNNNNNNNNNNNNNNNNNNNNNNNNNNNNNNNNNNNNNNNNNNNNNNNNNNNNNNNNNNNNNNNNNNNNNNNNNNNNNNNNNNNNNNNNNNNNNNNNNNNNNNNNNNNNNNNNNNNNNNNNNNNNNNNNNNNNNNNNNNNNNNNNNNNNNNNNNNNNNNNNNNNNNNNNNNNNNNNNNNNNNNNNNNNNNNNNNNNNNNNNNNNNNNNCCAACACAAGUCCGUUUCAUCCGUUUUGCGGUACGCCACACCCCUCCCGAUCAACAGGACCCCCGUUUCGACCUUAGGAUCUCCAUUUCCUCCGUUUUGUGGUACGCCAGGCCCCUCCCGAUCAACAGGACCCCGUUUCGAACGUGGCCGGUCGAACACAAGGCCGUUUCCUCCGUUGUGCGGUACGCCAGGCCUCGUUUCCAUCGCCUGUUCUGUCAAGCCCUCCUGAUGAACAAGACCAUGCAUUCUGUUCCGACCCAGCCGGUUGGCUCCCCAUGAACACGACGACGAUGCUGUUUUACCGUUCCGACCCAGCCAUGUACGUAUGCGCGAGUAGGCGUUCGAGACCCUGCCCGUAUGUACGUACGUGGCCGUAUUUUCUUUCUUGCACCCUCGCCGAUGUACGUAUGGGUACAUGCUACGUGCGUGCCUCUACUAUCACACGUGCGUGCCUCUACAUCUACGACAUGUGCGCGCCUCUACAUCGACCAAUAUGUACGUACACGUUCACGACUAGAAUGACAAAGCUACGUACGCUUCGACCAGGUCGGUCCCGACUGUCAGGCACUUCCUUGCGUGCGAAGAUGUAGCUGGUGGGUCCCAGCUGUCAGGGGGGAGAAUGGUUUUUUUUGCCUGGACGCACUUACUUGCGUGCGAAGGUGUAGCUGGUGGGUCCCAGCAGUCAGGGGGGAAACAUUUUUUUGCGAAAUAUGGUGGCCCGUCCGGUGGGUCCCCGCUGUCAGGUGGAGGAAUAAAUAUUUUGCGCGUAAUAAGGAGGCACUUCCUUGCUGCGACCGUGGACCCAGCUGUCAGACCGUGGACCGUGGACCCAGCCGGUUGGCUCCCCAUGGAAGCCGUUCCUUGACAACGUUGACCACGCCACGCCGAGAGCACCAGGGACGCAGGGCGGUGGACGAUGGCAAGGCCAAGGAAGGGAACGACGCGGAACCGAGGAAGACGCGGCAAUGGAUGCCCACGCGUAGAGGAGUACGAGGGUUCACUGGUUCGCUGCGGUGUGAGGCUGCCUUCGCCGCAGAAUAACAGGGGGUGUGGGUGAGUAGAGGGAUGGCCUGGCCAGCGGUGGGAGUAGUAGGGGGCGGUGAGGCCUCCGUCGCAUCACAGCCGGCCACGGGAGGCAGGAGCACGAGGCACGACCGGCACUGGUUUGGGCGGCUGGAGCAAGAAGACCAGAGGUUGAAGAAGCACUACGGUCGUUGGAUGGACAUCGUACGGUCAUUGGAGCUAGAAUCGUGCAUAUUGACUAAGUUGACAAAGCCAUCCGUCCCCGUCAACUUAGUAGGCCCACAAGUCAGCCUGCCACUAUACUGGGUCCCAGCUAACAGGGGGAGUAUUAAUUUUUUUGUGCGUAAUAAGGAGGCACUUCCUUGCGUGCGAAGAUAUAGCUGGUGGGUCCGAGUUGUCAGCGACGGUAACGUUUUUUCGCGAAAUACUGAGGCACUUUCGGUGGGUCCCCGAUGUCAGGUAGAGGAAUCAUUAUUUUGCAAGUAGUAAGGAGGCAUUUCCUUGCGUGCGGCCGUGGACCCAGCUGUCGGCCUCUCCACGUACAGUCCACUUCAGAUGCAUGUCGGUCGUUGACCACGUUGACCAGGCCGCGCCGAGAGCACCAGGGCGGUGGACGAUGGCGAGGCCAAGGAAGGGAACGACACGGAGGCAGGGAAGCCUCCACAGUUGUUUCCCACGCGGAGGGGAGUACGACUGAAUGAGGGUUUACUGGUUCGUCUACCAUCACCGGAGAAUAACAGCAGGUGUGGGUGAGUAGAGGGAUGGCUAGGCUAGCGAUGGGAGUACGGUGGGGCGGUGAGGCCUGCGCGGCAGUACAGCCGACCGCGGGGAGGAGGGAGCAGGCAGUCCCGCUGGCGCUUGUUUGAGCGGCUGGAGCAUGAAGAGUAGAUAUUGAAGAAGCACGACGGCCGUUGGAUGGCCAUCCAACAGUCACUGCUUGUGCGUCAACAUUUUUUUAGGAAAGCCUCAAAUCUGUGGAAAAUAGCAUACAGCCCAUCUGCCAUUAUUUCUAAUAAUUUACAGUCCAUUUGCUAAUCCUUAAGAUUUUGUUUGGAGCCCAUAUUAUUUUUGUUAGCAUUACAGCCCAUAUUGUGGCCACAGUUAAAAAUUAUAUGAAAUUUUGCAUAUUUCGGUGCAGUCCGAACUGUUUUUAAUCCCGAAAUUUCGACUCACAUUCAAACUGAUUUUAAAAAUAAAUGUAUAUCAAUAUAAAAUCCAACAAAUUCUCCAUGCAUAAAAAUUAAUGUAAUUUAAAAUCUCGAAAUGAAAAAAAGAUAUUUGAAACUAAUUGCCGGUUUGAUGUGUUUUAAAAAUGUACAACCCAUUUCUCAUUACUGAUAGGACAUUUUCUCGGCCAGCCAAAUGAAGCUCUCCUCGUCUUGAAAGAUUUGCAGCCCAACAGGCCUGACAAAGCGACUUACUUGGCAAAUCACAAAAAAACUCGGUUUUGGCCUUGGACCCAAUUGUCAGCCUCUCCACGUACAGUACUCUUCCGAUGAAAGUCGGUCGUUGACCACAUUGACCAUGCCGCACCGAGAGCACCAAGGCGGUGGACGACGGCGAGGCCUAGGAAGGGGACGACGAGGAGCCGGGGAAGACGCGGCAGUGGAUGCCUACGUGGGAAGGAGUACGAGGGUUCAGUGGUUCGGCUGCGGCGUGAGGCUGCUGUCGCCGCAGAAUAACAGGGGGUGUGGGUGAGUAAAGGGAUACCCUGGGCAAGCGGUGGGAGUAGUAGGCGGAGGUGAGGCCUCCGCGGCAUCACAGCCGACCACGAGAGGCAGGAGCACGCGGCACGACCGGCGCUGCUUUGGGCGGCUGGAGCAAGAAGACGAGAGGUUGAAGAAGCACUAUGGCCGUUGGAUGGACGUCGUAUGGUCACUAGAGCUAGAAUCAUUCAUAUUGACUAAGUUGACAUAGCCCUCCGUCCUCGUCAACUUAGUAGGCCCACAAGUCAGCCACCCACUAUGGCGGGUCCUAGCUAGCAGGGGGUAUUUAUUUUUUGGUGCGUAAUAAGGAGUCACUUCCUUGCGUGUGAAUAUAUAGCUUGUGGGUCCGACCUGUCAGUGGGGGGGGUGUUUUUUCACGAAAUACAGAAGCCCUUCCCACGUACAGUGCAUGUACAGUGCGUAAUAAGGAGGAACUUUCCUUGCAUGCGACCAUGGACCUCGUUGGUCCCAGCCGUUAGGCUCUCCACGUACAGUCCUCUUCCUAUGACUCCCGUAUGUUGACUACGCCGUGUCGUGCGCCUCGAGGCGGUGGACGAAGGCAAGGCCCCAGACUGGAACGACCCGGAGAUGGGGAAGACGCGGCAGUGGAGUCGCAGACGGAGAGGAGUGGGUAACUUUACUGGUUCGGGUGUGGGGUGGGCCUACACUCGGCAGAGAAUAACAGGAGGUGCGGAGUGGAGGGAUGGCCUGGCCAUCGGCGGGGUAGCGUUUCACUAAGGAGCACAAAACAACGCCGCUGGACGCCAAAGACUGGAGCAGGCGGUUCCGGCAGCGCUAGGGGAAGAAGACAAGAGAUUGAAGAAGAAUACCGGCCCUUAGAUGUAAAUCCAACGCCUUCUUAGGCUUUGACCUACUGGCCCACAUGUCAGCCAGUCCAUUUGUCUUUUUAGUCCAUUUUGGUGGGCUGGGUGAAACAAUGAUGUAGCAUCUACGCAGUCCGUUUAAAUCCCAUUUGCAUUUUUCUCAAAAUCCGCGGACUUGGUGGGCUGGGUGAAAAUAUCAUGUUGGGCUAGACGGAGAAAUGUUAUAAAAACAUAAACACAUGAUUGCACGUCAGUAAAAUCUUUGCAAGCUUAUGUACGCAACCACUAGGAGUUAACUUGGCAAGUUAUAUAUAAACAAUUAUUAUUAUUAUUUUGUAAGAACUUUCAACUUAUGAAAUAAAAUAUCAUUUUAAUUUGAUGAGUUAAUAGUACGUGGGGUAUUAUUAUUUUUUAGGCUAGACGUGGGACAGUUGAUUUGGUUCUAGGGGAAAGUACUGGGAGAAAACUCAGUUUACAUCGAAAAAGAAAGUGGGAGAAAAUUCAGAGACCUGAUGGGUCCAUGUGAGGAGAGGAAUAUGUUGGGAGGAAGGAUAUUCAAAGCACGGCAGCCGAGUUAACUAGUUUUUUUUACGGACAAGUGAACUAGUUUACAUACAUUAGCAAAUAGCCACUAAAAAAAGCAAUCAGGUUAAUGGGUUCUUAAAAGAAAUAUUUCGGACAAAACAGAUAAUUACGACACAUAGGCUAAUGCAUGAAACACUCAGAUGAUAAAGGUGCUUAUAAACAGAUAAAGUACAACAUCUAGACCUUCCAGGCAUGCUUGAUCAUGACGCUGCGGCUGUCCAUGUACUCGUCAGUUACGGGAAGCAGACAAGCCCUCAUGUCCAAGAUCUGCCUGUACAUGUCGUAGCAUGCAUAUGCGUCCUUGGCCAUGUAGGUUAUGUAGGCUAGAUUGAGAGGUACCUCCCACGUGUUCAGGUCGUCUUCUUUCAUGUUGGCGUAUCAGGGGUCGAUGAUGCUCUCAGCAAGGUCAACCACGGAGUCCUUCUCCUGCCCGUUGCUGAUGAUGUUGUAUUGCUUCUGUAUGUCGACAAGCUUGUUGCACGAGAUGACCGAAUCAUCGCGUUCUUCCUUCUGUCCACCGUAGCGAAGGUGCAGUCGGUGCUGCCGAUGAAACGGGCGAAUGCUCCAGAACCUGGUGUAGCCAUAGGACUGAGGCAAGGCAGAGCUUCUUCGAGUCUGUAUCGUUGGUGUACAUCACAUUCAACUUGGUGCUAAAGUCCAUAUCCAGCAGGCUCACCCCUCGGAUCACCAUUGGAGUCUCUUUGAGUGAACGAGUGUGUAGGCGGCGGCAGCAGUUCGUUUUUCAGCUCUUGGGGAACUGGAUUCAACAGUAAGCUGAGUGUGUACAGGCGACAACAGUUACUACCCCUCCCUCGUCCGCUGCACGCCCGGCAGAAGAUGCACCCUCGGUGCAUUCAAACGCCUCCAUUAAGAAACCUACUCCGGCCACACGUCGGUUCACGAGCGGGUGUGCAUUGGUACUGUAAUAACAGGAGUUAGUGGUCACUUUACUCUAAUUUAAUUAGCUUUAAUAGAAAUUUAUACUUAAAACAAGCAAUGCAUUGGCUCGUUAUAUCAGUGCCACGGGAUCAACAUGCACAACAAUUAGAAUUAUUAUUCUCAAGACGCACACGAUCAGCACAUUUGUCGCACUUUCACAAAGAUAAUACUGCCAAGUUUGAACUGCUUGUUAUGGUUGCUGUCCACUGCAUCAUCAUGCCGUGUUUCCCAGCUUGCAAGAUUCAGAACCAAUAAAUAAGAUCCAAAUAAUAAGUACAACAAAGAUUCCUACACAUCUCAUUGAUUCCCAGCUUGCAAGAUUCAGAACCAACAAAUAUGGUCCAAAUAAUGAGUACAACAAAGAUGCCUACACAUCUCAUUGAUUCCUAGCUUGCAAGAUUCAGAACCAACCCAUUAGAGCCUUUUGAUAAAUUGAAUAUCGGGAUUAAAUCCAUCUUGGAUAGCCAUGUCAUACAAUCGAAGAACUUGGCGAAUGCUCUUGACCGUCACAAUAUCUGUAGUUGAGUAUUCCCAUUUGCACAACAUGUUUGCACAGCACAAACAAGGAGACAGGAAAGCAUGAUUUCACUUUAAUAGCGGCCUCUUGAACUCAACCUCCAGGUCCACUAGGAUGAGGUCUACCUGGAGUUCCAUGAUUCAAUUCAUGCGCCUUUUCUGUGGUUCACCUGAAAUGAAGCAAAGAUUGCAUCAUUCAGCUAGCAAGAAGUACUUGCUCUUGUGAGCUGGCAGGUUCUUCUUUAGUAGUUGCACUAAAAUUGAGGAACAUUAAGGUUGGCUGUCCGGCUCAUGUAAGGUGCAACUAUAAUUUUCUUAUCCUUUUGUGCAGUUCCACUAAAAUAAAGUGCCAUUGUGGCGACAAUGACGGCUCCAUCUUGCAAAGGCUAAUAAAAUGUUGCACGAGAUUACCUGCAGAACUUGACGGAGAUUUUGGAAACUCCAAUCACCAUUUUGUGCAGUUCCACCAAAAUUGAGAGAUGUUGCCCACGUGACAUUUUACUUGAACAACACAAGACACUCAUUCCAAAAAAAGUGUUUUGUGCAGUUCACCAAAAGGUCACAAUAGCAACAAGGUGAAAUGGAUAUCCCUAUUUGCACAAAAUGAUAGAAAGUAAACAGUUGCUGGUCAAUAAGAAUAUACGAAACAUAUACAAAAUGAAACGAAACAUCUUAAUUAUGUUCAUGGCAAUCAUGCAAGGACAGUAUAAAUUUUAAAACGUCAGCAAUGCUUCAUGUUACCAGAGGCAUUACGAUCAACAAUGAGAUUCCUCAGAUAUGGGAUUACAUUAAUGGUGGCAUUGCUUGUUUACGAGACACAGUAAUUCAACAGCAGCUAAAGAGUUGGUUUAAGGGCAUGGGACCGUGGGGACACCAGGACACUCAGCAGCGUAAAGGAGCAACUUACUUAACAUACUGGGGAAAACAACAGGAGUGCCAUUUGUAACACAGUUUAAUUGCAUCUUAUCACUGGAGGCAUUAGAUUAACAGUAACACUGGUUAGACAUGUCCCUAAAUAACAGUGUGAUCGCUUCAUUUUACAUGCGCCCUUACAGCAAAAGGUUGGUUUACCCGCAAAAAAAACAUCAAAAGGUUGGUAUAAGGACAUGCGAGAGUGGACGCAUCAGCACAAUGUACCUACAAGGAGGCAUAAAGUGGUGAUGCCGAGCUCGUUCACGCUAUGUGAGGGUAGCAAACCUAAUCCUGGAGACCUUUUACUAUGUGAGGACAGCAAAUCUAAUCCUGGAGGCCUUUUACUAUGUGAGGGCAGCAAAUCUAAUCCUGAGACCUUUUACUAUGUGAGGGCAGCAAAUCUAAUCCUGAGACCUUUUACUAUGUGAGGGCAACAAAUCUAAUCCUGAGACCUUUUACUAUGUGAGGGCAGCAAAUCUAAUCCUGGAGACCUUUUACUAUGUGAUGGCAGCAAAUCUAAUCCUGGAGAUACUCUGUUGACUUGUCCACCAGCCGCCACUUUCUAUCCUUUUUUCAACCAAUAAUAGAUCUGUUCCUUAUCCAGUUUGUACUACGUUUUCCCAUUAUUUCCCUAUUCAACCAAGAGACCGGUUGGGUAUCCGGUCUCUACUACUUUAACCAUAUUAUUUCCUCUUUGAAUCAAGUCCUAGAUUCAUGCUACAACUUUCCCCCCUUUCUUCGUUGUUUGAACAAAGCCCUAGAUUCGAAUGCAUGAAAUAGAUUUACCUCUAAUAAUACUAAAAAUUUAGGUGGCUUUGGAAGAGCUGAUGGGAGUAGAAAAAGAUGCACAUGCAGACACGUGGGGAGCUGGGGCAGUACAGCAAGGCCGCUUUCGAAGAACUUAUACCUGAGGGUCGCCGGGAUGUAGGCGGCGGCAGGUCGGAUCUGCGGACAAUACCGCAGGGAGGAAGAAGGGUCGCAGGACCUCCUGAGCCGGCGCUGUGUCGGAGAGAACAUCACAGGCAGAGGAUCGGGCCCCUCCGGCAGCUGUGGGUUUCCUCCCUCCGCGGUGAUGACCACGUGAAUGAUGCACCUUUUAGUCCUCUACGCACAUCGGCCGAAGGGAUCCGGCCGGAUCUGUGACCAGCGGUGAGCAGAGUGAAAAUGUCGCUAGCACUCUCUUGUUUAUAUCUGGAGAGGAUGAGAGAAUGAAGAGAGCAACCCUAGUAAAGCGGGCGCUCAGGCCCCUACGUCCAUAUAUAGUGGAGUGAUUAUCUUUUUUCUCUCCACAACAAGCGUUUCAAUUUGUGUACGUGGCAUUAAAGAAAAGAAACUCUCUAUUUAAGGUGACUACUCUACGACUCCUACUUACUACUACUAAAGUACUACCUCCAUCCUGGUUUAUAGGUCCCUUUUAUAGUUUGUGCCAAAUUUUGACUAAAGAUUUAACUAACAAAAUGUUAAUGCAUGUCAAGAAAAAUUAUCUCAUUGGAUUCGUAUUUGAAAAUAGUUUUGAAAAAUAUAAUGUUUGGUGACAUGCGUGAACAUUUUCUUAGUUUAAUCUAUGGUCAAAAUUUGGCACGAAAUACAAUGGGGACCAAUAAACCCGGACAGAGGUAGUAUUGUUCACCUGUGCUCCCCGCCCCUCCAUUCAUUGAACAACCCCACGGGUGAAUAAACAUAUAGUAAGUACUGCAUUUAUAUAGAACGAACAAGCUCGAACUAUUUUCGUGUAGUUAAAAGUUGAGGGCGGGGCUUUUCCCGGGCAGUACGCGCGGCAGUUUUCGGGUAGGCGGUUUGACAGAGAGGCGGGGAGGGUGAGCGAGUGGGGCUGUGCGAUUUGAUGGCACGUUACUGCUGGAAAGACUUGUGAUAUGACCACUCACUAUAGUCAUGAAUUACUGGCGCUCCGACCGGGGUGAUGCCCCCCUUCCGUUCCGCGUUCUAAUCUGGUGCAUGACACGUCGACCCGGAUGCUGGCUCUCCCACAUGUCGGAGUAUUAAGAAGGAGCAAAGAAUGAUGCCGUAUAUACUAGUACUAUACUACUCCCUCCGUUCCUAAAUAUAAGUCUUUGGAGAGAUUUCACUAUGGACCACAUACGGAGAAAAAUGAGUGAAUCUACACAUAAAAUGCAUUUAUAUACAUCCGUAUGUGGUCCACAGUGAAAUAUCGACGAAGACUUAUAUUUAGGAACGGAGGGAGUACUACUCAGGUCGGAGGAGUGCGAACCACGGCAGCCCAGUGAACCAGCCGUGCGAACCACGGUAGCCCAGUGAACCAGCAGUAGAAAACAAUAAUGUGGUGAUAUGGCCAUAAAAAACAAUGUGCUAUGGUCCACACUGUAGCAUAUAUAGUAACACUCCUCUUUUGUUUGGAUCCCUGAAUUAGAGCUAGUUUGGGUUGAAAUAGCCUCAAAUCAUCGAAACAAGAGGGGUUAGUUUGAGCUAGUUUGCUCUAACCAGCUAAAAAAACUAGCCCAGUGGAGAGGUUCUAACUGGGUUAGUUAUCCUGGCCCCACUAAAAGAGAACUAAAAAAAUCUCACCUGCCCGCACCAGAUCGCUCCCCUAAAAAAAUCUCACCUGCCCGCACCAGACCGCUCCCCCCUCUCGCACGACUCCUCUCUGUUCCCCAUAGGGCCUCCCGCCCAAGCGCCGCUCGCCCUUUGUCUCCUCCGGCCGCCCUCUCCUUCCGGCCUCCGUCACCCUACUCCGGACACCCUCUCCCUCCAACCUUCGAAGGUCGCCCCGCUCCCCCUUCACCAGUCAUUUUUCUCCCUCUGUCGUGCGCGGCGGUGGCGCACAUACCAAGGAGGUCGUGAGAGGGGUGAGUUUGUUCGUUCCUUCUCUGUCUCACGGCCAUAUCAUUGAUCUUGCUUGCUCUAGCGCUAAUUCUGAUUUGGAAAAGUAGAUCAUGAUCAAACUUGCUAUAGAUUUGUGGUGCACACAUGGAAUUGUUUGAUGCUUCUUGAGGAGGUAAUAAAUCUUUCUAGAGGCCCAAAUAUUCAGGUCACCUUUCUAGGUAUUUCAAUUUCAGGCUUGCAUUAUUUGUAGAGGCCCAAAGAUUCACUUCACCUUUCUUGGUAUUUCAAUUUCAGGCUUGCAUUGUUUCUAGAGGGCCAAAGAUUUAGUUCACCUUUCUAGGUAUUUGAGUUUCAGGCUUGCAUUAUUUCUAGAGGCCCAAAGAUUCAGUUCAUCUUUCUAGGUAUUUCAUUUGCAGGCUUGCAUUAUUUUUAGAGGACCAAAGAUUCAAUUCACCUUUCUAGGUAUUUCAGUUUCAGGCUUGCAUUAUUUCUAGAGGCCCAAAGAUUUAGUUCACCUUUCUAGGUAUUUAAGUUUCAGGCUUGCAUUAUUUCUAGAGGCCCAAAGAUUCAGUUCACCUUUCUAGGUAUUUUAGUUUCAGGCUUGCAUUAUUUCUAGAGGACCAAAGAUUCAGUUCACCUUUCUAGGUAUUUUAGUUACAGGCUUGCAUUAUUUAUAGAGGCCCAAAGAUUAUGUUCCCAGUCGGCGGUAAGCGGCCCUGCUACCCAUGCCGGUGUCGACCUCAACUCGCAAAGGCCGGCGUCGGAGGGGUUCCCGGGGCUUGGGCUCUACAGAGCCUUCCUCAAGAGCGACGAUUGCGAGCUCCUCACUCGGUGCGUGAGGGGCUCCAGGCUCCCUCCCUAUCGUGAACAACUUCCAUGAUGAGUUAGAUCAUUCUUUGUUUCAUGAAGUGUUUUUUUAUUUUGUGAAGCUUGAUUGACGACUUGUACCCCACCGACGAUGACGAGUGAAGGAGUUGGCCAUGGAGGAGAGGAGUUAGCCAUGGAGGAGUUGUCCUUGGAUCAAGCAAGCAAGCUGGUGGUGUUUUAUCUUAUCUAGGGUGUCGUUUCAUUAUUGUCGUGUUGGGUUGAACUAUGAACUUUCUAAAUAAGUUGUGAUGGUACUAUGUAUGUCGUGCUUGGGACCCGUUUAUCUAUCUUAGUUGUAAUGUGGUACUAUCUAUCUCAUGCAAUGCUACUACUUAUGCUACUAUAUUGUGAUGUGUUCUAUCUGUUGUUUUUUAUCUAGUUGAUAUUGGUCAGUUGAUAUAUAUCGUGCUUGAUGUUCUAUCUAGUUGAUCUAUGUGUUACUAAUAAAAGGGGGUAGAUUCCACUAUGGACAUGCAAGUGUAUGGGUAACCAAUUUUUUUUGCCAAAAAAACCAUAUCUUGGUGUGCUGCAUGUGUGCAUGCAUGUACCUAGGCCUUAAGUAAUAGGGUCACCCUAGCUAGUAGGUGUAGGGUGCAAAUUUUUGUGCAACAUGGACAUGCAACUAAUACAAAUAAUUAUUGGAUUAACUGAAAUGCCCAAAAGAAAUAUUUUUGUGCUCCUAAAAAUAUUGGUUUGAACCUCUGGCCAUUAUUUUUAGAGCAAAACAUGAACAUUUUCUUGGACCUAUUUCAAGCAAAUUUUAACUUGAUCAUUUCCAAAAAUGAUUUCUGAGGCUUUCACAGAUCCCCAUUUAAUUUGGGGCCCUUUAACUUGGGUUUCAUGGAACCAUAGACAUGCAUAAAAAGAAUCACAAAACAAUAGUGGGAAAGCAACAAAUAUGUAAAGAAAAACAAAAAAGUACAAUACAUACGGCCCAACAUUUAUUCGACAGAAAAAAUUGGCUAAAGAAAAAACAAGUAAAGAAGUAUAUGUUUGUUAAAGGUUUAUUUGCUGAAGCAGCAUUUUAUUUUGAGGGUUUAGUCGAAGCAUUUUUUAUAAACAUGGGUGCCUCUAUGCUAUAAAACUGGGCUGGUGCCCCUCCGCUGGUGGGCUUGUCUCAAUUUGGGCUUGGUUAUUUUCUCACGACCCAACAUCUUUUCGGCAGCAAGAUUUGUUUUUCUGAAUUUGGGGGUUGUGCACUCUGUUAACUGAAGAACAAGAGCAAAGCAUGAACACUGAAUAUUUCUACCUCGAUUCAGUUACAAGAACUUGACAUGGCGCACAUAUCACAUCCUAUGCCCUGACAGACCUAAAUGCCCCCUCUAAUGACGGAUGAAUAGCAAGUAAAACAUAAACAGAGCAAUGACACAACAAUUAAAACCCCCCUGCCAUGAUAUUUGCCUGUUUCUGCAAAUUGAUCAUCUCCAUUUGAUUUUUGUUGAUCUUCUUCAGUUCCUCGGUCAGUUGAGACUCCAAGUGCGGUUCAGCAUGGGUAGCAUUGCGUGCAUAGCUCGCCAUCAGCAUGACUUUGCCUGCCCCUCUGUCCGAGCUCCCAAAAUUCUCCAUCUGGGGCACUGUCGGUGUCAAAACCGGCGGAUCUCGGGUAGGGGGUCCCGAACUGUGCGUCAAGGCGGAUGGUAACAGGAGACAAGGGACACGAUGUUUUUACCCAGGUUCGGGCCCUCUCGAUGGAGGUAAAACCCUACUCCUGCUUGAUUAAUAUUGAUGAUAUGGGUAGUACAAGAGUAGAUCUACCACGAGAUCGGAGUGGCUAAACCCUAGAAUCUAGCCUAUGGUAUGAUUGUUGUGCGUCCUACGGACUAAAACUCUCCGGUUUAUAUAGACACUGGAGAGGGCUAGGGUUACACAGAGUCGGUUACAAUUCGAGGAGAUCUUCAUAUCCUAUCGCCAAGCUUGCCUUCCACGCCAAGGAAAGUCCCAUCCGGACACGGGACGGAGUCUUCAAUCUUGUAUCUUCAUAGUCCGGGAGUCCGGCCAAAGGUCUUAGUCCGGCCAUCCGGACACCUCCUAAUCCAGGACUCCCUCAGUAGCCCGUGAACCAGGCUUCAACGACGGCGAGUUAGGCGUGCAGUUGUCUUCGGCAUUGCAAGGAGGGUUCCUCCUCCGAAUAUUUCAUAGAAGAUGUUGAACACCAGGGUAGUGUCCGGCUCUGCAAAAUAAGUUCCACAUUCCUUCGUAGAGAGAAUAAUAUUUGUAUCAAUCGGAUCUGCUGACGUAUUUCGUGGUGUGAUGUUAUGCCACAGCCAGGCUCUUUAUUCAUUUUAGUGUUCCACCUCAGCGCGUUUAGCAAGGCGGUUUCCUUGGCACGUCUUGUCAAAGCAGAGAUUAUGUCCCCUUAUUCCGGGAUUCUCAUCAAUACGUGCGUGGGUAACCCAACCGCUCCAUUAACCGCGGCACUUGGGAGAUAAGCGAGUUUUAUCAGGCCGGUGGGGGGCUCGUAGUUUUGGCCGCCCAUAUAAGGGGAUAAGGAUCCACCCUUUCCAUUCACGCCCUCUUCCUCCUCUGCUUAUCCGUCCCUGCGUGCUCGAGCUCCAGCGCCCAAGCCCGCACUUACCACCUCAACCUUCUCCAACCAUGUCGGGAGCGGGAGGUAGAUGGAUGGCCCCCUCCGUCACGAAGGGACAAAUCAAAAACCUGAGGAAGGCCGGAUACUUGUCUAACGACAUCGUGCACCGGCUCCCAGAUGCGGGGCAACUCAUCCCCACCCCCAGGCUCCAUGAGAGGGUUGUUUUUCUUCCCCAUUUCCUCCGCGGACUAGGUUUUCCUCUUCACUCGUUCGUCCGGGGGCUCAUGUUCUACUAAGGCCUGGACUUCCACGAUCUGGCCCCGAACUUCAUCCUCAAUAUCUUGGUGUUUAUCAUCGUGUGCGAGGCCUUCUUCCGCAUCCAGCCCCACUUUGGCCUAUGGCUGAAGAUCUUCAGCGUCAAGCCGAAGGUCGUGCAAGGCCGAAAGGCAGAAUGCGGAGGCGCCAUGGUGGGCAAGAUAGCCAUCGUCACCUGGCUCGAGGGUGCCUUCGUGGAAACCAUCAAAGGUUGGCAAUCUGGGUGGUUUUAUAUCACCGAGCCGCGUGACCCUAAAUGGGCAGCGACCCCUGAAUUUCGAUCCGGCAUCCCCACCCGGCUCACAUCUUGGAAAGAGACGGGCCUGUCGUGGGGCAAUCCGGAAGAGGUGACCGAACUCCAAACCUACGUCCGAGACCUAGUGACCAAGAAGGUCAAGCUUGUCAACGUGGUCCAGGUCAUGCUCUUCCGCCGGAUCCUCCCGUGUCAACGACGGGACUUCAAUUUGUGGGAGUUUGACCCGGCCCGGCACCAGACUCUAUCCAGGCUCUUCGAAACGAAGCACGAGGACGCCUGGAAGGUGCUUUUCAAGAGUUCCGAGGUCUCCCCUCCCGUCACCGAGGAUCGCGGGUUCUGCGCCAAACGUCAAGCCUCCGAAGUAAGCUUAUCUUUAGUCCCUUACAGGAUACCCGAAUUUCAUAGUGUGACUUUAUGUAGGAUCUAAACUCCCGUUCCUUUGACAGGAUUGGAAGAGGACAUCCGGACAGUUCGACUGUCCGGCCCCUUUGCCCGAAGGCCUAGUAGACACACAAUUAGCAAAGCUACUGGUUCCGGCACCCCACGUGGUGCUAGAGAAGAAGGCCAAGGAGAAGGCCACGAGGACCCGAAAGAGUUCCCGGCGCCGGUGUCGUCGGAUUUGCCCGACGUCCCCAAUGCACCCUCCGCCUCCGAAGACGAGGAGGAGGAAGAAGAAGAUGCCUCUCCCCCUCCAACGGGGGGAGGAAAGAAGAGAAUGGCCGCCCCAACUGGGGAAGCCGGAGGGUCCAAGAAGGGGAAGUCCCUUCUGCCGGACUACGCCCCCGACACCAAAGACGGCGGGGAGGACUGGCCACCCAGGGUCAAGCCCCUAGCAAAAUCGUAAGUGUCCGGCUACCCGAAUGACUUAUUGCACUCCUUUAUUAUUUGAUAGCUUCUAACACCGAAGCUAAUCAUGCAGUCCGCCCAGAGCUCAGCUUGGCGAUUCGUCGAGCGGAUCUCUGAAUUCGUCCGAUGUGAAUAGCGCUUCACUUCUGACAGCCUCCUCCCCUCUCCCUACAGAAGAUGCUAAGGUGGAGUCCCGUAGGGGACAAAACCAGGAGGAGGUGGUCCUCGAAGCACCACAAGGCGACCUUCCAGACUCCCAGCCCAAAGGGGGUAAAGCCCCGGAGGGAUCUAAGUCCGGCCCCGGGCCGGACACUGCUCCGGAACCAUCAGUGGUUCCAGAGCCCGACAGGCGGCGCCUUCACAAGAAGGGCAAGCCUGCGACGCCGGCGACUUCCGUCCACCCGAGGGCGCCGGACAAUUUGCUAGAGGCGCUUAACGGCGCCUCCAUCGACGAAGAAUACAGUACUGUUAUGAGUGCGGUGAUUCAGAAGGUUCAGUCCGCCAAGAGCGGGCUGACGGAAGCCUGCACAAGCCUGUUAACGGGCUUUGAGGUAUGUGUUCAGAAACAUAUAUAAAAAUGUUACCGCAUAGACAGUAGCCCCUGAUGCUCAGUUUGGUGUUCGAAAAAAAAACCGAACUGAGGAUCUCAAAAGAUAUACGCAGGAGUCUAAAUAGAAAUAUGUCAAUAUGGGAAUGCAUGAUGCGCUGCUGACCUCUGCUGCACUGACUGUGGAGGUCAAUGCCUUGAAGGAAAGCCUCGAGCGGUCCGAGAGCGAGCUCGGCCGUGCCAAGAAGCAGCUCGAGGAUAAAGAGGGUACAUAGUACCUCAUGUAAAUGUAUAUAGAAAUACUUGGUUGCAUAAUAAUAACAGGACCGACGUUAAUGUUGCAGGAGCCACAACCGAGGUGGCGACCCUGAAAGAGGCGGUUUCGAAGGCCGAAAAGAGUGUGGCCUUGGAGCGCACCGAGCGAGAGAAGCAGGAGGCGCGGGUGGCGGAGGUGCGGCAAGAGCUCCAGAGUCUCGUGGAAAAACACGAGAGUUUGGAGCGUGACUCGAAGACUCGAGAGUCUGAGCUUGCUUUGGCUCUUGAGAGUGCCAAGACCGCUAAGGCCGAAGCCUAGAAGGCCCUUCAGGAGAUCGAGGCGAUGAAGAAGAUAGCGGCGGGUAAGGCAUUCUUUAUGCAAAGCAAAAAUAUAAAAGUUAUUUAUCUACUACUUACCCGAAUCCGGAGCUCUCCAGGAGCGUUCACCGACCUGCCCCGUAGUGUGUCUGAUGCCGCCGCAUACUACCGAGCCAAAGAGGGGAGCUCGACGGAGAAAGUGUUCUGGUCUCAGUAUGCUGAGGCCGAACCUCCGGUGCCCCUGAGCGACCAGCUGAAGCAGCUGGUCGAGCUCCACAAGGUGGCCGAACAGGCCAUGAAGGGCCUCAUAGCUUGGCUGUGGCCUGGAGAAGUCAUGCCUGGGAGCUACUUCGGUCUGGUGAGGCGGCUGGUGGACGCGUGUCCGUGGAUUGAGGUCGUCAAGCGCUCCGAUUGUACUGAAGGUGCCGUCGGGCCCUUGCCCGUGCUAAGGUGCACUGGGGCAAGCUAGACACAGAGAAGCUAUUGACGGACGCGCCACCACCGGGCAAGGAGUAUCGGACGCACGAGAUGUAUUAUAAUGGCGUUCUGAAGGGUGCCCGCCGCAUAGCGGAUGAGUGCUCCAAAGAUGUAAUUUUUGAGUGAACUCGCAUUUGUUAUCCUGUACGCUGAAGCUUUGUUCAUAUGCGUUAAGCAACGCUUGUUAAUUUAAAAUAUUACCUUCUGUGCGGCCAUUUAUCAAAUCUGAGAGAUGCAAGUCGUCGGCUUCGACCCCCAUGCCACGAGUGCUGGGGUGUUUGGGAUAAACCUGAGCGCUCUCGUUCCCAUUCUUGGGUCCAUCUAGGGAGGCGUUUAGCACAACGAACCAGGCCGUCGGACUUAUAAUGCUUUAUCACACUCACUUAGCCAUAGAAUUCUAUAAUUUUAAAUUUCGGCGAAGCCCCUAGUAUUCGGAAGACCGAGUUUGGGGCGCUAUCCACGCAUAGGCCGGAUAAGUCCGGUUCCUCGCUCAAAGCGGCAUAAGUCUUUAAGGACUCGAAGAAACCUCGCGAACAGCGACCGGUCUCUCGCACUAUCAUGACAGUCAGUUUUAGCUUUCUCUACUGAGGUGUUAACCCAGCUCAACUGGGGCACAAUCGUAGUAGUUCUCCCAGCGCUACCUUAGCCAACAAUGCGGAACGUAAGGUACCAAAACAUGGGAGCCGGGCAAACCCAACUAUUGACCAAAGACAUGAUUCGGAGUCGAUGCAUAUAGUGCUAUAAGUUCAGGGUGCCGCACUUGUUAGAGUGUUCGGUCUUCUCACACCAUGUUGUGGGGUGUUGUAAGCCCCUGGUGUAUUAUCCGUACCAAAGUGUGCGGUUGCAUAGUGUCGGGACUGAACAUAUUUGCAUAUAAAAAUAAGUACAAUAAUAGGUAAGAGCUAUAUAUUGUUCAUUAAAAAAGGGCUGCUGCGAAAGCAGAACGAUACAAAAAGUGCGGUAAGCAAGAGAUGGGAGUAUUUGACAUAUUGCCCUUCAGGGGCAAGCUGCAGGAUUGUAAGAGAAACAUGUAUUAAACUCGUUAUAGAGACCACCUGGAUUGUUAACGUGGCUUGCUUCGUCCCUGGCUAUUGCAUCGUUGGUUCAGCGAGAGUAUUGCCGGACAGGCCUUCCGAAUAGUUGGGUCCUGAAAGUGUGUGAAAAGGAAAACGGCGAAAUAGGAAGCCCCUUAGUGCGGUUGAGGCGCAUUCUGGGCGCGCCGUUGUCGUGCCCCUCCCUUUAUGCCCAUGGUAUCUCUAAGGUGUAAUUAUGUGCGCUUGGUACCAGUGUCACCGUUUGACGGGGGGCGGGGUUGGGGCCGCACUGCUAUGCUUGCUCGGAACGUGCCAGCCGGAUUUGUUGUAGGUUACUUCGGCCUCGCUUGAUGUUGUUCGGACGUUUGGCACCUGGAUUGGAGAACUACCUUGAGAGGCUACUCUGUACUUCCGCUGCCAGGGCCACCGUGUGCUCCUCCGUUCGGAGAGAGUAUUCGGUGUUUCCGUUUACCGUGAUGACUCCGCGAGGUCCUGGCAUCUUGAGCUUGAGAUAUGCAUAGUGCGGCACCGCAUUGAUUUUGGCAAAUGCGGUUCGCCCGAGCAGGGCGUGAUAGCCGCUCUGGAAUGGGACUAUGUCGAAGAUUAACUCCUCGCUCCGGAAGUUAUCCGGGGAUCCGAAGACCACCUCGAGUGUGACCGAGCCUGUACAGUUGGCUUCUACCCCUGGAAUGACACCUUUGAAGGUUGUAUUUGUGGGUUUAAUCCUUGAAGGAUCAAUGCCCAUUUUUCGCACUGUGUCCUGGUAAAGCAUGUUCAGGCUACUGCCGCCAUCCAUUAGGACUCUGGUAAGGUGGAAUCCGUCGAUAAUUGGGUCUAGGACCAGUGUGGCGAAUCCGCCGUGACGGAUGCUGGUGGGAUGGUCCCGUCGAUCGAAGGUGAUCGGGCAGGAGGACCAUGGGUUGAACUUUGAGGCGACUAGCUCCAGCGUGUAGACGUCCUUGAUAGCACGCUACCGCUCCCUUUUGGGUAUGUGGGUUGCGUAUAUCAUAUUCAUCGUCCGAACUUGCGGGGGAAAUCCCUUCUGUCCUUUGUUAUUAGGCGGCCGGGGCCCCUCCUCGUCAACGCUAUGUAGCCCCUUGUCUCUGGUCUCGGCACUUAACUUGCCUGCCUGCUUGAACACACAACAAUCCAUGUUGGUGUGAUUGGCUGGUUGUUCGGGUGUGCCGUGUAUUUGGCACGAGCGAUCGAGUAUCCGGUCUAAGCUGGAUGGGCCCUGAGGGUUUCUUUUGAAUGGCUUCUUCCGAUGACCCGGUUUAGAGCCUUUGAAUCUGGCAUUGACUGCCGUAUCUUCAGUAUUGUCACCGUUAAUGCGGCGUUUAUGCUUGUUGCGACGUGACCUGCCAUUUUUAUCCUUGGUAUCCGAAUUGCCGGGGCUCUUGGUUAUGUUGUUGCUAUGAGCUAGCCAGGUGUCUUCUCCCGUGCAGAAGCGGGUCAUGAGUGUCGUGAGGGCUGCCAUAGACUUCGGCUUUUCCUGUCCUAGGUGCCGGGCAAGCCAUUCGUCUUGGAUGUUGUGCCUGAAGGCUGCGAGGGCCUCGGCGUCCGGACAAUCGACUAUUUGGUUUUUCUUGGUCAGGAACCGAGUCCAGAAUUGUCUGGCCCAUUCCUCUGGCUGCUGGAUUAUGUGGCUUAGGUCAUCGGCGUCUGGUGGUCGCACGUACGUGCCCUUGAAGUUGUCAAGGAAUGCGGAUUCCAGGUCCUCCCAACAACUAAUUGACUCUGCUGGCAGGCUAUUAAGCCAAUGUCGAGCUGGUCCUUUAAUCUUGAGCGGGAGGUAUUUGAUGGCGUGUAGAUCAUCACCACGGGCCAUGUGGAUGCGAAGGAGAUAAUCCUCGAUCCAUACCACAGGAUCUGUUGUGCCAUCGUAUGAUUCGAUGUUUACGGGCUUGAAGCCCUCGGGGAUUUGAUGAUCCAUUACUUUGUCUGUGAAGCAUAGUGGGUGUGCGGCGCCCCUGUACUGGGCUAUAUCGCGAUGCAGCUCGGACGAGCUUGGUCUGUUGUAUUCGUCCGGGCCAUACUUAUUAUCUCCGGCAUGACGGCUAGCAUCAUGUGAAGCGGGGCACCCAUGCGAUCCGUAGAUCGAUCUUGUUUGCCUUGCCUUAUUCUCCAAGAUGUCUCGCAGGUCUGUUGCGUCUCCCCGUACUCUGUUAUGUUUUGAGCAGUGUCGGGGGGCGGCCUGGGUUGAGGGCCUGAAGGCCUCUCUAUCGCGUCCACGGGGUGGCCUAUCGGGUGCAUCGUACGUUGGUGAUGUAGGUUUAGUUGCUUCCUCCUCAAGUUGGGGUAGCAACCUGCGCUUCGGGUAGCUCUUGGAUGGGCGUUCUAGUUUAUACUCUUCGGCCGCCAGGACUUCGGUCCAUCUGUCGGCUAGCAAGUCUUGGUCAGCUCCAAGCUGCUGCUGUUUCUUCUUGAGGCUGCUUGCCGUGGCUACGAGUCUACGUUUGAAAUGCUCUUGCUCGACGGGAUCCUCUGGCACGACGAAUUCAUCAUCGUCGAGGUUUGCCUCGUCUUCGGAGGGAGGCAUGUAAUUGUCAUCCUCAUCCUCUUUGUCGGCCGCUCUAUCAUGAGGGCUGGCUCCUUCGUCCUCCUGCACUGAAUCCUGCUGGAGGGGGUUGUCUUCGGCACUGUCCGGCGUAUUGUUAUCUCCGGUGCCGGAAUCGCCGUUUUUGCUUUGGCAGGACUUAGAGCGGCGCCGCUGACGUCGGCGCUUGGGUUGCUUCUUGGAGGGGUCAUCCUCCGUUUUCGCCUCGCCAUCCCCCGCUUUAGGGGUGUCCACCAUGUAUAUGUCAUAUGACGAGGUGGCUUUCCAGUUCCCUAUAGGCACUGGUUCUUGAUCGUCUCCUUCAUCGGCGUCCAUGCCGUCGAUGUCUUCCGAGUCGAAGUCGAGCAUGUCGGUUAAAUCGUCGACAGUGGCUACGAAGUGGGUGGUGGGUGGGCUACAAAUUUCUUCGUCGUCCGCAUCCCAACCGUGUUGGCCGUAGUCCGGCCAGGGCUCUCCUGACAAAGAGAGAGACUUUAACGAAUUCAGGAUGUUGCCGAAAGGUGAGUGCUGAAAGACAUCCGCGGCGGUGAACUCCAUGACCGGAGCCCAAUCGGGCUUAAUCGGGAGUGGUGCGGGAUUUACGGAGUCCGGAUCGGAGUCCGGCACCUUGGAGUCACUGGCCUUGCGAGGGACUAGGCUGGUAUCCGGCUCCAUCGCCGUAGAGAUUGCAGUUUCCGGGGCGGCGUCUAACCGUCCGUCCCCGACUGGCGUAGUGGGCUCCGAGUUAAGUGUCGGAGCGGACACCUGGGGGACGCUCUGGGCGUUGUCCGAUGACAGAGCUAAAUCGUGCCCAUCAUGACAGUGCGGCGCGCCCGGUUGUGGCUCGAAUCCGUCGAAGAUCAAGUCCCCGCGGACGUCGGCCGUGUAGUUUAAGCUUCCAAACCUGACAUGAUGGCCAGGGGCGUAGCUUUCGAUCUGCUCCAGAUGGCCGAACGAGUCGGCGCGCAGUGCGAAGCCGCCGACUAUGAAGAUCUGUCCGGUGAGAAAAGUCUCAUCCCGGACCGCAUCGCGAUUGACGAGCGAAGAAGCCAUCGGGCCUAAAGGCGACGACACAGAGGAACUCUCAAUGAAAGCACCAAUGUCGGUGUCAAAACCGGCGGAUCUCGAGUAGGGGGUCCCGAACUGUGCGUCUAGGCGGAUGGUAACAAAAGACAAGGGACACGAUGUUUUUACCCAGGUUCGGGCCCUCUCGAUGGAGGUAAAACCCUACUCCUGCUUGAUUAAUAUUGAUGAUAUGGGUAGUACAAGAGUAGCUCUACCACGAGAUCGGAGUUGCUAAACCCUAGAAUCUAGCCUAUGGUAUGAUUGUUGUGCGUCCUACGGACUAAAACUCUCCGGUUUAUAUAGACAUCGGAGAGGGCUAGGGUUACACAGAGUCGGUUACAAUGGGAGGAGAUCUUCAUAUCGUAUCGCCAAGCUUGGCUUCCACGCCAAGGAAAGUCCCAUCCGGACACGGGACGGAGUCUUCAAUCUUGUAUCUUCAUAGCCCGGCCAUCCGGACACCCCCUAAUCCAGGACUCCCUCAGGCACCCCGCCGAAAUUGAGCUCCCAGGUUGCGGCCCCGCUUGAAUCAACGUAGCCCUCGAACUGAAUCCUCUCAAAUAAUCAUCCAUCCACUCGAAAUGUGUGCAUUUAUUCAGGAUCUGAAAACAACAACAUGAACCCUAAAUUCAAAAUUCGUGGGGAAAAACAAAAUAUAGAGAAAUCAGAGCAAACGGCAGUGAAAGUACGGGCUAAGAACUAAGAUCUAACCUUGCCAUCCCUUCUUGCCAUUGAUUUUCUCAAGAAGUUCACAAAUUCCCGCCCAAGAUUUCCAUUGUCAUCAGUCCUACUGACUCACCGUUUCAAAGGCUCUGGGCGUGGGCAUGACGGGCACCUUGUGAGCGGCACUGGACCAUACUGACGCCAUUUUGAGUGCGUGGCGGAGGAGGUGGACAUCUGGACUAGGUCGUCGGAGAAGGGGAAGAAUGGGGAAAGGGGAAGCAAUGGGCGGCGGCGGGCGGACGGGCACGGGCGAAGGGGAGAAGAGGUGGGUCCCGAUGGCGGGCGGACGGGCACGGGCGAAGAGGUGGGUCCCGCGCCUACUGGACAAGUGAUGGGUCCCGUGCUUACAUGGAUAAGUUGUGGGUCCAGCCCAUAACAGCUAAUGCGGGCAUCAGUUCAGCUUAAGGGCCAUGUCGUGUCUGGGCUAUUUACUAUUUCAAAAGUGUCGCACCAAAGCCAUUCCGUCGAACAACGUCUCACUUCUUCCAAUUCCCACGAAAGAUAUCGCACAUGAGCUAUUCGCCCCAUAUAUAAUAUAUGCCAUUGUAAAAUAUCCUUCACCACCACUAACCAACCAGAAUGACCUGACAAACUGAGUAUGCAAUCUAAUUCCUUAAAUUUGCUUCAGUAGAUGCAGAUGUUCUCAUCAAUAGUUUUACUGUUGUUAACAGGAUGUAGCACAGUUCAUCCUGUACCAUUGAAUAUCAUUGCUGGGUACCAGUUUAGAUGGCCAGACUCUUCAACAUAAACCUGAACGAAUCAUUCCAGAAUCGAAGCCAUGUCCUUAACCAAGGAACAUCAAAUAGCUAUACCAGUCCCAAAGUAUGCCGAUAUUUCAGUGACUUAACAGAUCAACUGGAAAUUAAUCCUACCAUUUGGUAUCUCAGUUGAGCCUUCUGCAACCCCAUUUUGUAUGGUUUUUCAUAGCUGGGGCUACACGAUACCCCUUAUCACAACCUUCCAUUUGUUCCCACGUUUCAUGUGGAUAUGUGCAGCGAGCUGUUGGCGCGAGGCUCUUAAUCCUUAAUCGUCUGCCCCGAAGCCUACCAAUUUUGAAUUUUGGACGGGCCUAGUAGGCCACUGUUCACGACAUGACCCGACGUAUGUGCAGCUACCUCGGUCUUGCCUGCUCGCCGCUUUUUAGCACCAUCGACGCGUGUAUUCCCGUGCGUUCCAUCAGACAACUCAUUUCUCUUUGUUCUCUCUUCUGGUCUACUGUUGCAACCAGUUUCUUUCCUGUAUGCUUGAGACCAAACACUAAUAAAGGUGAUGAAGUAAUGGAGGAAUCACAUUUAAUCAGCAGAAGAAAACAGUGAGAGCUCGUGCAAAUUGCGAAGUAACCGCACCCCAAAAAAACAAAACAAGCAUGUCAAUGGAAGAAAUGGUUAAUAACAAAUACUACCAUGAUGAUUUUCUAAAAUCACAAUAAAGCAUAUAGAUUUUGUAUUAAUCCAAAACAUUUCAAAAAAUCCAGAACAUCUCUUCCUUAAAAUCUGAAAUCAGUAGUACUAGUAUUUAAUAGUAUGGGGUGGUCUUUGAUUCUUCAAUGCACAUGGGACAAAGGAGUGGAGAUAAAAAGAUUAUUCAUGCAAACCUCUCUCUGACUCUCUCACGGGGAGAGCACAGGUUGAAGAAAGAUUCCUGCAUGCAAACCUCUCUCUGACUCCGUCAGACUCUGGUUCUCUUUCGGUCACACUUCUCUCUCGGGACACACAGAAACAACCGCAAGCAAACAAAAUCACUGCACACGCCUGAAAAUAGCUCCUGCUAAUGACGCUGCGCGGUCAGAAUGUGGGCACAUGAUGCUCCCAGUGGCACAGAUCACGACCCGUACAGACGGUAAGGAUAGAAGGUACCCUGGAGCUCGAGCUAGCCUACAACUUUCCGUUUUGUAUAUGCCAAAGCAAAAAAUGGCGUUCAUCUGCUUCUUUGUCAGCCUAAACAAGUGGUGAUGCGGGCAAAACCAAGAGUUAUUUACAUGUUCAAAUGACCAUCCUUUGAUAUUGAGCACCAUAUCAAAUGUAACUUUUAGAAAGCACCAAGAACAAAUGUCUUACGUAUUGUAUCAGCUGGAAAGAUUCCUCUGUAGCCAAGAAUGUCAAGCCGAGGAUCUUUGAGCCACUGCCAACCGUGACCGUUCCCUUGUGCAGAUGACUCAGCAGCAUGGUCACUACCUUGUCCCCAUCCAAUGGAUUGAGCCUCGGGUUCUUGAGUGGAAGGUCCAGCAUGUGCCACAUCGCUUCCAAAUCCUUGCCAGCACAAAAAACUCCUCGCUUACAUUAUCUAUCUCAAGCUUGCUUCUUAGCCGAUACCUGCAAAAUGGACAAAAAAAUUGCCAGGCCGUAAGAGAUUCAACUGGACCCUGAAUCUUUGGAAAGCUAUAACGGAAGUACUAAACGACAAAAAUAAGCAUCCCAAUUCUCAUAUCCAUACCACAGUCAAGAACAACCCCAAAAAAUGAACUUGCUUUCAAUCAAGUAGUUUUCUGCAAAUGGCACCUUCAAUGUAGUGGUUUUCUACAAUUAACUCAUUAUUUUAUGUUUUGUAACCUAUCGGUUGAAAUAUAUUUCGUCUCCCCCAAUGCAACAGAACUUGAUUUAUGCUAAAUACAUAUGUUGCAUACACACCAUGCCGGUUAAAAUAUUUUCUGAAAACAUAUGUGAUUGAAAAUAUCUGCCCAUUUCCCCAACAUGGGCCCCGCGUGCACAUGCUUAUACUAAAUACAUAUAUGAUGUAUACAUGGGGGUGUUCAAAUCUCCAUGAAAUUAAUGCUCCAGCCGUCGAGAUCCUUGGAACAGGUGUCCAGUGUCACAAUGCCAAACUGCAUGAAGCAUCCAUGUCAUGGUUGUUGCACCAUAUAUAGUGAUCUUAUUUAUACAAUUGAAGAAAAAUCAUGUGCAUCGUUCUCAAAGAAAGAAGCCAGUUUGUGUAUUUUAGCCAAGCUACGAGUAUAGAUAUCAGUCUUGGUAGGUUCAUAUCAGCAUGCCACACACGUAACAUACGAAACUUCUGCACUUAUUUAGAACUGAAACUGUUUUUGCCAUGCCAAUAAAACCCAUUGGUAUCAUAGGAUUAGGAAGCAUCAGGAUUUGCGAUUAUGCCUACCUAGUUUCAGUUUUCGGUGGUAAAACAUGGAGAAGUCCAUCCUAACCCUCUAAUGAAGGAAUAACAAGAUAACCAAGCACUAAUGAUGCAAGCAGUGAAUGCGGAAGGGCACACAUAAUUAAAGAAGUAUACACGAGUAGCGCUCAACCAGACAAACGGACAUCACUGUGAUGCCCAGCUUGAGGUGUAGUGGUGGGGUUAUUGAUAAAUUUCCCAAAUAUGUGGCCACUCGCCAUGGCGAAAGGCGCAAACUUGGAUGUUUGUUUAAGAAAAUUACAAUCUGAAGCUAACGAGUAGCACUAUAGGACGGCAUGUGUCUCUCUGACCUUGGAUGUGCAGCGCUGACAAAUCACGUUGAAGUAUUGUUUCGGUGCAGUGCAAUAGAAGCUAAUUAAGCACUAACAAAUCAAUAUAUGAUUAUGGUAAUUGUGAAUGCGACUUUCUGCAUGACUUGUCACAAUAGAGAAUAUCAUAAAUGUUACGACAUUAAAGCAUCUGUUUUGACUAUUCAAGACAAAAAGAACAUUUUGUAAGGGGCAAACUGUAAAUGGGGUAUCUAAUAUGAGUGUGAAUUUUGUGCACCGUGACUUAUACUCCACAAAUCACAUAUACAAGUGAAGGUAUUAAACACGAAAUUAGACCCAACAACUGAUACAUCAUAUAACACGGUAUCUUUGCUACACUCUAUGAACUACCUCUCUUAAUAUUGGCACCUUCCUGAAAGAUUUGACGCACCAACCCUUUGGGUUUUGCCUCUAUAAAUUCAAAAGAAUUUCAGUACAAUGGAUGUUUUGGACCAAGUUCUCAAAGUUCAAAGGAUCAAACCACAGCCCUCUAUUGUUCUAAGACCUGUGUCCACUCAGCCGACCACCAACCUGGCUUAAUCACCUUCACCAUCACAUCCCUUUCGCUAAUGGCGCAGUAUGAUGAGCUUUGCUUCCGUGCUUCUUCAAGCCGCAACAAACAAAUACUGCGACUGCCGAGAAUGGUGACAGUAUGGACCAUUCCGCGAAUGUGGUAGUCAGAACGGGUAAUUGCAUAAUUUUGCACGAAACCGAUGCCUUUUGUCAUUUUCAUCUGCGUACUCUAAGGGCAUUAGACACUUCCCUAUAACACCAAAGUAGUGUGUGCGCACGAAAAUCCCCCGACCAGUAUAGCACCCCGUCUAAAUGAAUAGCAUUCAGGCUCACAUUGGAAUUGCUCCUCUUCUAAUCGAAUCAGAUCUGUUCUGGCACCAUGGUCGGUAGCCAAGUGGCAAGGACUUCUCACCCCACGUGCUUCUAGUUCUAGGUCCCAGUAAGAUCGGGGCCAGAUUAUCCAUUGUAAUUCUGAUGAGUAAAUAUAACUCUUUUGUGGUUGAAUAAAUUCAUUGAAAAAGAAAAAACUCACUUAAUAACUAUUUUUCUUUGGCGAGAUUUACUGAAACUAUCCUUAUAGCCAUACUGUGUUAUUAAGUGAAGCGAAAAAUGUAUUCCAACUUUGUUAUGUACGUCCUCUUCGUCCAUUCACAUGACUUAUUCAAUGGCCCGACUUGAUAUGGUGAACGUGAAUGCCAUCUUGGAAGGUGAUCAUCUAAGGAACACUGUGAGCUUGAAUUGAAUUAUUAAAACUUCUAUCAGGAAGUUGUACCAUGUGCUCUUUAUGACAAUGUUGAAUAGCUCAAAAUCAUCAAUGUCAUGGUUGUUGCAUCAUACAAUAACCAGACAUUAAUGUAAUGGUGUUCCUAAUUUUCUAAGGGUGGGAGGAGAGAUAAAACAUGCUCAUAUAUACUAGUUUGCAACCUGUGUGGGCUAGGAGUAGAGCUCGGCUGUUGCUAGGUGGAAGAUGCUCAUAUAUAGUUUGCGAAGAAGCCAUCAAACCAUCUGCAUACCUGCGCGGGCAAGGAGUAGAGCUCAGUCUUUGCUUGUAAUACCAGAAAUGUAAUGUACAUAAGUUCUGCACUUAGUUAGAAUUGGAAUCGCACUUGUCAUGCCACCAAAACCUACUGACACUAGUAGAAAACGGGGCAUACGUUCGGGCCACAUAGGCCCAUUAGUCCCGGUUCAGUCACGAACCGGGACCCAUGGGGGCAUUGGUCCCAGUUCGUGAGGCUAGGGGCCCGCGGGCCUCGUGGGGGCAUUUGUCCCGGUUCAUCUGGCCCCUUUGGUCCCGGUUGGUGGGACGAACCGAGACCAAUGGGCCUCGCUCCUGGCCCACCACCAUUGGCCCCAGUUGGUGUCUUGAACCGGGACCAAAGGUUGCCCUUUAGUCCCGGUUCCAGCCACGAACCGGGACCAAUGAGAUGCCUAUAUAUACCCCUCGCCCCCGAGCAGAGCAGUGGAGUGCUCUGUUUUUUCUGGCCGUUGAGGGGAGGGUUUUGUGGUGCUCUAGCUCACCUGCUAUGCACAUGAGCUGUUUGAUGGACUGCCCGAGCCACACUACAUAUGCUUUCUCCUCUCCAAACUCGACCUCCAAGCUCCAUUUUCCUCAAUAUUUAUCUAGAUUUAGCGGUCCUUCACGUCCCGUCCCUGUCUUCACCGUCGUCGAUCGCCCGUGUCGAUCUCGUCGCCGGCAACACAAUGGUGAGCCUCUUGUUCUUAUCUUCUUUGUGAAAGGAAAAAUUCUUACUUGUAUGUUUAAAUAGAUACUUGUAUAAUUUUCUUACUUUUAUUAUUGCUUCUUAUUAUUUAGUGCGAUGGUUUUGGUAUCCGCCCUCGUCGGCCCUCGUCCUGUCUAUGAUUUGGAUGUGGUAUAUAUUAUCUUUAUAACUAUUUGGUUCAUUUAUUGUUUAUGACAAUUAUGCCGACCAACGUGACAUAGAUUUUAUUUAUCUAGGAGGUAUGUGAACCGGAAAUUCCAACCGACCCUAUGUCGAGAGGUUAAAUUUAGUUGAAGAAGAAAAUAAUUUCUUGAAGGAAAAAAUAAAAAAAUUGAGGAGGAGAAGGUGAUAUGGGAGUUGCAUGUUGCAGAUGUCGUCAAUGAUCACAAGAUCAAGAUGGAUGCAAUGAGCUUGAAGAUUAGAAUGAUUAGAAGAUAUGCCAUUUGUACCGAGCCAUGGUAUCAUUAUGUCGUUGGAUCAAUUGUUACCUUGGUUGCGAUUAUGAUCGCAUUUGUUUUCGCAUUGAAAUGUUUUACAUAGUUUCAAUGUAUGGUUUAAUUAAUUAGAUGCUCUGGAAAGCUAUAUGUUGUUCAACGAGAACUAUGUAUGUACUUUGGUUUUAAUGUGAUGAUGAACUUAUAUUAAUUUGGUCACUUAAUUAUCUAUUCAUGAUGUUCUGUAAUGGUUUUUUUGACACACUUAAUUAUAUAUAAUGCACGCAGAUGAACCAAGGGAUACCACGCAUGCACGCACUAUUUAGAUGACACCGAAAGUAUAUACUUGGACAAAAGCAGGAAGAAUGUUUACCUGGGGCAUCGUCGAUUCCUUUCGACCAACUAUCAAUGUCGAAAGAAAGGCAAGCACUUUAAAGGCGAGGCAGAUCACUGGAAGAAGCCCGCCAUGCAUACCAGUGAUCACAUACUUGCUAUGGUCAAUGAUUUAAAAGUAAUCUUCGGAAAGGGUCCCGACAGACUAUCUGUUCCAAAAAACGCUGAGGGACACGCACCCAUGUGGAAGAAGAAAUCUAUAUUUUGAGAUCUACCCUACUGGAAAGACCUAGAGGUCCACUCUUCAAUCGAUGUGAUGCACGUGACGAAGAACCUUUGCGUGAACCUGCUAGGCUUCUUGGGCGUGUAUGGGAAGACAAAAGAUACACCAGAAGCACAGGAGGACCUGCAAUGUUUGCACGAAAAAGACGGCAUGCCUCCAAAGCAGUAUUAAGGUCCUCCCAUCUAUGCUCUUACUAAAGAAGAGAAGGAAAUCUUCUUUGAAUGCCUGAUCAGUAUGAAGGUCCCGUCUGGCUACGCAUCGAAUAUGAAGGGAAUAAUAAAUAUGCCAGAGAAAAAGUUCCAGAACCUAAAGUCUCAUGAUCGCCACCUGAUUAUGACGUAACUGCUUCCGGUUGCAUUGAGGGGGCUUCUACCGGGAAACGUUCGAUUAGCCAUUGUGAAGUUAUAUUCAUUCCUCAAUCCAAUCUCUAAGAAGGUGAUCGAUCCAUAAAUCCUAUCAAGGUUAAGAAGUGAUGUGGCGCAAUGUCUUGUUAGUUUCAAGCUGGUGUUCCCACCAUCCUUCUUCAAUAUCAUGACGCACGUCCUAGUUCAUCUAGUCGACGAGAUUGUCGUUUUGGGCCCUGUAUUUCUACACAAUAUGUUCCCCUUUGAGAGGUUCAUGGGAGUCCUCAAGAAAUAUGUCCAUACCGUGCUAGGCUAGAAGGAAGCAUCUCCAUGGGCCAUCAAAUAGUGGAAGUCAUUGGAUUUUGUGUUGACUUCAUUCCUGACCUUAAGAAGAUAGGUCUCCCUCAAUUGCGGUACGAGGAGAGACUGGAUGGAAAAGGCACGCUAGGAGGGGACUCAAUAGUAUGUAGGGACGGGCAUUUUUGGUCUCAAACACACUACACGGUUCUACAAAAUUCUACCUUGGUGACUCCGUAUGUCGAUAAACACAAGAACAUUCUGCGCUCCAAACACCCAGACCAGUGUGACGACUGAAUUACAUGUGAACACAUCAGGAGUUUCGGUAUUUGGUUCCAAACACAUCUCAGGUGUGACAACACUGUUUCUGAUGACCUAUACUCGUUGGCGAGGGAACCAUCUUCGACUAUAAUGACUUACAAAGGGUACGAGAUAAAUGGGAAUACAUUCACGAUCGCCCAAGAUCAAAAGAGCACCAACCAAAACAGUGGUGUUCGAUUUGAUGCAGCAAUCGAGAGGGGAAAGGACGCAUAUUAUGGUUACAUAGUGGACAUAUGGGAACUUGACUAUGGAUAUUAUGUUAAGGUCCCUUUGUUUAAGUGCAAAUGGGUCAAUUUGUCAGGAGGCGGGGUCCAGGUAGACACACAGUACGGAAUGGCAUCAGUGGAUCUGAACAAUCUGGGGUACACAGACGAGCCAUUCGUCCUAGCCAAUGAUGUGGCGCAGGUUUUCUAUGUGAAGGACAUGUCUACCAAACCGAGAAAAUAAAAGAUAAGGAAGCGGAUACAUCAUACGAUGAGCCAAAGUGCCAAAUAGAUCUUUCAGGAAAAAUAGACAUCAUGAGAUUGGAGGGCAAGACAGACGUGUCAGAAGAUUAUGAAAAGUGACGGCGCAAUAAGCAAAGAUCAUCAAAUUCAUCCCUUCAUAGUCAAGGCUGACCCAAGCACCCUGUUAAACAAUGAAGAUUACCCAUGGUUACGACGCAAUAAGCAAAGAACACAAGAGAAGAAAAGGUGAAUACUUUCUAUCAACAACUAUUAUGAUGAUGCCUUUGAUGUAGAAUAUCACUAGAGUUACAUUUGAACAAAUAAAUUCCUUUGUAACAGAUGAGUUUUCCUCCGAAACCCUGAUACUUCCAAAGAGAUUGUCUAUUUUGUACAUGCACUAGUAGAAAACAGGGCUUUGGUCCAGGCCGGGUUAGCCCAUUAGUCUCGGUUCAGUCAUGAACCAGGACUAAUGUGAGCAUUGGUCCCAGUUCAUGCGGCAAAGGCAUUAGUCCCGGUUCAAAUGGGACCUUUAGUCCCGGUUGGUGCCACGAACCGGUACUAAUGGGUGUGAUGCCCAUUAGUACCGGUUCGUGGCACGAACCGGUAUUAAAGGUUAGAACUUUAGUACCGGUUCGGGCCACGAACCGGUACUAAUGGGUUUGAGGCAUUAGUACCGGUUCGUGGCACGAACCGGUACUAAAGGUCCCAUUUUCAAACUGUACCCCCCCCCCUGUGGAUCGCCUUUUCAGUUUUGUAAAAAGCAAAAGAAAAUGAUCAAAACAUCAAAAAUUAAAAUCCUUCGAGAUGUAGUUAUGUUACUACAUCUAUUAGUUAGGAAAAUUUAAAAACUUAAAUUUGGACAUGUUUUGCAAAAAGUGUAGGGAAAAUGUAAAACGGCUAUAACUUUUGCAUACUAUGUCAGAAAAAAAUGUAUAAUAUAUCAAAAUAUUCAGCACAAAAAUCCGCAUCUAAUUUUGACUGCCUACGGCCUGUUUGCAAAUUUUAGAAUUCUCAAAUUCUAAAAGGAGAAAAAGUUAUGCUCAAAUUUCUGUUUUUUUUAUUUUUUUAAAUUUUUUUGUUAAAUCUGGUCAAACUUUGGUCAAACGACUUAUUCAAGAAGUAUUAGUGUUACUAAAUAAUUAUUCAAGAAUAUUAGUGUUACUAAAUAAUUAUUUCAGUUUUUUUGAAUUUUGGUCAAAUCUGGUCAAACUGUGGUCAAACAAUGGUCAAACUACUUAUUCAAGAAAUAUUAGUGUUACUAAAUAAUUAUUUCAGUGUUUUUGAAUUUUGGUCAAAUAUGGUCAAACUGUGGUCAAACUGUGGUCAAACUAUGGUCAAACUAUGGUCAAACUACUUAUUCAAGAAAUAUUAGUGUUACUAAAUAAUUAUUUUAGUGUUUUAGAAUUUUGGUCAAAUCUGGUCAAACUAUGGUCAAACUGUGGUCAAACUAUGGUCAAACUACUUAUUCAAGAAAUAUAAGUGUGACUUCAUGCUGAAGCUAAAUUCAUGAGGGUUAAUAGGAUUGACAUCUUACUAUUGUCAAGAAAACAACAAGUGCAGACUUGGAAACGAGGGAGAAUAGAACCCGGAAGUUAAGCGUGCUCAGGCUGGAGUAGUGAGAUGGGUGACCGUCCGGGAAGUUAGAUGAUUUGGAAUGAUGAGGGGUGAUUAGAGAUUAGAGGUUAAAUUGAGCAGUGAUGAGGGUGAUUAGAGAUUAGAGGUUAAAAUAAUUUAGAAAUUUUCAAAAAAGAAAAUUUUCAAAAAAAAUCAUAAUAUUUCCUUUAGUACCUGUUGGUGUUACCAACCGGGACUAAAGGUGGACCUCCAGGCAGCGGCCACGUGGACGGCCUUUAGUGCCGGUUCGUGUAAGAACCGGGACUAAAGGGGGAGGCUUUAGUAACGACCCUUUAGUCCCGGUUCCAAAACUGGGACUAAAGUCCCUUAUGAACCGGGACAAUAGGCCCUAUUUGUACUAGUGAUGAAGUGCAUCCAGUUUUUGUCGUAACCCUCUCAACUUUUUAGUACAUGCUAUAUGGGUGAAAUGAUGAUACCAUGCCAACUCUCAACCUUUUCACUGUUCAUUUGAAAUGAUUUUCAAUUUCAGGGAUCAACCAAAAAGCUUUUAUAACCUCUGGUAUUAUUGAAACUAAAAUUAUAUAAAAUUUAUGCAACUAAAAUUAUCAAAUUAUUUUAUGUUCAAAACAUUAAAAGCAAAAAGAAUUUUCAUAAAAUAAAUAAAAAGCAAAAAAUAAAAGAAAANNNNNNNNNNNNNNNNNNNNNNNNNNNNNNNNNNNNNNNNNNNNNNNNNNNNNNNNNNNNNNNNNNNNNNNNNNNNNNNNNNNNNNNNNNNNNNNNNNNNNNNNNNNNNNNNNNNNNNNNNNNNNNNNNNNNNNNNNNNNNNNNNNNNNNNNNNNNNNNNNNNNNNNNNNNNNNNNNNNNNNNNNNNNNNNNNNNNNNNNNNNNNNNNNNNNNNNNNNNNNNNNNNNNNNNNNNNNNNNNNNNNNNNNNNNNNNNNNNNNNNNNNNNNNNNNNNNNNNNNNNNNNNNNNNNNNNNNNNNNNNNNNNNNNNNNNNNNNNNNNNNNNNNNNNNNNNNNNNNNNNNNNNNNNNNNNNNNNNNNNNNNUAAUAAAGUAAAAUAAAUAAAUUUUAGUAAAAUAAAUAAAAAUUGCAACAGUAACUAGAAAAAAAAAUAAAGCAAAAAUAAAGUGCCACCUACUAGGCCACCACGGCCUGAAUACGAUAGAAACCCAAUCAUGGGCUAGGAUUCAGGCCCGCAGCAGGCCCAGUAGGCCCACAUGCAAACAAAUGACAGGUUAGGCCCGAAAGCCUACAGUUGAGAGGAUCUCGAGAGGGUGGGCACAGCAGCGCUUAUAAACCACUCUCGAGCUCUGUCAACUAGCGAGGUGGGACUAAACUUUUGACGGGGGCACAGCAGCACAAGGCCUGUGGUCCUGGUUGGUGGCACCAACUGGGACUAAAGGGGGGCAUUGGUCCCGGUUGGUACCACGAACCGGUACUAAUGCACCCCUUUAUUCCCGGUUGGUGCCACCAACCGGGACCAAAGGCAUCUGUUUCGCGCCCUUUGGGCUGCUGAAAAGAGACCUUUGGUCCUGGUCGGUGGCACCAACCGGGACUAAAGGGGGUCAUUGGUCCCGGUUGGUGCCACGAACCGGGACCAAUGGCUAUGCUAUAUAAGAAAACACUUAGCACUUUUUCGUUUUCAUCUCUGCAUUUGCCCGACGACGACGGCAGGUUGCCCGAUCGCCCCGUCAACGCCGUCGUCGCCCCCGUCGCAGCCUGCGCCCCACGCCGCCCCGACGUCGUCGCUGCGCGCCACCCUGAUGUCGUCGCCGCCCCGCGCCGCCCCGACCCACCGCUGCCCCGACGUCGUCACCGCACCGCCCCACGGUCCGGCGGCUUUUUUUUCAUAUAUGUGAUGAUAUCUUGUUUUUUCAUAUAUGUGAUGACAUGUUGUUUUUUUCAUAUAUGUGAUGAUAUGUUAUUUUUUUCAUAUAUGUGAUGAUAUGUUGUUUUUUUCAUAUGAUGUUUUUUUUGUGCAUAUGAUUUUUUUUCAUAUAAUGUUUUUUUUCAUAUAUGUAUUAAUUUUUUAUUUAGGUUGUUAAUUAGUACAUAUUGAUUUUAGGUUAGUGCAUUUUAGGUUAGUGUGGAGGAAAAUAAGAAGAGGAAGAAGGAGAAGAAAAAGGAUAAGAAGAGGAGAGGAAGAAGAGGAGGAGAAAUAAAGAAGAAGAGAGAAAAAAGAAAAAAAAGAGGAGAAGAAGAAAGGAAUAGAAGAGAAAAAGAAAAAAAUAGUGUAAUUUCUAUUUUUUUUCUUCACCUCUAUUCCUUUCUUCUUCUCCACUUUUUUUUCUUCUUUUUUUUUCUUCGAUCUUCUCUUCUCUCUAUUCCUUUCUUCUACUCCUCUUUUUUUCUUCUUCUUACUCUUCUUAUUUUUUAUCUGGUGUGUCGUUGUCGAUAUACCACCUCCCCAAUAACUUCACAUGAGGGGGGUCGAUAUACCCCCUCACCGAUAACUUUGACAUGAGGAGGGGGAGGGGGUCGAGGGUUGAGGGUUCGAGGGUUCUAGGGUCGAGGGUUCUAGGGUCGAGGGUUCGAGGGUCGAGUGUCGUCGAGGUGCCGAGGGUUCGAGGGUCGAGGGUCAUCGAGGGGUCGAGGGUUCGAGGGUCGAGGAUCGCCGAGGGGUCAAGAGGUUGCCUAGUUUCAAAGUAUUGAAGAAAUCCAUGGCUUCAUCAUUAGCUGGAAGUAACCGGGGCAUGAUGGUACGAAGUUCUCCAAAGUUAUUCUGGAACGGAGUCCCGGAUAGGAUAUAUAAGAUAUAAGAUAUGAUAUGGAGAUAAAUAAUAGCAUUUAUUAUUGCCUCUAGGGCAUAUCUCCUACACAUGUGCCACCUGCAGAGCCGCAUCAAACCCGGUCUGUUGAUGGAGGGGAUGUCCCAUAUAGUCACAAGCCUCGGAAAGGCAGUCGCGAGCUCGAGAUCCAGCCUCGAGUCGUACUCACAAUCCCGGAGUCUGCCACUAUCAAAGAAGAAGGGCCGCCACCCAAUUUCGUGUGCUACAUGGAUCACCCACCACUGCGCCAGCCGAUGUCGUCGCCUAUACAACGGCAACCGACGGCGCGGCCAUCAAAGCAGGGCACUAGGUCCCGAAUCCCUUGCUCGCCGCCUCAAGGUCAGCCAUGCUCGACCUACUAUCGUGUGGACGAGCGGGCCGCCGCCAGAUCCGCCGCCCCGGAAUCCACAAGCCCGCCUUGUCCACCCGCCAUGAUCAUCCCCCUUACGGGAAGAUGACCAGGAUGGAGGCUGCAUACUCCUCAUGACCAAGGAUGCCGCCCCGGCUACUGCGCCUGGCUAACUCUGCUGACGCCACCCCAACUGCCCCUAGGAUUUUUCGCCGCAUCCAUUCGAUCCCCAGCACCUUCUGCACUAAGGAACGUACGUUAUCGGUCAAAGGAUCUAAUAUAUAUGUUCCCAUUUUGUGUACACACUUAGCCAUUAUGCAUUGGUCAAAUGAUGUAAUAUACACUACAAAAAAAAGACACAUCCGUGACAUUUUGGGCCGAACGAAUUUUUUUCUGUCAUACAUAUGACACUUCUAUGACGAUAGUUGUGACAAAAAAUGGGCUUUUCGUAGAUGUGGUGGGCUCCUACUUCUAUGACAAAAAAUUAGGACAAAAAAUGGGCUUUUCGUCUUGGGUGGGACGGAGACGCAGCUGCAUGACAUUCUUUGGGCCGUCCAUGACGGAAAAAACCAUGGUAGAAGCGAGGGGGAGGAAAAUUUUGGGGAGUUGCCGGUUACGGUGGGAGGUCGGGGGCGGAGCAAUGCGCGUUUCUCUCGUACGUACGCGCGUGUGUGCGAGGCGUUGGCUCUAACUGAACCUGAGCGAGGCAUUGGGCUCUAACUGAACCCGAGCGAUUGCACUGCAGGCUACGCGUUACUGAACCCGAGCGAUCGAUCGAUGGCUGUUAACUGAACACGAUGGAGCGAUUCCUUCGCUACUGCUGCUAACUGAAGCCGAUCGCUGCUGCCUCUNNNNNNNNNNNNNNNNNNNNNNNNNNNNNNNNNNNNNNNNNNNNNNNNNNNNNNNNNNNNNNNNNNNNNNNNNNNNNNNNNNNNNNNNNNNNNNNNNNNNNNNNNNNNNNNNNNNNNNNNNNNNNNNNNNNNNNNNNNNNNNNNNNNNNNNNNNNNNNNNNNNNNNNNNNNNNNNNNNNNNNNNNNNNNNNNNNNNNNNNNNNNNNNNNNNNNNNNNNNNNNNNNNNNNNNNNNNNNNNNNNNNNNNNNNNNNNNNNNNNNNNNNNNNNNNNNNNNNNNNNNNNNNNNNNNNNNNNNNNNNNNNNNNNNNNNNNNNNNNNNNNNNNNNCAGUGAGCGGUGGCGUUGCCUCUGGAUGAACAGGAACCCGUGGUGUGGAGGGCUGGAUGAACAGUAGACGGUGGAGGGGUGGCCGUGGAGGGGUGGUUGAACAGGACCCCGUGGUGUGGUGGGCUGGAUGAACAGUAGACGAUGGAGGGGUGCCCGUGGAGGGGUGGUUGAAUAGUAGCCGGUGGAGUAGCGUGCAGUGGAGGCUGGAUGAACAGGAUCCCGUGGAGGCUAGAGGAGGUCGACGGUGCAGAUGAACAGUAUCCCGUGGAGUCCCGUUUUGCGGUACGCCACACCCCUCCCGAUGAACAGGACCCCCGUUUCGAUUGUAACGCUCCAACACAAGUCUGUUUCGUCCGUUUUGCGGUACGCCACACCGCUCCCGAUCAACAGGACUCCCGUUUCGACCGUAGCGCUCCAACACAAGGCCGUUUCGUUCAUUUUGCGUUACGCCACACCCCUCCCGAUCAACAGGACCCCCGUUUCGACCGUAGGAGGUCCGUUUCAUCCGUUUUGCGGUACGCCAGGCCCCUCCCGAUCAACUGGACCCCAUUUCGAACGUGGCCGGUCGAACACAAGGCCGUUUCCUCCGUUGUUCGGUACGGCAUGCCUCGUUUUCAUCGCCUGUUCCUUCCAAGCCCUCCCGAUGAACACGACCACGCAUUCCGUUCCGACCCAACCGGUUGGCUCCCCAUGAACACGACGACGACGCUGUUUCUCCGUUCCGACCCACCCAUGUACAUAUGCGCGAGUAGGCGUUCGAGACCCUGCCCGUAUGUACGUAUGUGACCGUAUUUUCUUUCUUGCACCCUCGUCGAUGUACGUACAUGUACAUGCUACGUGCGCGCCUCUACUAUGACACGUGCGCGCCUCUACAUCUACGACAUGUGCGCGCCUCUACAUCGACCAGUAUGUACGUACACAGAAUGACAACGCUACGUACGCUUCGACCAGGUGGGUCCCGAGUGUCAGGCACUUCCUUGCGUGCGAAGAUGUAGAUGGUGGGUCCCAACGGUCAGGGGGGCGAAUCGUUUUUUACUCAGACGCACUUCCUUGCGCGCGAAGGUGUAGCUAGUGGAUCCCAACAGUCAGGGGGAAACAUUUUUUUCGCGAAAUAUGGUGGCCCGUCCGGUGGGUCCCCACUGUCAGGUGGAGGAAUAAUUAUUUUGCGCGUAAUAAGGAGGCACUUCCUUGCUGCGGCCGUGGACCUAGCUGCCAGCCUCUCCACGUACAGUCCAUGUCCGAUGGAAGCCGUUCCUUGACCACGUUGACCACGCCGUGGCGAGAGCACCAGGGCCGCAGGGCGGUGGACGACGACGAUGCCUAGGAAGGGGACGACGCGGAGCCGGGGAAGACGCGGCAGUGGAUGCCCACGCGUAGAGUAGUACGAGGGUUCACUGGUUCGCUGCGGUGUGAGGCUGCCGUCGCCGCAGAAUAACAGGCGGUGUGGGUGAGUAGAGGGAUGACCUGGCCAGCGGUGGGAGUAGUAGGGGGCGGUGAGGCCUCUGCCGCAUCGCAGCCGGCCGCGGGAGGCAGGAGCACGAGGCACGACCGACGCUGGUUUGGGCGGCUGGAGCAAGAACACAAGAGGUUGAAGAAGCACUACGGUCGUUGGAUGGACAUCGUACGGUCACUGGAGCUAGAAUCGUGCAUAUUGACUAAGUUGACAAAGGCCUCCGUCCCCGUCAACUUAGUAGGCCCACAAGUCAUCCUGCCACUAUACUGGGUCCCAGCUAACAGGGGGAGUAUUCAUUUUUUUGUGCGUAAUAAGGAGGCACUUCCUUGCAUGCGAAGAUAUAGCUGGUGGGUCCGAGCUGUCAGCAGCGGUAACAUUUUUUUUGCGAAAUACUGAGACCCUUUCGGUGGGUCCCCGAUGUUAGGUGGAGGAAUCAUUAUUUUGCACAUAAUAAGGAGGCAUUUCCUUGUGUGCGGCCGUGGACCCAACUGUCGGCCUCUCGACGUACAGUCCACUUUAGAUGCAUGUCGGUCGUUGACCACGUUGACCAGGCCGUGCCGAGAGCACCAGGGUGGUGGACGACGGUGAGGCCUAGGAAGGGAACGACACAGAGGCAGGGAAGACUCCGCAGUUGUUUCCCACGCGGAGGGGAGUACGACUGAACGAGGGUUUACUGGUUCGUUUGCCGUCGCCGGAGAAUAACAGCAGGUGUGGGUGAGUAGAGGGAUGGCUAGGCCAGCGAUGGGAGUACGGUGGGGCGGUGAGGCCUGCGCGGCAGCACAGCCGGCCGCGGGGAGGAGGGAGCGGGCAGUCACGCCGGCGCUUGUUUGAGUGGCUGGAGGAGGAAGAGCAGAGAUUGAAGAAGCACGACGGCCGUUGGAUGGCCAUCCAACAGUCACUGCUUGUGCGUCAACCUUUUUUUUGGAAAGCCUCAAAUCUGUGGAAAAUAACAUACAACCCAUCUACCAUUAUUUCUAAUAAUUUCAGCACAUUUGCUAAUUUUUAAGGUUUUGUUUGGAGCCCAUAUUCUUUUUGUUAGCAUUACAGUCCAUAUUGUGGCCCCGGUUAAAAAAUCUAUCUAUCUAUCUAUCUAUUAUCUAUAUAUUAUAUACAUAAAACAGAAGUCAAACAAGCCAUCACGUUCAUCCACGUAGGUUAAAAAUAUAUUAUCCAUUGAUUUACAUUACGAUGGUUGAGAUUAAAAGAUCGAAAAGGUUACGUAGAAUAAAGUUAUGUACAGAUUUUUAACAUCCAACACGUAACAAGCAUAAACAUGGAAAAAAAUUCUAUGAGACCAGGUCUCACGGAUUAGCAGGUGAGACACAUCCUGAUGGAUGACACAUGUCAUUCACAAAUCACAAAGCAUCCACCCCACCCCCACCUGAAAUCAGGGGGGAGAGAUUAGAUGCUUUGUGAUUUGUGAAUGCCACAUGUCAUCCAUCAGGGUGGGUCUCACCUGAUUUAUAUGAGACCUGGUCUCGUAUAAUUUUUUCCCAUAAACAUCACGAAUUUAAAAAAGCAGCAAAACAAGUCCCUUUCAAGGAUUCAAUCGGUCCUUUAAAAAUCCAAACGGUAGUACAUGGAAAGUCCGAAUAGAAUAGGCCACAAAAAAGGAAGGUGUUUCCAUCGUAAUGUAAGGAAGAGAGAGAAGAGAUUCCAUUAUUGUGACGGUGCAUAAUAGGUACAGGUGAUGGAAAGGUUAAAAUUAUCCCGAUAAUAUAUUUUAUAUAUUUGGAAACAAAUAUCAAAUAGUAAUCACAUCGCGGUUAUAAUCGGUGAACCCUAAAUAUUCGCGAAUCCUAAAUCGUCUUGGCUCGGCCUUGGCUCCAUCGAAGCGCAUCGACGACAUCUGAACCGGUGGUGCUGCCGGCAUCGGCAUCACGGCGAAAGCUGGGACUGGGAAGAACCUCAUCAGACAAGAUGCCGCUAAGCCGACAGGAGAAACGAGGACCCCCAAGGUAAUGAUGUGGAAGAAGGCCAUCAUCCUCACCGAGAACUGCCAGAUCUCCGGCGAGGCCGAUGAACCUGACGCACCAGUGUGCCACAGGCUGACAUCGGCGCCAUUACCUAUCAUCUCCCAAUGGAGCGCACCUCUCUGUGGGUUCCUUCAGCCUUAACGCCGAUGCCGGCGCUUCCUUCAACCUUAAAGCCAACGCCGGCGCAAUUAAACCAGCGUGCCAUCGUCAAAACAGAGAAGCUCCUGCCAUAGCACCGCCGUCAGCGAUGAAAUCGCGGGUGCCACCAAAUCGGACAGCAAUCACUUCCACAAAUCCACAAGCACGUCCGGGCCGAGAGCAGCGUGAUGAUGAUAGAGAAAGAUGAAGAAGAGGAUGGGACUCAUGGGAGUAAGCGCGGUUGCAGGAGGCAACGGGUGAGUGAGGGGCCAUCCGCCCUGCACCUGCUGCAUAGCGAACUGCCGGUUCGGCCGCGCCGGCGAUGGACCGCAGCUAGUGCCAGUGGAUGCGCCAGUGCAUGAUGGAGGUAGUACGUGGCAUACGAGAACCGCGAGGAGUUGAGUACCAGCUGCAGCGGCUCGGCUGAACUGGGAGCAGCUCUGGGCCAGCAAGGAUCAUACGCACCGAGAUGGAAAGCAUCAGAAGCGACGACGACAUGUGCAGUGCCACCCUCUCCGAUGACAUCGCAGGAGCACUUCUGGAGCAUCACAAGGAGCAAAGGAGCCAUUGUGUAGUAUCGCAGCGCAAGCGACGUGAUUAAUUUUCUACGAGUCAGGUUGCAUUGGUCGCAUUGGUCUUUCCUUCUACGUAUUUACUGCAAAAAUGCCAAAAAGGUGGAUGAGCUCCUAGGUAACACUGCAACAAUAAUAUAUCUUCAUAUGUGAUAACUAUUGGAAAAUUUUAUUCCCGUUUUGCUUCUGUGUGCGUGUAAAUUUUCAUGAAAAUUGACGAGAUUUGUACAACGUUUUUGAAUAAGUUUUUAUGAUUACAAAUCAAUCUAUUAAAAAAUCAAUCAUAAAAAAUAUAUUAUUUUAUGCAAAUUUACACAUGCUUGACACAUGAAUAUGUGCACCUUCAGACAAUCCAUUUGGUAGUAUCAGCUAUUUUUGUGAAUUGAUAUAAGAACAUUUUACUUCUCUAGUUAGCUUCUACAUAGAGACUCAUAAUCGAGUAAUAAAUAUAUAUGUUUGACACAGGCGGCUGAACGAUUUGGACGUGAUAGUAGGAGAGCAACCGCCCAAGAAACUUGAUGAAAAACUUGAUGUAUAAGAAGGGGGGCAUAUCCAACAAAAGUAUAAAGUCAGGUUGCAUUGGUCGCAUUGGUCUUUCCUUCUACAUAUUUAGUGCAAAAAUGCCAAAAAGGUGGAUGAGCUCCCAGGUAACACUGCAACAAUAAUAUAUCUUCAUAUGUGAUAACUAUUGGAAAAUUUUAGUCCCGUUUUGCUUCUGUGUGCGUGUAAAUUUCCACGAAAAUUGACGAGAUUUGUACAACGUUUUUGAAUAAGUUUUUAUGAUUACAAAUCAAUCUACAGAAGUCAAACAAGCCAUCACGUUCAUCCACAUAGGUUAAAAAUAUAUUAUCCAUUGAUUUACAUUACGAUGGUUGAGAUUAAAAGAUCGAAAAGGGUACGUAGAAUAAUGUUAUGUACAGAUUUUUAACAUCCAUCACGUAACAAGCAUAAACAUCACGGAUUUAAAAAAGCAGCAAAACAAGUCCCUUUCAAGGAUUCAAUCGGUCCUUUAAAAUCCAAACGGUAGCACAUGGAAAGUCCGAAUAGAAUAGGCCACAAAAAAGGAAGGUGUUUCCAUCGUAAUGUAAGGAAGAGAGAGAAGAGAUUCCAUUAUUGUGACGGUGCAUAAUAGGUACAGGUGAUGGAAAGGUUAAAAUUAUCCCGAUAAUAUAUUUUAUAUAUUUGGAAACAAAUAUCGAAUAGUAAUCACAUCGCGGUUAUAAUCGGUGAACCCUAAAUAUACGUGAAUCCUAAAUCGUCUUGGCUCGGCCUUGGCUCCAUCGAAGCGCAUCGACGACAUCUGAACCGGUGGUGCUGCCGGCAUCGGCAUCACGGCGAAAGCUGGGACUGGGAAGAACCUCAUCAGACGAGAUGCCGCUAAGCCGACAGGAGAAACGAGGACCCCCAAGGUAAUGAUGUGGAAGAAGGCCAUCAUCCUCACCGAGAACUGCCAGAUCUCCGGCGAGGCCGAUGAACCUGACGCACCAGUGUGCGACAGGCUGACAUCGACGCCAUUACCUAUCAUCUCCCAAUGGAGCGCACCUCUCUGUGGGUUCCUUCAGCCUUAACUCCGAUGCCGGCGCUUCCUUCAACCUUAAAGCCAACGCUGGCGCAAUUAAACCAGCGUGCCAUCGUCAAAACAGAGAAGCUCCUGCCAUAGCACCGCCGUCAGCGAUGAAAUCGCGGGUGCCACCAAAUCGGACAGCAAUCACUUCCACAAAUCCACAAGCACGUCCGGGCCGAGAGCAGCGUGAUGAUGAUAGAGAAAGAUGAAGAAGAGGAUGGGACUCAUGGGAGUAAGCGCGGUUGCAGGAGGCAACGUGUGAGUGAGGGGCCAUCCGCCCUGCAGCUGCUGCAUAGCGAACUGCCGGUUCGGCCGCGCCGGCGAUGAACCGCAGCUUGUGCCAGUGGAUGCGCCAGUGCAUGAUGGAGGUAGUACGUGGCAUACGAGAACCGCGAGGAGUUGAGUACCAGCUGCAGCGGCUCGGCUGAACUGGGGGCAGCUCUGGGCCAGCAAGGAUCAUACGCACCGAGAUGGAAAGCAUCAGCAGCGACGACGACAUGUGCAGUGCCACCCUCUCCGAUGACAUCGCAGGAGCACUUCUGGAGCAUCACAAGGAGCAAAGGAGCCAUUGUGUAGUAUCGCGGCGCAAGCGACGUGAUUAAUUUUCUACGAGUCAGGUUGCAUUGGUCGCAUUGGUCUUUCCUUCUACGUAUUUAGUGCAAAAAUGCCAAAAAGGUGGAUGAGCUCCUAGGUAACACUGCAACAAUAAUAUAUCUUCAUAUGUGAUAACUAUUGGAAAAUUUUAGUCCCGUUUUGCUUCUGUGUGCGUGUAAAUUUUCAUGAAAAUUGACGAGAUUUGUACAACGUUUUUGAAUAAGUUUUUAUGAUUACAAAUCAAUCUAUUAAAAAAUCAAUCAUAAAAAAUAUAUUAUUUUAUGCAAAUUUACACAUGCUUGACACAUGAAUAUGUGCACCUUCAGACAAUCCAUUUGGUAGUAUCAGCUAUUUUUGUGAAUUGAUAUAAGAACAUUUUACUUCUCUAGUUAGCUUCUACAUAGAGACUCAUAAUCGAGUAAUAAAUAUAUAUGUUUGACACAGGCGGCUGAACGAUUUGGACGUGAUAGUAGGAGAGCAACCGCCCAAGAAACUUGAUGAAAAACUUGAUGUAUAAGAAGGGGGGCAUAUCCAACAAAAGUAUAAAGUCAGGUUGCAUUGGUCGCAUUGGUCUUUCCUUCUACAUAUUUAGUGCAAAAAUGCCAAAAAGGUGGAUGAGCUCCCAGGUAACACUGCAACAAUAAUAUAUCUUCAUAUGUGAUAACUAUUGGAAAAUUUUAGUCCCGUUUUGCUUCUGUGUGCGUGUAAAUUUCCAUGAAAAUUGACGAGAUUUGUACAACGUUUUUGAAUAAGUUUUUAUGAUUACAAAUCAAUCUACAGAAGUCAAACAAGCCAUCACGUUCAUCCACAUAGUUUAAAAUAUAUUAUCCAUUGAUUUACAUUACGAUGGUUGAGAUUAAAAGAUCGAAAAGGUUACGUAGAAUAAUGUUAUGUACAGAUUUUUAACAUCCAACACGUAACAAGCAUAAACAUCACGGAUUUAAAAAAGCAGCAAAACAAGUCCCUUUCAAGGAUUCAAUCGGUCCUUUAAAAAUCCAAACGGUAGUAAAUGGAAAGUCCGAAUAGAAUAGGCCACAAAAAAGGAAGGUGUUUCCAUCGUAAUGUAAGGAAGAGAGAGAAGAGAUUCCAUUAUUGUGACGGUGCAUAAUAGGUACAGGUGAUGGAAAGGUUAAAAUUAUCCCGAUAAUAUAUUUUAUAUAUUUGGAAACAAAUAUCAAAUAGUAAUCACAUCGCGGUUAUAAUCGGUGAACCCUAAAUAUACGUGAAUCCUCAAUCGUCUUGGCUCGGCCUUGGCUCCAUCGAAGCGCAUCAACGACAUCUGAACCGGUGGUGCUGCCGGCAUCGGCAUCACGGCGAAAGCUGGGACUGGGAAGAACCUCAUCAGACAAGAUGCCGCUAAGCCGACAGGAGAAACGAGGACCCCCAAGGUAAUGAUGUGGAAGAAGGCCAUCAUCCUCACCGAGAACUGCCAGAUCUCCGGCGAGGCCGAUGAACCUGACGCACCAGUGUGCCACAGGCUGACAUCGGCGCCAUUACCUAUCAUCUCCCAAUGGAGCGCACCUCUCUGUGGGUUCCUUCAGCCUUAACGCCGAUGCCGGCGCUUCCUUCAACCUUAAAGCCAACGCCGGCGCAAUUAAACCAGCGUGCCAUCGUCAAAACAGAGAAGCUCCUGCCAUAGCACCGCUGUCAGCGAUGAAAUCGCGGGUGCCACCAAAUCGGACAGCAAUCACUUCCACAAAUCCACAAGCACGUCUGGGCCUAGAGCAGCGUGAUGAUGAUAGAGAAAGAUGAAGAAGAGGAUGGGACUCAUGGGAGUAAGCGCGGUUGCAGGAGGCAACGGGUGAGUGAGGGGCCAUCCGCCCUGCAGCUGCUGCAUAGCGAACUGCCGGUUCGGCCGCGCCGGCGAUGAACCGCAGCUAGUGCCAGUGGAUGCGCCAGUGCAUGAUGGAGGUAGUACGUGGCAUACGAGAACCGCGAGUAGCUGAGUACCAGCUGCAGCGGCUCGGCUGAACUGGGAGCAGCUCUGGGCCAGCAAGGAUCAUACGCACCGAGAUGGAAAGCAUCAGCAGCGACGACGACAUGUGCAGUGCCACCCUCUCCGAUGACAUCGCAGGAGCACUUCUGGAGCAUCACAAGGAGCAAAGGAGCCAUUGUGUAGUAUCGCAGCGCAAGCGACGUGAUUAAUUUUCUACGAGUCAGGUUGCAUUGGUCGCAUUGGUCUUUCCUUCUACGUAUUUAGUGCAAAAAUGCCAAAAAGGUGGAUGAGCUCCUAGGUAACACUGCAACAAUAAUAUAUCUUCAUAUGUGAUAACUAUUGGAAAAUUUUAGUCCCGUUUUGCUUCUGUGUGCGUGUAAAUUUCCAUGAAAAUUGACGAGAUUUGUACAACGUUUUUGAAUAAGUUUUUAUGAUUAAAAAUCAAUCUAUUAAAAAAUCAAUCAUAAAAAAUAUAUUAUUUUAUGCAAAUUUACACAUGCUUGACACAUGAAUAUGUGCACCUUCAGACAAUCCAUUUGGUAGUAUCAGCUAUUUUUGUGAAUUGAUAUAAGAACAUUUUACUUCUCUAGUUAGCUUCUACAUAGAGACUCAUAAUCGAGUAAUAAAUAUAUAUGUUUGACACAGGCGGCUGAACGAUUUGGACGUGAUAGUAGGAGAGCAACCGCCCAAGAAACUUGAUGAAAAACUUGAUGUAUAAGAAGGGGGGCAUAUCCAACAAAAGUAUAAAGUCAGGUUGCAUUGGUCGCAUUGGUCUUUCCUUCUACAUAUUUAGUGCAAAAAUGCCAAAAAGGUGGAUGAGCUCCCAGGUAACACUGCAACAAUAAUAUAUCUUCAUAUGUGAUAACUAUUGGAAAAUUUUAGUCCCGUUUUGCUUCUGUGUGCGUGUAAAUUUCCACGAAAAUUGACGAGAUUUGUACAACGUUUUUGAAUAAGUUUUUAUGAUUACAAAUCAAUCUACAGAAGUCAAACAAGCCAUCACGUUCAUCCACAUAGGUUAAAAAUAUAUUAUCCAUUGAUUUACAUUACGAUGGUUGAGAUUAAAAGAUCGAAAAGGGUACGUAGAAUAAUGUUAUGUACAGAUUUUUAACAUCCAUCACGUAACAAGCAUAAACAUCACGGAUUUAAAAAAGCAGCAAAACAAGUCCCUUUCAAGGAUUCAAUCGGUCCUUUAAAAUCCAAACGGUAGCACAUGGAAAGUCCGAAUAGAAUAGGCCACAAAAAAGGAAGGUGUUUCCAUCGUAAUGUAAGGAAGAGAGAGAAGAGAUUCCAUUAUUGUGACGGUGCAUAAUAGGUACAGGUGAUGGAAAGGUUAAAAUUAUCCCGAUAAUAUAUUUUAUAUAUUUGGAAACAAAUAUCGAAUAGUAAUCACAUCGCGGUUAUAAUCGGUGAACCCUAAAUAUACGUGAAUCCUAAAUCGUCUUGGCUCGGCCUUGGCUCCAUCGAAGCGCAUCGACGACAUCUGAACCGGUGGUGCUGCCGGCAUCGGCAUCACGGCGAAAGCUGGGACUGGGAAGAACCUCAUCAGACGAGAUGCCGCUAAGCCGACAGGAGAAACGAGGACCCCCAAGGUAAUGAUGUGGAAGAAGGCCAUCAUCCUCACCGAGAACUGCCAGAUCUCCGGCGAGGCCGAUGAACCUGACGCACCAGUGUGCGACAGGCUGACAUCGACGCCAUUACCUAUCAUCUCCCAAUGGAGCGCACCUCUCUGUGGGUUCCUUCAGCCUUAACUCCGAUGCCGGCGCUUCCUUCAACCUUAAAGCCAACGCUGGCGCAAUUAAACCAGCGUGCCAUCGUCAAAACAGAGAAGCUCCUGCCAUAGCACCGCCGUCAGCGAUGAAAUCGCGGGUGCCACCAAAUCGGACAGCAAUCACUUCCACAAAUCCACAAGCACGUCCGGGCCGAGAGCAGCGUGAUGAUGAUAGAGAAAGAUGAAGAAGAGGAUGGGACUCAUGGGAGUAAGCGCGGUUGCAGGAGGCAACGUGUGAGUGAGGGGCCAUCCGCCCUGCAGCUGCUGCAUAGCGAACUGCCGGUUCGGCCGCGCCGGCGAUGAACCGCAGCUUGUGCCAGUGGAUGCGCCAGUGCAUGAUGGAGGUAGUACGUGGCAUACGAGAACCGCGAGGAGUUGAGUACCAGCUGCAGCGGCUCGGCUGAACUGGGGGCAGCUCUGGGCCAGCAAGGAUCAUACGCACCGAGAUGGAAAGCAUCAGCAGCGACGACGACAUGUGCAGUGCCACCCUCUCCGAUGACAUCGCAGGAGCACUUCUGGAGCAUCACAAGGAGCAAAGGAGCCAUUGUGUAGUAUCGCGGCGCAAGCGACGUGAUUAAUUUUCUACGAGUCAGGUUGCAUUGGUCGCAUUGGUCUUUCCUUCUACGUAUUUAGUGCAAAAAUGCCAAAAAGGUGGAUGAGCUCCUAGGUAACACUGCAACAAUAAUAUAUCUUCAUAUGUGAUAACUAUUGGAAAAUUUUAGUCCCGUUUUGCUUCUGUGUGCGUGUAAAUUUUCAUGAAAAUUGACGAGAUUUGUACAACGUUUUUGAAUAAGUUUUUAUGAUUACAAAUCAAUCUAUUAAAAAAUCAAUCAUAAAAAAUAUAUUAUUUUAUGCAAAUUUACACAUGCUUGACACAUGAAUAUGUGCACCUUCAGACAAUCCAUUUGGUAGUAUCAGCUAUUUUUGUGAAUUGAUAUAAGAACAUUUUACUUCUCUAGUUAGCUUCUACAUAGAGACUCAUAAUCGAGUAAUAAAUAUAUAUGUUUGACACAGGCGGCUGAACGAUUUGGACGUGAUAGUAGGAGAGCAACCGCCCAAGAAACUUGAUGAAAAACUUGAUGUAUAAGAAGGGGGGCAUAUCCAACAAAAGUAUAAAGUCAGGUUGCAUUGGUCGCAUUGGUCUUUCCUUCUACAUAUUUAGUGCAAAAAUGCCAAAAAGGUGGAUGAGCUCCCAGGUAACACUGCAACAAUAAUAUAUCUUCAUAUGUGAUAACUAUUGGAAAAUUUUAGUCCCGUUUUGCUUCUGUGUGCGUGUAAAUUUCCACGAAAAUUGACGAGAUUUGUACAAUGUUUUUGAAUAAGUUUUUAUGAUUACAAAUCAAUCUACAGAAGUCAAACAAGCCAUCACGUUCAUCCACAUAGGUUAAAAAUAUAUUAUCCAUUGAUUUACAUUAUGAUGGUUGAGAUUAAAAGAUCGAAAAGGUUACGUAGAAUAAUGUUAUGUACAGAUUUUUAACAUCCAUCACGUAACAAGCAUAAACAUCACGGAUUUAAAAAAGCAGCAAAACAAGUCCCUUUCAAGGAUUCAAUCGGUCCUUUAAAAUCCAAACGGUAGCACAUGGAAAGUCCGAAUAGAAUAGGCCACAAAAAAGGAAGGUGUUUCCAUCGUAAUGUAAGGAAGAGAGAGAAGAGAUUCCAUUAUUGUGACGGUGCAUAAUAGGUACAGGUGAUGGAAAGGUUAAAAUUAUCCUGAUAAUAUAUUUUAUAUAUUUGGAAACAAAUAUCGAAUAGUAAUCACAUCGCGGUUAUAAUCGGUGAACCCUAAAUAUACGUGAAUCCUAAAUCGUCUUGGCUCGGCCUUGGCUCCAUCGAAGCGCAUCGACGACAUCUGAACCGGUGGUGCUGCCGGCAUCGGCAUCACGGCGAAAGCUGGGACUGGGAAGAACCUCAUCAGACGAGAUGCCGCUAAGCCGACAGGAGAAACGAGGACCCCCAAGGUAAUGAUGUGGAAGAAGGCCAUCAUCCUCACCGAGAACUGCCAGAUCUCCGGCGAGGCCGAUGAACCUGACGCACCAGUGUGCGACAGGCUGACAUCGGGGCCAUUACCUAUCAUCUCCCAAUGGAGCGCACCUCUCUGUGGGUUCCUUCAGCCUUAACUCCGAUGCCGGCGCUUCCUUCAACCUUAAAGCCAACGCUGGCGCAAUUAAACCAGCGUGCCAUCGUCAAAACAGAGAAGCUCCUGCCAUAGCACCGCCGUCAGCGAUGAAAUCGCGGGUGCCACCAAAUCGGACAGCAAUCACUUCCACAAAUCCACAAGCACGUCCGGGCCGAGAGCAGCGUGAUGAUGAUAGAGAAAGAUGAAGAAGAGGAUGGGACUCAUGGGAGUAAGCGCGGUUGCAGGAGGCAACGGGUGAGUGAGGGGCCAUCCGCCCUGCAGCUGCUGCAUAGCGAACUGCCGGUUCGGCCGCGCCGGCGAUGAACCGCAGCUUGUGCCAGUGGAUGCGCCAGUGCAUGAUGGAGGUAGUACGUGGCAUACGAGAACCGCGAGGAGUUGAGUACCAGCUGCAGCGGCUCGGCUGAACUGGGAGCAGCUCUGGGCCAGCAAGGAUCAUACGCACCGAGAUGGAAAGCAUCAGCAGCGACGACGACAUGUGCAGUGCCACCCUCUCCGAUGACAUCGCAGGAGCACUUCUGGAGCAUCACAAGGAGCAAAGGAGCCAUUGUGUAGUAUCGCGGCGCAAGCGACGUGAUUAAUUUUCUACGAGUCAGGUUGUAUUGGUCGCAUUGGUCUUUCCUUCUACGUAUUUAGUGCAAAAAUGCCAAAAAGGUGGAUGAGCUCCUAGGUAACACUGCAACAAUAAUAUAUCUUCAUAUGUGAUAACUAUUGGAAAAUUUUAGUCCCGUUUUGCUUCUGUGUGCGUGUAAAUUUUCAUGAAAAUUGACGAGAUUUGUACAACGUUUUUGAAUAAGUUUUUAUGAUUACAAAUCAAUCUAUUAAAAAAUCAAUCAUAAAAAAUAUAUUAUUUUAUGCAAAUUUACACAUGCUUGACACAUGAAUAUGUGCACCUUCAGACAAUCCAUUUGGUAGUAUCAGCUAUUUUUGUGAAUUGAUAUAAGAACAUUUUACUUCUCUAGUUAGCUUCUACAUAGAGACUCAUAAUCGAGUAAUAAAUAUAUAUGUUUGACACAGGCGGCUGAACGAUUUGGACGUGAUAGUAGGAGAGCAACCGCCCAAGAAACUUGAUGAAAAACUUGAUGUAUAAGAAGGGGGGCAUAUCCAACAAAAGUAUAAAGUCAGGUUGCAUUGGUCGCAUUGGUCUUUCCUUCUACAUAUUUAGUGCAAAAAUGCCAAAAAGGUGGAUGAGCUCCCAGGUAACACUGCAACAAUAAUAUAUCUUCAUAUGUGAUAACUAUUGGAAAAUUUUAGUCCCGUUUUGCUUCUGUGUGCGUGUAAAUUUCCACGAAAAUUGACGAGAUUUGUACAACGUUUUUGAAUAAGUUUUUAUGAUUACAAAUCAAUCUACAGAAGUCAAACAAGCCAUCACGUUCAUCCACAUAGGUUAAAAAUAUAUUAUCCAUUGAUUUACAUUACGAUGGUUGAGAUUAAAAGAUCGAAAAGGUUACGUAGAAUAAUGUUAUGUACAGAUUUUUAACAUCCAUCACGUAACAAGCAUAAACAUCACGGAUUUAAAAAAGCAGCAAAACAAGUCCCUUUCAAGGAUUCAAUCGGUCCUUUAAAAUCCAAACGGUAGCACAUGGAAAGUCCGAAUAGAAUAGGCCACAAAAAAGGAAGGUGUUUCCAUCGUAAUGUAAGGAAGAGAGAGAAGAGAUUCCAUUAUUGUGACGGUGCAUAAUAGGUACAGGUGAUGGAAAGGUUAAAAUUAUCCCGAUAAUAUAUUUUAUAUAUUUGGAAACAAAUAUCAAAUAGUAAUCACAUCGCGGUUAUAAUCGGUGAACCCUAAAUAUACGUGAAUCCUCAAUCGUCUUGGCUCGGCCUUGGCUCCAUCGAAGCGCAUCAACGACAUCUGAACCGGUGGUGCUGCCGGCAUCGGCAUCACGGCGAAAGCUGGGACUGGGAAGAACCUCAUCAGACAAGAUGCCGCUAAGCCGACAGGAGAAACGAGGACCCCCAAGGUAAUGAUGUGGAAGAAGGCCAUCACCCUCACCGAGAACUGCCAGAUCUCCGGCGAGGCCGAUGAACCUGACGCACCAGUGUGCCACAGGCUGACAUCGGCGCCAUUACCUAUCAUCUCCCAAUGGAGCGCACCUCUCUGUGGGUUCCUUCAGCCUUAACGCCGAUGCCGGCGCUUCCUUCAACCUUAAAGCCAACGCCGGCGCAAUUAAACCAGCGUGCCAUCGUCAAAACAGAGAAGCUCCUGCCAUAGCACCGCUGUCAGCGAUGAAAUCGCGGGUGCCACCAAAUCGGACAGCAAUCACUUCCACAAAUCCACAAGCACGUCUGGGCCUAGAGCAGCGUGAUGAUGAUAGAGAAAGAUGAAGAAGAGGAUGGGACUCAUGGGAGUAAGCGCGGUUGCAGGAGGCAACGGGUGAGUGAGGGGCCAUCCGCCCUGCAGCUGCUGCAUAGCGAACUGCCGGUUCGGCCGCGCCGGCGAUGAACCGCAGCUAGUGCCAGUGGAUGCGCCAGUGCAUGAUGGAGGUAGUACGUGGCAUACGAGAACCGCGAGGAGCUGAGUACCAGCUGCAGCGGCUCGGCUGAACUGGGAGCAGCUCUGGGCCAGCAAGGAUCUUACGCACCGAGAUGGAAAGCAUCAGCAGCGACGACGACAUGUGCAGUGCCACCCUCUCCGAUGACAUCGCAGGAGCACUUCUGGAGCAUCACAAGGAGCAAAGGAGCCAUUGUGUAGUAUCGCAGCGCAAGCGACGUGAUUAAUUUUCUACGAGUCAGGUUGCAUUGGUCGCAUUGGUCUUUCCUUCUAGGUAUUUAGUGCAAAAAUGCCAAAAAGGUGGAUGAGCUCCUAGGUAACACUGCAACAAUAAUAUAUCUUCAUAUGUGAUAACUAUUGGAAAAUUUUAGUCCCGUUUUGCUUCUGUGUGCGUGUAAAUUUCCAUGAAAAUUGACGAGAUUUGUACAACGUUUUUGAAUAAGUUUUUAUGAUUAAAAAUCAAUCUAUUAAAAAAUCAAUCAUAAAAAAUAUAUUAUUUUAUGCAAAUUUACACAUGCUUGACACAUGAAUAUGUGCACCUUCAGACAAUCCAUUUGGUAGUAUCAGCUAUUUUUGUGAAUUGAUAUAAGAACAUUUUACUUCUCUAGUUAGCUUCUACAUAGAGACUCAUAAUCGAGUAAUAAAUAUAUAUGUUUGACACAGGCGGCUGAACGAUUUGGACGUGAUAGUAGGAGAGCAACCGCCCAAGAAACUCGAUGAAAAACUUGAUGUAUAAGAAGGGGGGCAUAUCCAACAAAAGUAUAAAGUCAGGUUGCAUUGGUCGCAUUGGUCUUUCCUUCUACAUAUUUAGUGCAAAAAUGCCAAAAAGGUGGAUGAGCUCCCAGGUAACACUGCAACAAUAAUAUAUCUUCAUAUGUGAUAACUAUUGGAAAAUUUUAGUCCCGUUUUGCUUCUGUGUGCGUGUAAAUUUCCACGAAAAUUGACGAGAUUUGUACAACGUUUUUGAAUAAGUUUUUAUGAUUACAAAUCAAUUUACAGAAGUCAAACAAGCCAUCACGUUCAUCCACAUAGGUUAAAAAUAUAUUAUCCAUUGAUUUACAUUACGAUGGUUGAGAUUAAAAGAUCGAAAAGGUUACGUAGAAUAAUGUUAUGUACAGAUUUUUAACAUCCAUCACGUAACAAGCAUAAACAUCACGGAUUUAAAAAAGCAGCAAAACAAGUCCCUUUCAAGGAUUCAAUCGGUCCUUUAAAAUCCAAAUGGUAGCACAUGGAAUGUCCGAAUAGAAUAGGCCACAAAAAAGGAAGGUGUUUCCAUCGUAAUGUAAGGAAGAGAGAGAAGAGAUUCCAUUAUUGUGACGGUGCAUAAUAGGUACAGGUGAUGGAAAGGUUAAAAUUAUCCCGAUAAUAUAUUUUAUAUAUUUGGAAACAAAUAUCGAAUAGUAAUCACAUCGCGGUUAUAAUCGGUGAACCCUAAAUAUACGUGAAUCCUAAAUCGUCUUGGCUCGGCCUUGGCUCCAUCGAAGCGCAUCGACGACAUCUGAACCGGUGGUGCUGCCGGCAUCGGCAUCACGGCGAAAGCUGGGACUGGGAAGAACCUCAUCAGACGAGAUGCCGCUAAGCCGACAGGAGAAACGAGGACCCCCAAGGUAAUGAUGUGGAAGAAGGCCAUCAUCCUCACCGAGAACUGCCAGAUCUCCGGCGAGGCCGAUGAACCUGACGCACCAGUGUGCGACAGGCUGACAUCGGCGCCAUUACCUAUCAUCUCCCAAUGGAGCGCACCUCUCUGUGGGUUCCUUCAGCCUUAACUCCGAUGCCGGCGCUUCCUUCAACCUUAAAGCCAACGCUGGCGCAAUUAAACCAGCGUGCCAUCGUCAAAACUGAGAAGGUCCUGCCAUAGCACCGCCGUCAGCGAUGAAAUCGCGGGUGCCACCAAAUCGGACAGCAAUCACUUCCACAAAUCCACAAGCACGUCUGGGCCGAGAGCAGCGUGAUGAUGAUAGAGAAAGAUGAAGAAGAGGAUGGGACUCAUGGGAGUAAGCGCGGUUUCAGGAGGCAACGGGUGAGUGAGGGGCCAUCCGCCCUGCAGCUGCUGCAUAGCGAACUGCCGGUUCGGCCGCGCCGGCGAUGAACCGCAGCUUGUGCCAGUGGAUGCGCCAGUGCAUGAUGGAGGUAGUACGUGGCAUACGAGAACCGCGAGGAGUUGAGUACCAGCUGCAGCGGCUCGGCUGAACUGGGAGCAGCUCUGGGCCAGCAAGGAUCAUACGCACCGAGAUGGAAAGCAUCAGCAGCGACGACGACAUGUGCAGUGCCACCCUCUCCGAUGACAUCGCAGGAGCACUUCUGGAGCAUCACAAGGAGCAAAGGAGCCAUUGUGUAGUAUCGCGGCGCAAGCGACGUGAUUAAUUUUCUACGAGUCAGGUUGCAUUGGUCUUUCCUUCUACGUAUUUAGUGCAAAAAUGCCAAAAAGGUGGAUGAGCUCCUAGGUAACACUGCAACAAUAAUAUAUCUUCAUAUGUGAUAACUAUUGGAAAAUUUUAGUCCCGUUUUGCUUCUGUGUGCGUGUAAAUUUUCAUGAAAAUUGACGAGAUUUGUACAACGUUUUUGAAUAAGUUUUUAUGAUUACAAAUGAAUCUAUUAAAAAAUCAAUCAUAAAAAAUAUAUUAUUUUAUGCAAAUUUACACAUGCUUGACACAUGAAUAUGUGCACCUUCAGACAAUCCAUUUGGUAGUAUCAGCUAUUUUUGUGAAUUGAUAUAAGAACAUUUUACUUCUCUAGUUAGCUUCUACAUAGAGACUCAUAAUCGAGUAAUAAAUAUAUAUGUUUGACACAGGCGGCUGAACGAUUUGGACGUGAUAGUAGGAGAGCAACCGCCCAAGAAACUUGAUGAAAAACUUGAUGUAUAAGAAGGGGGGCAUAUCCAACAAAAGUAUAAAGUCAGGUUGCAUUGGUCGCAUUGGUCUUUCCUUCUACAUAUUUAGUGCAAAAAUGCCAAAAAGGUGGAUGAGCUCCCAGGUAACAUUGCAACAAUAAUAUAUCUUCAUAUGUGAUAACUAUUGGAAAAUUUUAGUCCCGUUUUGCUUCUGUGUGCGUGUAAAUUUCCACGAAAAUUGACGAGAUUUGUACAACGUUUUUGAAUAAGUUUUUAUGAUUACAAAUCAAUCUACAGAAGUCAAACAAGCCAUCACGUUCAUCCACAUAGGUUAAAAAUAUAUUAUCCAUUGAUUUACAUUACGAUGGUUGAGAUUAAAAGAUCGAAAAGGUUACGUAGAAUAAUGUUAUGUACAGAUUUUUAACAUCCAACACGUAACAAGCAUAAACAUCACGGAUUUAAAAAAGCAGCAAAACAAGUCCCUUUCAAGGAUUCAAUCGGUCCUUUAAAAAUCCAAACGGUAGUACAUGGAAAGUCCGAAUAGAAUAGGCCACAAAAAAGGAAGGUGUUUCCAUCGUAAUGUAAGGAAGAGAGAGAAGAGAUUCCAUUAUUGUGACGGUGCAUAAUAGGUACAGGUGAUGGAAAGGUUAAAAUUAUCCCGAUAAUAUAUUUUAUAUAUUUGGAAACAAAUAUCGAAUAGUAAUCACAUCGCGGUUAUAAUCGGUGAACCCUAAAUAUACGUGAAUCCUAAAUCGUCUUGGCUCGGCCUUGGCUCCAUCGAAGCGCAUCAACGACAUCUGAACCGGUGGUGCUGCCGGCAUCGGCAUCACGGCGAAAGCUGGGACUGGGAAGAACCUCAUCAGACAAGAUGCCGCUAAGCCGACAGGAGAAACGAGGACCCCCAAGGUAAUGAUGUGGAAGAAGGCCAUCAUCCUCACCGAGAACUGCCAGAUCUCCGGCGAGGCCGAUGAACCUGACGCACCAGUGUGCCACAGGCUGACAUCAGCGCCAUUACCUAUCAUCUCCCAAUGGAGCGCACCUCUCUGUGGGUUCCUUCAGCCUUAACGCCGAUGCCGGCGCUUCCUUCAACCUUAAAGCCAACGCCGGCGCAAUUAAACCAGCGUGCCAUCGUCAAAACAGAGAAGCUCCUGCCAUAGCACCGCUGUCAGCGAUGAAAUCGCGGGUGCCACCAAAUCGGACAGCAAUCACUUCCACAAAUCCACAAGCAUGUCCGGGCCUAGAGCAGCGUGAUGAUGAUAGAGAAAGAUGAAGAAGAGGAUGGGACUCAUGGGAGUAAGCGCGGUUGCAGGAGGCAACGGGUGAGUGAGGGGCCAUCCGCCCUGCAGCUGCUGCAUAGCGAACUGCCGGUUCGGCCGCGCCGGCGAUGAACCGCAGCUAGUGCCAGUGGAUGCGCCAGUGCAUGAUGGAGGUAGUACGUGGCAUACGAGAACCGCGAGGAGCUGAGUACCAGCUGCAGCGGCUCGGCUGAACUGGGAGCAGCUCUGGGCCAGCAAGGAUCAUACGCACCGAGAUGGAAAGCAUCAGCAGCGACGACGACAUGUGCAGUGCCACCCUCUCCGAUGACAUCGCAGGAGCACUUCUGGAGCAUCACAAGGAGCAAAGGAGCCAUUGUGUAGUAUCGCAGCGCAAGCGACGUGAUUAAUUUUCUACGAGUCAGGUUGCAUUGGUCGCAUUGGUCUUUCCUUCUAGGUAUUUAGUGCAAAAAUGCCAAAAAGGUGGAUGAGCUCCUAGGUAACACUGCAACAAUAAUAUAUCUUCAUAUGUGAUAACUAUUGGAAAAUUUUAGUCCCGUUUUGCUUCUGUGUGCGUGUAAAUUUCCAUGAAAAUUGACGAGAUUUGUACAACGUUUUUGAAUAAGUUUUUAUGAUUACAAAUCAAUCUAUUAAAAAAUCAAUCAUAAAAAAUAUAUUAUUUUAUGCAAAUUUACACAUGCUUGACACAUGAAUAUGUGCACCUUCAGACAAUCCAUUUGGUAGUAUCAGCUAUUUUUGUGAAUUGAUAUAAGAACAUUUUACUUCUCUAGUUAGCUUCUACAUAGAGACUCAUAAUCGAGUAAUAAAUAUAUAUGUUUGACACAGGCGGCUGAACGAUUUGGACGUGAUAGUAGGAGAGCAACUGCCCAAGAAACUUGAUGAAAAACUUGAUGUAUAAGAAGGGGGGCAUAUCCAACAAAAGUAUAAAGUCAGGUUGCAUUGGUCGCAUUGGUCUUUCCUUCUACAUAUUUAGUGCAAAAAUGCCAAAAAGGUGGAUGAGCUCCCAGGUAACACUGCAACAAUAAUAUAUCUUCAUAUGUGAUAACUAUUGGAAAAUUUUAGUCCCGUUUUGCUUCUGUGUGCGUGUAAAUUUCCACGAAAAUUGACGAGAUUUGUACAACGUUUUUGAAUAAGUUUUUAUGAUUACAAAUGAAUCUACAGAAGUCAAACAAGCCAUCACGUUCAUCCACAUAGGUUAAAAAUAUAUUAUCCAUUGAUUUACAUUACGAUGGUUGAGAUUAAAAGAUCGAAAAGGUUACGUAGAAUAAUGUUAUGUACAGAUUUUUAACAUCCAUCACGUAACAAGCAUAAACAUCACGGAUUUAAAAAAGCAGCAAAACAAGUCCCUUUCAAGGAUUCAAUCGGUCCUUUAAAAAUCCAAACGGUAGCACAUGGAAAGUCCGAAUAGAAUAGGCCACAAAAAAGGAAGGUGUUUCCAUCGUAAUGUAAGGAAGAGAGAGAAGAGAUUCCAUUAUUGUGACGGUGCAUAAUAGGUACAGGUGAUGGAAAGGUUAAAAUUAUCCCGAUAAUAUAUUUUAUAUAUUUGGAAACAAAUAUCGAAUAGUAAUCACAUCGCGGUUAUAAUCGGUGAACCCUAAAUAUACGUGAAUCCUAAAUCGUCUUGGCUUGGCCUUGGCUCCAUCGAAGCGCAUCGACGACAUCUGAACCGGUGGUGCUGCCGGCAUCGGCAUCACGGCGAAAGCUGGGACUGGGAAGAACCUCAUCAGACGAGAUGCCGCUAAGCCGACAGGAGAAACGAGGACCCCCAAGGUAAUGAUGUGGAAGAAGGCCAUCAUCCUCACCGAGAACUGCCAGAUCUCCGGCGAGGCCGAUGAACCUGACGCACCAGUGUGCGACAGGCUGACAUCGGCGCCAUUACCUAUCAUCUCCCAAUGGAGCGCACCUCUCUGUGGGUUCCUUCAGCCUUAACUCCGAUGCCGGCGCUUCCUUCAACCUUAAAGCCAACGCCGGCGCAAUUAAACCAGCGUGCCAUCGUCAAAACAGAGAAGCUCCUGCCAUAGCACCGCCGUCAGCGAUGAAAUCGCGGGUGCCACCAAAUCGGACAGCAAUCACUUCCACAAAUCCACAAGCACGUCCGGGCCGAGAGCAGCGUGAUGAUGAUAGAGAAAGAUGAAGAAGAGGAUGGGACUCAUGGGAGUAAGCGCGGUUGCAGGAGGCAACGGGUGAGUGAGGGGCCAUCCGCCCUGCAGCUGCUGCAUAGCGAACUGCCGGUUCGGCCGCGCCGGCGAUGAACCGCAGCUUGUGCCAGUGGAUGCGCCAGUGCAUGAUGGAGGUAGUACGUGGCAUACGAGAACCGCGAGGAGUUGAGUACCAGCUGCAGCGGCUCGGCUGAACUGGGAGCAGCUCUGGGCCAGCAAGGAUCAUACGCACCGAGAUGGAAAGCAUCAGCAGCGACGACGACAUGUGCAGUGCCACCCUCUCCGAUGACAUCGCAGGAGCACUUCUGGAGCAUCACAAGGAGCAAAGGAGCCAUUGUGUAGUAUCGCAGCGCAAGCGACGUGAUUAAUUUUCUACGAGUCAGGUUGCAUUGGUCGCAUUGGUCUUUCCUUCUACGUAUUUAGUGCAAAAAUGCCAAAAAGGUGGAUGAGCUCCUAGGUAACACUGCAACAAUAAUAUAUCUUCAUAUGUGAUAACUAUUGGAAAAUUUUAGUCCCGUUUUGCUUCUGUGUGCGUGUAAAUUUUCAUGAAAAUUGACGAGAUUUGUACAACGUUUUUGAAUAAGUUUUUAUGAUUACAAAUGAAUCUAUUAAAAAAUCAAUCAUAAAAAAUAUAUUAUUUUAUGCAAAUUUACACAUGCUUGACACAUGAAUAUGUGCACCUUCAGACAAUCCAUUUGGUAGUAUCAGCUAUUUUUGUGAAUUGAUAUAAGAACAUUUUACUUCUCUAGUUAGCUUCUACAUAGAGACUCAUAAUCGAGUAAUAAAUAUAUAUGUUUGACACAGGCGGCUGAACGAUUUGGACGUGAUAGUAGGAGAGCAACCGCCCAAGAAACUUGAUGAAAAACUUGAUGUAUAAGAAGGGGGGCAUAUCCAACAAAAGUAUAAAGUCAGGUUGCAUUGGUCGCAUUGGUCUUUCCUUCUACAUAUUUAGUGCAAAAAUGCCAAAAAGGUGGAUGAGCUCCCAGGUAACACUGCAACAAUAAUAUAUCUUCAUAUGUGAUAACUAUUGGAAAAUUUUAGUCCCGUUUUGCUUCUGUGUGCGUGUAAAUUUCCACGAAAAUUGACGAGAUUUGUACAACGUUUUUGAAUAAGUUUUUAUGAUUACAAAUCAAUCUACAGAAGUCAAACAAGCCAUCACGUUCAUCCACAUAGGUUAAAAAUAUAUUAUCCAUUGAUUUACAUUACGAUGGUUGAGAUUAAAAGAUCGAAAAGGUCACGUAGAAUAAUGUUAUGUACAGAUUUUUAACAUCCAUCACGUAACAAGCAUAAACAUCACGGAUUUAAAAAAGCAGCAAAACAAGUCCCUUUCAAGGAUUCAAUCGGUCCUUUAAAAAUCCAAACGGUAGCACAUGGAAAGUCCGAAUAGAAUAGGCCACAAAAAAGGAAGGUGUUUCCAUCGUAAUGUAAGGAAGAGAGAGAAGAGAUUCCAUUAUUGUGACGGUGCAUAAUAGGUACAGGUGAUGGAAAGGUUAAAAUUAUCCCGAUAAUAUAUUUUAUAUAUUUGGAAACAAAUAUCGAAUAGUAAUCACAUCGCGGUUAUAAUCGGUGAACCCUAAAUAUACGUGAAUCCUAAAUCGUCUUGGCUCGGCCUUGGCUCCAUCGAAGCGCAUCGACGACAUCUGAACCGGUGGUGCUGCCGGCAUCGGCAUCACGACGAAAGCUGGGACUGGGAAGAACCUCAUCAGACAAGAUGCCGCUAAGCCGACAGGAGAAACGAGGACCCCCAAGGUAAUGAUGUGGAAGAAGGCCAUCAUCCUCACCGAGAACUGCCAGAUCUCCGGCGAGGCCGAUGAACCUGACGCACCAGUGUGCGACAGGCUGACAUCGGCGCCAUUACCUAUCAUCUCCCAAUGGAGCGCACCUCUCUGUGGGUUCCUUCAGCCUUAACGCCGAUGCCGGCGCUUCCUUCAACCUUAAAGCCAACGCCGGCGCAAUUAAACCAGCGUGCCAUUGUCAAAACAGAGAAGCUCCUGCCAUAGCACCGCCGUCAGCGAUGAAAUCGCGGGUGCCACCAAAUCGGACAGCAAUCACUUCCACAAAUCCACAAGCACGUCCGGGCCGAGAGCAGCGUGAUGAUGAUAGAGAAAGAUGAAGAAGAGGAUGGGACUCAUGGGAGUAAGCGCGGUUGCAGGAGGCAACGGGUGAGUGAGGGGCCAUCCGCCCUGCAGCUGCUGCAUAGCGAACUGCCGGUUCGGCCGCGCCGGCGAUGAACCGCAGCUUGUGCCAGUGGAUGCGCCAGUGCAUGAUGGAGGUAGUACGUGGCAUACGAGAACCGCGAGGAGCUGAGUACCAGCUGCAGCGGCUCGGCUGAACUGGGAGCAGCUCUGGGCCAGCAAGGAUCAUACGCACCGAGAUGGAAAGCAUCAGCAGCGACGACGACAUGUGCAGUGCCACCCUCUCCGAUGACAUCGCAGGAGCACUUCUGGAGCAUCACAAGGAGCAAAGGAGCCAUUGUGUAGUAUCGCAGCGCAAGCGACGUGAUUAAUUUUCUACGAGUCAGGUUGCAUUGGUCGCAUUGGUCUUUCCUUCUAGGUAUUUAGUGCAAAAAUGCCAAAAAGGUGGAUGAGCUCCUAGGUAACACUGCAACAAUAAUAUAUCUUCAUAUGUGAUAACUAUUGGAAAAUUUUAGUCCCGUUUUGCUUCUGUGUGCGUGUAAAUUUCCAUGAAAAUUGACGAGAUUUGUACAACGUUUUUGAAUAAGUUUUUAUGAUUACAAAUCAAUCUAUUAAAAAAUCAAUCAUAAAAAAUAUAUUAUUUUAUGCAAAUUUACACAUGCUUGACACAUGAAUAUGUGCACCUUCAGACAAUCCAUUUGGUAGUAUCAGCUAUUUUUGUGAAUUGAUAUAAGAACAUUUUACUUCUCUAGUUAGCUUCUACAUAGAGACUCAUAAUCGAGUAAUAAAUAUAUAUGUUUGACACAGGCGGCUGAACGAUUUGGACGUGAUAGUAGGAGAGCAACCGCCCAACAAACUUGAUGAAAAACUUGAUGUAUAAGAAGGGGGGCAUAUCCAACAAAAGUAUAAAGUCAGGUUGCAUUGGUCGCAUUGGUCUUUCCUUCUACAUAUUUAGUGCAAAAAUGCCAAAAAGGUGGAUGAGCUCCCAGGUAACACUGCAACAAUAAUAUAUCUUCAUAUGUGAUAACUAUUGGAAAAUUUUAGUCCCGUUUUGCUUCUGUGUGCGUGUAAAUUUCCACGAAAAUUGACGAGAUUUGUACAACAUUUUUGAAUAAGUUUUUAUGAUUACAAAUGAAUCUACAGAAGUCAAACAAGCCAUCACGUUCAUCCACAUAGGUUAAAAAUAUAUUAUCCAUUGAUUUACAUUACGAUGGUUGAGAUUAAAAGAUCGAAAAGGUUACGUAGAAUAAUGUUAUGUACAGAUUUUUAACAUCCAACACGUAACAAGCAUAAACAUCACGGAUUUAAAAAAGCAGCAAAACAAGUCCCUUUCAAGGAUUCAAUCGGUCCUUUAAAAAUCCAAAUGGUAGUACAUGGAAAGUCCGAAUAGAAUAGGCCACAAAAAAGGAAGGUGUUUCCAUCGUAAUGUAAGGAAGAGAGAGAAGAGAUUCCAUUAUUGUGACGGUGCAUAAUAGGUACAGGUGAUGGAAAGGUUAAAAUUAUCCCGAUAAUAUAUUUUAUAUAUUUGGAAACAAAUAUCGAAUAGUAAUCACAUCGCGGUUAUAAUCGGUGAACCCUAAAUAUACGUGAAUCCUAAAUCGUCUUGGCUCGGCCUUGGCUCCAUCGAAGCGCAUCAACGACAUCUGAACCGGUGGUGCUGCCGGCAUCGGCAUCACGGCGAAAGCUGGGACUGGGAAGAACCUCAUCAGACAAGAUGCCGCUAAGCCGACAGAAGAAACAAGGACCCCCAAGGUAAUGAUGUGGAAGAAGGCCAUCAUCCUCACCGAGAACUGCCAGAUCUCCGGCGAGGCCGAUGAACCUGACGCACCAGUGUGCCACAGGCUGACAUCGGCGCCAUUACCUAUCAUCUCCCAAUGGAGCGCACCUCUCUGUGGGUUCCUUCAGCCUUAACGCCGAUGCCGGCGCUUCCUUCAACCUUAAAGCCAACGCCGGUGCAAUUAAACCAGCGUGCCAUCGUCAAAACAGAGAAGCUCCUGCCAUAGCACCGCUGUCAGCGAUGAAAUCGCGGGUGCCACCAAAUCGGACAGCAAUCACUUCCACAAAUCCACAAGCACGUCCGGGCCGAGAGCAGCGUGAUGAUGAUAGAGAAAGAUGAAGAAGAGGAUGGGACUCAUGGGAGUAAGCGCGGUUGCAGGAGGCAACGGGUGAGUGAGGGGCCAUCCGCCCUGCAGCUGCUGCAUAGCGAACUGCCGGUUCGGCCGCGCCGGCGAUGAACCGCAGCUUGUGCCAGUGGAUGCGCCAGUGCAUGAUGGAGGUAGUACGUGGCAUACGAGAACCGCGAGGAGCUGAGUACCAGCUGCAGCGGCUCGGCUGAACUGGGAGCAGCUCUGGGCCAGCAAGGAUCAUACGCACCGAGAUGGAAAGCAUCAGCAGCGACGACGACAUGUGCAGUGCCACCCUCUCCGAUGACAUCGCAGGAGCACUUCUGGAGCAUCACAAGGAGCAAAGGAGCCAUUGUGUAGUAUCGCAGCGCAAGCGACGUGAUUAAUUUUCUACGAGUCAGGUUGCAUUGGUCGCAUUGGUCUUUCCUUCUAGGUAUUUAGUGCAAAAAUGCCAAAAAGGUGGAUGAGCUCCCAGGUAACACUGCAACAAUAAUAUAUCUUCAUAUGUGAUAACUAUUGGAAAAUUUUAGUCCCGUUUUGCUUCUAUGUGCGUGUAAAUUUCAUGAAAAUUGACGAGAUUUGUACAACGUUUUUGAAUAAGUUUUUAUGAUUACAAAUCAAUCUAUUAAAAAAUCAAUCAUAAAAAAUAUAUUAUUUUAUGCAAAUUUACACAUGCUUGACACAUGAAUAUGUGCACCUUCAGACAAUCCAUUUGGUAGUAUCAGCUAUUUUUGUGAAUUGAUAUAAGAACAUUUUACUUCUCUAGUUAGCUUCUACAAAGAGACUCAUAAUCGAGUAAUAAAUAUAUAUGUUUGACACAGGCGGCUGAACGAUUUGGACGUGAUAGUAGGAGAGCAACCGCCCAAGAAACUUGAUGAAAAACUUGAUGUAUAAGAAGGGGGGCAUAUCCAACAAAAGUAUAAAGUCAGGUUGCAUUGGUCGCAUUGGUCUUUCCUUCUACAUAUUUAGUGCAAAAAUGCCAAAAAGGUGGAUGAGCUCCCAGGUAACACUCCAACAUUAAUAUAUCUUCAUAUGUGAUAACUAUUGGAAAAUUUUAGUCCCGUUUUGCUUCUGUGUGCGUGUAAAUUUCCAUGAAAAUUGACGAGAUUUGUACAACGUUUUUGAAUAAGUUUUUAUGAUUACAAAUCAAUCUACAGAAGUCAAACAAGCCAUCACGUUCAUCCACAUAGGUUAAAAAUAUAUUAUCCAUUGAUUUACAUUACGACGGUUGAGAUUAAAAGAUCGAAAAGGUUACGUAGAAUAAUGUUAUGUACAGAUUUUUAACAUCCAACACGUAACAAGCAUAAACAUCACGGAUUUAAAAAAGCAGCAAAACAAGUCCCUUUCAAGGAUUCAAUCGGUCCUUCAAAAAUCCAAACGGUAGUACAUGGAAAGUCCGAAUAGAAUAGGCCACAAAAAAGGAAGGUGUUUACAUCGUAAUGUAAGGAAGAGAGAGAAGAGAUUCCAUUAUUGUGACGGUCCAUAAUAGGUACAGGUGAUGGAAAGGUUAAAAUUAUCCUGAUAAUAUAUUUUAUAUAUUUGGAAACAAAUAUCGAAUAGUAAUCACAUCGCGGUUAUAAUCGGUGAACCCUAAUUAUACGUGAAUCCUAAAUCGUCUUGGCUCGGCCUUGGCUCCAUCGAAGCGCAUCGACGACAUCUGAACCGGUGGUGCUGCCGGCAUCGGCAUCACGGCGAAAGCUGGGACUGGGAAGAACCUCAUCAGACAAGAUGCCGCUAAGCCGACAGGAGAAACGAGGACACCCAAGGUAAUGAUGUGGAAGAAGGCCAUCAUCCUCACCGAGAACUGCCAGAUCUCCGGCGAGGCCGAUGAACCUGACGCACCAGUGUGCGACAGGCUGACAUCGGCGCCAUUACCUAUCAUCUCCCAAUGGAGCGCACCUCUCUGUGGGUUCCUUCAGCCUUAACGCCGAUGCCGGCGCUUCCUUCAACCUUGAAGCCAACACCGGCGCAAUUAAACCAGCGUGCCAUCGUCAAAACAGAGAAGCUCCUGCCAUAGCACCGCCGUCAGCGAUGAAAUCGCGGGUGCCACCAAAUCGGACAGCAAUCACUUCCACAAAUCCACAAGCACGUCCGGGCCGAGAGCAGCGUGAUGAUGAUAGAGAAAGAUGAAGAAGAGGAUGGGAGUCAUGGGAGUAAGCGCGGUUGCAGGAGGCAACGGGUGAGUGAGGGGCCAUCCGCCCUGGAGCUGCUGCAUAGCGAACCGCCGGUUCGGCCGCGCCGGCGAUGAACCGCAGCUUGUGCCAGUGGAUGCGCCAGUGCAUGAUGGAGGUAGUACGUGGCAUACGAGAACCGCGAGGAGCUGAGUACCAGCUGCAGCGGCUCGGCUGAACUGGGAGCAGCUCUGGGCCAGCAAGGAUCAUACGCACCGAGAUGGAAAGCAUCAGCAGCGACGACGACAUGUGCAGUGCCACCCUCUCCGAUGACAUCGCAGGAGCACUUCUGGAGCAUCACAAGGAGCAAAGGAGCCAUUGUGUAGUAUCGCAGCGCAAGCGACGUGAUUAAUUUUCUACGAGUCAGGUUGCAUUGGUCACAUUGGUCUUUCCUUCUACGUAUUUAGUGCAAAAAUGCCAAAAAGGUGGAUGAGCUCCCAGGUAACACUGCAACAAUAAUAUAUCUUCAUAUGUGAUAACUAUUGGAAAAUUUUAGUCCCGUUUUGCUUCUAUGUGCGUGUAAAUUUCAUGAAAAUUGACGAGAUUUGUACAACGUUUUUGAAUAAGUUUUUAUGAUUACAAAUCAAUCUAUUAAAAAAUCAAUCAUAAAAAAUAUAUUAUUUUAUGCAAAUUUACACAUGCUUGACACAUGAAUAUGUGCACCUUCAGACAAUCCAUUUGGUAGUAUCAGCUAUUUUUGUGAAUUGAUAUAAGAACAUUUUACUUCUCUAGUUAGCUUCUACAUAGAGACUCAUAAUCGAGUAAUAAAUAUAUAUGUUUGACACAGGCGGCUGAACGAUUUGGACGUGAUAGUAGGAGAGCAACCGCCCAAGAAACUUGAUGAAAAACUUGAUGUAUAAGAAGGGGGGCAUAUCCAACAAAAGUAUAAAGUCAGGUUGCAUUGGUCGCAUUGGUCUUUCCUUCUACAUAUUUAGUGCAAAAAUGCCAAAAAGGUGGAUGAGCUCCCAGGUAACACUGCAACAUUAAUAUAUCUUCAUAUGUGAUAACUAUUGGAAAAUUUUAGUCCCGUUUUGCUUCUGUGUGCGUGUAAAUUUCCAUGAAAAUUGACGAGAUUUGUACAACGUUUCUGAAUAAGUUUUUAUGAUUACAAAUCAAUCUACAAAAGUCAAACAAGCCAUCACGUUCAUCCACAUAGGUUAAAAAUAUAUUAUCCAUUGAUUUACAUUACGACGGUUGAGAUUAAAAGAUCGAAAAGGUUACGUAGAAUAAUGUUAUGUACAGAUUUUUAACAUCCAACACGUAACAAGCAUAAACAUCACGGAUUUAAAAAAGCAGCAAAACAAGUCCCUUUCAAGGAUUCAAUCGGUCCUUCAAAAAUCCAAACGGUAGUACAUGGAAAGUCCGAAUAGAAUAGGCCACAAAAAAGGAAGGUGUUUACAUCGUAAUGUAAGGAAGAGAGAGAAGAGAUUCCAUUAUUGUGACGGUCCAUAAUAGGUACAGGUGAUGGAAAGGUUAAAAUUAUCCUGAUAAUAUAUUUUAUAUAUUUGGAAACAAAUAUCGAAUAGUAAUCACAUCGCGGUUAUAAUCGGUGAACCCUAAUUAUACGUGAAUCCUAAAUCGUCUUGGCUCGGCCUUGGCUCCAUCGAAGCGCAUCGACGACAUCUGAACCGGUGGUGCUGCCGGCAUCGGCAUCACGGCGAAAGCUGGGACUGGGAAGAACCUCAUCAGACAAGAUGCCGCUAAGCCGACAGGAGAAACGAGGACACCCAAGGUAAUGAUGUGGAAGAAGGCCAUCAUCCUCACCGAGAACUGCCAGAUCUCCGGCGAGGCCGAUGAACCUGACGCACCAGUGUGCGACAGGCUGACAUCGGCGCCAUUACCUAUCAUCUCCCAAUGGAGCGCACCUCUCUGUGGGUUCCUUCAGCCUUAACGCCGAUGCCGGCGCUUCCUUCAACCUUGAAGCCAACGCCGGCGCAAUUAAACCAGCGUGCCAUCGUCAAAACAGAGAAGCUCCUGCCAUAGCACCGCCGUCAGCGAUGAAAUCGCGGGUGCCACCAAAUCGGACAGCAAUCACUUCCACAAAUCCACAAGCACGUCCGGGCCGAGAGCAGCGUGAUGAUGAUAGAGAAAGAUGAAGAAGAGGAUGGGAGUCAUGGGAGUAAGCGCGGUUGCAGGAGGCAACGGGUGAGUGAGGGGCCAUCCGCCCUAGAGCUGCUGCAUAGCGAACCGCCGGUUCGGCUGCGCCGGCGAUGAACCACAGCUUGUGCCAGUGGAUGCGCCAGUGUAUGAUGGAGGUAGUACGUGGCAUACGAGAACCGCGAGGAGCUGAGUACCAGCUGCAGCGGCUCGGCUGAACUGGGAGCAGCUCUGGGCCAGCAAGGAUCAUACGCACCGAGAUGGAAAGCAUCAGCAGCGACGACGACAUGUGCAGUGCCACCCUCUCCGAUGACAUCGCAGGAGCACUUCUGGAGCAUCACAAGGAGCAAAGGAGCCAUUGUGUAGUAUCGCAGCGCAAGCGACGUGAUUAAUUUUCUACGAGUCAGGUUGCAUUGGUCGCAUUGGUCUUUCCUUCUACGUAUUUAGUGCAAAAAUGCCAAAAAGGUGGAUGAGCUCCCAGGUAACACUGCAACAAUAAUAUAUCUUCAUAUGUGAUAACUAUUGGAAAAUUUUAGUCCCGUUUUGCUUCUAUGUGCGUGUAAAUUUCAUGAAAAUUGACGAGAUUUGUACAACGUUUUUGAAUAAGUUUUUAUGAUUACAAAUCAAUCUAUUAAAAAAUCAAUCAUAAAAAAUAUAUUAUUUUAUGCAAAUUUACACAUGCUUGACACAUGAAUAUGUGCACCUUCAGACAAUCCAUUUGGUAGUAUCAGCUAUUUUUGUGAAUUGAUAUAAGAACAUUUUACUUCUCUAGUUAGCUUCUACAUAGAGACUCAUAAUCGAGUAAUAAAUAUAUAUGUUUGACACAGGCGGCUGAACGAUUUGGACGUGAUAGUAGGAGAGCAACCGCCCAAGAAACUUGAUGAAAAACUUGAUGUAUAAGAAGGGGGGCAUAUCCAACAAAAGUAUAAAGUCAGGUUGCAUUGGUCGCAUUGGUCUUUCCUUCUACAUAUUUAGUGCAAAAAUGCCAAAAAGGUGGAUGAGCUCCCAGGUAACACUGCAACAUUAAUAUAUCUUCAUAUGUGAUAACUAUUGGAAAAUUUUAGUCCCGUUUUGCUUCUGUGUGCGUGUAAAUUUCCAUGAAAAUUGACGAGAUUUGUACAACGUUUCUGAAUAAGUUUUUAUGAUUACAAAUCAAUCUACAAAAGUCAAACAAGCCAUCACGUUCAUCCACAUAGGUUAAAAAUAUAUUAUCCAUUGAUUUACAUUACGACGGUUGAGAUUAAAAGAUCGAAAAGGUUACGUAGAAUAAUGUUAUGUACAGAUUUUUAACAUCCAACACGUAACAAGCAUAAACAUCACGGAUUUAAAAAAGCAGCAAAACAAGUCCCUUUCAAGGAUUCAAUCGGUCCUUCAAAAAUCCAAACGGUAGUACAUGGAAAGUCCGAAUAGAAUAGGCCACAAAAAAGGAAGGUGUUUACAUCGUAAUGUAAGGAAGAGAGAGAAGAGAUUCCAUUAUUGUGACGGUCCAUAAUAGGUACAGGUGAUGGAAAGGUUAAAAUUAUCCUGAUAAUAUAUUUUAUAUAUUUGGAAACAAAUAUCGAAUAGUAAUCACAUCGCGGUUAUAAUCGGUGAACCCUAAUUAUACGUGAAUCCUAAAUCGUCUUGGCUCGGCCUUGGCUCCAUCGAAGCGCAUCGACGACAUCUGAACCGGUGGUGCUGCCGGCAUCGGCAUCACGGCGAAAGCUGGGACUGGGAAGAACCUCAUCAGACAAGAUGCCGCUAAGCCGACAGGAGAAACGAGGACCCCCAAGGUAAUGAUGUGGAAGAAGGCCAUCAUCCUCACCGAGAACUGCCAGAUCUCCGGCGAGGCCGAUGAACCUGACGCACCAGUGUGCGACAGGCUGACAUCGGCGCCAUUACCUAUCAUCUCCCAAUGGAGCGCACCUCUCUGUGGGUUCCUUCAGCCUUAACGCCGAUGCCGGCGCUUCCUUCAACCUUGAAGCCAACGCCGGCGCAAUUAAACCAGCGUGCCAUCGUCAAAACAGAGAAGCUCCUGCCAUAGCACCGCCGUCAGCGAUGAAAUCGCGGGUGCCACCAAAUCGGACAGCAAUCACUUCCACAAAUCCACAAGCACGUCCGGGCCGAGAGCAGCGUGAUGAUGAUAGAGAAAGAUGAAGAAGAGGAUGGGACUCAUGGGAGUAAGCGCGGUUGCAGGAGGCAACGGGUGAGUGAGGGGCCAUCCGCCCUGCAGCUGCUGCAUAGCGAACUGCCGGUUCGGCCGCGCCGGCGAUGAACCGCAGCUUGUGCCAGUGGAUGCGCCAGUGCAUGAUGGAGGUAGUACGUGGCAUACGAGAACCGCGAGGAGCUGAGUACCAGCUGCAGCGGCUCGGCUGAACUGGGAGCAGCUCUGGGCCAGCAAGGAUCAUACGCACCGAGAUGGAAAGCAUCAGCAGCGACGACGACAUGUGCAGUGCCACCCUCUCCGAUGACAUCGCAGGAGCACUUCUGGAGCAUCACAAGGAGCAAAGGAGCCAUUGUGUAGUAUCGCAGCGCAAGCGACGUGAUUAAUUUUCUAUGAGUCAGGUUGCAUUGGUCGCAUUGGUCUUUCCUUCUACGUAUUUAGUGCAAAAAUGCCAAAAAGGUGGAUGAGCUCCCAGGUAACACUGCAACAAUAAUAUAUCUUCAUAUGUGAUAACUAUUGGAAAAUUUUAGUCCCGUUUUGCUUCUGUGUGCGUGUAAAUUUCAUGAAAAUUGACGAGAUUUGUACAACGUUUUUGAAUAAGUUUUUAUGAUUACAAAUCAAUCUAUUAAAAAAUCAAUCAUAAAAAAUAUAUUAUUUUAUGCAUAUUUACACAUGCUUGACACAUGAAUAUGUGCACCUUCAGACAAUCCAUUUGGUAGUAUCAGCUAUUUUUGUGAAUUGAUAUAAGAACAUUUUACUUCUCUAGUUAGCUUCUACAUAGAGACUCAUAAUCGAGUAAUAAAUAUAUAUGUUUGACACAGGCGGCUGAACGAUUUGGACGUGAUAGUAGGAGAGCAACCGCCCAAGAAACUUGAUGAAAAACUUGAUGUAUAAGAAGGGGGGCAUAUCCAACAAAAGUAUAAAGUCAGGUUGCAUUGGUCGCAUUGGUCUUUCCUUCUACAUAUUUAGUGCAAAAAUGCCAAAAAGGUGGAUGAGCUCCCAGGUAACACUGCAACAAUAAUAUAUCUUCAUAUGUGAUAACUAUUGGAAAAUUUUAGUCCCGUUUUGCUUCUGUGUGCGUGUAAAUUUCCACGAAAAUUGACGAGAUUUGUACAACGUUUUUGAAUAAGUUUUUAUGAUUACAAAUCAAUCUACAGAAGUCAAACAAGCCAUCACGUUCAUCCACAUAGGUUAAAAAUAUAUUAUCCAUUGAUUUACAUUACGAUGGUUGAGAUUAAAAGAUCGAAAAGGUUACGUAGAAUAAUGUUAUGUACAGAUUUUUAACAUCCAUCACGUAACAAGCAUAAACAUCACGGAUUUAAAAAAGCAGCAAAACAAGUCCCUUUCAAGGAUUCAAUCGGUCCUUUAAAAAUCCAAACGGUAGCACAUGGAAAGUCCGAAUAGAAUAGGCCACAAAAAAGGAAGGUGUUUCCAUCGUAAUGUAAGGAAGAGAGAGAAGAGAUUCCAUUAUUGUGACGGUGCAUAAUAGGUACAGGUGAUGGAAAGGUUAAAAUUAUCCCGAUAAUAUAUUUUAUAUAUUUGGAAACAAAUAUCGAAUAGUAAUCAAAUUGCGGUUAUAAUCGGUGAACCCUAAAUAUACGUGAAUCCUAAAUCGUCUUGGCUCGGCCUUGGCUCCAUCGAAGCGCAUCGACGACAUCUGAACCGGUGGUGCUGCCGGCAUCGGCAUCACGGCGAAAGCUGGGACUGGGAAGAACCUCAUCAGACGAGAUGCCGCUAAGCCGACAGGAGAAACGAGGACCCCCAAGGUAAUGAUGUGGAAGAAGGCCAUCAUCCUCACCGAGAACUGCCAGAUCUCCGGCGAGGCCGAUGAACCUGACGCACCAGUGUGCGACAGGCUGACAUCGGCGCCAUUACCUAUCAUCUCCCAAUGGAGCGCACCUCUCUGUGGGUUCCUUCAGCCUUAACGCCGAUGCCGGCGCUUCCUUCAACCUUGAAGCCAACGCCGGCGCAAUUAAACCAGCGUGCCAUCGUCAAAACAGAGAAGCUCCUGCCAUAGCACCGCCGUCAGCGAUGAAAUCGCGGGUGCCACCAAAUCGGACAGCAAUCACUUCCACAAAUCCACAAGCACGUCCGGGCCGAGAGCAGCGUGAUGAUGAUAGAGAAAGAUGAAGAAGAGGAUGGGACUCAUGGGAGUAAGCGCGGUUGCAGGAGGCAACGGGUGAGUGAGGGGCCAUCCGCCCUGCAGCUGCUGCAUAGCGAACCGCCGGUUCGGCCGCGCCGGCGAUGAACCACAGCUUGUGCCAGUGGAUGCGCCAGUGCAUGAUGGAGGUAGUACGUGGCAUACGAGAACCGCGAGGAGCUGAGUACCAGCUGCAGCGGCUCGGCUGAACUGGGAGCAGCUCUGGGCCAGCAAGGAUCAUACGCACCGAGAUGGAAAGCAUCAGCAGCGACGACGACAUGUGCAGUGCCACCCUCUCCGAUGACAUCGCAGGAGCACUUCUGGAGCAUCACAAGGAGCAAAGGAGCCAUUGUGUAGUAUCGCAGCGCAAGCGACGUGAUUAAUUUUCUACGAGUCAGGUUGCAUUGGUCGCAUUGGUCUUUCCUUCUACGUAUUUAGUGCAAAAAUGCCAAAAAGGUGGAUGAGCUCCCAGGUAACACUGCAACAAUAAUAUAUCUUCAUAUGUGAUAACUAUUGGAAAAUUUUAGUCCCGUUUUGCUUCUAUGUGCGUGUAAAUUUCAUGAAAAUUGACGAGAUUUGUACAACGUUUUUGAAUAAGUUUUUAUGAUUACAAAUCAAUCUAUUAAAAAAUCAAUCAUAAAAAAUAUAUUAUUUUAUGCAUAUUUACACAUGCUUGACACAUGAAUAUGUGCACCUUCAGACAAUCCAUUUGGUAGUAUCAGCUAUUUUUGUGAAUUGAUAUAAGAACAUUUUACUUCUCUAGUUAGCUUCUACAUAGAGACUCAUAAUCGAGUAAUAAAUAUAUAUGUUUGACACAGGCGGCUGAACGAUUUGGACGUGAUAGUAGGAGAGCAACCGCCCAAGAAACUUGAUGAAAAACUUGAUGUAUAAGAAGGGGGGCAUAUCCAACAAAAGUAUAAAGUCAGGUUGCAUUGGUCGCAUUGGUCUUUCCUUCUACAUAUUUAGUGCAAAAAUGCCAAAAAGGUGGAUGAGCUCCCAGGUAACACUGCAACAAUAAUAUAUCUUCAUAUGUGAUAACUAUUGGAAAAUUUUAGUCCCGUUUUGCUUCUGUGUGCGUGUAAAUUUCCACGAAAAUUGACGAGAUUUGUACAACGUUUUUGAAUAAGUUUUUAUGAUUACAAAUCAAUCUACAGAAGUCAAACAAGCCAUCACGUUCAUCCACAUAGGUUAAAAAUAUAUUAUCCAUUGAUUUACAUUACGAUGGUUGAGAUUAAAAGAUCGAAAAGGUUACGUAGAAUAAUGUUAUGUACAGAUUUUUAACAUCCAUCACGUAACAAGCAUAAACAUCACGGAUUUAAAAAAGCAGCAAAACAAGUCCCUUUCAAGGAUUCAAUCGGUCCUUUAAAAAUCCAAACGGUAGCACAUGGAAAGUCCGAAUAGAAUAGGCCACAAAAAAGGAAGGUGUUUCCAUCGUAAUGUAAGGAAGAGAGAGAAGAGAUUCCAUUAUUGUGACGGUGCAUAAUAGGUACAGGUGAUGGAAAGGUUAAAAUUAUCCCGAUAAUAUAUUUUAUAUAUUUGGAAACAAAUAUCGAAUAGUAAUCACAUCGCGGUUAUAAUCGGUGAACCCUAAAUAUACGUGAAUCCUAAAUCGUCUUGGCUCGGCCUUGGCUCCAUCGAAGCGCAUCGACGACAUCUGAACCGGUGGUGCUGCCGGCAUCGGCAUCACGACGAAAGCUGGGACUGGGAAGAACCUCAUCAGACAAGAUGCCGCUAAGCCGACAGGAGAAACGAGGACCCCCAAGGUAAUGAUGUGGAAGAAGGCCAUCAUCCUCACCGAGAACUGCCAGAUCUCCGGCGAGGCCGAUGAACCUGACGCACCAGUGUGCGACAGGCUGACAUCGGCGCCAUUACCUAUCAUCUCCCAAUGGAGCGCACCUCUCUGUGGGUUCCUUCAGCCUUAACGCCGAUGCCGGCGCUUCCUUCAACCUUAAAGCCAACGCCGGCGCAAUUAAACCAGCGUGCCAUUGUCAAAACAGAGAAGCUCCUGCCAUAGCACCGCCGUCAGCGAUGAAAUCGCGGGUGCCACCAAAUCGGACAGCAAUCACUUCCACAAAUCCACAAGCACGUCCGGGCCGAGAGCAGCGUGAUGAUGAUAGAGAAAGAUGAAGAAGAGGAUGGGACUCAUGGGAGUAAGCGCGGUUGCAGGAGGCAACGGGUGAGUGAGGGGCCAUCCGCCCUGCAGCUGCUGCAUAGCGAACUGCCGGUUCGGCCGCGCCGGCGAUGAACCGCAGCUUGUGCCAGUGGAUGCGCCAGUGCAUGAUGGAGGUAGUACGUGGCAUACGAGAACCGCGAGGAGCUGAGUACCAGCUGCAGCGGCUCGGCUGAACUGGGAGCAGCUCUGGGCCAGCAAGGAUCAUACGCACCGAGAUGGAAAGCAUCAGCAGCGACGACGACAUGUGCAGUGCCACCCUCUCCGAUGACAUCGCAGGAGCACUUCUGGAGCAUCACAAGGAGCAAAGGAGCCAUUGUGUAGUAUCGCAGCGCAAGCGACGUGAUUAAUUUUCUAUGAGUCAGGUUGCAUUGGUCGCAUUGGUCUUUCCUUCUACGUAUUUAGUGCAAAAAUGCCAAAAAGGUGGAUGAGCUCCCAGGUAACACUGCAACAAUAAUAUAUCUUCAUAUGUGAUAACUAUUGGAAAAUUUUAGUCCCGUUUUGCUUCUGUGUGCGUGUAAAUUUCAUGAAAAUUGACGAGAUUUGUACAACGUUUUUGAAUAAGUUUUUAUGAUUACAAAUCAAUCUAUUAAAAAAUCAAUCAUAAAAAAUAUAUUAUUUUAUGCAUAUUUACACAUGCUUGACACAUGAAUAUGUGCACCUUCAGACAAUCCAUUUGGUAGUAUCAGCUAUUUUUGUGAAUUGAUAUAAGAAAAUUUUACUUCUCUAGUUAGCUUCUACAUAGAGACUCAUAAUCGAGUAAUAAAUAUAUAUGUUUGACACAGGCGGCUGAACGAUUUGGACGUGAUAGUAGGAGAGCAACCGCCCAAGAAACUUGAUGAAAAACUUGAUGUAUAAGAAGGGGGGCAUAUCCAACAAAAGUAUAAAGUCAGGUUGCAUUGGUCGCAUUGGUCUUUCCUUCUACAUAUUUAGUGCAAAAAUGCCAAAAAGGUGGAUGAGCUCCCAGGUAACACUGCAACAAUAAUAUAUCUUCAUAUGUGAUAACUAUUGGAAAAUUUUAGUCCCGUUUUGCUUCUGUGUGCGUGUAAAUUUCCAUGAAAAUUGACGAGAUUUGUACAACGUUUUUGAAUAAGUUUUUAUGAUUACAAAUCAAUCUACAGAAGUCAAACAAGCCAUCACGUUCAUCCACAUAGGUUAAAAAUAUAUUAUCCAUUGAUUUACAUUACGACGGUUGAGAUUAAAAGAUCGAAAAGGUUACGUAGAAUAAUGUUAUGUACAGAUUUUUAACAUCCAACACGUAACAAGCAUAAACAUCACGGAUUUAAAAAAAGCAGCAAAACAAGUCCCUUUCAAGGAUUCAAUCGGUCCUUCAAAAAUCCAAACGGUAGUACAUGGAAAGUCCGAAUAGAAUAGGCCACAAAAAAGGAAGGUGUUUCCAUCGUAAUAUAAGGAAGAGAGAGAAGAGAUUCCAUUAUUGUGACGGUCCAUAAUAGGUACAGGUGAUGGAAAGGUUAAAAUUAUCCCGAUAAUAUAUUUUAUAUAUUUGGAAACAAAUAUCGAAUAGUAAUCACAUCGCGGUUAUAAUCGGUGAACCCUAAUUAUACGUGAAUCCUAAAUCGUCUUGGCUCGGCCUUGGCUCCAUCGAAGCGCAUCGACGACAUCUGAACCGGUGGUGCUGCCGGCAUCGGCAUCACGUCGAAAGCUGGGACUGGGAAGAACCUCAUCAGACAAGAUGCCGCUAAGCCGACAGGAGAAACGAGGACCCCCAAGGUAAUCAUGUGGAAGAAGGCCAUCAUCCUCACCGAGAACUGCCAGAUCUCCGGCGAGGCCGAUGAACCUGACGCACCAGUGUGCGACAGGCUGACAUCGGCGCCAUUACCUAUCAUCUCCCAAUGGAGCGCACCUCUCUGUGGGUUCCUUCAGCCUUAACGCCGAUGCCGGCGCUUCCUUCAACCUUGAAGCCAACGCCGGCGCAAUUAAACCAGUGUGCCAUCGUCAAAACAGAGAAGCUCCUGCCAUAGCACCGCCGUCAGCGAUGAAAUCGCGGGUGCCACCAACUCGGACAGCAAUCACUUCCACAAAUCCACAAGCACGUCCGGGCCGAGAGCAGCGUGAUGAUGAUAGAGAAAGAUGAAGAAGAGGAUGGGACUCAUGGGAGUAAGCGCGGUUGCAGGAGGCAACGGGUGAGUGAGGGGCCAUCCGCCCUGGAGCCGCUGCAUAGCGAACCGCCGGUUCGGCCGCGCCGGCGAUGAACCGCAGCUUGUGCCAGUGGAUGCGCCAGUGCAUGAUGGAGGUAGUACGUGGCAUACGAGAACCGCGAGGAGCUGAGUACCAGCUGCAGCGGCUCGGCUGAACUGGGAGCAGCUCUGGGCCAGCAAGGAUCAUACGCACCGAGAUGGAAAGCAUCAGCAGCGACGACGACAUGUGCAGUGCCACCCUCUCCGAUGACAUCGCAGGAGCACUUCUGGAGCAUCACAAGGAGCAAAGGAGCCAUUGUGUAGUAUCGCAGCGCAAGCGACGUGAUUAAUUUUCUACGAGUCAGGUUGCAUUGGUCGCAUUGGUCUUUCCUUCUACGUAUUUAGUGCAAAAAUGCCAAAAAGGUGGAUGAGCUCCCAGGUAACACUGCAACAAUAAUAUAUCUUCAUAUGUGAUAACUAUUGGAAAAUUUUAGUCCCGUUUUGCUUCUGUGUGCGUGUAAAUUUCAUGAAAAUUGACGAGAUUUGUACAACGUUUUUGAAUAAGUUUUUAUGAUUACAAAUCAAUCUAUUAAAAAAUCAAUCAUAAAAAAUAUAUUAUUUUAUGCAAAUUUACACAUGCUUGACACAUGAAUAUGUGCACCUUCAGACAAUCCAUUUGGUAGUAUCAGCUAUUUUUGUGAAUUGAUAUAAGAACAUUUUACUUCUCUAGUUAGCUUCUACAUAGAGACUCAUAAUCGAGUAAUAAAUAUGUAUGUUUGACACAGGCGGCUGAACGAUUUGGACGUGAUAGUAGGAGAGCAACCGCCCAAGAAACUUGAUGAAAAACUUGAUGUAUAAGAAGGGGGGCAUAUCCAACAAAAGUAUAAAGUCAGGUUGCAUUGGUCGCAUUGGUCUUUCCUUCUACAUAUUUAGUGCAAAAAUGCCAAAAAGGUGGAUGAGCUCCCAGGUAACACUGCAACAAUAAUAUAUCUUCAUAUGUGAUAACUAUUGGAAAAUUUUAGUCCCGUUUUGCUUCUGUGUGCGUGUAAAUUUCCACGAAAAUUGACGAGAUUUGUACAACGUUUUUGAAUAAGUUUUUAUGAUUACAAAUCAAUCUAUUAAAAAAUCAAUCAUAAAAAAUAUAUUUUUUUAUGCAAAUUUAUACAUGCUUGACACAUGAAUAUGUGCACCUUCAGACAAUGCAUUUGGUAGUAUCAGCUAUUUUUGUAAAUUGAUAUAAGAACAUUUUACUUCUCUAGAUAGCUUCUACAUAGAGACUCAUAAUCGAGUAAUAAAUAUAUAUGUUUGACACAGGCGGCUGAACGAUUUGUACGUGAUAGUAGGAGAGCAACCGCCCAAGAUGUAUAAGAAGGGUGGCAUAUCCAACAAAAGUAUAAAGUGAUGAUGCAUUUGCAAAUUAUAUAUAUGUAUAUAUAUGUAUAUAUGUAUAUAUGUAUAUAUGUAUAUAUGUAUAUAUGUAUAUAUACAUAUAUACAUAUAUAUAUAUAUGUAUAUAUGUAUAUAUAUAUAUACGGGCGAGCGUUAAAACACUCGAUUCAUAACCUCUCCUCCAGUUAAUUCUAUUAAUUAGUGGAUCCAGUCUUUACUUCCUUAAAUCUCUGUCGCAAUAAAUUAAAUAUGUGCGGCCCAGCAUUGCCUUCCAUAAAUCUCUCUGCCCCCUGAUUUCAAUGGGGUGGGGCCAGGUGCGUCCCUUAAUUUUUCUGUCAUAAGGAUUUGCUUAAAAGGAAGUUUNNNNNNNNNNNNNNNNNNNNNNNNNNNNNNNNNNNNNNNNNNNNNNNNNNNNNNNNNNNNNNNNNNNNNNNNNNNNNNNNNNNNNNNNNNNNNNNNNNNNNNNNNNNNNNNNNNNNNNNNNNNNNNNNNNNNNNNNNNNNNNNNNNNNNNNNNNNNNNNNNNNNNNNNNNNNNNNNNNNNNNNNNNNNNNNNNNNNNNNNNNNNNNNNNNNNNNNNNNNNNNNNNNNNNNNNNNNNNNNNNNNNNNNNNNNNNNNNNNNNNNNNNNNNNNNNNNNNNNNNNNNNNNNNNNNNNNNNNNNNNNNNNNNNNNNNNNNNNNNNNNNNNNNNNNNNNNNNNNNNNNNNNNNNNNNNNNNNNNNNNNNNNNNNNNNNNNNNNNNNNNNNNNNNNNNNNNNNNNNNNNNNNNNNNNNNNNNNNNNNNNNNNNNNNNNNNNNNNNNNNNNNNNNNNNNNNNNNNNNNNNNNNNNNNNNNNNNNNNNNNNNNNNNNNNNNNNNNNNNNNNNNNNNNNNNNNNNNNNNNNNNNNNNNNNNNNNAUUAUUCGUUUUGUAACCUCAAUGAUAUAGUGGGGAACUCCAUGUCGAUCACUAUCAGUCUACGUAACUCAUAAUCACACUUAAAUGACAUAGGAGUUGGGGUUUGAUGAAUCAAGCAAAAUAAGUUUGUAAAAUCGGGUCUGAUGAACUAAUGAAGGUGAAUGUUUUUUUUUCAUAAACAGUUAAAAGCAGGUGUCCUCAGUCGACGACUACAUUCAUAGUGGGGAUUGCCGAUGAAACAUGCCACAUAAGGCGAAUAUCAUAACUUCAUGGCUAUAGAGGCUUGAAGAAGAGCAAUGAAGUGAAAAAAGUUGUACAUUUAUAUUUAAAUGAUUUAACUACGUACAUUAAUAACUAUAAAUAAGCCCUCCCUGAGAAAACAAUAAUAUGUUUUUUUACUAUCAAAUUUCAUUAAAAUGUUUGCAAUUCUAAUAACGUAUUCUAAAACCCAUGAUUGUUGAACCAAUUUUAGUGCCAGGUAAUAAUUAAAAUUGAUGAUUUACUAUGUUGGUUUGACCAAACAAAAAAGAAAACACUCAAAUGUCAACAAAUGGUUGUCUAAAAUGCAUAAAUGAUAUAUAAUAAAUUUCUAGCCGCGCAAAUGCGCGGGUUGCCCCACUAGUUAUACAAAAUUUUGCAUAUUUCGGUGCGGUCCGAACUGUUUUUAAUCUCGAAAUUUCGACUCACAUUCAAACUGAUUUUAAAAAUAAAUGUAUAUCAAUAUAAAAUCCAACAAAUUCUCCACGCAUAAAAAUUAAUGUAAUUUAAAAUCUCGAAAUGAAAAAAAGAUAUUUGAAACUAAUUGCCGGUUUGAUGUGUUUUAAAAAUGUACAACCCAUUUCUCAUUACUGAUAGGCCAUUUUCUCGGUCAGCCGAAUGAAGCUCUCCUCGUCUUGAAAGAUUGUUAGCCCAACAGGCCUGACAAAACGACUUACUUGGCAAAUCACAAAAAAACUGGGAUGUGGCCUUGGACCCAGCUGUCCGCCUCUCCACGUACAGUACUCUUCCGAUGGAAGUCGGUCGGUUACCACAUUGACCACGCCGCGCUGAGAGCACCAAGGCGGUGGACGACGGUGAGGCCUAGGAAGGGGACGACAAGGUGCCGGGGAAGACGCGGCAGUGCAUGCCCACGCGGUCGAGGUGCACAUUCUUCGUCGCGACCUCCGGCACCUGCAGGGCCACCAAGGCUUGAAAGAGUUUGUCACCAUCUAGGCCGAUGAGGGUGGCAGGCAAUGAGGAGCCUGGGCGCGUGGGCUGGAGCAGUACGGCAAGGUCGUCCGCACGCUUCUUGACGGCGGUGAACUUGCGGAUGGAGUUGACCAUCAUGUCGUCCAUGCGAGAGGCGAAGCCGGCGUCGGCGAGGGCUACGAUGCCUGCGGUCGCCAGCACCGUCUGGAAACGCUGCACGGUGCGGGGCCGCAGGCCGGCGCCUUGGAUGAUUUGGCACAGCCGACUGCGGCUCGCGUCCAUCGCCUCCAUAGGUGCUUGUGGCUUCUGGUCACUUGGUCUUGGAUUGGAGUGAGCAGUGUUGCGCAGAGACUUGGGAGUAGAUGGAUUGGAGAGGUGGGGCGCCUUUAUUAUAUGAGAGUGCAAACUCUGUUGCAUUCACAUCGUGUUGGCUCUAGUCUGCUUCUCCAAUUAAUUCCCUCUGCAUGUAAUUGAGGAUGCAUCAUUGACCGUUCAACGUCUCGGAAACUGCUACCCUAUUCCUCCUUGGCAUUCUAGCACCUAUGGACCCGUCGACGACGAGGUGUCUAUGGUGACUUCGUAAAUUUCAAGAUGAUACUUAGUGUCGUGCGUGUGUGCGUUCAUAGGGGUGAGUGUAUGCGUGUGUAUAUGAGCGCUUGCGUCUGUACUGUGUCAAAAAAAACAACGUAAAUGCGUGUCAAAAAGAGACUAGUCAGUAUACUCAAUAUUCUGCACCUCGGAGAGGAAAACGAUAGAACUAUUACGUAUUUAUUUACGGUGCAGAUUCACUCAUUUUGCUCCAUAUGUACUCCGUCUCGGUGUAGUCUAGUCACUUGUUGAAAUCUCUAGAAGGGCAAAUACUCCUUUCUGGUUUACAGGGCUAUACUAGCAAGUAGUUGUACGUACUAAUACAAUAGUGGGCUCACAUAGCAAUUUUGUCUCAUGCAAGAGCCUGGCUAUAUGCGUGCUCCAAUGUUCGCAACUACAACGUUUAGUUUGCGCUUGGCUCUUCGCCUCUUCGAGAAGACGAACAAUGAUGUUACUACUACUGCUUCUACAGUGUCGAAUCUACUGCUGCAUGUCCGUCCACCGAGAGCGGGACGGAUAGCUUGUUGUAAAAGUACUACUAAGCAAAAGCCUAUCCUCAUUUGCGAGAAACAGCGCGCAUGGGCGAGGGAGAAGGUGUGUAGUAAAAUCAAGCUUCUCCUCGUUCUACGAGUUGACGCGACACAUCAUAGCACUGGCCCCACAUGCUUGCCUCUAAACUUGGCUGAAAGACCCGAAGUGUACAAUAUAUUUGCUGCAACCUCUAACAUUUACCCAACACAAAUUAAAAUAUAUGUGGUCGUAUGCAUCAUUCUGAUGCAGAGGUCGGGGAGUCCCCCCUUUUCGAAAAAAAACAAAUUAAAUAUAUAUAUUCCUGUCUUGACCAGAUGAGCGUGCAAACUACAAUCACCAGGGUGACAGGUAGGGCUAGAAGACUAUUUUAAUUUAAAAAAAACUUCGUGACGGCCACAUAGCUUGGAGCCGACCCCAACAAUUUUAAGCUUACAGGCACGGUACACGCUAUCUAGACUACUCUACACAUGAAACUGCCACGCGAGCGUCCGGGCUGCGCUUGGCUCUUCGCCUCUUCGGGAAGUCGAAAAAUGAUGGUGUACUACUGCACUUGAGGAGUACUAUAGUACGCUUCUGGCCAUCUGACACCGAUUGAACUGCUACAUGUCCACCGCGUGCGGGAGGGAGAGCGUGUAGCGAAAGCUUCUCCUAGUCUUGCCAGCCACCACGCUCAUGGGUGAGGGAAGGACGCUCCUUUCUUUGCAUGUAUGACAGGUGGGCCCGACAGGUGUGUGGCCAACCUGUCAUACAGCCAAAGGCAGGUGCAGUUAAGUCCACGAGGGAGAGGAUAAUCAAACUUCUCGUUGAUGUACGAGUUGAUGCGACACAUCAAAGCACUGCACUCGAUAUAUUUCAAUAAUUUAGGGUUACCGAUGCAUUAAUUACAACGCAUGCAUGCAUGCCGUGACUCUCCUUUUGAUACUUGCAUGUGUUGAUUUAAUGCACCUUGAAGUAGUACUCCCUCCGAUUCCUUUUACUUUGCGUACAACUUUUUCUUGUUUUUCUCGGAUUAGUCUAUGCGUCCGCGUUGGUUUCCAUCUGUGCCCCCGCUCGAUUAGUUAUGCCCCCAUUAAUCGCGCCAGUUUCCAAUUCAGAAAAUGGCUACAGGCAAAUGCGUGCAGCGUCCGAUGCGGCUUGACCGCCUGGGGAAGCCAACUCAAGCGAAAAGGAAGGAGGACCAGCCAACCAUUGCAUGCGCACUUACUGUCGAUAUUUAUGCAGCUUACUCAUGCGCAGGGGCAAAUUUGUCCAAAAAACUCAAACUACUGUCUUCCUUGGUAUGCAGGAGGAUAGUUAUGCACAGAGAAUAAAAUAUGUGACGGUAAAUCUUUGUAAUGCCCCGACCCAAGCGAGAGAUGGUUGUGCACGAGGAGGGCGAGAUCAUGCAGACGGAACAGGAACUGUGAGGGAUCUCACUAAGGUCUCAAUGGACCUCACCGUGCUCCACUACCCCUUGUGCCUCCUCCCCUUGACGCCUCCAGUGUAUGAGGUUCGAAUACACCUCGUCCAUUCGGCUGAUUCAGCAAGGUGCAGGUUUCUUUAUUGAUGUGUUGUUCGAUUGAUUUCUGCAGUGCAAGGGAGGGCACCUGGCCUGCGCGGACUGCCGCGUCGAGCGCCCCGUGAACCAGCGGCAGUGCCAUAAGUGCGAGCGCGGCGGUGUCUUCGACGUGUGGAACACGGCGGUGGACGCCGUCGUUUCGUCGCUGAGGGUGGAGUGCCCACACGAAGGCUGUAGGCUCUACGUCACUUACCACAAGCUCGCCGAUCACCAGAGCGUGUGUCCACUCGCGCCCUGCAAAUGCCCCGUGCCCGUCUACGGCUACGAAGGCCCAUCGUCGGCGCUCUACCACCACAUCAGCAACGCGCAUCCCAUGCCCGUGCACAGGAUCCAGUACGGCAAGGUGCUCGAGCUGCAAGUGCCACUGUCGGAGCCACGACUCUUGCUGUUCGCGAAGGAGGACCGCCAAGCGUUUUUCUUGCUCGGUGACGUGCUCGACAUCGGCGCGCCUAUCGCCGUGUCGAUCGUCUGCAUCAGAGCGGGGGCGUCCCCACUGCCGCACUACUAGGCCAAGCUGUGGGCGAACGGCUCGCCGGGGGAGCCCAAAGGCACGACCGACGCCGUCGAGGUGGAAAUGGAGGUGACAAGCAACAAGGAUCCCGACGACAUCGACGUGCAGGAGCUGACCUUCUUGACAGUUCCACCCAAGCUGCCGGCCGGGGCUAAGCUUGUGUCCCUCCACAUUUAGAUUGACAAGCUCAUGUCCUAAAUGUUUCGACAGUGCCUUAUGUUUAUCUUAGUAAUAUGCUAAUAUAGGGAUUACCUUGGUCUACUUUAGCUUAAGAAAUGGUGGGUUUUGGUGGCGAUGCAGCAAUUACUUCGACAUCAACUCAGUAAUUUCCAACAGUCGAACGGAUAUUUUGUGUCUGUUGGAUAUAAAGUUCCUUUGGGUAAGAAGUACUACUUGUCAUCAAAAUGGAUAAAAGAAGAUGUAUGUAGACGUAUUUUAGUUCUAGAUACGUCCCUUUUUCUACAUUUUGAUGACAAGCACUCCCUCCGUUCAACAAUUCCAUUUGUCAAAAUAUAGAUGUAUCUAGACAUGUUUUAGUAUUUAGGUACAUCCAUGAUAGAGCCAACCGGAUGGUUGAGAACACUAAAAUUCGUAGUUACAGAUGCGUGUGUGACUCCCAGAUGCAGAGGACGGGGGUCAUCAUCCUCCUUUUCGAGAAAAAACAGAUGCGUGUGUGAGAGUUUGAGUGUGUGCGUGCACGUCUUCUCUUCCUGUAUAACGUACUACUAAACUCAGAGUACAAGUUUUUGUGGGUGGCACGAUGGUGCGUGCGAGAAGUCUCGAGAGAUAGGUUUAAUGCGUCUGAAAAAAGGACUAUCCUAGAGCUCGCCAUGCGGGUAUUUAUCAAUUUUGAGCUUGCGUCUCGUCACAUUCCAAAUUACUCCACGCUAUAUUGUAGACCUGUUCACACCGAUCACAACCUAAACGGUUUCCCACUUAGGAGCGUAUUAGUACCACGCUAUAUUGAAUUCCAAACCUGUUCACACCGAUCACAACCUAAACGGUUUACCACUUAGGAGCGUAUUAGUACUUGGUUAUAAAUACUAGUAUGCCAAGAUGACUGCACAUUCCUCCUCAACUCGUCAUCCACAAAAACAAACAAGUCAUUCAGCAUCCUUCCCUUGCGUCUACCAUGGCCAGCGUGAGUUCUUGGUCGAGAGAUUGCCAGCAGGGAGAGGCGAGCAUGUAAGCAGAAGCACGAGAGAUGUCCCGCCUUGCUGCGAGAGCAGCCGACAUGUCCCACCGCGCUGAAGUAGCAGCACAAAGGCCCCGCCGCGCCGCUGAAGCAGCACGGAGGUCCCGCCGUGCCGCCGAAGCAGCACGGAGGUCCCGCCGCGCGGUCGAUGCAACAAACUGGUCCGGCCGCGCCGCGGAAGCAGCAGAGAUGUCUCGUCGCGCCACGAAUGCAGCAGAGAUGUCUCGCCGCGCCGCAGCGGCCUGGGAAAAUUUCUCGCAGGCAGGCAACGACUGUUACAAGCGCAUGCAUGCGAUCGUCCAUAGCCAGAUGGAUCAGAUCUCCGGCUUGGCGAGGUUGCAGGACGACGUGAAAGCCUCGUUUGAACAGGCUACCAGCGUCAUCCGGCAACUAAGGGAGGGCAAUGAGAGGCUCUAGGCCGAGCGUGACCUGCUAAGGGAGAAGAUCGUCCGAAGUGCAGACCAGCAGGAGGUGACUAGUGCCUUGUUGAAGAGGACCGGCGUCAUUGUCAAGAAACUUAUGGACGAGAAUGACAUGCUCCGCAACGAGCGCCAAAGGCUGGUGGAGGAAUCUGUGGAUGUUCUCAAGCAGCGUCUUGAGGACACGAAAGAGCUCAUCGCCGCUAGCCGCGGAGACUAGUUCCAGCGUCCUGCAACAAUGCAUCAAGAAAGUACAUAUCAGCGAGCCAGAUCCUUGUCUUCCUUCUUCUUUUGCCCUUGUGUAUUUCGGGUGUAGCCGCAUGUGGCUUUUUUAAUUAUCUUUCUAGUUAUGUAAGACAAUUAAUCGUCCUUAUCUUUCUGUGGAAGAUCAAUGUUGCAAGGCUGGAAUGAAGAAAACUCUUGUUGUGGCGACCCUGGUGUUGCUAUUCUUCUAGUUGCUGCUGGGCUUCCUUUAGUUUCCUGGUUUAUUUUGAUGUAACAAUCGGUUUAGGAUGUGGAUUGUGUCGUCGGUUGUGAAAUGUUGGGUUCUAGCGCAGAUGUUUGGCCUUUGUUGGCCUCUUGGGAUGUUGCGAUUUCAAUCUGGUACUCCCUCCGUCUCAUAAUGUAAGACAUUUUUUGACACAAUACUUGUGUCAAAAUGCGUCUUAUAUUAUGGGACGGAGGGAGUAGCUUUUAGUCCUUUGUGUUAGGCUGGAGUUGUGCUGAACUUUUGUGAAUUGUGGUGGUUUUCAGUAAGGAAAACCGGAAGGGGCAAGCCCUUCUUUGAUCAAAAAAAAUCGUCCUUAUAUAUUCAUCAGUCUUGCUAUAAGUCGCAGUAGAUGCUAUAUAGGUCCGUCGGAUCUUACAUCAAGAUCCGUGCUGUCACAUUUUCUUUUUCUCUCUUAAAUCUCAGUCGAGUGAGACAUAGCCACGACAUUGAACAGAGGCUCGGGCGCCAUCAAUGGAGACCUUGGGAGAGAGGUGGACGGCAGAUGGAGGUCAAAGGGCUCUCCUCCAGAUAAGCACGCGCAGGGGUCUGAUCGCACGCCUCUCGUACUCAAAUAGCUACCCUGCACGGCGCCUCCUAGCUAAUAAAAAAUGGGGGCGCGUGGCGGCACGUAAAUGGUACUAUUAAGUACAAUGCCCAUGGUUUCAAUAAUACUUGUGUUUCCGAUUGUAACGUGACAACACUUGUUCCAAAAUGAUUGUUAAUGUGUGCGCCUUCGCAAAUCAGACUGCAAAUUUACCACAACAUGUUGGUGCCAUGUCAUGGCACCAAGCCAAGUUUCAUUAUUUUCAUGCGUGUUUUGGAUUUACAGGAAUUAAAAAACUAAGUUUCUCAAUGUUUCCAACCCAGCGACGACGCCCAGAAUUUUGAAUUUCAUUCACAUUUCUUGCAUGGAACCUAGAAAUUUACCCGAGGACACACAUGUGAUUUUUCAACCAACUUUGGUGCACUGGAACAUGUGCUUGUAUUUCAAAUUUGAAUUAUGCACACAAAGGUGACACGUUCCCUCCCAGAACCAUGAGCCUUCUUGAGAGAAGCUCCGAUUUGCAAGAAGCUUAUACCAAAAUUUGUUCCUAUUCGGCCAAUUUUUUUUACCACGGCAUGGUACUACCAUGACAUGACACCAUGCCAAGUUUCAUGAUUUCAAAACCAAGUUUCUCAAUGUUCUUGACCGUGCCACGAUGCCCAGAUGUUUGAAUCUUAUUCUCAUUUUUUGCAUGGGAGUAGAAAUUCACCCAAGGACACAAAUGUGAUUUUCAACCAACUUUGGUGCACAGGAGCACGUGCUUGUAGUUCAAAUUUGAAUUAUGCACAUUAAAUGACAAAAAACUCAAUUAAUGCGUGAAUAAGGCCAAGCAAAGCCGGAAUAAUUCCAAAAUUUAACAGGGCACUCAUGUAGUUCUAUGUUGCCUUUGUAAAUAAACUCAAGGGGGAGAACGUAUAUCGUUUCGCACUCAAAGGUGACACGUUCCCUCUCAGAACCACGAGCCUUCUUGAGAGAAGCUUCGGUUUGCUAGAAGCUUAUACCAAAAUCUGUUCCUAUUCGGCCAUUUUUUACCACAAUAUGGUAGUGCCAUGACAUGACAUCCAUGCCAAGUUUCAUGAUUUUCAGACGUGUUUUGGAUUUACAAGAAUUUUAAAACCAAGUUGCUCAAUGUUCUCGGCCGAGCCAUGAUGCCCAGAUGUUUUAAUUUUAUUCUCAUUUCUUGCAUGGGACCUAGAAAUUCACCCGAGGACACAAAUGUGAUUUUUCAACCAACUUUGGUGCACGAGAGCAUGUGCUUGUAGUUCAAAUUUGACUUAUGGACAUUAAAUGACCAGAAACUCAAUUAAUGUAUAAAAAACGACAAAUGAACCCUGAAUAAUUCCAAAAUUUAACAUGGCACUAAUGUAGUUCUAUGUUGCCUUUGUUAAGAAACUCAAGAGCAGGGGGGGUGGCACGUUCCCUCUCAGAACCACGAUCUUCCAAAUUGGCCCAAUUUUUUUACCACAACAUGUUAGUGCCAUGACAUGACACCAUGCCAAGUUUCAUUACAUGAAUUUAAAAUCUAAGUUUCUUGAUGUUCUCGUCAUAGUCAUGACACCAAGAUGUUUGAAUUUCAUUCUCAUUUCUUCCAUGGGACCUAGAAAUUCAACCAAGGACACACAUGUGAUUUUUCAACCCACUUUGGUGCACCGGAGCAUGUGCAUGCAAUUCAUAUUUAGAUUAUGCAUAUUAAAAGUCCAGAAACUCAAUUAAUGUAUAAAAAGGCCAAAUGAACCCGAAAUAAUUCCAAAAUUUAACAAGGCACUCAUAUAGUUCUAUGUUGCCUCUGUAAAUAAAAUUAGGGGGGAGGCAGCGUAUAUCGUUUCACACACAAAGGUGACACGUUCCCUCUCGGAACCACGAGGCUUGUUGAGAGAAUCUCCGGUUUGCAAGAGGCUUAUACCAAAACUUGUCCCAUUUCAGCCAAAAAUUAUACGUAUGAAAAUAGGGUUUAGAUUAUCCCGAACAUCUCGCUACCUAGACGAAUAAUGUACUAUGAUUUGAAUUCAACAAAAAAUGGAUACAGAUAUUUGAAUUGGAGAGCGUAUGGUACAUGUAGUUAAUAGCGAAAUAUGAUUACUGCUAUAUGCAUGUCUUGUUGUUAUCAAGAUAAUAUUUAAAUUAUUAUAUAACUUGACAACAAUCGUAUUCAAAUAAGGAAAUUUGAUUCAAAUUUAGUCCAUAUGGUAGACGACAAUAUAUAUGUUCACAUGGUGGAGUAAAAUGUUCAUAUCUGAUGGAAAAUCAAAAUGUAUGACUACAUCAAUUAUAAACCACAAGGUCACCUAAUGAUAUAUUUGAAUUCAACAUAACGUGGAUUCAAAAAUUAAAAUUCGAGAUCAUGGCAUAUGUAAUCAUAUAAAAAGAGACAUUACUCUUUCUUUGGUGGGAAUUGAUUUCUUUUUUGUUGUUGUUGAGGGAAGUGCGAAUCGAUUUGGUACUGUGCAGGGUAAUCAUGUUCUCCCGAUUUUUUUUACAUUUUUCUUGUAGUUUUUUCAGUGGCAUCUAUAGCAAUAUAGUAAAAGGGGACGUGACUCUCUUGUGUCUUGUAUGAUUGUUUUACACAUUAAGUUUGUUCUGCCAAACAAGGAAUCCACACCUUGUUAUCCCGAAAUUUUCAAGCUCGAGUAUCUUUUGUCUCACCUGCUUUGAAACUCCCGCUUCUUCAACCCGCGCCGCGCCUUGUUAUCCCGAAAUUUGAACGCGCGCGAGAACUCCCUCCUCAUCCGAAAUCGCUCCCGCAGCCCACACAUGCGAAAUCCCCCUUCUACCCCUCAGCCGGAAAUGAAGCUCCACGUCGCGGUUUUAAAACCGGUGGGGGCACGCUGGUAACUUACCCUACAUUUCGGACAAGCGCGUCCCUAAGCUUGCCUCCCCCCUCCCCCUUCCCCCCCUCCCCCCCAUUCGUACACCGANNNNNNNNNNNNNNNNNNNNNNNNNNNNNNNNNNNNNNNNNNNNNNNNNNNNNNNNNNNNNNNNNNNNNNNNNNNNNNNNNNNNNNNNNNNNNNNNNNNNNNNNNNNNNNNNNNNNNNNNNNNNNNNNNNNNNNNNNNNNNNNNNNNNNNNNNNNNNNNNNNNNNNNNNNNNNNNNNNNNNNNNNNNNNNNNNNNNNNAGCCGGAGACUCUUCCCCGACUACAUCGUCCACCACAAUAGCUCGCCGUCCCUCAUCCACCGCACCGGAUGAGGAUCCGUUGUCGAUCUCGUCGUUCUGCCAGAUCAGCCGCCCCGUCCUCCACCUCCAAGGAGCUGCCCCGACGUUCGCCUCGUCUAUUGCGCCACCUAAAUCCCCACAGUGUCGUCUUGACCUGGCCCACCGGAACCGCAGCACCCUCACCAAUUCCUCCGAUGAAGCAGAGGCCAACUCGGCGCCACCAAGGAGGUUCUGCACUCACUGCUGCAGUUUAUCUUUUAUUCGAUCCCACGGGUCUGCCAGUGCUCGAUAUCGAGCAGACAUGGCGUCUCCAUCAACGACGCCGUCGCCGGCCACAUCAUCCACGGCGUCUCUCCCCCAUGUCAUUGCUUCCUCGGCGGCGACUUCCACAAUGACACUAGAUGCAGAUGCUCCGGCUCUCACUCGAGCUGCGGCUCUGUUCUUGCUGUCGGUCGCUGAGGGAGUCCUAGAUUAGGGGGUGUCCGGAUAGCCGAACUAUCACUGUUGGCCGGACUCCUGGACUGUGAAGAUACAAGAUUGAAGACUUCGUCCCGUGUCCGGAUGGGACUUUCCUUGGCGUGGAAGGCAAGCUUGGCGAUACGGAUAUGUAGAUCUCCUACCAUUGUAACUGACUCUAUGUAACCCUAACCCUCUCCGGUGUCUAUAUAAACUGGAGGGUUUUAGUCCGUAGGACGAACAACAAUCAUACCAUAGGCUAGCUUCUAGGGUUUAGCCUCUUUGAUCUCUUGGUAGAUCUACUCUUGUACUACCCAUAUCAUCAAUAUUAAUCAAGCAAGAGUAGGGUUUUACCUCCAUCGAGAGGGCCCGAACUUGGUUAAAAACAUGGUGUCCGUUGUCUCCUGUUACCAUCCGCCUAGACGCACAGUUCGGGACCCCCUACCCGAGAUCUGCCGGUUUUGACACCAACAUUGGUGCUUUCAUUGAGAGUUCCUCUGUGUCGUCACCUAUAGGCCCGAUGGCUCCUUUGAUCAUCAACAACGACGCAGUCCAGGGUGAGACUUUUCUCCUCGGACAGAUCUUCGUAUUCGGCGGCUUUGCACUGCGGGCCAAUUUACUUGGCCAUCUGGAGCAGAUCGAAAGCUACGCCCCUGGCCAUCAGUUCAAAUUUGGGAGUUUGAACUACACGGCUGACAUCCGCGGAGACUUGAUCUUCGACGGAUUCGAGCCACAGCCAUGUGCGCCGCACUGUCUCAACGGGUAUGAUCUAGCUCUGUCGCCGAACAGUGCCCUGGAGGCCGCACCAGCAUCCGCUUCGACCCUUAGCUCGGAGCCGACUUCGCCGAUCGAGGACGAGUGGCUGGACACCACCUCGGGGGCUAUGAUCUCUACGGCGAUUGAGCCGAACACCAUCCUUGUCCCUUCCAAAGCCCGUGACUCCGAGGUGCCGGACUCCUCUCCGGACUCCGAACCUCCCGCGCCCCUGCCAAUCAAAUCGGAUUGGGCGCCGGUUAUGGAGUUCACUGUCGCGGACAUCUUUCAGCACUCUCCCUUUGGCGACAUCCUGAAUUCACUAAAGUCUCUCUCUUUAUCAGGAUAGCCAUGGCCGGACUAUGGUCAGGAAGGUUGGGAUGCGGACGACGAAGAAAUUCAACGCCCACCCACCACCCACUUUGUAGCCAGUGUCGAUGAUUUAACCGACAUACUCGACUUCGACUCCGAAGACAUCGACGGUAUGGACGACGAUGCAGGAGACAACCAAGAAGCAGCGCCUACAGGGCACUGGAAGGCCACCUCAUCAUAUGACAUAUACAUGGUGGACAUCCCAAAAGAUGGGAAUGGAAAUGGAACAGCGGAGGAUGACCUCUCCAAGAAACAGCCCAAGCGCCAGCGUCAGCGGCGCCGCUCUAAAUCCCGCCAUAGCAAAAACGGUGAUUCCGGCACGGGAGAUAAUAACACCCCGGACAGUGCCGAAGACAACCCCCUCCAGCAGGAUUCAGCAAGCAGCCUCAAGAAAAAGCAGCAGCAGCUUAGAGCUGACCAAGAAUUGCUAGCUGACAGAUGGACCGAAGUCCUUGCAGCCAAAGAGUACAAACUCGAUCGCCCCUCCAAGAGCUACCCAACACGCAGGCCGCUACCCCAAUUAGAGGAGGAAGCACCCAAACCUACAUCACCAGCGCUAGGCCCUCCACUAAAGCCGCACCCCAGCGUCGCUCGAAAAGUACAAAGCCACGGGUAAAUGCGCAAGACUUGCGAGACAUAUGGGAGGACAAGGCAAGGCAAAUAAGAUCGAUCGAUGGAUCGCGUGGGGGCCCCAUGACACGUGAUGACAACUGUCACGCCAGAUACAGCAAUUCCGGCUGGGCCAAACAUAGUAGACAAAGCUCAUUUGAGCUGCGUCGUGAUAUAGCUGAAUACAGAGGCGCCGCACAACCACUAUGCUUCACAGACGAAGUAAUGGAUCAUCAAAUCCCCGAGGGUUUCAAACCCGUAAACAUUGAAUCAUACGACGUCACAACAGAUCUUGCGGUUUGGAUCGAGGACUAUCUCCUUCACAUCCACAUGGCCCGCGGCGAUGAUCUACACGCCAUUAAAUACCUCCCACUCAAGCUUAAAGGACCAGCUCGACAUUGGCUCAACAACUUGCCAGCAGAAUCAAUUGGUUGUUGGGAAGACCUGGAAGCCGCAUUCCUUGAUAACUUCCAGGGCACAUAUGUGCGACCACCAGACGCCGAUGACCUAAGCCACAUAAUUCAGCAGCCAGAUGAAUCGGCCAGACAAUUCUGGACACGGUUCUUAACCAAGAAAAAUCAAAUCGUUGACUGUCCGGAUGCAGAGGCCCUUGUAGCCUUCAAACAUAACAUCCGCGAUGAGUGGCUUGCCCGGCACCUAGGACAGGAAAAGCCGAAAUCCAUGGGAGCCCUCACAUCACUCAUGACCCGCUUCUGCGCGGAAGAGGACAGCUGGCUAGCUCGCAGUAACAACCUGACCAAAAACCCUGGUAGUUUGGAUACCAAGGAAGCAAUGGCAGGUCGCAUCGCAACAAGCACAAGCGCCGCAUUAACGACAAUAAUGCUGAAAAUACGGCAGUCAAUGCCGGAUUCAGAGGCUCCAAACCCGGUCAGCGGAAAAAGCCGUUCAAAGGAAAUACUCAAGGCCCAUCCAAUUUGGACUGAGUACUCAAUCGCUCGUGCCAGAUACAUGGCACCCCCAAAAAACCAGCCAACCACACCAACAGGGAUUGUUGGGUGUUCAAGCAGGCAGGCACGUUAAAUGCCGAAAACAAUGACAAGGGGUUGUAUGGCGAUGACGAGGAGGAGCCCCGGCCGCCGAACAAUAGAGGACAAAAGGGCUUUCCCCCACAAGUGCGGACAGUGAACAUGAUAUAUGCAACCCACAUACCCAAAAGGGAGCGGGAGCGUGCACUAAGGGACAUAUACGCGAUGGAGCCAGUUGACCCAAAGUUCAACCCGUGGUCCUCUUGCCCGAUCACUUUUGACCAAAGGGACCACCCCACUAGUAUCCGCCACGGCGGAUUCGCCGCAUUGGUUCUUGACCCAAUCAUUGACGGAUUUCACCUCACUAUUGUCCUGAUGGACAGCGGCAGCAGCCUGAACCUACUUUACCAGGAUGCAGUGCGCAAAAUGGGCAUAGACCCCUCAAGGAUUAAACCCACAAAAACGACCUUUAAAGGCGUCAUACCAGGUGUAGAGGCCAACUGUACAGGCUCAGUUACACUCGAAGCGGUCUUCGGAUCCCCGGAUAACUUCCGAAGCAAGGAAUUAAUCUUCGACAUAGUCCCGUUCUGCAGCAGCUAUCACGCACUGCUCGGACGAACCGCAUUUGCAAAGUUCAAUGCGGUGCCGCACUACGCAUACCUCAAGCUCAAGAUGCCAGGCCCUCGUGGAGUAAUCACGGUUAAUGGAAACACCGAACGCUCUCUCCGAACGGAGGAGCAUACGGCGGCCCUCGUGGCGGAAGUGCAAAGCAGCCUCUUAAGGCAAUUCUUGAGUCCGACUACUAAAUGUCCGGACACCAUCAAGCGCGCUCGGAGUAACCUACAACAAGACCGCCUGGCACGUUCCAAGCACGCGUAGCAAUGCGGCCCCAACCCCAGCCCUCGCGAAAUCGCAAAACCAGUACCACGCGUACAUAACUAUGCUCUGGAGAUACCAUGGGCAUAGGGGGAGGGGUACGACCACGGCAUACCCAGAGUGCGGCUCAACCGCACAAGGGGCUCCCAAUUGUGUCCAUCUUUUUUUCUUAUUACGAGGACUCCAUUUUCCAGAAGCCCUGUCCGGCAGUAGAAUCGCCGAACUCACGAUGCAACAGCCAGGGAAGCAGAAAAGCUACGUCGAGUGUCCAGGUGGUCUCUAUUACGAGCAGUAUACCUGUUUUACAUACCAUCCCGCAGCCUACCCCUGGAGGGGGACAUGUUAAAUAGUCCCAUCCCUUGCUUAUCGUACUAUUUGUAUCGUUCUACUUUCAUUGCAGUAUCUUUUGAAUAAACAAUACAUAGCUUCUGCUUAUUAUUGCAUUCCUUUUUUUCCUAUAAAAUGUUCAUCUAUGACAUGUUCCACCCGUACAACUUGGUACAGUCAAUACACCAGGGGCUUAAGUACACCAAAACAUGGUGUGAUAAGUCCGAACACUUUCACAAGUGCAGCACCCCGAACUUAUAACAUUAUAUGCAUCGGCUCCGAAUCAUGUCUUGGGUCAAUAGUUGGGUUUGCCCGGUUCCCAUGUUUUGGUAACUUACGUUCCGUUAUAUCGGCUAAGGUAGCGCUGGGAGAACCACUGCGAUUGUGCCCCGGUUGAGCUGGGUUGAGCACCUAAGUGGAGAAAGCUAAAACUGACUGUCAUGAUUGGGCGAGAGCCGGUCGCUGUUCGAGAGGUUUUUCGGGUCCCUAAAGACUCAUGCCACUUAGAGCGAGGAGUCGGCAUUGUCCGGCCAAGGCAUGGAUAGCGCCCCGAACUCGGUCUUCUGAAUACCAGUGGCUUUGACGAAAUUUAAAAUUAUAGAAUUCUAUGGCUAAGUGAGAGUGUUCAAGCAUUAUAGUCCGUUUGCCUCGUUCGUCGUGUUGAACGCCUCCCUCGAAGGACCCAAGAAUGGGAACAAGAGCGCUCAAGUUUAUCCCAAACACCCCAGCACUUGUGGCAUGGGGGCUGAAGCCAAUGAUUCGCCAUCUCUCAAAUUUGAUAAACGGUCGCACAGAAGGUAAUAUUUUAAAUUAAACAAGCGUUGCUUAGCACAUAUGUACAAAGUUUUCAGCGUACAGGAUAACAAAUGCGAGUCUACUCAAAAAUUACAUCUUUGGAGCAUUCACCCGCUAUAAGGUGGGCACCCUUCAGGACGCCCUCAUAGUACAUCUCGGGCUUGCGAUACUCGUUGCCCGGUGGUGGCGCGUCUGUCACAAGCUUCUCGGUGUCCAUCUUGCCCCAGUGCACUUUAGCAUGGGCAAGGGCCCGACGGGCACCUUCAAUGCAGACGGAGCACUUGAUGACUUCAAUCCAUGGACAUGCGUCCACCAGCCGCCGCACCAGACCGAAGUAGCUCCCAGGCAUGGCUUAUUUAGGCCACAACCAAACUAUGAGGCCCUUCAUGGCCUGUUCGGCCACCUUGUGGAGCUCGACCAGCUGCUUCAGCUGGUCGCUUAGGGGCACCGGAUGUCCGGCCUCAGCAUAUUGAGACGAGAACAACUUUUCCGUCGAGCUCCCCUCCUCGGCUCGGUAGAACGCGGCAGCAUCGGACACACUACGGGGCAGAUCUGCGAACGCUCCUGGAGAGCUCCAGUUUCGGGUAAGUAACAGAUAAUUCACUUUUACAUGCUUGCUUUGCAUAUAGAAUGCCUUACCCGCCGCUAUCUUUUUUAUCGCCUCAAUCUCCUGGAGGGCCUUCCGGGCUUCGGCCUUAGCGGCUUUGGCACUCUCAAGAGCCAAGGCGAGCUCGGACUCUCGAGUCUUCGAGUCACGCUCCAAACUCUCGUGUUUUUCCACGAGAGCCUGGAGCUCUUGCCGCACCUCCGCCACCCACGCCUCCUGCUUCUCUCGCUCGGUGUGCUCCAUGGUCGCACUAUUUUCGGCCUUGGACACCGCUUCCUUUAGGGUCGCCACCUCAUUUGUGGCACCUGCAAUACUUACGUUAUUCCUGUCAUUUUUUGCAACCAAAAUCCUUUCUGUAAGGUAUUACUUUAAUAAGGUAUUACUUACCUUCCUUGUCCUCGAGCUGCUUCUUGGCAAGGCCGAGCUCGUUCUCGAACCGCUCGAGGCUCUCCUUCAAUGCAUUGACCUCCGGAGUAAGUGCGGUAGAGGUCAGCAGCGCGGCCUUCAUUCCCAUAUUGACAUAUUUAUGUUAGACUCCUGCGUAUAUCUUUUUAGAUCCUCAACUCGGCUUUUCUUUCCGAACACCGAACUAAGCAUCAGGGGCUACUGUCUAUGCGGUAAUAUUCUUACAUAUCUUAAAAACUUACCUCAAAGCCUGUUAGAAGGCGGGUACAGGCUUUAGUCAGCCCGCUCUUGGCGGACUGAACUUUCUGUAUCACCGCACUCAUGAUAAUGCGGUGCUCCUCGUUGAUGGAGGCGCUGUUAAGCGCCUCCAGCAAGCUAUCCGGUGCCUCCGGUUGGACGGAGGCCAACGGCAUCGCAGUCUUGCCCUUCUUACGAAGGGGCCGCCUGCCGGACUUCGGAACCACUGUAGGUUCCGGUACGGAGUCCGGCACAGGGCCGGACUUAGAGCCCUCUGGGGUUUUGCCCCCUUUGCACCCGGAGUCCGGGAGGUCGCCUUGUGGCGCCUCCAGGACCACCUCCUCCUGGUUGGUCCCCUUUAGGGACUCCACCGCGGCGGCGUCUGCGUCACGAGUGGAGGAGGCGGUCGGAAGUGAAGUGCUAUUCACAUCCGACGAAUCCAGGGAGCCGCUCGACGAAGCGGGGAGCUCGUCCUUGGGCGGGCUACCUGGUUGUAUUCGGCGUUAGAAGACACUAUGGACAAAUGAAAAAUCAUGAGUUAUUCUGGAAUCCAGACACUUACGAUCUCGCCAGGGGCUUGGCCCUCGAGGGCCACUCCUCUUCACCCUCGUCGGCGUUGGUGGAAAAGUCCGGAGGAAGGGUCCUUCCUUUCUUGGACCCUCCGCCCCCCCAGCUGGGGCGGCCUUCCUUUUCUUCUCUCCCCCCGCUGGGGGAGAGGCCUCUUUUUCCUCCUCCUCGUCUUCACGGGAGGAAUCCGCCUCAGAAUCGUCGGAUGAUGAGUCCGACAACACCUGGCACCGGGCACUCCUUCAAGUUCCCGUGGCCUUCUUCUUGGCCUUCUUCUCCGGCACCACGUGAGGUGCCGGAACUAGUAGCCCCGUCAAGCGGGCGUCCGCUGGGUCUUCUAGCAAAGGAGCCGGAUAGUUAACCUGCCCGGACGUCUUCAGCCAGUCCUGUCAAAGGUCUAUGAAAAACUAUGAAAAACAAGAGUCCCAUAAAGGGUAGAAUAGCUUACCUCGCUGGCCUGACACCGCGAGCUGAAUCCGCGAUCUUCGGUAGCGGAUGCGGGGGCCUCGGCACCCUUAAACAACACCUUCCAAGCAUCUUCGUAUGUAGUGUCGAAGAGCUUGCGCAAGGUUUGGUGCUGUGCCGGAUCAAACUCCCACAAUUUGAAGGCCCGCUGUUGGCAUGGGAGGAUCCGGCGGAUGAGCAUGACCUAGACUACAUUGACAAGCUUGAGAUUCUUGUUCACCAGUUUUUGAACGCAGGUUUGAAGUCUGGUCAGCUCUUCUGAAUCUCCCCACAUUAGGCCCGUCUCUUUCUAGGAGGUGAGCCGUGUGGGGAAACCAGAUCGGAAUUCGGGGGCCGCCGCCCAUUUGGGGUCGCGUUGCUCGGUGAUGUAGAAGCACCCCGAUUGCCACCCCUUUAUUGUCUCCACGAAGGAGCCCUCGAGCCAUAGGACGUUGGCAAUCCUGCCCACCAUGGCGCCUCCACACUCCACUUGGCGGCCGCCCACUACCUUCGGCUUGACAUUAAAAGUCUUCAGCCAUAAGCCGAAGUGGGGCUGGAUGUAGAGGAAGGCCUCGCACACGACGAUGAAUGCCAAGAUGUUGAGGAUGAAGUUCGGGGCCAGAUCGUGUAAAUCUAGGCCAUAGUAGAACUAUCACCAUUGACCGGACUCCUGGACUGUGAAGAUACAGGAUUGAAGACUUCGUCCCGUGUCCGGAUGGGACUUUCCUUGGCGUGGAAGGCAAGCUUGGCGAUACGGAUAUGUAGAUCUCCUACCAUUGUAACCAACUCUGUGUAACCCUAACCCUCUCCGGUGUCUAUAUAAACUGGAGGGUUUUAGUCCGUAGGACGAACAACAAUCAUACCAUAGGCUAGCUUCUAGGGUUUAGCCUCUUGGAUCUCGUGGUAGAUCUACUCUUGUACUACCCAUAUCAUCAAUAUUAAUCAAGCAGGAGUAGGGUUUUACCUCCAUCGAGAGGGCCCGAACCUGGGUAAAAACAUCGUGUCCCUUGUCUCCUGUUACCAUCCGCCUAGACGCACAGUUUGGGACCCCCUACCCAAGAUCCGCCGGUUUUGACACUGACAGUCGCGCUGCUGCACUACUCGCGGUGCUACUGCAUGAUUUGCUCUCUGCUAGUGCAUUCCCUGCUCUAGUGUCUGCUGAUUUAGAUCACUGCUUCUCUACUACUACUGCUUGAACGCCCUAAACAUCUAUUGCAAUGCUCUAUUACUAGUUCAAUCAAUUUCGACAGUAAAAUUCAGUUUCAACUAUGAAGUUCAUUUUCUUCAGUUAAGUUCAGAGUGAACAGUACUUACAGCAUCUGUCGGAGCAGCCGUGGCGCGGCUGAUGCGUUUUACAUAUAGCACUUUUUGGUAAUGUAUUUUACAUCAUCUAUUGCAGAUGAUAUUAGGGUCCCACUUCAGAUUAAAGUUGUCUGUCUUGUCAUGCUUCAGCCUCGUCGCCGUACACCUCAGCGGAGCUGCUCCAACGACAGAACCGUCCAUCACAGCGGAGCAGUACCCUCGACGCCAUUUCCAGAGGCCUCAGAUCUUCUUCCCCGCCUCCGACAGUCACACCAGCAUCAUCACCAUCCUCCACGUCCAACCCAAUGAUGCUGAGGUCCACAAGGCUAUGCCAAAGAGGUUGUACACUCAUCGCAUCACUUUGUUUCUCCAUUCCUCUGUUCUUCCAAUUCAUGUGAGCCAAACACCCAGGUUGACUGAAAUCCUAUGUUUCCAAAUGCUCAGUUUUGCACAUGCAUUCCUGCAUUUCCAGAUUGAAUUCCAGAGGAAGAUAACUGUUCAGAUGGAGAUUCAGAAGGAGCCGACCAUGCCUGUCUACCACCUGAGGUGUUUGUUCUAACCUGGCAUGCUGAUGUUGGUCAUAUCAUGCAUAUGGCGCCUUGCAUUGCUUACAUUAUACAUCUUAUAUGUCAUCAGCUUAGUUUAGAUUUUCUUUGUGUGAAUGUCACCUGUUUGGUUUCUAUAUCAUACUCCCACCAUUCCUAAAUAUUUGUCUUUUUAGAGAUAUCAACAAGUGAUUACAUACGGCACAAAAUGAGUGAAUCUACACUCUAAAAUAUGUCUACAUACAUCCAUAUGUGGUAGUCCAUUUGAAAUCUCUAAAAAGACAAAUAUUUAGGAACGGAGGGAGUAUAUGGGAAUUAUGCAAUGCCAUCUUCCUUAGCCAGGCAUCAUAUACGUGAAUCAUGCAAUGCCAUCCUGUUUAGCCAGUUAUUGUAUAUGUGAAUUGUAUCGUGCCAUAUUUUUUUCCAUAAUGUGUUCCAUUUGUCAGCAAUGUUUAUACAUUCAUCUACUCUUCCUAUGCAUCAGCCAUUUGAGUCGGUCAUGGGAAAAUCUGGAGUGAAAACAAGGUCUUCUGAGCAGUCAGUGCUACCUGUCGAUGCAGAUUUCUUGCUGGUUACAGAUAGCUCCUCAGAGGAGGAUUCAGAGAGAGAUGAGCGGUUGUAUUCCCCCCCCCCCCGAGGUGCAUGCUCUAAGUUGGCUGGGUUAUAUUGCUCAUAUCAUGCAUAUGGUGUCUUGCAUUUCCAUGCCAUCUGCUUAGAUUAGACAUGCUUUGUGUGAAGGCCUCCUAUUUGCUUUCUAUAUCAGAUAUGUGAAUUAUGCAAUGCCAUGUUUUUCAGCUAGUUAUCAUAUAUGUGAAUUAUGCACCGCCAUGGAGCCAGGCAUCAUAUAUGUGAAUUAUCUCAUGCCAUCUUUUUUUUUCAUUACGUAUUCCAUUUGUCGAUAAUAUGUGUAUAUUGAACUACUCUUCAUGUGUAUCAGCCAUUUGAGUCGGUUAUGGAAUAAUCUGGAGCGAAAACAAGGUCUUCAGAGCAGGCAAUGGUACUUGUUGAAGAAUAUAUCUCGAUGGUUACAGGGAGCUCCUCAGAGGAGGAUUCAGAGACAGAUGACCAGUCCUAUAUCCCACCUAAGGUGUAUGCUCUAAGUUGCAAUGUUUAUAUUUCUCAUAUGAUGCAUAUGGUGUCUUGCAUUGCUUAGUUUAGACAUCAUAUGCACAAUAUUGAAUUCUCUCUGUUUAGUUUAGAGAUCAUACAUGCGAGUGCCAGCUGCUUAGUAUAUGAAUCAAUUAUGUCAAUUAUAUCAUGCCAUUUUGUAUACUAAGACAACAUGUAUGUGAAUUAUUUCAUCGCAACCUAUUUUAGAAAGACAUCAUAUAGUUUUGUCAUGUUAUCCUGUUUAGGUACUCAUCAUAUGUUGAAUUAUGCCAUUAUAUCCUGUUAAGUUAUCCAUCAUAUAUCUGAAACUGUGUCAUGCUAUCCUAUUUAGUUAGGCAUCAUAUAUGUGAAAUUGUAUCAUGCUGUCCUGUUUGGUUAGACAACAUAUAUGUGAAUUACCACAUAUGUCUAUCAUACAAUGUCUGUACGUGCAAUUUCAUUUCUUGUUUAUCAGCCAUUUGAAUUGUAGGGGGUGAUGGCAGUAUCUAAGGGAGCAAAAACCCGUUCUUCACAAAAGACAGUGCUACCCGUCGAUGCAGAUAGAACCAUGGUUGUACUGGCCCACAAACUAGCCCCACCACACAUAAUCGAGACUCUUCCAGAUUCCACACUUGCACCGGUGGGUAGAGAACCAGCUACAACCCAUCUAACCACAACCCCAGCGGAUAGUAACUCACUUAUAGUUGACAAAGCACCAUGUCCACCACAGAGUACCCCCACACGAGCAGUUUGUAAAGCUACUGCAGUGCCCAAAGCACGAAGACCACCACAGCUAACCCAAACUCCACGUUUAGAGCAGAAGAGCAACUGUUUUCUGGUCAGAUUCCGUAGCUAUGGUCCAUACUCCUUUGCUGUUGCAUCACUGUAUUUACUCAUACCAACUACUUUUGAAUUUGAAGGAUCCAAUUGAAACUCCAAUGGCGCAACAGGUAUGUUUUAAACAUAUUUCUUUAACUGGAUUGUUGUUCUAACUUCUUGCUCUAUGUUGAUUUCAGUUUAAGUUGUAUAAAAAGUUAUGUUCUCAUGUGAUGCACAUUACAAGUGCUGCCAAUGUUGUGUAGUUUCUCACACUUAUAUUCUGUCUAUGCUGCUGUGUCUUAAAAAUAUAUGAGUUGAACUGUGUCUCUAUAUUGAUUAGGGAACAUAAACUAGAAUGAUAUGGACAAUACAGUGACAAUAGUACAUAGAUAUAUGUUUGCUUCAUGCUAUUAUCCUGUCCACCUUACUACUAAACCGGUUUACCAAAAUGAGUUUGGUAUACUACAAGCUAAACCUGUGAUGUGUCUGCUGUUUCUCUUGUAGUAUGCAAACAGAAUAUUGGAGAAGAGCACCGCACUAUGAAAUAGUAGAGAAAGUAAUGCAGAUAAGGUUCAAGAUAGUGAGACAACCCUGUUGGUCUCCAAGAAAGGUGAUAAAAAUGAUCUUGUAGACAGUGAGAAAACCCCACAGUCCUGCGUUGAUGUAGUGUUCGAGUUACUGGCCAGUACUGCUGGCACAAGCUCUUCGAACUCGCUGCCUGAAUCACUUCGGCUUCUUCAGUCUCAGCUGUGAUGCGGCAAGAAGCCGAAGGACUGAGGAUGUCCCUGCAUAAUUCAGAUGCGUACUUUCAUGUGCAACAACAAGCGCUGGAGUAUUUAAGCGCCAAACAAGAGAAAGUUAAUAAGCCUGCUAAGCAUCUUGCCAGCAUUAUGGGUACCCAGGAUAUUGUUUCUUGAACUCUUCUAACUGGUUUCAGUUCUGUACUUGUUUUGUUGCGGUGUUUAUAUGCUGCUAUGUUCCCUAUAUUUGCACUGGUGGUGAACUUUGAUGCCCAGUGGAUGUAAUAUGUGUAAUAGCCGUGAUAGCCUAGCAUAAGUUGCUUGCUUAUUUAUUUCCAUGUUGUCUUGCUUAUUGUUUGCUUGUUUAUUUGCUUGUGUAAUAGACGUGACAAUACAGUGACCAUAGGAGAUGGGGUCGGGGAAUAUAGGCUCAGCUACCUGCAAACAAGCCAGAUCACAUAGAAGCGAGACGGAGGAUUCUGAAGAGGUACCCGUCAAAGGUGCGGCCAUGGUCCAUGUCACGGGUGAGCCGAUGCUACCGCCGAAACCACUAGAGGCACUAUCAGGGAAUCUCAGGAGACUGCACGACCAUGUGCUGUCGACUGAGAAAAGCCUACUAGCCUUGAAGGAUCCAGGAUAUCCGAUAUACACAGCUCGUGUGCCUGAGGAGAAGUGCUACGUGAACACACGACCUGCAGAGGUGUUCAUCCUGCGGUUUGACCAUAUCUUCGAGAUGUUUCGGACAAGGCGGCUCGAUUUUACAAUCGUCCGCCUUUUUGCGCUACAUAUCAGCUCCGUCAUGAAGAGAGAAGAAGUCUCGCAUAUCUGUGUUGUGGAUCCGUACUACAUGCACGAGUCCUUCUUGAGUCUGGGCGAGUCUGAGCGUGAAACUGCUAGGGAGUACCUCCAAAACAUCAUGGUACAGAAUAAGGACCAGGAAAUUGUCCUCCUGCCUUUUCAUCUAAAGUAAAUCAUUUCCGAACAACCCUUUCGUACAUUUCAAUCAUUCCUUCUCGCUCAUAUGGAGAAUAAUUUGAGGUGUCUUUUUCCCUGCAGCAACGAGCGCACCGUCCUUAUCGUUAUUUACCCACGAGUCUCCCACUCCGUGCAUUUAGACCCUACCAGAAACUACGAGAAGAAGGGCUACAUCCAGAUAAUGAAUAUUCUAGAUGAUGCUCUCCAAGGCUUCAGUAUUAGGGGUGGCCACGUGCAGAUCAAGAAACAAAGGAACAAGAAGAUGGGUUUCGCGCAUAAAACUAACUACUGCUGCAUCCAUGUCCCAAAACCAAGCAAGAAAGAUGGAUUCUACAUCCUCCAUCUCAUGAUUGAGUUCAGCACGGAUCACCAAACGCUUCGCAUGACAAACAGAAACUAUGAUCAUAUCCACAAGUGGGUAGAAUCUCAUGGAGAAGUGGAUUAUAAACUUAGAGAUGACUUCUUUUGCAUCCAAAGGAACAUUGCGACGAUCAUCAUGAAAGAAGUCAUCGAUGAGAAGAGGAUGUUCCACCCCGGCCCUAUAUCGUGAGCUGAUGUCCGAACUCGUAUAGGCAUGCAACGUCAUGACCUCACGCUGUUCAAGAAGCUAGGGCCCAUCCUCAAUGGUAUGGAAGGAUGGAACUUCUAGUGAUUUACGAUGCCGAUGAUGAUGAUAUGUGUCGGUUGAACUUGUAUACUUUCUGUAGCGAUGAAACUUUGUGAUGUCCACGGUCCCUGCCAAAAUUGUGUAACACUACUUUGUUAGUUUGGGUAUGAUGACCUGCGUACCUCUAGUUAAUUAGUUUGUAUACUGUGUGUUGCAUCCAGUUGCUAACCCUUUCUUUUUCGUGUUGGUCUAGUAUAAUUUUCUGCAUAUAAUUGUACAUUCUCUUAAUGAAGAUGCAUAUCAGUAAUAGGCACCUAGGUUCUUGAUGGUGAGGUGGCAGUGCUAUGUCGUGUACAAAAGGAACAUUCUGGGGGUGUACAACGAGUGGCUUGAGUGUCAGGCACAAGUGAAUGGGGUCUCGGGCGCCAGCCAUAAAGGCUUUAAAAGCAGACAAGAAGCAGAAGCUAGUUACUUGAGGUUCACACUAGUGCGAGAGAGAACUCGUAACCGGUGCCUUAUGUACUGCAUAGUUCCGCUCUCACUCAUAGUGAUAGAUCUUCUCACGUAUAUCAUUGUUUAGAUGGAUGGCAAUGUAGUUGCAAGUAUUCGAGACAUGUAUCACUAUUUUCGAAAUGAUGACGAGAUUCCACUUCCUAUUGGAUGAUGAUUAUGAUGAUGACCACCUUGUAUCGCUAUGUAUAUGCUAUGAUUACAUUUUUAUGUCUAUGAUAUGCUAGAAAUUAUUAUAUAACACCCAAAACGAAAUUCAAUACCACAAAAUGUGGAGCAGAAAAAAUAAAUAAAAACUAAUAAAAGUAGUGCGGGGUAUGGCAUUAGCAGCAGCAAGCUCUUAGCAGUAGCACUCUUUUCAUAAGGGCACUGCAGCUAUUAUUAGCAGCGCAUAUUUCACACAAACGUUGCUGCUAUCCCUAGUUAGAACUAGCGCUGGCCAGACCGCGCUACUGAUAAGCAUUAGUUGCAGCACCGUAUCAGUAGCGCGGCUACCCGCGCUACUGAUAAGCAUAUAACCUGCGCUACUGCUAGGCAUUUCCCUAGUAGUGUUCUCCACCAUAAGUUUGAAAGAACUUCACUACAAUGGAUAUCUUGGACCAGAUUUUCAAAGUUCGAAGGGUCAACCCUCUUCCCUAUGUUGUCCUAAGACCCGCGUCCACUCAACUAACCGCCACCCUGGCUUAAUCGCCUUCACCAUCACAUCCAUUCCGCUGAUGGCGUGGUAUGAUGGGCUUUGCUCCAUGCUUCUUCAAGCCGCAACAAGCUCAUCUUGCAAGAGCUCAUAAAGGUGACAGUCUGGCAGAUAGAAAGGUCAAUUGUGUAACCUAGCAUAGAUGCCUUUGUCGUUUUCAAUUGCGUACUCUAAGUUCAUUAGACACUUCCAUAGGACAUCAAAGUGUUGCUCCACACAACAAGCUCCUGACUAAAAUAGCACCCCUUCAAGAUGAAUAGUAUUUAGGCUCACAUGAGAAUUUCUCCUGCUCAAAUCAAAUUUGGAUGUAUUCUGCUACCAUGGUCGACAGCCUAGUGGCAAGGACUUCUCACCCCACGUGCUUUUAGGUCCAGUAAGAGCGGUGCUACAAUACCCGUUGUAAUUGUGAUUAGUAAUAAGUCUUUUGCAGUUGAAUAAACAUAAAAAGAAAAUAAUGUUGUAAUAAUUGUUUUAUUUGGCGGGAUGUAAUGAAACUAUACUUAUAUGCCACAGUUAUUAGGUGGAGUAUAAAGUGUAUUUUGCCUCACAUAGGUCCUCUUAGUCCAUAAAUUUUACAUGGUUAAUUCGGUGCCAUGGCUUGAUAUGAUGAGCGCAAAGGCUAUCUCAUAGUCAUCUAAAGAAUUACAUUGUCAGCUUAAAAUGACUUAUCAGAACUUCUAUGAGAAAGUUGUAAACAUGUGCUCUUUUAUGACAAUGUUGAAUAGCGAAAAAGCAUCAAUAUCAUGGUUGUUACACCAUACAUUAUCGAAACCUUAAUGUAAUGGUGUUCCUAAUUAUUCUAGGGUGAGAAGAGAGGUAGAACAUGCUCAUAUAUAGUUUGCAGCCUAUGCGGGAGAGGAGUAGAGCUCGGUGUUCCUAUGUGGAACAUGCUCAUAUAUAGCUUGCGAAGAAGCCAUCAUGCCAUUUCUAUACGUACUAUUAAAGGGGAUAGAUAUUCUUGGUUUGGUUUAGUCCUUUUCGUUUUAUUUGAGCGCAUGCUAAUGUCUUGUGUACGAUUCUCUCUACACACACUAGCCAUCUGGGCCAGGUACGUAUACAUUGAUGGGCCUUCUAUGGGCUUCUAUAGAGACUGCGAAAAAUAAUUGGGUCAAAAUAAACCAACAUUGUGGAAAUUGAACAGAGGACCUACUGUCCGGCUCUUCAACGUAACAACCAAUUGGCAAUGCAUCUUUCACAUUUACUAAUCCCAACUCGCUUUUUUACAAUGAUUCCAAUCAGUAAAUAUUUGAGUGUCCCCAGGAAUCAACCAACAAAUAGUUAAAACAAAGAAGAGCAAACCUCUUGUUUAGGGCGAGCUAAUUAAAGAAAGGAUUGUGGGCUUAAAUAGAAUAUUUAAAUGUAUGUGACUAAUUAAAUAAAUGAUUAUGGGUAAACUGCUGGAAUAACUAAAAGAAAAAUUGUGGGCUUAAUAAAUAGAAUAUAUUCAAAUUGAUGGGGUUAAUCAAAGGAAAGAUUUGAGGUAAAAAGUAGGAUAGUUAAAAGGAUGGAUCCGUAGGCUUCGAUGUGGUGGGGCUACUAAAUUAGAAAAGGAAGGAUUUGCCUUUAAAAAAACCGAAGGAUUUGAAUCUCGACAAAUGGGUGAGGACAUUAUGGUAAUUAGUAGAAUGAUUAUACUUAAAUGGAAUUAGUGAGAGAUUAUGCCCGGCUGAGAAAAAUAUGAACGUGGCAAAUUGCAUCCUAUUUUUUAUGUUCAUUUUCUAGAUGGAUAUUGCGUUGCAACAUGUUCUUCGUAGUGAAUAUAGUGCUAUGGGACAUUAUGUUUGCACAAAAUAUCAAUUUUCCCUAUUGCAACACACAGCAUAUGUGCUAGUGCAUACCUAUGUUUGGAAGGAAUAGAGCUACACUUGUAAUGUACACAAGUUCUAUAUGUAGUAAGAAUUGGAAUCACACUUACAAUGCCACUAAAAUCCACUGACAUCCUAGGACUAGGAAGCAUCGGGAUUUGUGAUUAUGUGUACCUAGAUUUUUACACACGAGGUAACAAUAUAGGACGUGGCUAGCCAGCAAACGGCUGCUGGCUAGCGUUCGCGGGCAUAUCACCAAAAACGGUAGUUACCCUGCCCUGUCGGUACACGUGCCCCCUCCACAAGUGCUCGUGUGGUCCUCGUGUACACAGCCUGCCCCUGUUCACUCUCUCCCAACACAACCUGCCACAAAAUCACUGAAAAAAUCCGUUCAGCAAUGGCGCCGUAAAGAGAUUGCUGGGUUAUCGGUGGUUUUUCUUCAGGAUUUAAAUGAAAUUUCAAAGAACAAAGCAUCAGUGGCUCAGUUGGACACAUCUAGCUGCAACUUUACAGGUGAUCAUAGGAGUUGAUAAUGGUAAGCAACUCGGGUGUGUAACUAAGCAACUUUUGCAUGCAUCAGCGGCAACUUAGGAUGCAAUUGGGAAAAACAAAAACAAAGAGAGUUGCAUGUACAUAUAAAAAGAAGAGGGCAAAUGUGCACCAACAAAAAAUGGUUUGGACAGGCAACUCUAUGGACACUUCUGUACAACUUAUGCAUCAAUCAUGUGCAACUUAGAUGCUCCCCAGUUUACAAAAAAGAAAGAAAAAGAGGUCCAGUACUGCGCGCGCCUUUGGGGUCACUAGUAGAAAACAGGGCAUUUGUCCCGGUUGGUGAGGGCCUUUUGUCCCGGUUCUUGAACUGGGACUAAAGGGUCAUUACUAAUGCCUCCCCCUUUAGUCCCGGUUCUAACACGAACCGAGACAGAUGGGCCUCCACGUGGCCGGUGCGCCGAGCCCAGGUAGGAGGGACUUUGGUCCCGGUUGGUGGCACCAACCGGGACCAAAAGGCAUCCACGCGUCAUCAUUUCAGUGGCUGGGGUUUAUNNNNNNNNNNNNNNNNNNNNNNNNNNNNNNNNNNNNNNNNNNNNNNNNNNNNNNNNNNNNNNNNNNNNNNNNNNNNNNNNNNNNNNNNNNNNNNNNNNNNNNNNNNNNNNNNNNNNNNNNNNNNNNNNNNNNNNNNNNNNNNNNNNNNNNNNNNNNNNNNNNNNNNNNNNNNNGGGUUUCAUAUAUUGCGUUAGCUAGCUAAUUAAUAGAGAGAAGUGUCCUCUCUUAUGUCCGUGCUUGGUCGACGCUAUGUACUAUACGUAGAGAGGCCCUCGACACGCUAGCUAGUAAGAAAAUGAAGGGAACCAUUAAGUACAGAAGUUCGUCAUGCAUACCGAGAGAAGUGAUCGAUCAACCUCUCCUUCUCCGAGAGAUUGGUCGAACAAAAAUUUUCUUAUUAUCUAUCCGACGCUACUGGCUACAUACAUAUACAAUAUGUAAGAUCUCUUACAAUCCGCUAGCAAUUGAAAUCAACUUCCACAUGGUAUUCUACGGCUUUAUUGAUGACGUGGUCAAGAAAGAAUCCCGCCAAUCCCUCUUGAAUUGCUUUCAUGCGAUCUUGUUCUAGGAGUUCAUUCCGCAUUUGCCACGUCUAAUUUGAAGAAGGGGGUUAAUUAAUACAUAUAUAUGAAUGAAACUCAACAGAAAUGAUGGUGUAAUAAAAUGAAAUUGUGAAUAUUAUUGCUUACGCACUUCAUAUUGUCUUUUAGAGUAGCCCCGCUUAUUUUUCAAAGUCGUGUUGUAGAUGAACUCGCACACAUAGUAUCCACAAAAAUUAUUCCCUUGUUCCUGCCACAAGCACUUUAUGAGAAAUAGAGGUCAAUCAAACUGAUAAUAAAGCAUUAUAAAUGGCAUUGAUGGAAGUAUAACUAUAGAAUCAACGGGAGGUGCGCGCAACUAGCUAGCCAGUAGUACUUACUUUCGGGUAUGUAUAUCGCAGCUCCUUCGGCAGUCCCGGAGGUUCUGCGGUAAACUAUUUCCAAACCCUGCAAGACAAAGAAAAUAAUUAUUAUUACUUGAGAUAUCAGGAAAUCAACAAAAAGUUGCCGAUAUGGUGUGAUAAUGAUCGAUUGAACUUACUUGUUGAGCAUUUUAGUCAGGUCCGCAUAGGUUUCGGGAUCUUUUCGUCUCGAGUCCAAGACGGUUACAUAAAGGCUUAAGUGGAAGCUGCGCACGGAUGCAUAACUCAUCAAUUACAUUACUAUAACUUCGCUCGAGUAAUAAGGGAAACCGAAUAUGCACAUGACAGUAACACUCACUCGAAGUUGUAAGGAAAGAGUAUGGUAUCUUUGUUUUGAUUUCUGAUCAACGAUUGUCGCAAGUUGGCCUCGGCCUCUUCUGCAUGCUUUUUAACUUGAAUUUCAUCUAUGUUUUUUGUGUUAAUGAACCCAAUAUCAUAUAUUUCUUGUUUUCUGCACUCGAGAUCUUCAAUCUGCAUAAUAUAGUGAGGAUAAUUAAUUGUAAAUGCAUGCAAUGAAAGAGCUGAACUAUAUAUAUAGAGAGACUUAAUGACAAAAAUAAUACUUACAGACAGUAGCAAAAGACCGUUAAUUUAUCGAGGGCCUUUUGAUUGAAGAACUCAAAGAACUCCUCAAAUGGAACAGGCAACAGAUCAGUUCCAAUGAGGUCGUGCUCCUCUUUAAUGCUCAGAUACAAAGUAUUCGUCCCCCCAGACUCUCUGCAGGUUUUCAUGUACCAAUUAUGGAAUCUUCGCAUCAUCGUUGUUAGAGAUUUUUCAUCUUUGACGAGAGGCUUCCCGUACUUGUAUCUGUGUUCGUCCACCUCCAUGAAAUCAGGAAGUUGAUCGUCAGGCAGGUAAUCUGCAAGAUUGCCAUAACCGGCCACUGUCCCAAAGCAUUAGCGAUGAUGUUGUCGCUAGACACAUUGAGCGGGGGGCACGAUUGAUUUGCUUGUUCGCCGAGCUGGGCAAUUUUUUUUGGAGCUGCUCAUUCUUUUGACCUUUGAUGUCUGACAGUACUUCCCGACCGCUCCGCUUCGAGAUAUAUCUGUUCAGUAAUGCGCUCAUAGUUGGUUCUCUGCGAAGACUUUGGUGGUUUCCUCAGGGCAUCGAUAGUGCGCUUUGUUUUCACCGGAUCUACCUUCUCCUUCGGAGGUGGAUGUCUCUUUGAUUUCAACCCUUCAAAGAAGUCGUCCACUUCGGCCCGCAAGAUCUUCGUGUUUUCCUCCUUGGUCCUCUCGUACGGUAACUUCUCUAGAGGCUUGAGAGAAGGACUGUAUCUGUAUUGCCUCCCGCCUCUGCUGGCUGUACUGCUAGACGCUGGAGCAGACGGAGUAGGUGCGGCGUCUGUCUUCUUUCGUGCUUGCUUACGAGGCGGAGGAGAAGGACUACGAUGCGCUGGAGCAGCCGUGGCGACGGCGGGUCUCUUCCGCCCUUGCUGGCGAGGCGGAGAAGGAGGAGGCUGCUGGCUGCUCGGGCACGCCGGCGCAGGCGGGGAAGGAGGCGGAGUGCUGCCACGCGCCGGAGAAGGAGACUGAGUGCCCUGAUCGUCACUCGCCGGAGAAGGAGGCGGUGGAGGAGGAGGAGUGCCCUGACUCGCCGGAGGAGGAGGAGGAGGCGUCCAGUUUGGAAGCUUGAUGAACUCCUUCCGCCAUAGGCAUGGAGUCUUCAGAGCAGAACCCAGCCGAGUCUCCCCUUCACCAGUAGGGUGGUCAAGCUGGAGGUCCUCAAAUCCCUCCGUUAUUUCAUCCACCGUCACCCUAGCAUAUCCUUCUGGAAUCGGACAACAGUGAAAAGUUGCACCGGGUUCAGAAGGUCGAACUUGGCCGAUAGCCGCCUUGACUUUGAAGUUCUGCCAUUGCGUCAUAAGGUGGCAAUUUUGAGACUCCGUGAUAAAAUCUAUGGGGUAGCUAGCAGGAGCCGUCAAGACAUGCUCUGCCUAAAGCAGCUCGGUGGAAGCCACGCUGCUUCUCCGCUGAGAUGGCGGGGUAGCUUCGGGGGAAGCUUCGGUAGGUCGUUUGCUGCGAUCUGAUUCUCGUUCCUCUAGCCCUUGUACCCUUUCAUGCAGCGCCUGCAGUUGGCUCUGCUCCAGUUUCUUCCUCCUCUCCUGGGUUUUGUAACCCCCUGCGUUCGGAAAACCAAACUUCCACAGAAUGGAGCCUGGCGUGCCUCGUUUCCGUCCAGGGUGCUCAGGAUUCCCGAGGGCCAUUGUGAGCUCGUCCUUCUCCCUGUCUGGAACGAACGUCCCUUGCUGUGCUGCAUCAAUAUAGUGCUGAAGCCUGUUGACUGGUAUUUUCAGUUGCUCGUCCAUCCAACGGCACUUCCCUGAUACAGGGUCCAAGGUUCCGCCAGCCCCGAAGAACCAAGUCCGGCAACGGUCUGGCCAGUUCAUUGUCUCUGGUUCGAUCCCUUUAUCAAGCAGAUCAUUCUCAGCCUUGGACCACUUAGGCCGGGCUUUGUGGUAGCCACCUGACCCCGUGCGAUGGUGAAACUUCUUCUUCGCAGCAUUUUGCUUGUAUGUCGCCGACAUCUUCUUACUCUUUUCCGAUGUCUUGUGGGCCACAAAUGCGGGCCAGUGAUCUCUAAUCUUCUCAUAUUUGCCGAUGAAUUCUGGUGUCUCUUCUUUGUCAACAAACUUGUUCAGCUCUUUCCUCCACCUCCUGAAUAGGUCUGCCAUCUUCUUAAGAGCACAAGACUUGAUUAAUUGCUCUUUAACUGGCUUCUCCGGAUCCUCCUCUGGUGGUAGGGUGAAAUUUGCCUUUAGCUCAGUCAAAAGAUCAUCUUUUUGCAUAUCAUUGACACAUGACACCUCAGGGUCUUCCUCCUUAGGCUUAUACCAUUGGUGGAUGCUGAUCGGGAUCUUGUCCCUAACAAGAACCCCGCACUGAGUAGCAAAUGCGUUCUUUGUCUAGAUGGGUUCAAUCGGUUCGCCGUCGCGCGCGAUUGCUGUGAUCUCAAACUUUUCAUCCGAGCUCAACUUUUUCUUCGGGUCUCGUCUCCUUACCGAAGUUGUGCUCGAUCCGGAGGGCUAGAAAAAAGAAGAAAGAUGAGAGUUAAUUAAUAUGUGCACAUAUACCAAAACAAUGAAUGCAUCAAUUAACUAGUCAGCACAGGCUUAACUAAUAUAUAUAUACCUGGUCGGACUUUGUUCAGUCACCGGAGCAGUCAGCACAGUCUCCUUGUACCUCCAUUGGGUCACCGGAGCCAUCAUGAACAUAUCCCUCUUCUUGUACCGGCAUUAAUGGGCCGGAGCCAUCAUGAACAUAGCCCUCUUCUUCACCCAGUCCUUCCUGACCAUCGGUGUCGUUGAGAAAUGCUGCAACGACAUCACUUCCUUGUGCGAUUAUCUCCCCCAACAUCGCUUCUGUUGCUUCGUCUCGGGAGUGCUCCAUUGUUUCUGCAAAUAUUUACAACAUGUCAAUUAUUAUUCAAACAUGGUACAGAUGGAUAUAUAUUAGUGGCAAAUGUAGAACUAGCUAGCUAAUCACAAUAAGGAAUCAUGUUAGUGGCCUCGACGCUGCUUCUCUAGGGUUUGGGGUGGCCUAGACAAUGGUUCGAGGGUUUGAGGUGGCCUCAACACAACGCUUCAAGGGUUUGGGGUGGCCUUGAUGACAACGCUCUUUUAAAUUGGUAAAUUUGGCUGGCCUCGAGAGAGUUUGUCGGGUAGGGGCGCGGCGGGAGGGGCUAGGAGACCAACAUCGUUUUUUCUCUAGGGUUUGGGUGUCCUCGAGAGUUUUGGUCGAGCGAGAGGGCCGAGGGGGGUGCUGUCGUGGUAUAAGUUAUCACGGUCGAGAGGGGGCAUAUAUAUCGACCGCCCCUCAUGUCAAAGUUAUCCGGGAGGGGGUUAUAUCGACAACGACGCAGCAUACAUAUACAUGGGAAAAUAAUAUUAUUGGGGAGGGGGUAGAUUGACCCCUCUCCUCGUGUUGAAGUUAUCGGGAGGGGUAUAUGGACGACGACAGACCCGAUAAAACAUAAGAAAACAAAGAAGAAAUAAAAAGAGGAGAAGAAAGAAAGGAAUAGAGGAGAAGAUCGAAGAAAAAAAAGAAGAAGAAAAAAGAGGAGAAGAAGAAAGGAAUAGAGGAGAAGAAGAAAAAAUAGAAGGUAUUGCUUGUUUAUUUCUUCUUCUACUUUUUUCUUCUUCUUAUUUAUUUCUCCUCUUCUUCCUCUUCUUAUUUCCUUUUUCCUCUCAUUCUUUUUCUUCUUCUUCCUUCUUAAAAAUACAUGAAGUAGUAUUGCUUGUUUUUUUUAAAAUAAUGUUCCAAUAGAAAUUUUAGAAAAAAAGUAAAGGUUUUGCCUAAUUCAUUGUUCAUAUGAAUAUACAAACAUUUGCAUAUUUACAAUAAUUAAUAUCACCAAAAAAAUCUAUAAACAGAAAAAAUAGUAUUUUUUCUAAAAAUCUAUCUUUUGCAUAUAUACAUGAACAUAUAUAUACAUAGAGAACAUAUAUACAUACAUAUAUACAUUUUUAUAAAAAUGCAAAAAACAAAAAAUCUAAAAAAAGGACAUAUAAAUAGAUAUACACACAUACAUAUACUCAUACAUAUAAAUAUAAUCAAGAAUAAAACAUCUAUAUAUGCAGGGCAGGGGCGGCGGGGCGGCGUGCGGCGCCAGCGCAGGGCANNNNNNNNNNNNNNNNNNNNNNNNNNNNNNNNNNNNNNNNNNNNNNNNNNNNNNNNNNNNNNNNNNNNNNNNNNNNNNNNNNNNNNNNNNNNNNNNNNNNNNNNNNNNNNNNNNNNNNNNNNNNNNNNNNNNNNNNNNNNNNNNNNNNNNNNNNNNNNNNNNNNNNNNNNNNNNNNNNNNNNNNNNNNNNNNNNNNNNNNNNNNNNNNNNNNNNNNNNNNNNNNNNNNNNNNNNNNNNNNNNNNNNNNNNNNNNNNNNNNNNNNNNNNNNNNNNNNNNNNNNNNNNNNNNNNNNNNNNNNNNNNNNNNNNNNNNNNNNNNNNNNNNNNNNNNNNNNNNNNNNNNNNNNNNNNNNNNNNNNNNNNNNNNNNNNNNNNNNNNNNNNNNNNNNNNNNNNNNNNNNNNNNNNNNNNNNNNNNNNNNNNNNNNNNNNNNNNNNNNNNNNNNNNNNNNNNNNNNNNNNNNNNNNNNNNNNNNNNNNNNNNNNNNNNNNNNNNNNNNNNNNNNNCGCGGCGACCGCGCAGGACAGGGGCGCAGGGGCGCGGGUCGGGAGGGGCGCGGAAGCAGGCUGUGCUCACUGGGGGCAGCAGCGACGGCGAAGGCGAGCAGCCUGACGGCGUCGGUGGCGGCGGCGACGGCGAAGGCGAGCAGCCUGGCGGAGUCGGUGGCACCGGCGACAGCGAAGGCGAGCAGCCUGACGGCGUCGGUGGCGGUGGCGAUGGCAAGGUGGAGCAGGGGCGUCUGGCGGCGACGGCGACGAGGAGGAGCAGGAGGCGUCGGGGGAGAAGUGGGUGAUUUGAUCGAAACUGCGAAGUGCUGCUUAUAUAGCAAAGCCUUUAGUCCCGGUUGGUGGCACCAACCGGGACUAAUGCACCCUUUAGUCCCGGUUGGUGCCACCAACCAGGACCAAAGGCCUCUUUUCAGCAGCCCAAAGGGCGGGAAGCGGCGGCCUUUGGUGCCGGUUGGUGGCACGAACCGGGACUAAAGGGGGGGGCAUUGGUCCCGGUUGGUGCCAAGAACCAGGACCAAAGGGUGGCAUUGGUCCCGGUUCGUGCCACCAACCGGGACCAAUGGCCUUGCACAGCGGCGUGGUGGUGGGAGUUUAGUCCCACCUCGCUAGUUGAGAGCGUCGACCACCUGCUUAUAAGCACUGCUACCUCCUCUCUCUCGAACUCCUCUGAACUGCAGGCCUAUGGGCCUAAUCUGGCACUACUUUGCCUGUGGGCCUGCUGGGCCUUCUCCGGGCUUGAAUCCUGGCCCAUGGUAGGGUUUCUAGUCGUAUUCAGGUCGUGGGGGCCCAGUAGGAGGCACUUUUUUGUUUUUUGUUUUCUUUAGUUAUUGUUGCUAUUUUUAUUUUUUUUCUAGUUUUUUUGUUUUGUUUUUUGUAUUAUUUAUUUUCUUUUGUUUUUUUCUUUAUUUUUUUAAUUCUUUUUGCUUUUAGUUUUAGAAAAAUUAUAAACUUUCUGUUAGUGCCAUUAGUUUUCAAAUUUGAAUACACUUUUUUUUUGUUUUUUGUUUUCUUUCUGGCUUUAUUUAUUUUAUUUUGUUUCUACUUACNNNNNNNNNNNNNNNNNNNNNNNNNNNNNNNNNNNNNNNNNNNNNNNNNNNNNNNNNNNNNNNNNNNNNNNNNNNNNNNNNNNNNNNNNNNNNNNNNNNNNNNNNNNNNNNNNNNNNNNNNNNNNNNNNNNNNNNNNNNNNNNNNNNNNNNNNNNNNNNNNNNNNNNNNNNNNNNNNNNNNNNNNNNNNNNNNNNNNNNNNNNNNNNNNNNNNNNNNNNNNNNNNNNNNNNNNNNNNNNNNNNNNNNNNNNNNNNNNNNNNNNNNNNNNNNNNNNNNNNNNNNNNNNNNNNNNNNNNNNNNNNNNNNNNNNNNNNNNNNNNNNNNNNNNNNNNNNNNNNNNNNNNNNNNNNNNNNNNNNNNNNNNNNNNNNNNNNNNNNNNNNNNNNNNNNNNNNNNNNNNNNNNNNNNNNNNNNNNNNNNNNNNNNNNNNNNNNNNNNNNNNNNNNNNNNNNNNNNNNNNNNNNNNNNNNNNNNNNNNNNNNNNNNNNNNNNNNGACAAGGUAUAAACUUUCUGUUAGUGCCAUUAGUUUUCAAAUUUGAAAACACUUUUUUUGUUUUUUUGUUUUCUUUGUUGCUUUAUUUAUUUUAUUUUGUUUCUACUUACAACAAAAUACUUAUUGUUGCUAUUUUUAUUUUGUUUCCAGUUUUCUUGUUUUAUUUUCUGCAUUAUUUAUUUUCUUUUGUUUUUUGCUUUAUUUUUAAUUCUUUUUGCUUUUAGGUCAGCAAAAUUAUAAACUUUCUGUUAGUGCCAUUAGUUUUCAAAUUUGAAUAAUUAAAAUUUGAAUUAUUUGAAAUUUGUGUGAAUCACAAGUUUGUGAUUAACUUUACUAAAAAAAUGAACAUAGAUGCGCCUAUAGAGAAAACUCAACCUAAAUUCAUAAUAAAUUUCUAUGAAUUUCAGAGAAAUUCACUAUGAAUUUAGGUCAAAUUCCCUAUAUAGGGGCAUCUAUUUUCACUUUGAGAGGAGCUCAACAAGGCAGAGAGGGACGAUCUUAUAAACCGAUCUAAGCACCCUUCGGUUGGCGAGGUGGGACUAAACUCAGAGCGCAACGAGGACUAACCGGGAUUAAUGGUAUUACGAGGGCCGAACCAAUAGACAUUAAAGCAUUUCAAAUGAACUCUGAAAAAGUUGAAAGUUGGCAUGGUAUCAUAAUUUCACCCACAUAGUAUGUGCAUGUACAAAACGGACAAUGGUAUCAUACUCGUCUGUUACAAAUUUGGCAUGAUAUCAUCAUAAUAGUUGCGGGAGAAAGUUUUCACUUUUUCUUUGCUUGUCUCAUUUGCUUAUUGCGCCGUAACCAUGGAUAAUCUUCAUCGUUUAUCAGGAUGCUUGGGUCAGCCUUGACUUUGAAGGGAGGAAUUUCAUGAAACUUUUCAUAAUCUUCAGACAUGUCUGUCUUGCCCUCCACUCCUAUGAUGUCCCUUUUUCCUGAAAGAACUAUGUGGCGCUUUGGCUCAUCGUAUGAUGUAUUCGCUUCCUUAUCUUUUCUUUUUCUCGUUCUGGUAGACAUGUCCUUAACAUAGAUAACCUGUGCCACAUGAUUGGCUAGGCCGAACGUUCGUCAGUGUACCCAAGAUUUUUCAGAUCCACAGUUGUCAUUCCAUACUGUGGGUCUACCUGUACCCCGCCUCCUGACAGAUUGACCCAUUUGCACUUAAACGAAGGGACCUUAAAAUCAUGUCCGUAGUCAAGUUCCCAUAUGUCCACUAUGUAACCAUAAUAUGUGUCCUUUCCCCUCUCAGUUGUUGCAUCAAAGCGGACACCGCUGUUUUGGUUGGUGCUCUUUUGAUCUUGGUAAAUCGUGUAAAAUAUAUUCCCAUUUAUCUCGUAUCCUUUCCAAAUCAUAACAGUCAAAGAUGGUGCCCUGGACAACAAGUACAGCUCAUCACAAAUAGUGUUGUCACCUCUGGGACGUGUUUCCAACCAACUGCUGAAAGUCCUGAUGUGUUCACAUGUAAUCCAGUCGUCGCACUGCUCCGGGAGUUUGGAGCGCAGACUGUUCUUGUGUUCAUCUACAUACGGGGUCACGAAGGUAGAGUUCUGUAUAACUGCGUAGUGUGCUUGAGUCCAAGAAUAUCCGUCCCUGCAUAUUAUUGAGUCCCUUCCAAGCAUGACUUUUCCAGUCAGUCUCCCUUCAUACCGUGAUGUAGGGAGACCUAUCUUCUUAAGGCCAGGAAUGAAGUCAACACAAAACUCGAUGACAUCCUCUGUUUGAUGGCCCACGGAGAUGCUUCCUUCUGGCCUAGAGUGGUUACAGACAUAUUUCUUUAGGACUCCCAUGAACCACUCAAAGGGGAACAUAUUUUGUAGAAAUACGGGCCCAGAAUGACAAUCUCGUCGACUAGAUGAACUAGGACGUGCGUCAUGAUAUUGAAGAAGGAUGGUGGGAACACCAGAUCGAAACUGACAAGACAUUGCGCCACAUCACUCCUUUGCCUUGGUAUGAUUUCUGGAUCGAUCACCUUCUGGGAGAUUCAUUGAGGAAUGCACAUAGCUUCACAAUGGCUAAUCGGACGUUUUCUGGUAGAAGCCCCCUCAAUGCAACCGAAAGCAGUUGCGUCAUAAUCAUGUGGCAGUCAUGAGACUUUUUCUCUGGCAUAUUUAUUAUUCCCUUUAUAUUCGACGAGAAGCCAGUCGAGACCUUCAUACUGAGCAGGCAUUCAAAGAAGAUUUCUUUCUCUUCUUUCGUAAGAGCGUAGCUGGCAGGACCUUCAUACUGCUUCGGAGGCAUGCUGUCUUUUUCGUGCAAAGGUUGCAGGUCCUCCCGUGCCUCAGGUGUAUCUUUUGUCUUUCCAUACACGCCCAGGAAGCCUAGCAGGUUCACGCAAAGGUUCUUUGUCACGUGCAUCACGUCGAUUGAAGAGCGGACCUCUAGGUCUUUCUAGUAGGGUAGGUCCCAAAAUAUAGAUUUCUUCUUCCACAUGGGUGCGUGUCCCUCAGCGUCAUUCGGAACAGCUAGUGCGCCGGGACCCUUUCCAAAGAUUACGUGUAAAUCACUGACCAUAGCAAGUACAUGAUCACCGGUACGCAUGGCGGGCUUCUUCCGGUUAUCUGCUUCGCCUUUGAAAUGCUUGCCUUUCUGUCGACAUUGAUGGUUGGUCGAAAGAAAUCGACGAUGGCCCAGGUACAGAUUCUUCCUGCAGCUUCCCAGGUAUAUACUAUCGGUGUCAAGCAAACAGUGCGUGCAUGCAUGGAAUCACUUGUUUGUCUGUCCUGAAAGGUUAUGAAGAGCGGGCCAAUCGUUGAUGGUCACGAACAGCAACGCCUUUAGGUCAAAUUCCUCCUGUUUGUGCUCAUCCCACGUACGUACACCGUUUCCAUUCCACAGCUGUAAAAGUUCUUCAACUAAUGGCCUUAGGUACACAUCAAUGUCGUUGCCGGGUUGCUUAGGGCCUUAGAUGAGAACUGGCAUCAUAAUGAACUUCCACUUCAUGCACAUCCAAAGGAGGAUGGUUAUACAUACAUAGAGUCACGGGCCAGGUGCUGUGAUUGCUUCUCUACUCCCCGAAAGGAUUAAUGCCAUCCACGCUUAAAGGAAACCAUACGUUCCUUGGGUCACUUGCAAAUUCAUCCCAGUACUUUCUCUCGAUUUUUCUCCACUGCGACCCGUCAGCGGGUGCUCUCAACUUCCCGUCUUUCUUACGGUCCUCACUGUGCCAUCGCAUCAACUUGGCAUGCUCUCCGUUUCUGAACAAACGUUUCAACCCUGGUAUUAUAGGAGCAUACCACAUCACCUUCGCAGGAACCCUCUUCCUGGGGGGCUCGCCGUCAACAUCACCAGGGUCAUCUCGUCUGAUCUUAUACCGUAAUGCACCGCAUACCGGGCAUGUGUUCAGAUCCUUGUACGCACCGCAGUAGAGGAUGCAGUCAUUAGGGCAUGCAUGUAUCUUCUGCACCUCCAAUCCUAGAGGGCACACGACCUUUUUUGUUGCGUAUGUACUGUCGGGCAAUUCGUUAUCCUUUGGAAUCUUCUUCUUCAAUAUUUUUAGUAGCUUCUCAAAUCCUUUGUCAGGCACAGCAUUCUCUGCCUUCCACUGCAGCAAUUCCAGUACGGUACCGAGCUUUGUGUUGCCAUCUUCGCAAUUGAGGUACAACCCUUUUUUGUGAUCCUCUAACAUGCGAUCGAACUUCAGCUUCUCCUUUUGACUUUCGCAUUGCGUCCUUGCAUCGACAAUGAACCGGCGGAGAUCCUCAUCAUCGGGCACAUCGUCUGGUUCCUCUUGAUCUUCAGCAGCUUCGCCAGUUGCAGCAUCAUCGGGCACAUCGUCUGGUUCCUCUUGAUCUUCAGUAGCAUGACUGUAUUCAGGGGGCACAUAGUUGUCAUCGUACUCUUCUUCUUCGCCGUCUUCCAUCGUAACGCCUAUUUCUCCGUGCCUCGUCCAAACAUUAUAGUGUGGCAUGAAACCCUUGUAAAGCAGGUGGGUGUGAAGGAUUUUCCGGUCAGAGUAAGACUUCGUAUUCCCACAUAUAGGGCAUGGACAACACAUAAAACCAUUCCGCUUGUUUGCCUCAGUCGCUUCGAGAAACUUAUGCACGCCCUUAAUGUACGCGGAGGUGUGUCUGUCACCGUACAUCCAUUUCCGGUUCAUCUGCGUGCAUUAUAUAUAAUUAAGUGUGUCAAAAACCAUUACAGAACAUCAUGAAUAGAUAAUUAAGUGACCAAAUUAAUAGAAGUUCAUCAUCACAUUAAAACCAAAGUACAUACAUAGUUCUCAUCUAACAACAUAAAGCUCUGCGAAGCAUCUAAAUUAAUUAAACCAUACAUUCAAACUAUGUAAAACAUUUCAAUGCAAAAAUAAAUGCGAUCAUAAUCGCAACCAAGGUAACAACUGAUCCAACGGCAUAAUGAUACCAAGCUUCGGUAUGAAUGGCAUAUUUUGUAAUCUUUCUAAUCUUCAAGCGCAUUGCAUCCAUCUUGAUCUUGUGAUCAUCGACGACAUCCGCAACAUGCAACUCCAAUAUCAUCUUCUCCUCCUCAAUUUUUCUUAUUUUUUCCUUCAAGAAAUUGUUUUCUUCUUCAACUAAAUUUAACCUCUCGACAAUAGGGUCGGUGGGAAUUUCCGGUUCAACAACCUCAUAGAUAAAUAAAAUCUAUGUCACGUUGGUCGGCAUAAUUGUCAUAAACAAUAAAUGAACCAAUAGUUAUGAAAAGAUAAUAUAUACCACAUCCGAAUCAUAGACAGGACGAGGGCCGACGGGGACGGAUACCAAAACCAUCGCACUAUAUAAGAUGCAAUAAUAAAAGUAAGAAAAUAAUACAAGUAUCUAUCUAAACAUACAAGUAUGAAUAUUUUUCCUUUCAGAAAGAAGAUAAGAACAAGAGGCUCACCAUGGUGGUGCCGGCGAUGAGAUCGGCGCGGGUGAUCUAUGGCGGUGAAGACGGGGACGGGGCGUGACGGACCGCUAAACCUAGAAAAAUAUUGAGGAAAAUGGAGCUUGGAGGUCGAGCUUGGAGAGGAGAAAGCUUAAGUAGUGUGGCUCGGGCAUUCCAUCGAACACCUUGUGUGCAUAGGAGGUGAGCUAGAGCACCACCAAGCCCUCUCCCCCUCGGCGGCCAGAAAAAACAGAGCAGUGUGCUCUGCUCUUACGCGAGGGGGUAUAUAUAGGCACCUCAUAGGUCCCGGUUGCACUACAAAAAAAAUUGCACUUCCGUGAUGAUAUGUGUUUGUCACAGUAGGUCGCAUUUUUUGUCAUGCAUGUACAUCCAUGACAAAUUUAUGACAGAAUCAAGAUAGUCAUACAUGUGCUAUCGUAGAAGUGUUCCAUGACGUUACCAAAAUUAUCAUCACGGAAGUGUCCACUUCCGUGACGAUAAAUCGCGCGUCAUAGAAGUGCUUUCGUCAAGGGUGACCGACACGUGGCAUCCACCGUAACGGAAUGCCGUUAAGCUAUCGGGUCGGGUUUUGGAUCCGAUAACCCGUUAACAGCCCCGACUAAUGGGAUUUUUCCACGUGUAAAAUCAUCAUUGGCUGGAGGAAACACGUGUCGGCUCAUCGUUGGGGCAGAUGUCAUCCACUCAUUGGACAGAAGGCGCCUAUGAUACAUCGACACAUGGCACGGCCCAACAAGUUUAAAUGGGCCGGCCCAACUAAAGGCCCACAUGAUUUUGCGGCCCUUAAUGGGCCAGCCCAGUUAAAGGCCCAUGAGAUUUUGCGGACUAUAAUGGGCUGGCCCAGCUAAAGGCCCACAAAAUUUAGCGGGCCAUAAUAGGCCGGCCCAGGUAAAGGCCCACAAGAUUUUUAUGUGACAUAAUGGGCCGGUCCAGGUAAAGGCCCACAAAAUUCUUGCGGAUCAUAAUGGGUCUGACCAGCUAAAGGCCCACGAGAUUGCGCCGACAUUAAUGGGCCGGCCCAGCUGUAGGCCCAAAAGAUUUUGAGGACCCUAGCAGGCCGGCCCAUUAACUGGCUGCCAUGUUUUGGGCCAAAUGCCGGCCCAUAAUUGAUCCGGUCCAUUCAUGGUCUGCCACGUUCCGGGCCUAAUAAUGGCCCAUAUAAGAUCCGGCCCGUUAAAAGCCUCUCACUUUCUGGGACAAAUCACGGCCCAGAUCAGGUCCGGCCCUUUAAGAGGCUUUGGGCUCAAUUAUGGCCCAUAUCAGAUUCGGCCCGUUGACUGGACGCUAUGCUUUUGGGCCCACUUGCUAAAGGCCCAUUUAGUAAUUCGGCCUGAUAUUAGUUUCGGCCUAUUAAGGGCCCAUUUAACAUUUCAGCCCUAUAUUAAUUUCGGCCUGCUAAAAGCCCGUCAUAUAAUUGGGCCUAACUACGGCCCGGUUUGCAUCCGUCCUGCUCGCAGCCGAUAUCUGAUUGGGCCAAACAAGGACCGAGACAACUUUGGCCUGUUAAAAGCCCGUGAAUUGAUUCGCACAAUCAUGGGUCGGGGUCCAUUUCGGGCUGUCGCCGGCCCGUGAGAUAUUCGGCAUGUUGCAGGCCCAGCCUACUUCUCAGCCUCCUAAUAGCCCAUUGAGUUUUCUUGCGAAAAGAGGGUCGGGCAUUACUCGGCCUAUUAAAGUCCUGAAUCUACUAGUGGGCCAGUUUGAUUUGGCCCAUGAUGCGGAUCAUACAUCGUGAUUGCAGGACGGCCGAUUAUGUACCGUAAUUUUACGGUUUGCAGGUUUACUGCGAAGUCAGGACAUAUAUACAGUAAAAUAACUGCAGCAUCGUGAAUAAUAAAAAAAACCUAGACUAUACAAUAAAGAAAUUACGACAUAUUACAUCCACUGGGCAUCAAAGUUCUCCACUAUGAUAAUAAAGCACAAGCAGACAGCAGAUUACAUACACUAGGCAUCAAAGAUCGCCACCAGUGCAAAUAAAGACGCCGACAAAAUAAUAUACAAAACCGACAUAACUUCAAUAGAGUUCAAGAAAGGUUAGCCUUGCUGGGGAGCUGCAGCGCAAGCAGCUGAGCAAGAUGAUGAGACUGCGCUUGUUCAACACUUAUAUCUUCCUCACUUUGAAAGAUAAACAAGCAGACAGAUGACAGGUUUCGCACAUAAAAGUAUCAGUGCUGACAAUUCAUCACAUUUCUUACUAACGAAUAAAGUGACACAGUUUAAAAUUGCAUUCACACAAUAUGGUAUUGUUCAGGUCAAGACAUGGCAGGAAAUGACAUUGUGAAGGAGUUGGCAGCUUCACGACACCACUAGAUUACAGAUCAAAAACUCAUAAGUAUCAAUGGUUAGUGUGCUAUCAAUUUAUCCCAUUUCAGUUUGGCAAAUAAAGAGACAGUUUAAAUAAUAGUAGAAUGACAUGACAUUGUUUAUAGUUAAGACAUUGCAGAAUAUGACAAUUUGAUGUAGUGGGUAGGUUCACCACACCACUGGAUUACGGAUGAAGAACAGAAGCAUACAUGCAAUGCAAAAGAAGAUCACUUGCUUUGAAUAGUUUAAUUUACAUGGUAUGAAGAAGGAACUUGGUUGUACAACUGAAAACUUAAAUUGAGAAGGACAAACUUUUGUUUAUGAACUACAUAAUAAACUUUAAACAUGCAAUUUGAUGCAAACACCAAAAAUAAACAGUUGUUGCAGUCAUGCCUAACCAAAUAUACACAACAAAGUUUGAAGGCUUGAGAAGGACAAACUUACAUUACUGGUGAAGACAGGCUCUAUAAAGCCCUUGUCCUUGCUGAUGGGAGGGGGCAAUUCAAGAAGUUUAGCACAGAAUCUUCUUCAUAAGCAUUGCCUUUAUUCUACAUUUUGUUAAGUAAUAUAGAUGUGAUAAUAUACGAAAAAAUGGAGAAUAUUUAAGAUAAGAUGAAGAGUGAUGCUACAUAACCAAGUAGCUAUAAAUGAAUGUGCAGCGAUACAGGCAAAAGGCCAGCCAAGAGCAAUGCACAGCUAAACUUCUUCAAUACCAACCUUAUGGUAAGAGUAAAUAUAGAUCUGAUGUGUAGAAAAUGGAGGGCAAAGGAAAAUAAGCUGCAGAGUGAUGGUACAUGAACAUCUACCUGUCAAUAUAAGUACACUGAUAAAGGACAACAUGUACUUACAAGAACAAUGCAGAGCUAAAAAAAUUCAUUGGCAUUGGAUAUAUUCAACAAUAAUGUAACUAUUCAUACAGAUCAGAUAAUUUGGAGCGAACAAUUGAUAAGCAAGCUAUCAUGCAUACUGCUGUCACAUAAUUAACCAGGUAUGUAUGCAAGUAUAGUGAUACAGGACAACAGGUACUAACAAGAGCAAAGCAGCGGGCAGCAUAUUUGCGAUAUCCUGUCGUUCUUUUCAAACCGAAAUUCUUCUUCGAGUUGAUUUCCUGCAAAAAAGAUCCGUAAGGCACAUGCGGAAAAGUAGAAGUUCAAAUUGUCAUGUGAUUUCAUAGACAGUACCUCAUCCUGGGAACGAGACCAGUGCAUAACAAGGUUUUUCCAUUCAAUGUCUUCUAAAUUUAGCACAACAGACUUCACCGGAAAUUCAUUUAUAGACUUGCCAUCAAAGUGUGAUUUCCUCAGGUAACACCGAUACUGCUGCAAUGCUUCCUUGAAAAGUACAAGCAAGCUUUGCUCAUCAUGACUAUCCAGAUUGACCCUCACCUAGUUACAACAAUGUAAUGUAAAUCAUUGAUGUGUUCGAGCAGUAGAAAACAGGAAAAUAAUAACCAUGAAUAAUAGCACUUACACGUAAGUUGGACAGGAAGAUGUGAAAAUGGUGUUUGUCUUCACUAUAAUCUUCCUAUGAUGGGAAUAUAUGCACGUAGUCCCUAACAACAUUGAAAGCAUUGUCUUUUAAACUAGGAAUAAAUGGAAUGGGGUUCCAAUCUGCAGGAAUUGGCCGUCUCUGCAGUUGGGAUAGGUCUUCAUCCGGUGGACUUGUUGUACUUUUUGCUGGAGUGGGAUCUUUCUUUGGUACGACUGGUGCUAUGGCAAAUGAAAUCGGUAUACCUUUUGCUGGAGUGCAGGUCUAGUGUGCUGGGGCUAGUGGUGUGGCCAGAGAAGUAUGGGUACAGUCUGCUGGAGUCGGUCCUAUGUUUUUUGUCACUGGUUGUACAACCAAUAUAAGUGGGGCGCUGCCUGAUUUCUCCGGCACCACCAUGUUUUUCAAUGACUUUGCUGGUGCUCCUGCAGGUUCGGCAAUCACCCUCUUCCUUUUUGAUGUCUGAUGCACAAGAACAACAUUUGAGUGGAAAAACAGGGUAUGACGACAGAUGGAAUAUGUAUUGAUAAUGGAUGGGCAUGGCAUCUCGAGUUAUAUGAUGAGUAAACUAAGAAGAUGGUGGUGCAACAAAAUAGAAGAAAUGCAAGACAACAUAUGCAAGAUACGCGCAAUCAAUAAAACCUUCCCAAAUUAGAACAGACACCUUGAUGGGUGAACAGGACAGGCCAUCUGCCUUUGACUCCUCGAGGUUAGAAUAGUCAUUAGGAUGAUAUUCUGAACAAGAAUCAACAGGUGGGGAGCGUACGAGUUUCAUUGCUUCCAGAAUGGCACUCAAUGCCUUGGUGCCAAUUUUGUAAGUCACUGCAGUGUUUCACAAUAUUCUUCUGAUGCGCGGAUUCUGAUAUUCACUGUAAUUGCGUAAAAUAUCUGAGAACCAUGAAAACAUAAAUAGUUGUGAGAUUAUCUUUGUAAUGCAGAUGAUAUCUAUAAUACCUAAAUAGGUCAUCGCCACUAUCCUAUUUCUCUAAGCAUGCAAGCUAUCCACAUCAUCAUUCCUGCCACAUCAGCAAUGUACCUCCCACUACUGAAUUUUUUUCCCACAGGGUGAAGCCACAUCAUUUGUUGUUUUCGUUGUCAUCCUUGCAGUUACUGUUACUAUAGCUUCCGUACUAAUUCCGGCAAGCCACCAGUUGUAUGCGGAUUUGACCUUUCGUCUCUCACAACACAAGGUGCAUGUAGACGAAACCGGCGAGGCACACGACCAUUUGGCUACCGAUCUAAGCAGGCAACGGGCCACCCUCAAGCAUGCAGCUUUGUCCCUUCCUCUCCUCUCGGCACGGUGUAUGCGCAAAAGGAAAAUGUGAGGCAGGAGAACAUUGGGCUGGCGAAGUAAAUGAUGGUACCGUUCCUCCAUUCAAGUUAUGAUCAGGGCAACCGGACAGGCACUGCUCCACUAUCCUGAUCCUUGGACCUAUCUCCCCCUUCGAUCUAUAAAGCACUUGGAAAUCAACAGCCCGUUCAUAGCUCUACUCCUCUUCCGGCUGCCCGCCUUCUCCACACCAAACUUAACAUCCUCUGAGAGUCGUACUCAACGCAGCAGUCUUGCUGACAUCAAGUCUCGAUCUGGCCGUUCAAGCCUAGAAGCUGAAGCGUUGAUCAUGCUGUCGGUGACGUCAUCAUCACCAAUUCAAGCUAAUCCAGCCCAUCACCGUUUUUCUUGAAUUCACCCAGAAGCCAACGCACAACCUGCAACCCUCCAUGGAAAGUACUCCGUAUGGUUGGCAGGUAAUAGAAUGCUUUUUAGAUUAUGCAAUUGGUGACCCUAGAAAAAUUCAAAACUUUGUUCUUGCGAUCUCAAGUGAUUCUAUUGUGUUAGAAUAUGUUGUUUCUCACAUGAACAGGUCUCACGGGCCGUUCUGAUCAAGCGGCCAUGCAUGCAAUCAUGCCCCACGUAUCUAGCAUCAGCUCACGUAAAGAUAGGAUCAGGCACCAGAGUUCGUUUUCUAAAGCGUGUGUGUGUAUCUCCCCUCUCCCCUCUGAUGUAUCUCAUAUAAAGCUGUACCCCGGUGUCGAUGAAUAGAAGCAUGUUAUCACUCAACAUAUAGGGAAUAUCAAGUAUGUUUUUCUUGAACCGCCAUACCAUUCUUUGCUAUAUUAUAUUCAUAACAGCUGUUCUUAAUUGACUGUGUUAGGGUUAUUUCAGUUCUUGCUGUAUAGGCUGAUACACAAAAAAAAUCUUGCAGCUUUCAGUUUUGUCUCAACGCACCACUGGAGUGAUCGGGAGUAUCUGAAUGAUAAUAUUUCCUCAGAUUUAUUCUGAACCUAUUUCCAAAAGAUAGAUGAAACACCCAUCUGUGCAGAAGUGUUUUGUAUCAGGGUGCAACAUGGAGGCAAAAAAAACAUUGUACAUGGAAAAACCAUGUCCAUGAGAUCAUGGACUUCUGAUCCUAAAAUCCAUGAUUUGCACUAAUUCUAUGAAGCACAUAGUACUGUAGUGGUGUAAUCUCUCUGAUCACAUCAUUAAAUGACAUAGAUGCAUGGCAAAGAAUAUGCCCUGUAUAUUUACUGCUCUUGGCGUGCCAAUAGAAUGUACUAUGUCACUGUUCCUUAUUUUCUACAGCUCCAAAAAUGGUUCUCGAUUUUCAAGAUGCAAGGAUUAGUUGGAAAUGAUUAUGAUAUUUAUCUAGCAUGAGACUGUCAAAAUAGUUCGCACAUCUAACUUCUUACCAUAUGUGUUUACCCUAUAUAUAUAUUUUUUGACAGCAGAAAAAUCCUUCUUUGUUCACAUUCAUCUAUCCUACUUUCCCCCCAUUCCUUCCUCUGUUUAUAGAGGCCUGCUGUCAUGAACUCAUCUGAUUGUUUCAUAUUCAACUCACAUAUACAAGAUGCUGUGUUAUUUGUUAUUUCUUUGAGAAUUUCCUUUUAGACGACCUAACAUGCUACAUUAUCAACAACGCAUGCAUCUUCUUACAAACUACACUACAGAUUCUACCUAAAAUUAGUAAUUAGGUUGCCUAAAUUUAGAAUUAGUUUAUCACUAGAUCGUCCACCUUGAUUUGUAAUCAAGAAAAUGUAAUUAGUACUCUUCAGCCAGCUUUUACUUGCAAUUGUGCCAUACCAAAUCCUUACCAUAUUGUUCCUGUUUAUAGGGUAAUCACUUUGAUCCAUUUUUUAUUUAUUUGUUACACUGUUUGCGACUAUGAAUUAACCUUUGGUACGUCUACGGUGAUACAAAAUUUCCGCAGCAACGCGCGGGGUAUCAUCUAGUUCUAAUAUAGGGGCGCCCCUAUAAACACUUAUGUCCUAUCACUGGAUUCUGAUGAGAGCUCAUCUGUGUUGUAAUAUCGUGGGUGCAUUUAUAUAAUCUGGCACAAGUACACAAAAAAUAGGCUCCAGAAGUAAGGAUAGCUGGCAGAUGAUAGGUUCAUAAUAUACUGUAUAGAGAGUUUAUUGCCAAACCAUGAUAACAAGAGCACACAGCAACUAGGAAGAUCAUAGUGUACAUAACAGGGGUACACCAUAACCACGAUAUAUAAAUCGGGAAAGUGAAACUGGCUUGAAAAUACGGUGUUGUAUUGCCGCUAGUAAUUGAAAUCCUAUCGAUCACGUACAUGCCAGCACUAUCGAACAUGGUAAAGAAGAGCAAGCAGAUUUUGGAUAAUAAAAUGUUGGUUGCGCAGUGCCCACACAUGAUGAACCAGAGCGCAUUAGGAAUGAAACUCCCAGCUGUCUCUCGACCAUUUCAGGCUGGAUGAAGAUCCUACGUCUCCUAACCCUUCUUCUUCCUCGUCUCUGAUUCUUCCCAUACAGAACACCGCACGGGCCGCCGGCCGGACCACCGGCCCUCACCGCAUGUGUUCCUCCGCCACCCCCACCCCCCACCCGCAUCGAGUUUUCUUCGUUCGGCGAGGCCCCACAACCACCCGAGCCCCUUGGAUCGCACCGGCGAACUCCGGCGAGCUCUGAAAAAUCGACUGACCCAAUUUUGAAAUUUAGUCUACUGUGAUUUAACUAGUGUGGAAUAUAAAACGGGAAAACCAUAAGCAUUGGGAGUAUAGUGUUGAGCGUGCCAUGGCGGAUCUGAAGGUGCAAACCGGAGAAAGGCAACUUCGCAACCAAGGCAAGAAAUCAGAGUAAAGCAGUGGCCAUCUAUUUUCUUGUUGCGAUAAAUAAGUUGAGCAGAUACGAAAGAGUACCGCCUCUGGUGCGGCGUCGUGUACGCAUCUGCUGAGAAUUUGACAGUGCUGCGGUAGCGAUGGCUGUCGGCGGCGUGGAAGCAGAUCUAGGAGGGCAGACGGUGGCGGCGAGGAGCGGUGGAUGAGACGGUCGUACGAGCGGCGCCGGCAAGGUGGACGAUGGCGGGGAUGAAGCGAGAGGACGGGAUGCAAGGAUCCCGGUCUGAAGGCGUGGAUGAGAGAGCUCGAUCUCUUGUAAUGGAUGGCGGCUUCGGGGUAUCAGCUCCGGCAUGGUGGAGGAGGUCGACGGUGGAUGGGGUGUCGGACGGUGGCGGACGAAGGAGGGUGGGGUGGAGAGGGUGUUUUGGCACCCACGGAGUAAGAAUGGGGAAAAGGGAGGUGGAGAGGAAGGAGGGAAACAUGUAUUCAGGGCGCGCUUGUCUCAAAGGUGAGGAAAUUUACAAACUUAGCCCCCGUUUCAAAUUUCUACUACAUCACAGCAACAUUAGUCGGUUGGGGAUAGGACAGGUAAUCUCACAUACACCGAAUAUUUGCCGACGAGAGUUUGUUUUUGGCACCCAUCGUGUAUGAAUAUGAAUCGGGGAGGGAGUUGAUUUCGGCCGAGGGCACACUGUGUUUUGGCGCCCACCGUGUAUGAAUCCGGGUGAGAGGCGGUUACGUCACGUUUGGGUGAAAUUACAAACCUACCCCUAUCGAAACCUAUAGAUAUCCAGAAGAUAGGCUUUGCAUGGUAGGGAUAGGCAGUAGUGAUUUCCAUCUCGCAGAUUUUGGUUUCGGGCGGUUACUGCGACUUUCCCCGCUUCGUUCAAAUUUUGCACAGUGCACGUUUACCAUGCCAACUCAAUUCGAAUCCCAUUUGUAUUCUACUAUUUUUUUUCGGGCGGGAUCCAUUUUCAAUUGGAAUUACAUUCUAUAUACAUCAUUUUUUAUAUAUACUUUCAAAAGCACAACACCAUUUAUACAUAAAUAUGGUUUACAAAUGGCAUGAUCUCAGAUUCAUAAGGUUUUAUCCAUCAAUUUGGAUUUUCAAAUAUUUAAAACCACUUUAUAUUGAAAUCCAAUGUAUGCAUUCCUCGCUAAUUGUCUCCAAUUAAUGCGUGUUUCAUGCGUGUUUUUUUUAACUUCUCAAACAUGUAUAAUGUGUUUCACACACGCAACAUAUAGUCAGCGGCGGAGCUAUGUUGUGGUCUGCAGGGGCCAUGGCCCCCCAGCCUAGGUAAAUUAUGUGAAGGAAAAAUAUUUGGAGAGGAAGAUUAGAAGAAAUAUAGACUUUUGCCCCCCCCCCCAAGCAUCCAUAUUUUCUGUUUGGCCNNNNNNNNNNNNNNNNNNNNNNNNNNNNNNNNNNNNNNNNNNNNNNNNNNNNNNNNNNNNNNNNNNNNNNNNNNNNNNNNNNNNNNNNNNNNNNNNNNNNNNNNNNNNNNNNNNNNNNNNNNNNNNNNNNNNNNNNNNNNNNNNNNNNNNNNNNNNNNNNNNNNNNNNNNNNNNNNNNNNNNNNNNNNNNNNNNNNNNNNNNNNNNNNNNNNNNNNNNNNNNNNNNNNNNNNNNNNNNNNNNNNNNNNNNNNNNNNNNNNNNNNNNNNNNNNNNNNNNNNNNNNNNNNNNNNUUUAGACAUUAAUUGCAUAUAAACCAUGCAUUGUUUGUAAUUGAAGAAUCUAUGGAUCACCAAUAUUGAUAAACUAUAUAACAUUACAUGUGUUCCCAAAUUCAAAUGAAUAUGCAUGUUUGAUACACCAAUUUGCGUUAUGAUAUUAUCGAUGUCGUGAUCUCCAAUUUAAAUAUUUGAAUCCCCUUUAAUCCAGAUAUUCGUCUCAUAUAGAUAUCACUCAUGCUUAUAUAGGACUAUCUCUCUGGACCUAUACGCGUUCAUCGUGUCUCAGGCAUCUCUCGUGCUACAUGUAUGUCGACAAUGAUCUUUUAUCUUUGUAACACACUGACGGUACUCUCUCCCUCGACCUUCAUCACUCUAUCUCUCUCUAAGUAUAUCUCGCUCCCUGCUAUGUGUCUCUAGCUAUGAUUCUCCAUGUGGAAUCUCUUGCUCUCACACAGACACAAAACUUUGUCUCCCGGGGUCUCAUUUCUCUCAACUAUUCCCAUGUGUGCCACUCGCACACCCCUCAUACAGAGAUGUCUUUCGCUCCUUAGAUAUGAGAACCUACGACUCUUCCUCUUCAAUAUCUCUUUCUCACACACAAACACAAACUCUGUCUCCCAGGGUCUCAUAUUUCUUCAUUGUUCUCUUGUAAGGCGCUCAAACACACCCUCUCUCCGUAGAGAUAUCUUGCAUUCCCUCGUAUGUCUUUCUAGCUAUCACUCUCAUUGUGAAAUAUCUUUCUCUCUCGCAGACACAAAAUUCCGUCUCUCUGGAUCUCAUUUCUCUCUGAUAUCUGUGUGUAUGUGACUCACAUGCACCCUCUCUCUAUCUCUCUCACACCCACACACAUAACCCAGCCUUCUGAUCCACUCGACUCCUAUCUCCAGCGCACACUAGCUAGCAUCUUUAUCUUUCUAUUUAUCUGUUUCUCCAUCAACCUUCUUUCUCGCCCUCACUCUUGAUUCCUAUCACGCACACUACAUAUGUUUCUCUCUACAUGCAGUCAAGUGCCCUCUCACACACAUAUAUAACUUCAUCCUUUGAACCACCCGACGGUCAUCUCCGACACCCAAACUAACGGAUGUCUCUCUAGCUAGCAUCUCCAUCUCUGUAUCUAUCUGUAGUUUCUCCGUCCACAUUUCUUUCUCGCACGGAGUCUUCUUUCCUAUCACCCACACUAUAUAUGUCUAUCCAUACAUAUGCAUUUAUGGGUUGAUCUCUUUUUCACAAUCGUUGCUCCUCACCCCCUCUGCUCGCCAUAGAUGCAUGCUCCAGCCCAUGCCAUUAUCUCUUAAAGAGAAAAACACAUGCUCAAUUGUCGGGCCUUCUUCCCUGCAUUCUCACAUGCAUGCAUAUUGUCAUACCGAUCCGUCUCUCCCAUGUCGUUGAUCUUAGGACUUAUGUCUUCUUUCUUUUAUUUCGAUCAUGUGCGCACGCACACACACACAUCCCAGCUAUACAUGUAUACCUCUCACACAUGCACGUUCAAGGUCUCUAUGUCUCCAUACGUAGUUAAUUACCCUCAAUCCUAAUGCCACAUCGAAUUGUUCUCCUCUUUUGUGCACAUAAUUUCCGCCUGGAUGGGAAAAACACACACUCACACUUAACGAUCUCCUUCUAGCUACCCCCCCCCCACCCCCGCGCUCGCGCCUCUCACUCUUCCCCUACAUCCCCGAAACCAAUAAGACCAUCCCUUUGUUUAAUUCCCGCCUACAUGCACCAUCGAUAUAUAGUNNNNNNNNNNNNNNNNNNNNNNNNNNNNNNNNNNNNNNNNNNNNNNNNNNNNNNNNNNNNNNNNNNNNNNNNNNNNNNNNNNNNNNNNNNNNNNNNNNNNNNNNNNNNNNNNNNNNNNNNNNNNNNNNNNNNNNNNNNNNNNNNNNNNNNNNNNNNNNNNNNNNNNNNNNNNNNNNNNNNNNNNNNNNNNNNNNNNNNNNNNNNNNNNNNNNNNNNNNNNNNNNNNNNNNNNNNNNNNNNNNNNNNNNNNNNNNNNNNNNNNNNNNNNNNNNNNNNNNNNNNNNNNNNNNNNNNNNNNNNNNNNNNNNNNNNNNNNNNNNNNNNNNNNNNNNNNNNNNNNNNNNNNNNNNNNNNNNNNNNNNNNNNNNNNNNNNNNNNNNNNNNNNNNNNNNNNNNNNNNNNNNNNNNNNNNNNNNNNNNNNNNNNNNNNNNNNNNNNNNNNNNNNNNNNNNNNNNNNNNNNNNNNNNNNNNNNNNNNNNNNNNNNNNNNNNNNNNNNNNNNNNNNNNNNNNNNNNNNNNNNNNNNCUAUCUCUCUGACACACACACACGCACGCCCCCCCCCACACACACUUAGACUCCAUCUCUCUCUCUCUCUCUCUCUCUCACACACACACAAACUAAGACUUCAUCUCUUUCUCUCUCUCUCUCUCUCUCACACACACACACCCCACACACAGACUAAGACUCCAUCUCACACACACAUGCUCUAGGCGGAGCAUUUGUUCCUACCACCCUUCAUCCAACCUUACCCGUAUGAUAAACAAUCACCUUUAUUUACUUGCAUAACAUGGACGGAUUCCACUUUACUUUUGUAGUCAGCAAACUUAUCAUGUGUACCCUUAUAAAAAACACUUGGCGAUGAUGGUGUGCCUGCCAUCUUGUAAUACAUACUGUAUGAUCUAUAUAUGACGGAUAGGAAGCAAACUAUGAUAAUUUUACAAAAGAUACCCGCACCUCUCUCCACAUCAUUAUCUCCCGCAACCUCAUUGCUCAGCAAUUAAAAAAGGAAUAAGUCUCUGGAACAAUCUAGCAUGCAUGGUGGCCGCUGCCGCCUGCCGGCGCCGUCCAUCCCCAUGCCGCCGCCAAUUCCGACCACCAUUCACCACCACACUCCAUUCCUCCUCGCCUUAUCUCUCAUCUUUCAUUUUUUUUGAUGACAUUCUCGAGAUACCAGUUUUCCGAUAAAAUUCUCAAGAUAUCAUUAGUUUUUACACAUGGGAUUACUCCUGCAUGGGUCAAUCACAACAGGUGUUUUGUAAAAAACUGCAUAUUGAUGUUCCGUGCAAUGCACGAGAAUCUUGCUUGUAAUUAUAUAACACAAAUCACGAGCAGGAAGUGACAUUUUUUGACACAACCACGUUAACAUGGCCACGUAAAUCACGAGAAGGAAAGAGAAGGGAAGCGGGCUGUGGAGUAACGUUUUUUACCACAAUUUCUUAGGAAACUGAGUGCAAUAAUUGAGUAGUUUUGCAAACUACCAUUACUACUACACCUGAAACGGUUCAAAACCUAUACUCCCUUGCCAGCGCGCGCUUUCCGCGUGAAACGGUCAGCGUCGCCCGGGAGCGUCAGUGCCGCAUUAAUGCCCGGCCAGAGCGGAGGCGACCUCUCACUGGCGCCGGCUUUGAAGUGGCGCGACGGCCGAGAGAGCGCCGCUUCCCGAUGCACGCGACUGGCCAUAGGCCAUGUUUGGAUCCAUGGGUUAGAGUUAGUUUGAGCUAGUUGGGGCUCAAAUAGCCCUAAAGUAUCCAAGCAUGAGGGUUUAAAUUGGUGCAAGUUGCACCGAACCCACCAAAAAAAAAUAUCCCACCCAAGAGGUGCUAACUGGAGAUAGUUCUCAUUGGGACCACUGAAAAAUCACUUUUCUCUCUCCAUGAAGUGCAUUUAUUGUCAAUCUAACCCUGUCACCGAAACACCUCUUUGGCUACAAUUAGUUCAGGGUUAGUCAUGAGUUAGUCUAACCUCUAGCUAAGUUAGAGUAUCAAACAGGAGCAGUAUAGGACAUGCAAAUUGCUCAAAGCAUACGGGCAAAUCCUUACGUGAAAGGAUUUUUUUCUUUUUGAAAACGGAACAUGAAAGGAAUUUUUUUUAGAAUGCUCUUGGCAUGUCGCUAACAUGUGAUAGUUAACCGACCUCAAUAGAUGGUAGAAACACCAGCCCGCCGCACUUUGAUAGAGACGAGGAGGGAGAAGGGAUACAUGCUACUGUAUUACUAGAGAUAGGUGUCGCACGAAAGCCAAGAAAUAUGGUGAUAGCGUGGGUUAGCCAUGUACUAGUAUGAUGUAACUACACUGGGUUGCCGUGUUUCUACUCUUCCAGUCCACUGUGGAGAUGAUUGAUUAAUUUUAUAUCGCUGAAUAAUAUUAAAUAUUACGAGUGCAGAUGCUCCACCGUGAGGUUCCUUACUCCUUCUCGGUCGUCCGGAAUCUAUGUUCUUCCACUCUAUUUUUUUUAUGUGAGCUUUGUUCAUCCUUUUGCCAACACGCGAGACAUCUGGCAUCAAGCCGCAGUUGUUAUGCAACGAUCUUUCCAUCUAUAUGAAGAACACGUGGCACUGGAACUACGAGACGGACAUGUACCCAAGAGUGGACGUACGAACCUGAGUAAUGUAGUGCAGUAUGUGAAUUAGAAAGGCAUAAAUGGUAUGAGCAUGCGUGGCAUACAGGGUGUGUUUGGUUGCGUUCUCGUCUCAGCAUAGUUGUUCCCUCUUCAUGCAUGCUCAACUCAACACCCCUCUUCAUGCAUGCUCUCUUCAUGCAUGCUUUUAGUGUAUUUGUGCUAAACUAGUGUGGACUCAUGCACCCUCCAUACACUCUACCAAACACCCAAAAGUAGGUCGAGAAGGGAACUCUUGGGCGGCAUUUGUCUCUUACUAUGUACUACCACUAAAUGUUGUGCGUGCAAUGCACGGUGAUGUUAUGGAGUACGUGCCUAAGUACUCUACUACUACUAUAUUAGUUGGAGGCACAUAUUAACUUUUCUAUUUGUUUACGUGUAUGCCCCGAGACCUUCCAACUAGACGUGUCUUUCUCUCUAGGUCGCACUUUGUAUCGUUCAUACCACUAAGUACUACUACGUGUGGUCUCUGACCCAGAACUGGAAGAAGUGGAGACGCUCUACCACGCUUUUUUUUACAUUGGGCUCUACCACGUUGUUCAUGUCCCACUCCUUUCACUUACGUGUGGGACAUCCAGCACAUGCCGUGUUUGGCACCCUUCGUCGUAAGAGUUGAAAUGCUAGCAUUCAUCAGAAAUAAAAAAUAAUUAUAAAUCGGCAGUGAUACUAUUUUUUUGCGAACCAAUCAGCAGUGAUACUAUACCACGCGGUUUCCUUGCUCCUCGAUAUCGGAAAGAAUACUUCUGUUCGCCAACACGUGGGACGUCGACCAUCCUGGUCCACUUGCCAUGCACGCAGAACUCCAAGGGAGAGUCACCCAGGUCGUCGCGCCGCAGUAACAAUGACUAAUGAGCCAUCAAAUCACAGGCCCAGUUCCCACUUUGAAGUUGCUCGGACGAAGGAACCAUCAUGACUUCGUUGAAUUCCGCUUCUUGAAGAAAACUAUUGUACCAGCAGUACUGCUAGCUACAGUAUUUACUCCAACAGAGGCCUCCUUUCAUUCAUAGGAUAGGAAUAUGAAAAUCAUAGGAAGUGAGAUGACAUGCAUCUCAAUUCCUAUAGAGAAAGAGAUGCCAUUUGAUGCAUAGGAUAGGAAUUUUUCCAUUUAGUCUAGGCUAAUGUACUGGUAAUUUGCUCUAAAAACUACAGUAGUAACUAGUAGUACUGGUACAUGCUCGUACUCAGACACAGACACACACACUAACUACUAGUACUACUACUUCUCACAUGCUGGCCAAACGCUCCUUCCCGGCUUUGUCGGCGACACCCCACCGUGCUUGGAUCUCCGCCGACCUCUCCGCAGCAGCGCUGCGUCCUUUUCUUUCUUGUGGCGGCGGGCCUCUCUUUUCUUGAGUGCUUUCUGACUUUUCCGCUCCCUCUGUGCGGCUUUGGCCGCCUCUUUCUCUACCGCCCAUUCGGCGUUGGCAUCUUCAAAUUCCUCCCACAUAGUUGUGAGUCGCGAGCGGCGAUGAACUCGGCACGGUGGGAUGCCAUCGCUUCCCUACCAUUUUGUGUGCGUUCGUGGGCGGCAAGAAACUCGGCGCGGCAGGAUGCCAUCACUGCCUUACCGGUUAGUGUGCGGCGCGGUGGCAUGAUAGACGCUUGAUGAGAGCUCUGGGGUGGAGUGGCCAGACAACCGUAUAGUGCAUUAGUUUGUCAAGAGCUCAAGGACAGAAGACGAAGCAAAUUAGGAUUCCCCUUCAAUCCUAGUCAUUUAGUACCGAGUAAAAUGCAUUGGCGGUAAUCGAACUUGUCUUGAUAGCUCACUUUGAUCAUUGUAUACGAGAUAUGGUGAUUAUACGGUCGCUGGCUCAGCGUAUAGCUCCGUAUUUGUAUGGUUGACCAGUCAAACAGUCCGCAUGCGCCUCAUCAGCUCGUGUUCUUUAUCUAUCUACGCGGGCCUGCCUGUGAAUGGAGAAAGAAAUACUGUAAAAACCAAAAUUAUGCGUAUGUGGGGAAUCAAACCACGGACUCGUCGCUGCAACGCACCCUCGUCAGCCAAAUGAAAAUGAAAUACUUCGCGUCAAACACUCAUGCUCACACUGUCAAAGCAUGCUAAUGCAUGCACGUCGCCCUCUGAAUCAAAGUCCAGCUCAUGGCGCAACACAAACGGCGAGCCCAUCACCUACGCGCCCCGGCGGUGCCUGACAUUACUGUUUAGAUGUUUGAUGGAGGCCUACAUUAACGCCAAGCAUGUAUUCACCUGGCUCAUGUAUAUCGUCCAUCACAACGACAAUCUAUAAAACAGCCUAAGCUAGAGAGGGUACUAUGGUAGUAUGGUAUGGAGUAUGUACUAUCGUGAGCGACCGAUCUUAGUGCCACUGCACACCGAAACCCCUUCCAUCGCUAGCGCGUGCUUCCCGCCUGAAACGGUCAUCGUCUCUCCAGAAUGUCAAUGCCGCAUUCACCGGACUUAACUGCAGGUGCAAUUGGUGUGUCACUGACAUGCGGGCCAGACGCCCGUUGGGCCCACAUGUUAGUAACCGAAAUGCAUUUGCAGUUAAGUCACUGAAGCAGUGUCCGCAUUCACUCCCGACGAACCUACUCCAGCGCUAGUUGUCCAUCCGUCUGCCGCGGCUCAUUGCCAUUCGCCUGCUAUAUUAACUUGAGCUCCAGCCCCCAGCCAUAGCCAAAGACCCACACUUGUUCUAUUCGGUCCCUUCCUUCUGUCGGAACCACUUCAACCAUGGCCUCCUGGCGCUCCUAAGCUCUCUUGGACGUACUGUCGCAGGAGCAGAUGAGGGACAUCGGCAGCUCCGCUCCGGGCGCGCUCCAAAGCUCUCUUUGACGUACUGUCGCAGGAGCAAACGAAGGAGAUCGCCGGCACCCCCCGGGCCGCCCUCCGCCGCCACCACCACGAAGCCGGCAUGCAUGCGCGGGCGUAGCCGGCAGCAAGGAAGAGUAGUACAUGGUAGGUCGCCGCCGCUCUGGUCCCGGGAAGGACACCGCUACUCAACUCAAUCGACGCCAAGCUUGGUGGGGUAAACAUCGGCGGCCGAUUAGCUGCUUGACGGCGACGUGGAGGCGGAAAUCUUCAUAACCUUGUGCUCCGGCCGGAGAAGGAGGUUAUCGAGGCGGAUGAGGAGGAGGCAAAGGCAAUGGCCGCCUUUCUCGGGUUCAUGGCCGGACAUUGUGGUCGGGCACCGGCGAUCGUUUAGAUUAGGUUUACAGUAGGUUUAGUACGGUUUGUGCGAAAUAUGUAAUGAAUUCCGUCACGUUUGUAGGAAAAGUUUUCGAAAUGUAAUUAAUUUCAUCCGGUUAAUUUGAAAUUUGCUUUGUUUGCAUGAAUUUCAUUCGGUUAGUUCAUAUAGUUGUCGAAAGGUAUGCGGGCAGCAUCGGAUGGCAUCCAUCAGUGUCCUCGGACAGAUGCCGGUGUAAAUUUGUGGGCCAGCGCUGGAGAUUCCCUAACUAUCAUGCUAUAAUCGCUAACAAUCCUCCAUUAUUUGGCAGGGAACAGUUAUUCCUCGAUCAAAAUCAGAUCCACGGUGUUUCGCACUCCUCCCGCAUAAGUGUGUAAACUCUUGCUUACAUAAAAAUGGAGCAAGUGGACGGCACUGUAGCACGUCAUAUCACUCGAACUAGCCCGCCUAACGAGCGGGAAAGCAACGCCCUCAUCAUUUUGUUCUGGAUUUCUAUCGAUCGAUCACGCGAAAAUGUUACGCUUCGCAAGUUCUAAAGGAAAAGGCGGCACACUUACGACUCGUACGCGUCGCAACCCCGACAGUCCGGCUCGCACGCCGCUCACCAGUGGGGACACACAUUUUCUUGCAAUUUCACUGACAUGUGAGACCGUAAUUGAAUAAAUCGUCGAUUCAUCAAAAAAGAAUAAACCGUCGAUAGCCGAAAUCUAAUCGCUCGACAGGCGUCGACUGAGAAGAGAGAAACGGGGGAGGGAGAAGAGAUCGCCUGCCCUCCGUGCACGGACUCCAAGAAAUAUAUGGUGAUAAUGUGAGGUGGGCCAUGCUGGAGUCCGGACCGCUUCCGGAGCCUGUUCUCACCGCCCUGGCCCCUCAAGACGCCAUCAACCCACUACAUGCACAACAAGUAGUCCCCGCUUAUGUGGAGGAGAGAUAGGCAUUGACAAAGUCAAGGAGUAACAGUGGAGACAAUAGCUUUCAUCAAAAAUAAACAAUGAACACUCGUUGCUCGUCCUCUAUAUCGGAAAGAAUACUUUAAAUCGCUGACAUGUGGGACGUCGACCAUCCUGGUCCACCUGCCAUGCACAAAAUUAUCCUGGUCUACCCCGGUAGUAUCGCAGGCCCAACCUUUCCCACUCUAAGUUGUUCGGACGAAGGAACCAUCAUGACUUCGUUGAAUGCCACUUCUUCAAGAAAACUUAUUGUACCCGCAAUACUGCUACCACACGCGAAGACUGGACGGCACUGUACCACAUCAUGUCACUGAAACCCGCUAGGCCAAACUAGCCCGCCUAGGUCAUCUAUUUUGGAACGGAGGGAGUACGUCUCUGCACUGCUAUGAUUUUGUGUUGCACGUUCUCCGUAAUUUUACUACGAUUUUCCUACCCUAUGAACCAAAUGAGGCCUAAAUGUAUGUCGACUAUUGUCUGAUCGAUUGCUAAGCCUACAAUUUUAGGAGCUAGGGCUAUUGGUCGAUCCACGAGGGAUAAGUAUAAGCGUAGCACGAGCUCAUCAGCCCCAGCGUUUCUCUUCGGUGAGUGUUUUGCAAGUACUAUAGCUCGCACAAUAGCUAGCCUACUAACACCAAGAAUCAUCAAACAAGCCCUGCUGAUAUGAUAAACAGUUCAAACUUACAUCUAAGCAUGCCAUAUAUUACAUCAAAAGCUGGCGAGGAUACAUCUGUUUCCAUAACUCGGAGAGGGUUCGCAUGAUUCAUCGCAUCAUUCACUAUCAAACAAAAAUAGCAAGAUCCGCCCACACAAGACAGUGCACUAGCCCUAAGAUGGUUUGAUAACAUGCAUCGUUUUGGUAAUUAAACACAGGGCAAUGCAAACUACCCUGAAGGAUUAGCGCGACCAACUAUUUCUUGUCAUCGAUCUCUCGGGCAAUGACCACAGCACGGACAACGGCAUGGGAAUCGAUUUCUGGGGCGAUGUCCACAGGACUGACCGCGACAUCGGAAUUGAUCUCUGGGGCGAUGUCCACAGGAUGGACAGCAGCAUCGGAAUCGAUCUCCGGGGCGAUGCCAACAGGACGGGCCACGACAUCGGAAUAAUCAAGAGUAACCACCGGCACCUGCACAACCCUAACAUAUUAGCAAGCACAUUGCAAAUAAUCAAAAAGCAAGCACAUUGCAAAUAAUCAAAAACCACAACUAUGGUAAUAAGCCAUUAUUUUUUACCUUGUGCAGCUCACCGGGGGAUCUCAUUCCUCCAUGGGCCAUCUCCUCAUCCUCGAUUGGGGCCAUCACCUUGGCAGGGGAAUACUACUUCUCAAUGACGACUAUCUCCUCAAACUCGGUCUUGAGCCUCACAUAGGUGGCAAUCAGAGUUCCUGGGGUAGGCACGGUGGGGCCCUUGCUGUUCUUCCAACUUUCUUUGAGGAGUUCGUCCGCCAACGUCCUCAACUCUUUGGCCAGUGCUUGUUUCUUGGAGUUCUUCGUCUCCAUGGGUUGGCCCGCCAACAUGGUAAACUCGUUGGUUGGUGGUCGCUUCCUGGAGAUCGCUGUCUCCAGUGGAUCGUCCGCCAGCAACUCUUUGCCUAGUGCUCCAGGAUCCAUCAAUGAUCUGACAAACAAAAAGCAAUCGAAAGGAAAACACAAUCGCAAUGAAAACGGGAAAAGAAUAGGAUGUGAGAAUCGGUCGGUGCUUUGCAAAAAAAGAAGAUUAUUGGAAUGAAAAUAUAGUAGUAUAACUGAUUCGCCCACCUUUCCUUCGUCGGUAGAGAAGAAAAAUGGCAGAAGUGAGUAGCCUGGAGUGAAGUUUUCUUCAAGAAAGGGAAGAAAGGGCUUGAACGAGCGUUCCAAUGAAAUGAUGGUUGCUUCGUCCAGUCCAACUUGGAGGCCACAUUACCACUGUUGGUAAAUGUGUGGGUUUUGUGAUAUGACGGGUAAUGACGGCCACACCAGGGUGACAGGUGAGUCUCGACUGUAGCACCUCGCUGUGAUUUGGUGGAUGGCACACGGGCCUGGAUGCUUUGAAAUGUCCCGCAUGUAGAUAGAGCGGCUAGUCAUAUAGGAGUGCUCAAUAUUGUGCACCGCGACCAAGGCGGAGAGGAAAAUGAGAGAACUACGUAAUUAAUGCAUGAGUUUAAUUAGGGUAGUUUGUAAAGUAUGAGAUACAUUCCUCCAAUAGCAAAAUGCAUUGGUUCAUGAGAUUUGAGAUUUGAGCCCUAUAAACCAGAAGGGAGGGGGUGCUGCACACGGUGUAGUCUAGUCACUUGUUUUUUUUUUGAGCCGAAGUCUAGUCACUUGUUGAAAUCUCUAGAAAGGCAAAUACUCCUUUCCGGUUUACAGGUCUAUACUACUCACUCUGUCUAGGUGUGUAAGUCAUCUUACAAAAACCAAAUAGUCCCGAAACACUUAGGCGCAGUGCAUUAACUUCUACCUUGUUUCUUGUUUCUUGACAUACGUAUCAACCAAUAAGAGAUGAGAGGUUUGCAUGCUUUUAAUGACUUGCAAUGGCUAGUUCAUUGCAUGGAAUGAUAUUAAUUAGCAAAUAAACAUUGGUGACCCCAGGAGGAAACGGUGCUAAGUGCGUGGACCUAUGCAGAAUGAGUAUCAACCAAUGGAUAAUGGAGUUUAAUUGUUAAACAAUAGCAAUUUUGUCUCAUGCAAGAGCCUGGCUAGUACUCCAAGGAACCGCACCACGCGAGCGUUCGCAACUGCCACGUUCGGUUUGCGCUUGGCUCUUCGCCUCUUAGAGAAGACAAACAAUGAUAUUACUCCUACUUCUACAGUAUCAAAUCCACUGUUGCAUGUCCGUCCACCUCGUGCGGGAGGGAUAGCGUGUAGCGAAAGCUUCUACUUACUGCUCCUGCCUUUGUGUCCAUGACAGGUGGGCCAAACAGGUGGUUGGCCCACCUGUCAUGCAGCCAAAGGCAGGUGCAGUUAAGGCACCGGAGCUCACUCCGCGAGGGAGAGGGCAUCAUAGUAAUCAAAUUUCUCGGUCUUGUACGAGUUGAUCGACACAUCAAAGCACUGCACUCGAUAAAAGUCUUUUUGCACAUUUCAAAUGGGCUACUUCGUAUGUAGGAGUAGACAUAUUCUGCUUCGUAUGUACUCCCACCGUUCCAAAAUAUAAGUCUUUUUAGAGAUUUCACUAUGAACUACAUACGAAACAAAAUGAGUGAAUCUACACUAUAAAAUAUGUCUAUAUACAUCCGUAUGUAGUUUGUAGUGGAAUCCCUAAAAAGACUUACAUUUAGGAAUGGAGGGAGUAGUCAGUUGUUGCAAUCUCUAAAAAGACUUAUAUUUGGAAACGGAGGGAGUACAACGCAUGCAUGCAAGCCGUGACUUUCCUUUUGAUACUUGCAUGUGGUUAUUUGAUGCACCUUGCCAAAUUUUGACUAUAAAUUUAACUAACCAAAUUUUCAUGCAUGUCACAAAAAAUCACGGGGCUGUUUGGAUCGUGACUAUGUUUGUCUUAUGUUGCCACAUUAUUUUUCCCACACUUGCCACACUUGCCUAACCUGAGUUGCUCAAAUUGUUAGACACACUUUGGCUUGCCUAAAGGAAUCUUCCCACAAUUUUUGUGUUUAUGACAUGUGGGGUUCACUGCUAAUAAAAAAUUCCUUGUCUUAGGUGUGGCUAAUAAAAGAGACUUAUAUUUAGGAACGGAGGGAGUAGAAAAUAUAAAUAAUAAUGCAUGUUGGGGCAACCACGUUUCCGCUAAUUUUAGCGUGGCCUUGUUCACAAUUUUUACGAGGGGGUGGUUGUUCAUUUAAUGGAGGGUCUUUUAGUACCAGACUUGAACGAUACAAAGUGCGACCUGGCACACCGUAACACCAGUUGGAACAAGUGGGUAGCUAUCUUAAAAAACAAUCAACAACUAAAAAAACAUGACCUGGCAUGUAGUAGUACACAAUUUUAAACGAUUGUUUUGAUGGAGUGAAAAGGGAAAACUACCCCACUACUUAUAUAUAGGCCGGAGCUUCUGCGCUUGUUUGCUAGGGCUGCUCUAUUCACACACUCUCAUCCUCUCCAGAUCUAAACAAGAUAGGAAUAGUAACACUGUCUUUCUCCCUUCAAAAAACACUGGCUUUCUAAACUCACCACCGGUGAAGGGGAGGAGGGGCAGCGUUUAGGCCAUCGUCGACAGCGAGGGAGGAGACCCACUGCCAGCCGCACCAUUAUCUCUGGCCGAGCGCCGGCGCUGGAGGUCCUCCGAUCCCUUCAUCGUUGCCUGUGGGCGGAUCCGGCCUCCCGCCGCCCACCUAUCCACAUCCCGACGACCUUCAGGUAUAUCUUUGUUCAAAACUGCCUUAGCUCUACUUCCCCAGCUCGCUAUGUUGCUGCAUGUGCAUCAUUUUCUACCUCUCAGCCCUUCUCCAUCGGAUGGUCCAACGUCACCUAUUUUUUUCUAUUGUUAGAGGUAAAGGUACUUCAUGAAGUCGAAUCUUGUACUCCCUCCGUCCGAAAAUACUUGUCAUUGAAAUAAAGUGGGGGUGGGGGAAUUUAGUAUGUACAUCGGACUUGGUACAAACAGGAAGGAAAGGGGAUGAAAGUAGUACAGACUGGUCAUCCAACCGGUCUCUAGGUCGAAAAGGGAAAUAUAGGGGUAACGCUGUACACAGUGGUAUGACCAGGACUAGAUUUGCUAUCCACACAUAGGAGUAGGUGGCUAGAGUGAACAAAAAUGGGACCAACCCAGAUAUGUUUUUUGGAUGUUUGUUUCUUGGGGAAACAAACUAUGAGUCACCACUUUAUGUCCCUAUUUACGUACAUGGUGUUGUACUGCUGGUGCACCCACUGUCCCAUGCCCUUAUACCAAAUAUUUAGGCUCCGGUCAGAAUAAAGGGGCAGAAAACAUAGGUCUUGAUGAAAAUAGAGGAAUAGGAAAGGAAUGUAGGUAUAAAACUAUGGAACAGCGAACCAGAGGAAACUCUCAAGAGAAUGUGUUCGGAUGGACUACGAAAUGUACAGAUUUUUUUUAGAGUAGCAUGAUUCCCAGUAUGAGAUGCUAUUUGUUUACUCAGCUGCACAGUGACUACUCUUGUCCUCACCUCAUGUACAACACAUAGGUUGAUUUUUUUAUUCCGGCAAACACAUCACAACAACCGUUCUAACGCAUGGCAGCGAGCGCCUGCCUCGGGCUUCCGCCCAAAAAAUGAGCAGCGCGUGGAUGUUUCUAAUCCGAUGGAAUCAAUACUACCAGACCAGCUUUCUUAUGAAACACUAUUCACCUUUCCCAUGUUCCAAACGGUUGGAAGGGAAACAAUACCGUAGGAAUUUGGUUCCUACGAAAAUCCUGCACCAAACCUGUGAAUCGAACGCAGCCUUAGCUGUUCUUAAUAUAAUGUCCCUGGUAAAAAUGAAGCCAUGCCACUAUUUUUGCUUGUAAUUUUUUGAGACUCUAACAAGUUUAGCCAAAUGUUUUUGCCUGUAAUUGUUUGAGACUCUGACUGUUUCCUCUGUGCCUUUUUGUGCAAACAGGGAUAUCCAAUUCACCUGGUUGCUAUUGUGACCUUUUGGUGCACUGCACAAAACUCUUCUUAAAAGGAGUGACUUUUCUGCUUUUUAACUGGAAUGUCAGAUGGAACAGUUGGUUCAUUUUGGUGGAACUGCACAAAGGGAGAUCUGUGUUCCAAUCCUCGUCAUCCAUAUUGGCGCCAUAACCUUCCUUUAGGUAAGAAUGAUAUUUAAUGCCAAUCAUGUAGAAUUUUGGGUGGUCCAUUUUCUCAACCGCCUCCUUUCUCGUCUGCAAUGUAGAAUUUUGGCGAGAUACAGGACCAAGAUGAGCCAGUAAAGUAGUUGGAUAAAAGUAGUGGCCAAGUUGCUCAAACCUCCCUCGGCACGAGGCCACUAUUUGAGGAUAAACCUACAAGAAAAGUUCAAAUUGUCUGUGCUUUCUCUUAUGUACUCGAAAGUUUACUCGUACAAGAACUAAUUUUAGCAAGAAGUACCUCUGAUUGAACACCAUUUACCAGUCUGUACCCUAGGUAAUUAAAGUUCGUCCAUGGAUCAUAUUGGCUGUGAUCUCAAUCAUUUGGAUGCAUAAACAUACUGAACAUGUGUAUAUCUGAAUCUUUUGUGAAUUAUGUAUGAAUAUUGUCGUGUGAUCUAUCAAUCAUUUGGAUGCAUAAAUAUGCUGAGCUUGUGUAUAUAUGAAUCUUUUGAGUUGUUGAUAGUGAAUGUUGGCUAUGAAUAUGAAAGUGUCCUGUGAACCUAAGUUUGAUAUGAAUUGCAAUUGAACCAGUUAUAACCGUUCUCCUCCUCUCAACAUGCGACUCCACUGCCGCAUUUUCCCAUCUCCGAGUCGUUCCCGUCCGGGGCCUCACCAUCGUCCACCGCCUCGCUGUGUUUGGUGCGGCGUGGUCAACAAACGAGAGUCAUCGGAAAAGGACUGUACGUGGAGAUCCUGAUGACUGGGACCCACGAGGUCCAUGGUCGCAUGCAAGGAAAGUUCCUCCUUAUUAAGCUUAAAAAAAUGUUUCCUCCACCUGACAGCUGGGACCCACCGGCUAUAUAUUCCCACGGAAGGAAGUGCCUCCUUGUUUUGCGAAAAUAAUUAUUCAUCUCGUUGACAGCUGGGACCCGUCAGAUUUGGUGACUGGCUUGUGGGCCUGCUAAGCGGACGUGUAUUCACGGAUUUGUCAACUUAAUCAACAAAUGAUUCUAGCAGCUGGACCGUUGGAUGCUAAUCCAAUAGCCGUGCUCCUUCUUCAACUUCUGUUCUUGCUCCUGUCUCCCAUGGGCGGCACCGCGGCUGUGCUGCCACGCACCCGAACCAGUGAAGUUUCCCACUCCUCUCCAUCUGCGACUCCACUGCCCCGUCUUCCCCAUCUCCGGGCCAUUCCAGUCUGGGUGCGCUUGGCACGGUGUGGUCAACGUGGUCAACAACCGAGAGUCAUCGGAAGAUGACUGUACGUGAGAGGUUGACAGUGGGGACGCACCACACCCAUGGACGCAUGCAUGGAACGGAACGCGGCGAGGUCAACGUGGUCAAGGAACGACUUCCAUCGGAAGUAUACUGUACGUGGAGAGUCUCAGCUGGGUCCACGGCCGCAGCAAAUAAGUGCCUCUUAUUACGCGGAAAAUAAUGAUUCCUCCAACUGACAGCAGGUACCCACUGGACGGGCCACCGUAUUUUGCGAAAAAAAUGUUUGCGCCCUGACUGCUGGGACCCACCUGACGGGCCACCGUAUUUCGCGAAAAAAACGUCCCCCCCGCUGUCAGCUCGGACCAACCGGAAGUGCCUCCUUAUUACGCACAAAAAAAUGAAUACUCCCCCUGCUAGCUGGGGCCCACCUUGGUGGGAGGCUGACUUGUGGGCCUACUAAGUUGACGGGGACGAAGGGCUUUGUCAACUUAGUCAAUAUGAACGAUUCUAGCUCCAGUGACCGUACGAUGUCCAUCCAACGGCCGUAGUGCUUCUUCAACCUCUGGUCUUCUUGCUCCAGCCGCCCAAACCAGCGCCGGUCGUGCCUCAUGCUCCUGCCUCCCGUGGCCAGCUGUGCUGCCGCGGAUGACUCACCGCCCCUACUAUUUCCACCGCUAGCCAGGCCCUGCGGCGAUGGCAGCCUCACACCGCAGCCGAACCAGUGAACCCUCGUACUCCUCUCCGCGCGGGCUUCCACUGCCGUAACUUCCCUGGCUCCACGUCGUCCCCUUCCUAGGCCUCGCUGUCGUCCACCGUCGUGGUGCUCUCCAUGCGGCGUGGUCAACGUGGUCAAGGAACGACUUCCAUCGGAAGAGUACUGUACGUGGAGAGGCUGACAGCUGGGUCCACGGCCACAGCCCAGUUUUUUUGUGAUUUGCCAAGUAAGUUGCUUUGUGAGGCCUCUUGGGCUGCAAAUCUUUCAAGACGAGGAGAGCUUUCAUUCGGCUGGUCGAGAAAAUGGCCAUCAGUAAUGAGAAAUGGGCUGUGCAUUUUUAAAACACAUCAAACCGGCAAUUAGUUUCAAAUAUCUUUUUUUUAUUUCGAGAUUUUAAAUUACAUUAAUUUUUGUGCGUGGAGAAUUUGUUGGAUUUUAUAUUGAUACACAUUUAUUUUUAAAAUCAGUUUGAAUGUGAGUCGAAAUAUCGGGAUUAAAAACAGUUCGGACCGCACUGAAAUAUGCAAAAUUUCGUAUAAUUUUUUAACCGUGGCCACAGUAUGGGAUGUAAUGCUAACAAAAAGAAUAUGGGCUCGAAAAAAACCUUAAGAAUUAGCAAAUGGGCUGUAAAUUAUUAGAAAUAAUGGCAGAUGAGUUGUAUGUUGUUUUCCACAGAUUUGAGGCUUUCCUAAAAAAAAGGUUGACGCACAAGCAGUGACUGUUGGAUUGCCAUCCAACGGCCGUCGUGCUUCUUCAAUCUCUGCUCUUCCUGCUCCAGCCGCUCAAACAAGCGCCGGCGGGACUGCCUGCUCCCUCCUCCCCGCGGCUGGCUUUGCUGCCGUGCAGGCCUCACCGCCCCACCGUACUCCCAUCGCUGGCCUAGCCAUCCCUCUACUCACCCACACCUGUUGUUAUUCUCCAGCGACGGCAGACGAACCAGUAAACCCUCGUACAGUCGUACUCCCCUCUGCGUGGGAAACAACUACCGAGUCUUCGCUGCCUCCGUGUCGUUCCUUUCCUAGGCCACGUCGUCGUCCACCGCCCUCGUGCUCUCGGCGUGGCCUGAUCAACGUGGUCAACAACCGACAUGCAUCUGAAGUGGACUGUACGUGGAGAGGCCGAUAGCUAGGUCCAUGACCGCACGCAAGGAAAUGCCUCCUUAUUACGUGGAAAAUAAUGAUUCCUCCACCUGACAUCAGGGACCCACCGAAAGGGCCUCUGUAUUUUGCGAAAAAAACGUUACCGCCGCUGACAGCUAGGACCCACCAGCUAUAUCUUCGCACGCAAGGAAGUGCCUCCUUAUUACACACAAAAAAAAUGAAUACUCCGCCUGUUAGCUGGGACCCAGUAUAGUGGCAGGCUGACUUGUGGGCCUACUAAGUUGACGGGGACGGAGGGCUUUGUCAACUUAGUCAAUAAUAUGCAUGAUUCUAGCUCCAGUGACUGUAUGAUGUCCAUCCAACGGCCGUAGUGCUUCUUCAACCUCUGGUCUUCAUGCUCCAGCCGCCCAAACCAGCGCCAGUCGUGCCUCGUGCUCGUGCCUCCCGUGGCCGGCUGCGAUGCAGCAGAGGCCUCACCGCCCCCUACUACUGCCACCGCUGGCCAGGCCAUCCCUCUACUCACCCACACCCCCUGUUAUUCUGCGGCGACGGCAGCCUCACCCUCGUACCCCUCUUCGCGUGGGCAUCCACUACUGCGUCUUCCCCGGCUCCGCGUCGUCCCCUUCCUAGGCCUCGCCGUCGUCCACCGCCACGGUGCUCUUGCCGCGGCGUGGUCAAACUGGUCAACGACUGACUUACAUCAAAAGAGUACUGUGCGUGGAGAGGCUGACAGCUGGGUCCACGGCGGCCGCAAGGAAGUGCCUCCUUAUUACGUGCAAAAUAAUUAUUCCUCCACCUGACAGCAGGGACCCACCGGACAGGCCACCAGUAUUUCGCAAAAAAAACGUUUCCCCCCUGAUUGCUGGGACCCACCACAUCUUCGCACACAAGGAAGUGCGUCCGGGCAAAAAAAACAAAACGAUUCGCCCCCUGACUUCUGGGACCCACCAGCUACAUCUUCGCAGGCAAGGAAGUGCCAGACAGUCGGGACUCACCUGGUCGAAGCGUACGUAGAGUUGUCAUUCUCGUCGCGAAAAUGUACGUACAUACUGGUCGAUGUAGAGGCAUGCACGUGUCGUAGUAGAGGCACGCACGUGUCGAUGUAGAGGCGCGCACGUAGCAUGUACACGUACGUACAGCGGCGAGAGUGCAAGAAAUAAAAUAUGGCCACGUACGUACAUAUGGGAAGGGUCUCGAAUGCCUACUCGUGCAUACGUACAUGGCUGGGUCGGAACGGAGCAACAGCAUCGUCGUCGUGUUCAUGGGGAGCCAGCGGAAUGCGUCAUGUUCAUGGGGAGGAAACAGAAUGAUUGUGUUCAUCCGGAGGUAACGGAACGCGUGGGAGCCAACCGGCUUGGACGGAACAGGCGAUGGAAACGAGGCCUGGCGUACCGCACAACGGAGGAAACGGACCUUCUACGUUCGGAACAGGGUCUUGUUGAUCGGGAGGGGUGUGGCGUACUGCAAAACGGAGGAAACGGACCUCCUACGGUCGAAACGCGGGUCCUGUUGAUCGGGAGGGGUGUGGCGUACCGCAAAACGGGACUCCACGGGAUACUGUUCAUCUCCACCGUCGACCUCCUCCAGCCUCCACGGGCUACCAUCGACCUCCUCCAUCCUCCACGGGCUCCUGUUCAUCCAGCCUCCACCGCGUGCUACUCCACCGGCUACUGUUCAACCACCCCUCCACCGUCUACUGUUCAUCCAGCCCUCCAUCGUCUACUAUUCAUCCAGCCCUCCACACCACGGGGUCCUGUUCAACCACCCCUCCACGGCCACCCCUCCGCCGUCUACUGUUCAUCCAGCCCUCCACAACACGGGGUCCUGUUCAUCCAGAGGCAACGCCACCGCUCACUGUUCAUCCAACCCCCCCUCCCCCCACAACGCUCACUGUUCAUCCAAUUGAUCGGCUUCAGUUAGCAGCAGUAGCGAAGGAAUCGCUCCAUCGGGUUCAGUUAAAUGCCAUCAAUCGAUCGCUCGAGUUCAGAAACGCGUAGCCUGCAGUGCAAUCGCUCGGGUUCAGCUAGAGCCCAAUGCCUCGCCCGGGUUCAGUUAGAGCCAACGCCUCGCACGUGUAUGAGAGAAAUGCGCAUCGCUCGGCCCCCGACCUCCCACCGUAACCAGGGCCGGUACACAGUCCGGCACCGCAAAACCCAUGAUGAUACUGGGUUUUCUCACAAUUAUCGUCAUAGAAGUGUCAUAUGUAUGACAGGAAAAAAAUUCAUUCGGCCCAAAAUGUCAUGGAUGUGUCUUUUUUUUGUAGUGUUGGUGGCAUGAAUCGGCACUAAAGGGCAGCCUUUGGUCCCAGUUCAAGCCACCAACCGGGACCAAUGGUGGUGGGCCAGGAGCGAGGCCCAUUGGUCCCAGUUCGUCCCACCAACCGGGACCAAAAGGUCCAGACGAACCGGCACCAAUGGCCCAUGUGGCCCGGCCGGCCCCCGGGGCUCACGAACCGGGUCAAAUGCCCCCAUGGGUCCCGGUUUUGGACUGAACCGGGACUAAUGGCCUGACCCGGCUUGGACCUUUGCCCCCUUUUCUACUAGUGCUUGCAGCUCCCUGGUAGCCGGUCGCAGCUCCGACAUGCACGCUUGCAGCUCCCGACAAUGAACAGCGUUGGAUGCAACACUCUUCACCACUGGAUGUAGCUUCCUCCGACCUUGUAGCACAUACAACAGCUGGUUGUAGCAAAUCAGGGCACCGGUUCCAGCAAAAAACAAAGAUAUUCAUAAAAAUCGAAUGGGGAUGGUAGUAAAAAAUGGAAGGGGUUGUAGAAAAAUAAAAAGGUGGAUCCAGCAAAAGAAUACAUGGUUCCAACACGAACUCGCCGCCGCAGUGGCCGGUUGUAGCUUGGCCAUGGCGACUCGACUGGCGCACCCUGGCUGCGGCGGCCAUGGAGAGGGCGCAGAUAUAGCUGCUGGCGGAGGCGGACAAGGCAACGAGUGUGCCCGUGGCUGCGGGCGGCCAUGGAGAACCGGGACUAAGGGGGGGGGACCUUUCAUCCCCACCCUUUAGUGCCGGUUUCCAGAACCGGUACUAAAGGCCCUUACGAAGCGGUACUAAAAGUUGUUUUUCUACUAGUGAUAGCCCGAAUCAACAAGAUAAAAUUUACAUGCAGGUAAGGUUUCAUAGCAGGGUCAAAAUCUUUGUGUAAUAAGAUUCACCAAUAUAUAGUUCAAUGUUUGUACUUUUACCUUCAGGAACAACAAAACCCCACUAGUAACAGCCCAUCCUAGAACUGCUUUAUCUGACGCAGAACCUUCCCAUCCAGCAGCGACAUAUGAGAAUGUCACGCCAAAUGACAUUGUUGCCAUUACAUUUUGAGAGGGGUAACCAUGUCUAUUUCUAUAAGGAGUUUGCUUAUCUAGCCUGAUUUUUGCCUCAAUAUGUGUCCCAUCAAUUGCUCCUAGGCAGUUUUGUUAGGAUCUUUCGUUAGUCAAAUAUUGAAGUUUCAGUUUCCAUGCGUAGUAUUUAAUCCUAUUUAAAAGGAACAUGCAUUUGGGAUAGGAAAAUACCUCGAAAUAUACGCCUUAGCACAUGGCCCCUCGCCCAACCUCGUCACUUAUCAGGCAUACGUUAUCAACGGAUACACGUUCUACACUGAGGCCAAAGAUAUGGACAAUGAUUAUCAGAACUCAGGGGUGACAAUGGAGUGCAUGACCGGCAGCGACAACGUCGCAAAUGAGAGAUUUUACGGAAGGGUCGAGGAGAUCUGGGAGCUUGGCUACUCUGGACUGCACAACGUGGCGAUGUUCGGUGUCAGAUGGACUACGAAUAUCGAAAGAUAAAACCGUUUUUUCAAUACCAAGACUAUACCCGACGCCAAGAGCGCUACCGUGAACGCUAUCACAAAAAACGAGCCUUGGUUACACGCUAAGCACGUGACACAAUGCUUCUUCAUAAACGACCCGUUCAAUCCCAGCUGUGUUGUCGUGAGGAGAAGCAAAAGGAACAACAUUGGAAUGGAUGGAGUUGCCAAUGUGGAAGACUCGAUUAGUACGGCAACCCAAUGAUGGAAGAUGACGAUGAAGUAUAUGUCAAAAGAAGAAUUAAUUCUACAUUACCUAAGAAAGAUCGUACUCCAUGGAAAAGGAAAAGUCACAAUGAGGGGCUCAAUUAUUCUUCAACGAACAAGAAGGGAAAGAAGCUCACUCAAAAACGAAAUCGUCAACGCUGAGGAACGUACAUUGUCGGUCAAAUGAUGUAAUAUAUAUGUUCCCAUUUUGUGUACACACUUAGCCAUUAUGCAUUGGUCAAAUGAUGUAAUAUAUAUGUUCCCAUUUUGUAUACAUACUUAACCUUCAAAUGAUGCAAUAUAUAUGGCCUUAGUUAUAUACAUUGUAUCACCUUCCCUUCAUUCACUGCUGUCGGAAAAAAGGAAAAGAAGAGGGAGAGAAAAUAAAGGAGAAGAAAACAGAAGGAACAAACAGGAAGACUGGUACAGGUAAUAGUAGUAGCGUUUUCUACAGGAAAAUGCUAUUGCUAUUUGUAGUAGCAGUAGCGCUUUCUGAAGUAAACGCUAUAACUAUCUAAAAUAGCAGUAGCACAUUCCUCGCAAAAGCGCUAUAGCUAACUUAGUUAAAGCGUGUUUUCCGGAACGCACUACUGCUAUCUCGUCAUCACCCCCAAAAGCCUCACUCCGUCUACAUCUUCCCGCCUCUCUUGCCGCAAAUCCCCCUCUCUCUUCCCCCGUGUCGUCGCCAUCGGAGCCCUCGACCCAGGCGCUCGCACCCAACCCCGGCGCCCGCCCCCAACCCCGGCGCUCGCCCCUGUCCCCGCGCUCGCCCACGAUCCCGUGCUCGCCCCCGUCUCAACCGACCUCGGUAACCCCCGACCCCAGUGCUCGCCCAUGCCUCGCCUCGCUGCCGCGCCGUCUCCCCUGACCCCAUCUCUCUAUCUGCCCUCUAUAAGCCCUCUCCCCUCCCCUCUUCUCUGCUAUUUACUGCUAAUUAGUAUGAAAUAGUAUGAACCCUAGGCUAUUUUUUUGUGUAACAAAAAAAACAUUGAAUAUAUAGGUUCCUUGCAUUUUUUUAGUUAAAGGAAUUGUUGUUAUUUAAAUUUUAUAGUGCUAGUUAGUUAAUUAGAAUUAGUAUGAAACCUAGGACAUAUUAGUUAAAACAAUUGUUGCCAUUUAAUUUUUUUUAGUUAAAGCAAUUGUUGCUAUUUAAAAAAACAGAAUUCGAAGUGGACAGAUUAGUUCUAUAUUUUGAAAAAACAUGACUUCUUGCAUUUAUAUUUUUCUUCAAGUUCUAUAUUUGUCUUUAUUUUACAUGCGAAUUUCAAGUGGAUAUCUGAUAUGUGGACAUGUGAUAUGUGGACACGUGAUUUGGACAUGUCAUAUUAAUCACAUGUCAUAUUUGGAAUUUGGACAUGUCAUUUGGACAUGUGAUGUGCAGGGCAAAUGAUCCGAGUGGCCUAUGUUUCCCUGGGAUGUUGAUUAAUUUCCGUUCUGGUAAAUUUCAAGUGCUCAAUAUGUCCACUUUUUAGCAAAGGUCAUGCCAAAAUUUUCCGCAAAUUUUGGCAUGACUUGUGCUGGAAAGUAGGCAUAUCGAGUGCCGGGAGUUGCUGGAACGGCAUUCCGGCAAACAUAGAUCUUUUUUAUGUAACUUCUCAUUUUUGUAUAGUUUUAGAAUUAAACAAGGAGACUUAAUCAUAGGAAACAUGUCGAACAACCAAGAAACCGGGCCUUCUGACCAAGAUGCAGACGAGAUGGAUUGUGAGGGUGAAUAAGAGUGCCUCGACUAUUUGACUUCUAGGUGAAGUAAACAUUUGCAGGUCGUCCUUGAUGAUGAUACUGAUGCCGACAUCGACACCGACGGCGCCGGCAUCAAUGGCGGUGUCGAGACCGGCGGGGAAUGUACUGGCGAGGAAGGUACCGGCAGGGAAGAUACCGGCGCCGAUACCGGAGAGAAGAAGCAGAAUAAGGAGAGGAUACGAAAACCUAACAAACUUGGCAUCGGACGACUGGUGAUCACAAAGAUGGCACCUGCAAGUUUGAGACAUUAGAGCUAGAAGAACCUCACAAGUGCUGUGGACCAAGUAGGAUGCAUUCUACAGGAAUGUGCGAGCAUCAACAACGAUGACUUAAGGAGUAAAGAACAUUUGAGGCAGUUGCUCCUGACUAAGUUGCACAAGAGAUUCAAGUUCCCCAACCGGGAUGAUAGCAUAGAGCAACCGUGGGAUGAUCCAAAGAUGAAAAAGAUUAACCAUCAUGCCAUGGGCAUGUUCAACAAUGAUUUGGCCUCUUGAAAAGGGAGGGUGAAAUGAGCUAUUGAGGGUGAGGAACCCCUGUUCAAGAUUCUGGAGGAAAAUCCGACACUUACGGAAGAGGAGUUCAAAAAGUUCAAGGACACUUGCGCUACCGACGCAGCCAAGGCUAAGGCUGCAAAAUUCAAGAGCCUUGAUCAAAGGAACAUGGGGAAGCAUCGCCUCGGAAGCCGUGGCUUCCUUGGCAAAAGUCCCAUAUGGGAUAAGGAGGACACGGAACAUGAAGCUGUGGGUCUCCCAGACCCCUUCGCAAAAUUCACCAACCCCUUGGAGCAUAACUUCAUCAGGGCCCGCUACAAGUUGGACAAGAAAAAGAAGGUUUUUUAAACGGACGAGAUCACAAGGAGAUUGAUUAGAUUACUGGUAAUUAUUCUUUUACCACCUUACAUUUAGCUCAUGAUCAAGUGAAAUACACAUUCGUAAAUGGUUCACGUUCCUUCUACAGGAGAAGCAACACCAGUGAAGCCGAAAGCCCUACUUUGCCAAUGAGGCCCAAGUGGGACACGCCUCUCAACUGGGCCUUGAACGAACUUAAGGGACUUCCUUUGGUCCAGCGGCCGCAAUAUGGACAUGUGCACGGCGCCGGAUACGGCGUCACGUGGAAGGUGUUUUACAACGAGGGCCCGGAGGCCAAGAAGCAGAAAAAGAAGUUUAGUCAGGCAGACAUCAACGAUAAGGUGAAGCUUGCGGUCGAGAAAAAAGCAGCUGAGGACGCGCAAAAAGCUGCUGAGGAGAAACAUGAUUUGCUAAAGCAGGCAGUAGAUGCAGCUGUAAAUGCCUGCAGAAAUGAUUUUGGUACUAACUUGGUCCUGGCUAUCAUAAACUAGACGAAGGAAAAUCCAGAGAAGAUGGUACAUGAUUUCCCCAUGCCCAUUUUUGUCGGGAGCAACUCGGUGAACAACACCACCCUACCAUCAUCUUAUCACGCAACCGGGCCUGCUCUCGCACCCGCACCCGCUCAUAGCAGCCCGUCCUCAGUCUCUAGUGCGCUACGCAGGCCUUCGUCUUUGGCUGAGCUCGACGCCCUCACGGUAAUUACAUGUUGCACCAACAUAUAUAUCUAGAAUAUUCCAUUUUUGUUGCCUUUCGGAAGUUUUACAUCGCAGAUAUGUGUUUGUAGGCCAACGAAACCCCGUGCACCAUACUCUACUUCAUCAAAGGCCAGAAGGUGGGCGUGGGAAAGGGGGUGAUAACGAACCCCUUGCAACCCACGUUCCACAACCAGCCGAUCACCGCUGGGCACUUCAGGGUUAACUUGUCCAGUGUGAAAUUGGGGCACGAGGAUUUGCCUCCUCCAGCAUGGCAUGGGGGAGAGGACGACGAGACCCCACAACGGAUUGAAGCUGCAAGGGUUGGGUGCUGCUAUGGCCGAAGAAUCUUCUUCGUAUGGAGCCGGCGGAGAGCACACCAAUAACCACACAUCAACAAGCAUGUGUGGAGACCACCACCCCUCCUACGCAAUUACCAUCUCCUGUAGUGCCCGGUGAGAGUGGCGGACGACGUGAUGAAGGGGGUCCAAUAGUGGCUGAUAUAAUUGGCCCCGUAGAACAUAGAAUGGAUGAUAAGAUGGAGGAGAGGGUGGACCCAAUGGGUUUCCUCAACAUAGGUGCCUAUGAAGGUGACUUAGAUAUGAUGAGUCAGCCAUAUGAAGAAUCGGGCUAUCAGCGUGCUGAUGAGGAUAUGGAUGAUUUGCUUGGGCAGGAACGUCCUAGCAGGGAUUGCAAGAAGUCUCUCUUCAUGAAAUCCCCACAGGUCAUGCCUGAAGAUUCCGCCUCAACACAAGCUCAACUAGCCGGGGAUCGUACAGUGCUUAGCCCGGCAACACUAUGGCAGGGGUUAAGGAAGGGUCUGGAAGGUGUGCCCAAGAAAAAGGAGAGGAAGACAUCGGGGAAGAUAGGCUCAGCUACCUGCAAACAAGCCAGAUCAGGUAGCAGCUAGACGGUGGAUUCUGAAGAGGUACCCGUCAAAGGUGCGGCCGUGUUCCAUGUCACGGGCGAGCCGAUGCUACCGCCAAAACAGCUGGAGGCACUAUCAGGGGAUCUCAGGAGACUACACGACCAUGUGCUGUCGACUGAGAAAAGCCUACUAGCCUUGAAGGAUCCAGGAUAUCCGAUAUACGCAGCUCAUGUGCCUGAGGAGAAGGGCUACAUCAACACAAGACCCGCGGAGGUGUUCUUCCUGCAGUUUGGCCAUAUCUUAGAGAUGUUUCUGAGAAGGCGGCUCGAUUUUACAAUAGUCCGCCUUUUUGCGCUACAUAUCAGCUCCGUCAUGAAGAGAGAAGAAGUCUCGCAUAUCUGUGUUGCGGAUCCGUACUACCUGCAUGAGUCCUUCUUGAGUCUCGGCGACUCUGAGCGUGAAACUGCUAGGGAGUACCUCCAAAACUUCAUGGUACAGAAUAAGGACCAGGAAAUUGUCCUCCUGUCUUUUCAUCUAAAGUAAGUCAUUUCCGAACAACCCUUUCAUACAUUUCAAUCAUUCCUUCUCGCUCAUAUGGAGAAUAAUUUGAGGUGUCUUUUUCCCCGCAGCAACGGGCGCACCGUCCUCAUCAUUAUUUACCCACGAGUCUCCACUCCGUGCAUUUAGACCCUACCAAAAACUACGAGAAGAAGGGCUACAUCCAGAUAAUGAAUACUCUGGACGAUGCUCUCCAAGGCUUCAGCAUUAGGGGUGGCCACGUGCAGAUCAGGAAACAAAGGAACAAGAAGAUGGGUUUCGCGCAUAAAACUAACUUCUGCUACAUCCAUGUCCCAAAACCAAGCAAGAAAGAUGGGUUCUACAUCCUCCAUCUCAUGAUUGAGUUCAGCACGGAUUACCAAAAGCUUCGCAUCACAAACAUAAACGAUGAUCAUAUCCAUAGGAACUUAGAGAUGACUCCUUUCGCAUCCAAAUGAACAUUGCGACGAUCAUCAUGAAAGAAGUCAUCGAUGAGAAGAGGAUGUUCCACCACGGCCCUAUAUCGUGAGCUGACGUCCGAACUCGCAUAGGCAUGCAACGUCAUGACCUCACGCCGUUCAACAAGCUAGGGUCCAUCCUCGAUGGUAUGGAAGGAUGGAACUUCUAGUGAUUUACAAUGCCGAUGAUGAUGAUAUGUGUCGGUUGAACUUGUAUACUUUCUGUAGCGAUGAAACUUUGUGAUGUCCACAGUCCCUGCCGAACUUGUGUAACACUACUUUGUUAGUUUGGGUAUGAUGACCUGCGUACCUCUAGUUAAUUAGUUUGUAUACUGUGUGUUACAUCCAGUUGCUAACCCUUUCUUUUUCGUGUUGCUCUAGUAUAUUUUUCUGCAUAUAACUGUACAUUCUCUUGAUGAAGAUGCAUAUCUCUAAUAGGCACCUAGCUGCUGGAUGGUGAGGUGGCAGUGCUAUGUCGUGUACAAAAGGAACGUUCCGGGGGUGUACAACGAGUGGCCUGAGUGUCAGGCACAAGUGAAUGGGGUCUCGGGCGCCAUCCAUAAAGGCUUCAAAAGCAGACAAGAAGCAGAAGCUAGUUAGUUGUGGUUCACACAAGCGCGAUAGAGGACUCAUAACCGCUGCCUCAUGUACUGCAUAGUUCCGCUCUCACUCAUAGUGAUAGCUCUUCUCACAUAUAUCGCGAUGUAGUUGCAAGUAUUCGAGACAUGUAUCGCUAUUUUCGAAAUGAUGACGAGAUUUCACUUCCUAUUCGAUGAUGAUUAUGAUGAUGACCACCUUGUAUCGCUAUGUAUAUGCUAUGAUUACAUUUUUAUGGGUAUGAUAUGUUAGAAAUUAUUGUAUAACACCCAAAACAAAAUUCAACAGCACAAAAUGUGGAGCAGAAAAAAUAAAUAAAAACUAAUAACAGUAGUGCGGGGUAUGGCAUUAGCAGCAACGAGCUCUUAGUAGUAGCACUCUUUUCAUAAGGGCACUGCAGCUAUUAUUAGCAGGACAUAUUUUAGAUAAACGUUGCUGCUAUCCCUAGUUAGCACUAGCGCUGGCCAGACCGCGCUACUGAUAAGCAUUAGCUGUAGCGCCGUAUCAGUAGCGCGGCUACCCGCGCUACUGAUAAGCAUAUAACCCGCGCUACUGCUAGGCUUUUCCCUAGUAGUGUUCUCCACCAUAAGUUUGAAAGAAUUUCACUACAAUGGAUAUCUUGGACCAGAUUCUCAAAGUUCCAAGGGUCAAUCCUCUUCCCUAUGUUGUUCUAAGACCCGUGUCCACUCAACUGACCACCACCCUGGCUUAAUCGCCUUCACCAUCACAUCCCUUCCGCUGAUGACGUGGUAUGAUGGGCUUUGCUUCAUGCUUCUUCAAGCCGCAACAAGCUCAUCUCGCAAUAGCUCAUAAUGGUCACAGUCUAGCAGAUAGAAAGGUCAAUUGCGUAACUUAGCACAGAUGCCUUUGUCGUUUUCAAUUGCGUACUCUAAGUGCAUUAGACACUUCCAUAGGACAUCAAAGUGUUGCUCCACACAACAAGCUCCUGACUAAAAUAGCACCCCUUCAAGAUGAAUAGUAUUCAGGCUCACAUGAGAAUUGCUCCUACUCAAAUCAAAUUUAGAUCUAUUCUGCUACCAUGGUCGACAGCCUAGUGGCAAGGACUUGUCACCCCACGUGCUUUUAGGUCCAGUAAAAGCGGUGCUAGAGUACCCGUUGUAAUUGUGAUGAGUAAUAAGUCUUUUGUAGUUGAAUAAGCACAAAAAAAAUACUCUUGUAAUAAUUGUUUUAUUUGGCGGGAUGUACUGAAACUAUCCUUAUAUGCCAUAGUUAUUAGGUGGAGUAUAAAGUGUAUUUUGCCUCACAUAGGUCCUCUUAGUCCAUAAACUUUACAUGGUUAAUUCGGCGCCAUGGCUUGAUAUGAUGAGCGCAAAGGCCAUCUCAUAGUCAUCUAAAGAACUACAUUGUCAGCUUGAAAUGACUUAUCAGAACUUCUAUCAGAAAGUUGUAAACAUGUGCCCUUUUAUGACAAUGUUGAAUAGCGAAAAGCAUCAAUAUCAUGGUUGUUACACCAUAGAUUAUCGAAACCUUAAUGUAAUGGUGUUCCUCAUUAUUCUAGGGUGAGAAGAGAGCUAGAACAUGCUCAUAUAUAGUUUGCAGCCUAUGCAGGAGAGGAGUAGAGCUCGGUGUUGCUAUGUGGAACCUGCUCAUAUAUAGCUUGCGAAGAAGCCAUCAUGCCAUUUCUAUACCUACUAUUAAAGGGAAUAGAUAUUCUUGGUUUGGUUUAGUCCUUUUCGUUUUAUUUGAGCGCAUGCUAAUGUCUUUUGUACGAUUCGCUCUACACACACUAGCCAUCUGGGCCAGGUACAUAUACAUUGAUGGGCCUUCUAUGGGCUUCUAUAGAGACUGUGAAAAAUAAUUGGGUCAAAAUAAACCAACAUUGUGGAAGUUGAAUAGAGGACCUACUGUCCGGCUCUUCAACGUAACAACCAAUGAGCAAUGCAUCUUUCACAUUUACUAAUCCCAACUCGCUCUUUUACAAUGAUUCCAAUCAGUAAAUAUUUGAGCGGCUCCAGGAAUCAACCAACAAACAGUUAAAACAAAGAAGAGUAGACCUCUUGUUUAGGGCGAGCUAAUUAAAGAAAGGAUUGUGGGCUUAAAUAGAAUAUUUAAAUGUAUCUGACUAAUUAAAUAAAUGAUUAUGGGUAAACCGGUGGAAUAACUAAAAGAAAAAUUGUGGGCUUAAUAAAUAGAAUAUAUUCAAAUUGAUGGGGUUAAUCAAAGGAAAUAUUUGAGGUAAAAAAGUAGGAUAGUUAAUAGGACGGAUCCGUAGGCUUCGAUGUGGUGGGGCUAUUAAAUUAGAAAGGGAAGGAUUUGCAUUUAAAAAACCGAAGGAUUUGAUUCUCGACAAACGGGUGAGGACAUUAUGGUAAUUAGUAGACUGAUUAUACUUAAAUGGAAUUAGUGGGAGAUUAUGCCCGGCUGAGAAAAAUAUGAACGUGCCAAAUUGCAUCCUAUUUUUUAUGUUCAUUUUGUAGAUGGAUAUUGCGUUGCAACAUGUUCUUCGUAUUGAAUAUAAUGCUAUGGGACAUUAUGUUUGCAAAAAACAUCAAUUUUCCCUGUUGCAACACACGGGCAUAUGUGCUAGUGUAUACCUAUGUUGGGAAGGAAUAGAGCGACACUUGUAAUGUACACAAGUUCUGUAUGUAGUAAGAAUUGGAAUCACACUUACAAUACCACUAAAAUCCACUUACAUCCUAGGACUAGGAAGCAUCAGGAUUUGUGAAUACGCGUACCUAGACUUUUACACACGAGGUAACAAUAUAGGACGCGGCUAGCCAGCAAACGGCUGCUGGCUAGCGUUCGCGGGCAUAUCACGAAAAAAGGUCGUAGUUACCCUGUCGGUACACGUGCCCCCUCCACAAGCGCUCGCCUGGUCCUCGUGUACACAGCCUGCCCCCGUUCACUCUCUCCCAACACAACCGGCCACAACAUCACUGAAAAAAUCCGUUCAGCAAUGGCGCCGUAAAGAGAUUGCUGGGGUAUCGGUGGUUCUUGUUCAGGAUUUAAAAGAAAUUUAAAAGAACAAAGCAUCAGUGUCUCAGUUGGACACAUCUAGCUGCAACUUUACAGGUGAUCAUAGGAGUUGAUACUGGUAAGCAACUCAGGUGUGUAACUAAGCAACUUUUGCAUGCAUCAGAGGCAACUUAGGAUGCAAUUGGGCAAAACAAAAACAAAGAGAGUUACAUGUACAUAUAAAAAGAAGAGGGCAAAUGUGCACCAACAAAAAAUGGUUUUGCCAGGCAACUCUAUGGACACUUCUGUACAACUUAUGCAUCAAUCAUGUGCAACUUAGAAGCUCCCCAGUUUACAAAAAAGAAAGAAAAGAGGUCCAGUAGUGCGCGCGCCUUUGGGGUGUCCAUGUACAUUUGGAUAAUUGAUCUCCACCACUCCAGUGGGCCUAUCGACUAUACCUUCUGCAUAAGAAAAAGGACAUUAGAAACGCAAAUAGGAUCUUGUAUUGCUGGGAGAACACAUAUUUCAAAUCUAUGUGAGAAAAACCAUUCAUUGUUAAUCUAAAGGAUGGCAACUAGGAGGUGAUACGCUUCGUCCCUAAGCACAACCAUCCGUUGGUUGCACCACUCUCCAAGUAUCUCUUCUCGCACCAAGUAAUCCUUCCUAAACUAGAAGAGAUUCGUGACGAAUCGCUAUGAGAGGAAUUUAAAUGUAGGUGCUCCUUUCUCUGGCACUCUUUUACUACAUUCUCAUUUUUUAUGGCAUUUUUUUCGGGGUCGCUAGGCAACUCUCGUUAUGUCAACAAGCAACUUGUUAGCUAUAUUUGGGAAACUAUGUGCUACCGUGUACCCCUCCCCCCCAAACCUCCCACCCCACUUGUGGCUCCAUGGUGUUGUGACACCUUCCUACAACAAAUGGAGCAAAAGUUAAGAAAUGCAUCAUGUCGUUUCUAAAGUUGCAUAACAUCAUCUCUAAGUUGCCUAACAUGACUAGAGAGUAUCCUAACAUCAUCUCUAACUUGCCUAAUAUGACUAGCAAGUAUCCCAUGCAAUUAGUGGCUGUUGUUUAGGAAACUUUCAUCUUGUACCAGACAACUAGUGAUUAUUAUAUAUUAGACAACUUUUUCUCUUACUGCGAUGGUAGACUAGCCACUAUGUGUGGAAGCUGAGGUGCAAGUAAGCGCUUAAGGUGACCACAUAGACAUGUCUUGUACCAGAAACUAAUGGUGUUGAUUAUGGUACAAUCGAAAAUGGUUUGCAUGCUUGGUAGAGCCAACGAGAAGUUAUUUAGUGUAUCAAAUUAGUGGAUAACAAAAUAUCUAUGAAAAUUAGGUGAUUUAUGCAAGUAGUAUUUAUAUGGAGGCAAUUUAUCCUGUUGGAAAUAGCAUUAUAAAAUUAAAUCAAUUUGUUGCUAAAAACUAUGUCUAGGCACCUCGCACCAGCAUAUCUAGCAAAUAACUAUCAUGUGUUGGGCAAGUUUUAAAGAUUAUAGUUUUUGAAUAGAACUUAGCAAUCUCGGUGGCGGAUCUCGGGCUAACUCAUGCAAGCAUUUAUAGCAACUAACAAUCAUGAGUUGGGCAUGUUUUGAAUACUUCCGUCUCAAAAUCUUCAGCCGCCAGAUGCCGCCGAUCUGUGGGCAACUAACUAUCAUGAGUUAGGAAACUUGGCAUUACAGUAAGGCAACUUAUAACAUAAUUAUUGGUGAGGUGGCAUAUAUAGUACAACCAAUGUGAAAUCCCCCUGAUCAAACACAUAACUCAACAUAGAACUACUCUCAAAUUUAUUGUAGGCAACUUUCUGGCAUUAUGAGGCAAGUAACUUUUAUAUGUAGGCAAUUUAUCCUAUUGCAAAUAGCAAUGUAGAAAUGAAAUCAGCAUCUCUAGCAAAUAACUAUCAUGUGUUGGGCAAGUUUUUAAGUUCAAUGUUUUGGGCAAAAAAAAAACCAACACUCUCAGGGGGCAACUUGUGCUAGCAUUUCUAGCAACUAACUAUCAUGAGUUCGGCAAGUUUUGAAAACUUUAUGUGGAAUAGUGCACACUUCCACAAGAAACGAAACAAAUGUGAAAUCGCCCCUGAUCAAAUACAUAAUUCAACAUGAUGCUACUCAAAAAUCUCACACAGAUACUAGAAAAUUUAUUGUAGGAAACUUUCUGCCAUUAUAGGCAAGUUAGUGCAAAACUGUUGACUAGAAAGAAAUCAUAUUUUCUGACUGGAACUCAAAUGCACAAAAAAGAUAUAGGUAAUAGGACAGAUCAUAUAACCAUAAUAUUGAGAUUGCAGGGACAAAAACUACAUUUAGUACAUAAAAAAUCCACUUCCUAGCUCCCGCCCCAAGCGCCUACGCUUGUGUUUUUUUUCUAGGAUCCUAAUUAAGCGCCUAAAUAAGCGCCGCUGCAUUGAAGGUGCCCAACACCGACCAAUCAAUUUUUCUCAUAAGUAUAUCCGCUAGAGUAGUUAACUACCAAGUACUCCCCACAUCUCUCCCCCUAGGUUACGCUCUAAAACAAUCGUCGCCGCUCACACGCCCGCCUCCCUGCCGCCGGAUAUGAAAUCCACUCGUGGAGGUCGAUUGGCCAUCAUGAUAGAUCGUGGCCAUGGAUGUGAGGGGCCUGUCAUGGACGGCGUCGUGACAGAUCGUGGACUUGCGGGGCUAACCACCAACGUCGUCGUCCAUCUCAUGGAUCAGGAUCCCCACGAGAAAGCUUUGGACUACUCGGUGUCUGACCCAGAGAAGCAUCGUGUCAACGAGGUGCAGUACUCCGUCGUCGAUCACGAGCAUCAGCACAUGCACGGCAUGGACUGGAAUUCCGUUACGGUAAUUUUCAUUUUUUAACCAUAGAUCUGUCUUCAAGUUUUAUGUUAGAGGUUAAUCAUUAAACCAUCAAUACAUUAUUGAAUUGGCAUAAUGGAAUCAAGCUCUAAAUAUAACGUUGAUCAUCAGUACGUAAUGAUCAUUAUUUAUUCAAUCAAUCUUUGAGAAAUUAAUGGUUCAUCCACUCCACAAUUUAGUGCGUUUUGGAAUUAUGCCAAAAGUUAGACAUCAUAAAGGUUGUGCAUGUUUAUUGACAAUUUUUUUAAAAGUACAUUAUAUGAUUUAUGCUUUCAUAUGGAUUUGAUAUUGCUUUUUUCUCCUUAAAUUUUCAAAGUUAAUAAAUAUUUACUUGAAAAAUAAUUUAUAGGCACUACAGUACGAAACUUAGGGAAUAUUAGGUACUGUAAACAAUGGUGCAGCUUAUAUCAUACAUAAUUUAAACUUGCAGCCUUAUUCUCAUGAUUAUGCGGACAUUUUCCAAGGAGAGAUGGAUGCACACACUCAGAAAACACUUGAAGAAUUGGAGAAUGGACAGGGCAACGUGCUUAAGCGUAUGCCGUAUCGUUGCGCAUUUUGUGGCAAAUAUCUGGACCCGGCUUUCGUUAGUAUUCUUGAGCACGCCAAAGGAGUUGCCAAAGGAUACCAAAUGAAGCAUGGUGUCAGGGCGAAACACACAGCGCUAGCCCAAUAUCUCUGGAAUUUGUCGGACAAAGAGAAGGUCCAAAGAAGGCGUUAUGAGAACCAGCAUGCCGAAGAAUAGAUGAAUAAACGAAACCCUGAAGAAGUUCUGGUUGGCAUAAAUAGUCAUUUGCGGGUGUGUUUUUUUUGAAAAUACCAAUGAAUAUUUUAUUAUCCUAGUUUUUGUAGAAAUGUUAAAUUUAUUAUAUUUAAUCAUAAAAAUGCAUACAGUUCAAUUAUUGAUUUUUUCAAAUAUUUCUAACCUUGCAUCUAAUAGUUUACCAUUUUAUUGGUUAACCAUUAUUUUCAUAUAUAUAUAUACUGUGGAGUGCUUGAAAUUAUUCAAGAUCAAUUGGUGUACUGAAAGACUCAUCCACAUGCAAUAUGAAGAGCAGUGUAUUUUUAGGGUUUCUUCAAAAGAACUUCUGUGGUCAUGCUGAUCUUUUCUGUUUGGCCAGAAUUUGUAAAGCUGCCAAAUCUGCAUCUGAUCCGGCCCAACACUUUGUUCCUUUUGUGGGCCUGCACAAGUGGGAGGCAGAGAGAAAAGUGGGCGAUGGCCCCAACCCCAACCCCAUCCCCAUCCCAAUCCCACCCCACUUCGUUCUUUGCAGAGACAGAGAAGCGACACGGAGGGCGACGGCUAGGGUUUGCCAAGCCGUCACCUUGGCCGCCCCCGUCGUCGUCAAAUCCGCCGGAUCCGCAAGGCCACCCACUCCCCCCUACUCCAGUCAUGAUUCUGCACUGCUUCGUCCACAGCAAGGUCAGACAACCGCAACUUUUCAUCCCCAAUCCUGGUCGCGCCGCCCGAAGCUCCAGUGGUGGCAGAUUCAAACAAGUCCACUCCAAGGUAAUAUUGAUCUUCCCUGCCCUUCGAAUGUCGAUCUGGUAGCUCCGCCUAUGUUUAAAUCUUACACUUGCUUGUGUGCAUAUUUCGGGUAUUCGCAGAUUACUGUCAACUAGUAGGUCAUAUUGCAACAAGUAAUUUUAUAGCAAGAUAAUCUGACAAUGUACUGCAUAAUCAUGAUUUUACUUGUUUGUAUGGGUAGUAAUGGGUAAACGCUUCCGUGCAAGUAAGAGAAAAAGGUGGGUGUUGGCCAGCAUACCUUGCUCGUCGACAUAGCCUUCACUAUGCUAUCAUCUUGCUUGACAGAUGCUAUCAAGUAGUUUUUCCCUCUAUAAAAUGACCCCCCACUGCUAGAUAUAGAAAAAGUAUAUUCACAGGAGCAUACACAAGUUUUGGUUUGUUGGGAUAGUUUGAAGACUGUGUAUAUGUAUUUGCUGAUGCUUAGUUAUUAAAAACUAAAAAGGCGAGCACAAAAUCAGUCCAUGAGGAAAUUUGUAAUGAUGGAAUGAGGAUCGGUUAUAGUUUCAUGUAUUACUCGAUGGUAGUAUGAUGAUUAGUGCAUAUUUUGAAGGAUUUGUCAAGUAUAGACUGCUCUUGAUUGGUGCAUGUUUUUGAUGAUAUGUGCACACAUGUAAUAUUUUUGGUUGGUGCAUAUUUUUGCUGAUUGUUGUUACUGCUUACUUGAAUUAUGUCAGCCUAUCUCCAAUAUAUGGUAUGGGCUUGUUGGGGUCAAUGAAAAUUUGUUGUUGGAUUUUCUCACUGUUGGAUUUUCUGCCAUUAUACUUCAUAAUCAUGAUUUUACUUGUUGGCAUGGGUAGUAAUGAGUAAAUAAAUAGAAAGUAUACAAAAGGGUGAGUAUUGGUCAGCAUACCUUGCUCGUUCUCAUAGCCUUCACUAUGCUGUCAUCUUGCUUGAGAGAUUCUAUCAUGUCCUUAUUCUCACUGGAAAUUGGAAAAUUAACCUCCACCGCUACCUCUAAAAAUGGUAUGUACAGCAGCAAAUGCAUUAUUUAUUUUGUUGGGACAAUUUAAAGACAUUAUAUUUAUUACCUGAUGGUACCACACAACAGCCCAUCAGGAAAUUUGCAGUGAUCAAAGGCAGAUCAGUUAUAGUUUCAUGUAUUGAUUGAUGAGAGCAGUCAAUCAUGGUUCAUUUGUACAUGGCUACUAAUUGGUUGGUUACCAACUUUUCUUGUCCAGCUCACAAAAUUGUAACCUUGAAAUAUCCUAAUUGGUUAUGUCUGCCCAAUGAUUAUGAGUCUAACCACUAGUCUUGACUAGUCGUGCGAAUAGUUGUCGACUAGCUCUUUCGUGUAGAUGUUUAUACAUGAACUAUGUACUUAGCGAGAAGUACGCGAAAAGAUUAUUCACAUUGUAUAUGGUGCUAACAUGUCCUAAUGGAAGACUGAUUUCAUAUAUCAAUAACUAACAUUUGUUCAUUGCAAUGCAUGCAACAGGUUUGAAUGGCAAGGGAAACCAUCCUCAUCAGCAGUGAAGAGAGUGAUCACCGAACCAUCUCAGAUGAUGCUUCAGAUGACACUUCACGUGGGAGUGACGGCUAUAGCGCUGAUGGCGACACCUCCAGCGACUAUGACAUUGAUGAUAGUUCUGAUGGAGAUGGAGAUGUGGACCAUGAUCCUAUCUUGGCACUAUGGGGUAAAGUUCUAUAUGGCUAGUCAGAUAUUAAAUGAACCAUGAAAUAUCAAAAGUUGAUAUUUGCGUGACACUUGAUUACCACACAUUACUCUGUUUGGGUUCUAGAUGAGCUUCCAAAUCAACAUUGACUGAACUAGAGCUUACAUAGAGGAGUGUUUAGUUGUUAGUUAAAAAAAUUAAAUAUUCAAUUUGCCCAUGUUUCUACGAGAUAUUGCUGGAUGGAUGUGAUUGGGUUAUCUAUGUCCUUCAUUUCUUGAUCAUUGGAGUAGGCAUUGAUCAUUAACCCAGUGCUGAUGUUCUAGAUCUUACGUAUGAAAUUAUUUACUACUCUGUCAUCUUAAUUUUUUUUGAUACAGGUCCGGGAAUCAUUGUGAGAAAAGGAACUUUCGAGGAUCGCAUCUUCUACGGCAACCAUGUAUCGCUAAACGAGGAUCGGUGGGACUGUCUCAAAUCCAUAGUAAUGUAGUGCCAACCUCCCAUACCAUACUAUGUCAGCACCGUCACUCGCUCGACAGUCAUCACAGGGAAGAACAAGAUGGUAAACACUUGGACUUUUCUUUUUGCAAAUCAUACAUCAAUAGUGAAAAUGACAUCAUGUAGAGACAGAGAGGAGGACGGGCGUGGUUGUGCAAAUCAUACUUACUUUUUUUGUGUGCAAAUCAUACUUAAUUUUUUAUGUAACAUUAUUUAUUUCCCUGUGCAAUUAGAUGUUCUCAAAGGAUUACAGUCAUGCCUACCUCAAAGAUUAUCUGCGAAAGCCCAUGGUUGUGCGUGUCACCAAUGAACAUUUUGAAGGUAAUAAAAAGGUCUUGUUCAAGAUGGGCAAGAAGGACGGGCGUGCGAUCAUGACGAAGAACUAGAGAGAAGUCGUUGAGGGAGCCAGAAUGAAAGAAGAUCAAAUGGCUAUCUUCAGGUUCAUGGAAAGGAGUGGAGGUGGGCUUAGGGUGAACAUGGUUAGUGGCAUGAGGAUUCGUUGACCCAUGGCAGUAGUUUGACGCGAGUUUUAUAAUCUGUAUGUAGUAGCCAGUGACUGCAAGUUUGUAGUAUCAGCUUUUGGGUCCAGUAAGUGCAACUUAGUAGUAAUUGGUACUUGGUAGUAACUGGUACUUUGGUGGUAUAACUUUUGGGUCCGACUGGGUAUGAAGAUCGUCCAUUAAGUGGAACUUGGCAGUAACUUGGUGGUACCCUAUGUGGCAUAAUGUACUUUCUAUGCAAAUCUAUAUAUAUAACGCACCCUAGUACCCUCCUUGAUAUAAUUAUCUUUAUAGACUGCAAUUAUAUUUCCUUUUUUGCAACAGUGAUGCUAGUAUUUUUAGAAUCAAAUCUAGCCGGGUUUCAAAUGGAUUGGACAAUACUUUCAUUUUUGAACGAGGUUUUUGUGUUGGUUAGUACGAGUUAGUUUGAAAAUGCGGUUUGUAUGUCUGUCGCACAAAAAUAUGCAAUGCAAAACAAAAACUUGUGGGUCAAAAUGCAGUGCAAAAAAUGAUGUUUCCGUUACUUUUGAAAUGGCAUGGCAUGCUAUUUUCAAAAACAGAGCAAACCAACAUGUUUAAAAAAAUAUGCUAUCUUUUAAAAAGCGUAAUUUUAAAAAAUGAUGUUUUCAAAAUUAGCACGCUGCUUUCAAAACAGCAUAUUUCAAAAAGCAUGUAAUUUUUGAAAUCAGCAUGCUAUUUUAAAAACAGUGUUAUAUUUUUAAAAACAAUGUUAUAUUUUUAGAAUGAGGCUGUUAUUUUGAAAUCAGCAUGCUAUUUUUAAAAACAACGUUAUAUUCUUUAAAAUAACGUUAUAUUUUUAGAAUAAGGCUGUUAUUUUGAAAUCAGCAUGCUAUUUUUAAAAAUAUCAAAUUCAAAAGAGCAUGAUUUUUUUUAAAAAUCAGCAUGCUAUUUUUGAAAUCAGCAUGCUAUUUUAAAAGUAGCAUAUUGAAAAGAGCAUGCUAUUUUUAAAAUAAGCAUGCUAUUUUUAAAAUAAGCAUGAUAUUUUUGAAAAUAGCAUGCUAUUUUAAAAGUAGCAUAUUGAAAAAAGCAUUAUAUUUUUACAAGUAGCAUGCUAUUUUUGAAAUUAGCAUGAUAUUUUUGAAAUCAGCAAGUUAUUUUGAAAGUAGCAUAUUGAAAAGAGCAUUAUAAUUUUAAAAGUGGCAUGCUAUUUUUGAAAUCAUAUUUUUUAAAUCAGCAUCCUAUUUUUAAAAUAGCAUGGUACUUUAAAAACAGUAUAUUCAAAGCAACAUGCAUAUUCAUUCUAUUUUAUUUUCAAUUGAACAUGCUUUUUUCAAAUGAGCAUGCUGUUUUUAAAAUAUCAGUAUGCUUAUUUUCUAUUUGAAAAUAAAGGAUUUUCAAGGUUAUUUGAAAACGAGGUUUCUAUUAACGUUCUAUUUUCUUAUAUAUAUAAAAUUUUGGUUUCUAUUUUAUAUUUCAAGUAUGAAAAUUGACUAAACUUGAACAAAUUUCAGCAAUAUAUUAUGUAAAAAAUGAGAAAAAUACAGAAAACCAACUUCACUAAAAAUGCAUUGUUUCAUCGAUGUUGAUAAAUCAUAACUAGCCUAUCAUGUCGUUGUGUCCAUAAUAAAAUGAAGGUGUACCAAGCAAACGAGGAAUUCAAAAAAAUAGUGGCAGUCCAUCAAAUAGGUCUAAUACAUCAGAAACAAGGUGGAUCACGGCAUGGAAAACUGUCUACUUUAGUUUGUUCUCAAUUUUUCGACCCUAGAAAUCCUUUUGUUUUCUCUGCUUGACCCUGUGCAUCUAAACAUCCUGUCUCUACUUCACUAUAGCUUUCCUGCAUGAAACAACGUUUGUUAAUAGGAUAGCAAAGAAGAUUUGAGCAUGUACAGUACACUAUAACAGAAAAGACACUAACUUCACUGAUUUUCUCGUCAUAGCUACAGAAGCUAAUUUGACAUCUCUUAUUCGCUCUGCCUGUGGUACAUUUCUAGAAGUCCUUUUUAUCUUCAUCACCCCUUUGGCCUGUUCUUUACCGCCCUUCCUAGAGUCUAUCCUGGAAAAGUUAACAAAUGUCAACACAGUACUAGCAAAUACCUGACUUCUAGAGCGGACAUGUAAGUACAGACACUAACUUCACUGGUUUUCCUCGCGCACCCUUGUCAUCGUUCUUUUUCUUCCUCCCAGCAUUGACAUUUGGAGCGCCCUUGCGUUUCCUGCAAAAAAUGAAAUAGAUGAAUCUGCAGCCAGCAUUCGAAAACAUGUUUAAGUACGCACAAUUAUGCUGAUGCCCACUUGUUUGGUUUUGCGUAAUCCUCUUCUGCAACCUCCAAUGGUCUCUUUCUAGCCCUCCUCAGCCCACCAUCUUCUGCAUCUCAAUCUCCCUCUUCUUCUGCAUCUGAAUCUCCCUCUUCUUCUGCAUCUGAAUCUUCCUCUUCUUCUAUAAAUGAAUCUUCCUCUUCUUCUAUAUCUGCCUCUGUCUAUUCUUCUGUAUCUGCCUCUGUCUCUUCUUCUGUAUCUGACUCUAUCUCUUCUUUUUGCUUCUUCCUCCUUGUGCUAUUUGAUUUCCCCGAUUUUUUCCUGCGUAAAUUGAAGAAAAACAUGUGAAUACACUCCGGGAGAACAUAUUAACAUUGUAAGAUGUAUGGAAAUGAACAAUGAGAUUAACAUGUGCACUAACUUCGUUGCUUUUUUUGAAUCUUCCUCUUCUUCUGUAUCUGAAUCUGUGUCUUCUUCUACCUCUGAGUCUUUCUCUUUUCGCUUCUUCCUCCUUGUGACCUUUGAUUUCCCUGAUUUGUUCCUGAGUAAAUUGAAGAAAAAGAGAGAACAUAUUAACAUUGUAAGCAUGUAUGGAAAUGAACAAUGAGAUAAACAUGUGCACAAACUUUGUUGCUUUUUUUCCCUCUCAUCCGCUCGCGCCUGGAUUUAAUCCUCUUGUUCGAUUCUUCGGUAGUUGGUCUCUCUUUUGAAACUAUUUUGAUUGGAUUUUCCACGUCAUCAGUGCAGCAUUCGCGAGCAGCAGAGGAGUAUGCCGACAAAGGAACAAACGAUUUAUGGCCUUCAUCGAAAUCAGUUUUUUCUCCAUCAACCAAUAUACUCCGGAGGAGCUCCAUCACCUGUUCUGACUGUGAAUCACUAGCUGCGACUGUGAAUAAAGCGUCACUAGCCAUGUUGCGUAGUUGAUGAUACUUAUUCAUGUGAUCAGACCAUACAUGAAUAUUCGCAGUCCUUGAAGAAUGGAACGCUGGCUUGGCAUGCAUUGUCCAUCUUUUCUUGACAUUUUUUUUGGAAAUGUGCGUACACCAAGAUGAUCCAGAACGCAGAAUAUAUGUGCGCAUGGGUAAUCCUGACUUUCGAAAUUUUUACAUUUACAAACUGCAUCAUCCAGUCUUGCUCCUGGAAACAAACAAGUCACGUGAUAUAUAAAAUCCAUAGGCUUAGCUUCCAUGCCUUGUGCAUCCAACUUUUUUGCAUAAAACUCCUCAUUGUCCUUACCUUCCAAGUCAUUGGGAUCCUUAGCAUCCAGGUUUUUGGCAUGCAAGUCCACACCAUCCUUGCCUUCCAAGUCAUUGGGAUCCUCCGCAUCCAAGUUUUUUGCAUGCAAGUCCUCAGCAUCCUUACCUUCCAAGUCAUUGGGAUCCUCAGCAUCCAAGUUUUUUGCAUGCAAGUCCUCAACAUCCUUACCUUGCAAGUCAUUGGGAUCCUCAGCAUCGAUUUUUUUUGCAUGCAAGUCCUUAGCAUCCUUACCUUCCUUACCUUGCAAUUCUGUAGCAUCCCUGCCAUAUGGGACUUUAUCAUAUGGGCCUUUGCGCAAAACUCCAAACACGACCAAACCGUCACAUGCUACCCGGUCCGUGACCUGCCAAUUUGUCCCUUCGACAAUCUGACGCUUUACCUUUGGAAACAUCACAGUUGUAUAAAUAUAAGAGGCAACAAUCUCCAGAGGGUGUGCAUUCAGCUUAGUGAAGGGUAUCGUAUGUGUUGCUACUGUGUCUAAUGCUGAUUCAUUCUUACGCAUUAUGGAUACACAGUGCUCAACAUGCUGCAACAAAUCAACAAGCUGCAUCUUCCUGUUCAGGUGCACAUGAAGCCUUGAGUUGAGAGACUCACUCCUCUGAUUACUCAUCAUGCCUAGGAAAUAUCUACCCUUGUGUACACAGCAGCCCAUUUGUGUCGCAACUCGUACAUCCUGUUAACCCAUGAUGACCUCUUUCCCGUUGGUUUUAUUUUGAAGCGAACCUUAUAAGCCUCCCAUCUUUUCUCAAACUCAUCAACAUCUCAACGACGGUAAAUAAAUUCCCUAAAUCCCUCAAGCUUUUUCUUGCGAAGGUGCAUCACCAUAUUCUCCUUGAUAUGCCACGUGCACAAACGAUGAUCUGUUCCAGUCCAGACAGUAACUAUUGCUUUAGCCAUUGAACCGUCCCCAUCGGUGAUUGCUGAAAUGGGUGCCCUCUGGGACAUUGCCUCCAAAAAUACAUGAAGAAGCCACUGGUAUGAUGCAACUGUCUCGUCUGACAGUAGACCGACCCCAAACAAAAUUGUGCUGCGGUGAUGGUUCAGACCAACAAAUGGAACAAACGGAAGCCUGUACUUGUUAGACCGGUAUGUACUGUCGAACACCACGACACCACCAAAGGCAACAUAGUCAAUCCGGGAUUGUGAAUCAGCCCAGAAUAUGUUCCUCAAAUGGCCUUCUUUGUCUUUUGUGUAUUUGAAAAUGAAUUCCGGGAAUGCUUUCUUCUGCGCAAUCAUAUAGGUAAGCAAAUAUCUAGCGUCACUUCCUUCUAUCUUGCGCUUCUUCAGGAUUGAAACAUGGUUGUAUAGGUCUCGAUCUAUAAAUCCAAACUUGUCGGGACCUCCGGCAUUCUUCUCCAUUACAUUCAUAAUCUGAUGUGUUCGAAGUCCACCAACAGCAUACUCGAUGCCAUCGGCCUUUUGUGCGUCAGUCAUUCUACGAUGAGCCGAUAAGUAGGGAGUCAGGUCAGCAGGGAGAAACAGAUGGUUAUGCUUGUCCACAAUAUUCUUGACGAACCAGAGGCCACUACUAUCUUGUAGCUCAACCUGAAAAAGAGCGGGACACCCACACCGAGAAAGACCCCUCGGUGUUCUUUUUCUAUCAGCUCUGUUAAAGUGCUUAAGGGCCCGCCAUCCUUGUUUGCAGCACUUGUAUGUCCUUCUGUAUGCAUUUUGUUUCGGACCUGGACCCAUGUACUUCACAUCAUCCUUUCUAACACCAAACCCUUUUUUUCUCGCAUAGCCUACGUAGAACAUGUAGGCUUCUUCCUCAGUCCUGAAAGUCUUAUUCACAAUAUCUAUGUAUUUCAUACACUCAUUCAGAUCUGAACCAGCCAUGCCUUUAAUAUCAAUUCCUUUACCUUGCAUGUGUACAUCAUCUAGGUCUAUGCCAUCUUUGCCUGCAUCCUCAUUAUUGUUAUCAUCUGUGCGCAUACCAUCAACUCCUUUGCCUUCGUUUCGUCUAUCACCCAUGUCCUUGUCAUCCUCGCCUGUAUUCCCCAAGUUUUUGCCGUCGUUGCCUUUAUCAUCCAUGUCGUUAUUCUGUCAACGAAAACAGGUAGUCAAUGUUACGGAUGGAUAGCAUACAUAAUAAUUAUGCAAUACUCUGCUUAAAUAAUUGAUUUAAUUUUUCAUAUCGGAUUCAUGUACCAAACUCAGUCCUUCAAAAGCUGUAAGUAAGUAUAAAAUAUUCCCUGACUAAAUCCAGAAAUAUUUAAUUGAUUGUACUUGUUAUAACUGAUGAUCUCCUAACUAAAUCCAAAGUGCAUGAAUCUUUCAAGUCCCCUGAUAGAACCACCCUGAUAGAUCAAUUAUCUGCAAACUCCAUUCAAAAUUGUGUCCUAACUGAAUCCAAAAUUAUCACCUAACUAAAUGCAAAUUAUCUCGUCACUAAUUCAAAAAUAUCUCCAAACUCCAUAAAAAAAUAAUUAUCUCCUAACCAAAUACAAAAUAUCUGGAAACUCAAUUCAAAAGCAUCUCCUAACUAAAUCCAAAAUAACUUUCUUUCAAUCCAAAUCUGCUGAUAAAUUCUCAUGGCACACAACCCUAACUAAGUGCUUUAAUAUGUCCUACCUUAAUCCGACUUACACUUCCUUUAAAAAAAUCUUUUCACAACUUUCUGAAACCAUAAACCCUAACUAACUACAUCAACAUGUCCUAGCUAAAUCCAACUUACACUACCUUUCAAUAGAAAUCUCGUCACAACUUUCUGAAACCAUAAACCCUAAACCUCACGUGACAUAUCCUAAACCCUAAUCAAAUCCGACCCCUAUUGGUACAAUAGGCAUAAGGGACCAGCAAACAUUGAGAUGGCUAGGCACUUACAGCGAAGAUCCGGCGUGAAAAAGUUGAUGCACGUCGAUCAGGAUGAUGUGGCCUCUCGGGUCGGGGAAGGUGGCGUCAGCUCGGGGAAGGAGGGGAGGCUCGUGGGAAGAUCUGGCGCCGCGACCUGAGUGGGGUGACUUCCGAUGGAGGGGGGAGGGGGGAGUAGGAGAAGGAGGAAGGAGUGACACGGCGAGUGCGAUCGGCGGCGAUCGAGGGAGGCGGGGGCGAUCGGCGGCGAUCGAGGGCGCCGAGGUUAGGGCUCGAGAGGAGGAGAGAGGACGAACCGCUCGAAUCAAAUUUCAAAAGAGUACGCACGAUGAUUGGACCUCUAGUUUUAUUAAUGCAAUUAAUUUAAUCGAAAAAUUUCGGACGAGAAUACCACUGGACUUAAUUGGGCCGAUUAAAGGUAUAAAAAAUUUUAGGUCAAAAAUACCCUUGGGCUCUAAAAGGCCCAGUUAUUCUAUUCCGUUAGAUCGCCCAUAUAAUAUACGUGAUUUGGUGUAUUAUGAUGCACCGUAAAAUCUCCCUAGUUCAAAGGAUAAUACCACAUCCCUCUAUUGUUGUAAGACAUGUGUCCAAUCAGCUGACCACCAGUCCGGCUUAAUCACAUUCACCAUCACAUUCCUUUCGCUGAUGGCGCAAUAUGAUUAGUUGUGCCUCCGUUCUUCUUCAAGCCGCAACAAACACAUUCCACGCCUGCCAAGAACGGCAACAGUCUAGUCUGGCAGUUAGAAUGGGUAAUUGCAUAAUUUAGCACAAAAUUAAUGUCUUUAUCAUUUUCAUCUGCGUGCUCGCGAUACCGGCAUUAAACUCUUCCUGAUGACACAAAAUAGUGUGGGCACCGCUUGGGUGCAUGUGUCGGCAGUUGCAGAUGGCGUCCCCUCUUCCACCAGGUUGGCAGUUGUUCUGGAGGAAAUCCUAGACCUGGGUCUCCCGGAUCGGAUGAUGACAGAGACUUUGUUGCCGUUCUGCCUCCUAGGGGUAUCGUGAUGAAGCAUUGGUUCACUGGAGAGGCGAACAGGUGGAGCGGUGUUACAUCGAAUGGGGUGGGUCUCGGUGGCAUGGAGCAGUGAAGCCUCAGUGUUGGACGCGGUUUGGUCGAUACACGCAGAUUGGUGGCGCUGUCUGGUGACGUGUUGACGUCGACGGCAAAUGGGACUGGCAAGAUCUGUGCAGUGAUUCCUCCUGAAGACGGGAUGGCGGAAGAUGGCAAUGGUGGAUCCUAGAGCGUGCGUAGGCGGUGCAUGUUAUGGCACGUCUAAACCGGAUGGUCCUAAGGCCACCGGAUUAGAUUGUGUCUACUAUGCGGACAUGGCACAUCUAUAUACUUGUAGGUGUAGCGACUUUGUUCACCUACAAGGUGACUUUGGGUUGAUCCUUAUAUUCAUUUUUUCAGGCUCUAAUGAAUUAUUAAUAAUGAUGAAUGUGUAUAUCAUGCUGAUGCAGAGGCGGUGGUAAUCCUCUUUCGAAAAAAAAUAGUGUGUCUGCGAGGCAAUCCCCUAACUAAUAUAGCACCCCUGCAUUCAGUCUGACAUUAUGCCACCAUGGUCGAUAGCCCAGUAGCAAGUACUUCUCACCCCACGUGCUUCUAGGUUCCAGUAAGAUUGGGGCUGAUUAUUCAUUGUUACUAGAUCGUUGAUGGCGCGGAUUGCCGUACCCAUCUAUUUUACAAUAUAGUAUUUGGAUUUGUCAGAAUUACUAUUGUCUUUUUAUGAUAGCUAUUAUCAAUCAACUUAGUUUUAAUAUAUAAACUCCUAGUGACUAAUAAUUAGUUAGUAAAAGCUAAUAUAUUCUCAAGAAAAUAAACUUUGCUAGUUGGUUACAAAAUAUGGUUGGACCUUACCAGUUGUUUGAAUUUUCCAAAAGCAUUUGAACAAUAUGUUACAGUUAGCUCCAAACGUGGAAAUUAAAGGCAUGAGAUAAUAGAUAUCAUUGUAGAGGAACUCAUAUCAUUGUAGAGGAACUCAAGCUCCCAUUGCCAUUUUUCACCACCAACCAAACAGAGCUAAAUCAGUUGAAAAUAAGUGAAAAGAACAAAGAAAUGGACGUUGUAUUCAUUCUAGGUACAGCAGGGGGGCACCCGAUUGGAUGGCUCUCUCACAUAAAUUUCUAUCAUUGUGCAUGAACUCAAGCUCCCAUUGCCAUUUUUCACCACCAACCAGACAGAGCUAAAUCGGUUAAAAAUAAGUGAAAAGAGCAAAGAAAUGGACCUUGUUUUCAUCCCAGGUAGAACAGGGGGCACCCGAUUGGAUGGCGACGCCUCUCUCUUGCUCGAGCUUCAUAGCUAGGGCCCAUCUGUGUUGAUGCCCUUGCGGCCACGCACCUUGUGAAUCUCGACAAUCCGUCAUACAUGACCUGCCCCCUGAAUGCCAAGUUUUUUCGGAGUCUCUGAAGAGCAGUAGCAGGAGGCGAGCACGUCUAAUAAAUCUCCUAUGUUUUUAUUUUAUAUUCAGAUGAACCAGAUUUUUACAUGAUGCUACCUUUUGGGAUACUGCAGCCGAUGAUUCUUGUGAAGAUGCAGGGCAAAUAGAGCACCUUUGCCUUGCCCUGAUGCUCAAGAACUGUUGAUGGUGAGCUAAUCUGCAACGCCUCACUACAACCCUGUGGAAACAGUGCCUCUACUCAUCUACCAAGAACGAAUCUUCCUAAUUAUUAAUUUUUAUUACAUAAAUACUCACUGGAAGGAUGGGGAUCAAUAUAAGCCAUCUUGAUCCAGAUCCAAAAGAAUACCUUUCUUGAUUUGGGACGGAGGUAGUCAGGUAGAGAUCUUGGAUCCAGGAAAACAAGAGGCUGACGAACUACCUAUUGUGAAUUAGCUGAUGAGAAGAUGAGACGAAGAGAGUACCAACUGGGCGGAAGAGCGACGGCUCUCCCCAUCUGCAUGACUGCUUGCCAAGGGACGCCGAUUUCAGUGACUCCGCUAGAGUUCAAGGUCAGGGUAGGACAAGCUCGCUGCCAUGGCGCUGAUCCGGGAUGCCAUGAAGGCGGUUCGUUGCCCUAUCAUGAUUCGGACGAGGUUGGAGGCAUGAUCUCAUCGUUGUAGGUGGUGGCGGUGCACGGCAGUGGCGGUGCACCUAGGGCUUGCCCAAGUCGUGAGAGAGGAGAGGAGCGGUCGGGGAAGACCUUUUUUCGGGACGGUUAGCGACCAGGUGCUCUCCUGUUAGAGCAUCCCCACCCACGCCCUCAGAAACUUCCCCCAGGCCACUUUUUAAGCACCGGCGGCAAAAAAAUCAUCCCACUAGCGCCCCCAAAGCGUCAGUUUUCGCCGGACUAGGAGAAAAACGACGCCAGCAAUCCCACCCCGAACCCAACCCCCUGGGGGGCAGCUGGGUGUGCUGGCGGCUCCUUUUUCUCGCUGUUGGCCCACCCUCAGCGCAGCUGGCCCGCAGGAUGGAGGCCGCCGACAAGGGCAUCGAGCGCUGGCUGGCUGCCGCCCCCCUGCCUUCCUUCCUCAAGCCUUCCUCCGCGAGCAAGACACCGGCGGCGCCGGCAAGGAGCACCAGCUCGUCCAGCCUCUUCCCAUCGUCCUCCUCCACCUCUUCCUUCUCCACUAGCUACGCCUUCUCCACCAGCGGGGCGGAGCUCGUGGCUGAGCAUGGACGGGGCGAGGGCGAUAGACUCCGGGCGUGGACGGGACGGAGCAUGGCCGGCGAGUUCAUGGCUGGGCGAAGCAUGGCCGGGGCGGAGCUCGCGGCCGGGAGGAGCGUGGCUGGGGCGGAGCUCGCGGCCGGGCGGAGCACCUGCCUCCCCCUCGCCGCCUACUCGCCGUCGUGCCGUCGUGCAGAUGAGGUCGAAGAGCACCACCUUGCUGCCGAAGCUGAGCCAGCGGCCCUGCGCGGGCGCGGCACGCACUGCGUCCACCCGAUCGGCGUCCGCGCGGGAGGAGGAGCCAGCCCCGCUCCAGCUGAAGCAGCGGCUGCCGUGGGAGACCUCGUAGGGGGAGGAGAAACCAGCAGCGCUCCGCCGAGGCAGCAGCUGCCAAGGGAGUCCUUGCCGGAGCGGACGCCGCAGAGGCGCCUCGCGGUGGGCGUCUUGGGGGUGCGAGGCGUCCCCGGUGCCGCACCAGCUGGUGAGCGGCGUCUGCACGCUGCUAUUGUGCGCGACGGGGGCGAGGCCGCUGCCCCCGGACGGGCGGUGGUGGUGGCCGGGCUGUAGGAGGGCGCGGCAGACAAGCUGUAGGGCGCGCGCAGGGUGCGUGGGCGCGGCGGAAGCAGAUGUCUCCCGCGGGCGCGACUUGUACGAGCAGGCCGGCGGGGUCGACGCGGCGGAAGCAGAGGACCGCGGCGAGCGACAUGGCAAUAGCCGCGGCGGCAAUCAGCAAGCGGCGAGCAGGGCGGCGUGGUGAUGACGGUGCGGUGGAGUGGGGGACAUGAGGUGGCGCACGGGGAAGAAGAAACAGGAGUNNNNNNNNNNNNNNNNNNNNNNNNNNNNNNNNNNNNNNNNNNNNNNNNNNNNNNNNNNNNNNNNNNNNNNNNNNNNNNNNNNNNNNNNNNNNNNNNNNNNNNNNNNNNNNNNNNNNNNNNNNNNNNNNNNNNNNNNNNNNNNNNNNNNNNNNNNNNNNNNNNNNNNNNNNNNNNNNNNNNNNNNNNNNNNNNNNNNNNNNNNNNNNNNNNNNNNNNNNNNNNNNNNNNNNNNNNNNNNNNUGGAAGAAUCUUCCUCCUCAAUGCAGAAAUUUCGCCGGGGCAGCCCAGCAAGUCGAAAAAACGCCUCCUGGGGACACAACGGGUGGAGAUGCUCUUAUAUUUGUUGCGAGGGUUGUCGCGCCGCUCCGCCUCACUUCACAUUAGAUCUCGCACACGGUGAAUUUAGGCCGAGGUUGAGUCCGCCGUUGGGCCUUACAUGAUGCUACGGCCCGAUUAACCAGGGCGGCAGAUUUUUCUACGGGAGUAGCGUCCCCGGACAGCUAGCCCUUUCAACGAUUAGUCACCAGAUUAGACAGGCAAUCAAUAGCCAGAAACAUCCUGGAAGCAAAAUCCAAAGGCCAGAAUCACUGAUAGCGUGAGAGGGCUGGGAUGGUGCCCAGUUUUACUGGCCUUAAUAUUGAUGAGUAAAUAUAAAUCUUUUGUGGUUGAAUAAAAAAGAAUAAAUACAAAAAAGAUAAAUAUUCUUUUAAUAACUAUUUCUUUGGUGAGAUUUACUGAAACUAUCCUUAUAGACAUACUAUUAUCAAGUGAAGAGGAAAGUGUAUUGCAACUCUGUGAUGUACGUCCUCUUCGUUCAUGACAUUCACAUGAGUAAUUCAACGACGCGACUUGCCUGUAGGCUAUCUCAGAAUGUGAUCAUUUUAGGAACUACACUGUGGGCUUGAAUUGACCUGUCAGAACUUAUACCAGGAAGUUCUACACAUGUGUUAUUUAUGACUGUUAUUGAAUAGCUCGAAAGCUUCAAUACCAUGGUAGUUGCACUUGCGCCAUACAUUAUCGGGCAUUUAUGUAAUGUUGUUUCUAAUCAUUCAAGCGUGACAAUGGAGAUGGAACAUGCACACAUAUAGUUUUCAAUAUGUGCGGGCAAGGAGUGGAACUCGUUUUUUGCUAGGUGGAACAUGUUCAUAUAUAGCCCGUGAAGAAGCCAUCAAGCUAUCUGCAUAGCUGUGCCGGCAAGGAGUGCAGCCCUAACUUUGCAUGGUUCAGACCAAUUAUACCAGAAACGUAAUGCACAUAAGUUCUGCACUUGGUUAGAGUUGGAAUCGCACUUGCAAUGCCACUAAAAUCCAUGAACAUCCUAGCACUAGGAAGCAUCAGGAUUUGUGAUUACGCCUCCCUAGAUUUUCACACACAAGGUAACAAGAUCAGUGUGAUUGCCGGCUGGAGGUGUAUUGCUUCAGAGGGUUCACAAUGAACAUUGUAAGCAGUACCCACGACCAGGCAUUCUAGAGGAUUUACCUCCGGCAGUCUUCCAAGUUCCAUACUGUUUUUAUCUGGUUACAAGAGAGCAAAGAAGUCGAUACCUACUUCAGUCCCAAUCGUGUUUCAGAGUGCAGCAUUCUAGUUGGCCUGCCAUGUUUGGAACUCACGGAGCACUACUUAAAAAUGAGUAUUUGUCUUCUCCCUAUUGGCUGAAUUAUAGGGACCAUUAUUAGUCUUGUCUUUUAUUUGGAAAAGGAGGAUAUACCCCCGGCCUCUGCAUCUCGAUGAUGCAUCCAGCCAUUUUACUAAUUAUUCACAAAUACCUUACAAAGUAAUACAUCGGUAUGCCCAAAGCCACAAUCUUGGCGACACACACGUCAUUACUCCUAUCCCCUUGAUCAAGGGGUGCCAAAUGUCCGAGCCUAAUAACAACCAGACAUCACAUCAAAUCCUAACAUCUAAAGCCGGAUGCCCCAAGCAAGCCACAAUACCGUAACUGGAUCACACAUCGGUCUAGCGCACUCUCAUAGGACGUCGCCACCUCCAACCACUGAUGCACCAACCUUGCCACGCCUGCCGUCAACGCCAUCAUGGCGUCAGACAACGCAACCAUCCUGUGCAUGUCCAUCCACACGCGCCCAUCGCCGAAACACUGCAGUGCCAUGGCGUCGUGAUCUGCCGUUGGCCUUGCGGUACAUGUAACACCCCUUCACCUCUUGUCACCUCCAGCCAUCGCUUGCUCCAAGCCGAUGCCCAACAAGGGGAAGCGAUACCGAGAACACCAUCAUCGUACGAUCCGGGAGAACCAAAUCUAGGGUUUCCCCCGGAGCAUCCCAAGCCUGGUGACGCAAACUGCAACAACGAUGCCUCGACAAGGAAACGACAUCAUAGACGCCGCCAUUGUCCGCCGCAUGACCACAGUCGGCGCGAUUUUCAUCGGCACUUGCGCCACCGAGCGUGUGUUGCCGGCGUCGCUGCUCCCUUCAAUCGGAGCAAACUCCAAAAUGAUGCCCUGAAGAGGGGCUACGACGCAAAAGUACCGCCAUCGCUCGAUCCGUAGGAGAUCUAGAGUUUCCCCUGGAGUUUCCCGCGCUGACAAGAACCAAACAAGGAUGGAAUUUCGCAGAACCGCCUAACUGCCGACGUGUCACACCCAACAACGCACCGACCGCGACCCAGAGACCAAGUCCACGCCCAUGCCCAGAUCCUACUGCGCCGCCGCCGAUCCAGUCACGCCGCCGUCGUCGCUGGCGACCACGACGCCCAAGAUGGAGAUCCAGAUCGAGACCGAGACGACCCCGACCGAAACCCCGCCACCAGCGCCCCCGCGACAAGCCACCGCCUCCUAGCGAAGAAGCCGCCAAAUACAUCCGCCCCCGAUGCCGCGCCCCUUGCCGCUGUGCCCCUUGCUUACGCACAUGACCCGCGCCGCUGCCACGACAACCAGGGGAAGGAGGGAGAGACCCCACUGCCACCCGCGCCGCAAGGGGUUCGCCCUGCGGACGCACUCCGGCGGCGGCGAGAGGGGGGAAGCGUUGGAGAGGAGCAAGUCACCGGCGGACGAUAGUUCUGAAGUUAUGCUCUAUUCAAUCACAAAAAUACUUAUAAAAUCAUCUUUUAGGUUCGGCCACAUAGUGAGAAUUAAGUGCUCAGAACAAAGUGGAGAGCAAAACGAGCGCUCAAAACCGAACAGAGGUGGCUGUAGUGUUGUUUCAGUGUACGUACUUACAAUUUCAGCUAACUGAGCACAAGAAGAUAUUUUUCUCGCAAACAAAACACGAGAAGAUAUUUCUUCAUUCAGAACACAAAGUGACAACAUUGGACAUGACUGGCUGACAAGAUAAAAAAAAAUUAGAGCAUCUGUUACGUAAACGUUCGAAAGAAAACAUUUGGGGACUAGAAAAUCCUAAAAUUAUGAUGCUUAUUCGAGUGUAUACUUUGUACAGUGUCACGGUAUCUUAUUUUUGAUCUCUGAGUGAUACAAGGAGUGGAGUAAAGAAUAAAUUAGGUCCAGAAACUUGUUGAAAUGUGAGAUGGGCCUAGAGCCCAUAUGACAAUUUCAGAUUUGAUCUCUAAGGGCCCAUGUAGGUGGCAUGACAAGGUGGUGGGAAGUUUAGUCCCACCAUGUUACUGGAAGGAAAGUUGGAGUGGUUUAUAAGGGUGGCUCUUCUACAUGCUAUUGGAGCUUGAGAAGAGAAGAGGCCCUCGCGCACUCCUCCUUCUCCGCUCGCCUCGCCACGACGCGCCGCGCCGCGCCGCGGGAUUGAGCCGAGCCGAGCCGAGCUCCUAUGCGCUUCUUUUUGCCGGUCAGGAACGGAGAGUCUUUGACAGGUAGGGCCACGAUCUGAGACGUUGGAUCGUGGGCUACCGACUUGGACGUGGGUUCAGCCCACGUCUCUCCACGCGCGGCCGUACAUAUAUAUGUGGGGCGCUGACAACCCUAGCCGCCGCGAAAAACAGAACGCAUCUCCGCCUCCACGCCCAUGUCGUUCCUCUGCUGCUGCCGCCGGCGACUCCAUCCUGUUCACCGCGUACACGGUUGACGGGAGAGCAGGUCUCCGAAACUCCAUCUCUCUGGUUCCUGUACGGGAGAGAGGCGAAUAGGUUUUUGGGAAGCGACUACGUGACUGCUCGCCUCCGAUCCACUACGUCCGCGCCGUCUCCGUCAUCACCAUGUUCAGCGACGCCGAACGCGCCGCCGCCGAGAAGACCGAGGCCUACAUGAAGGCCUCCGAGGACGCUUCUGCUGCUGCUGUCACCGCGGCAGCGGCUUCUGCAUGGCCUACUGGAGGGUAUACCGCGAAAGUCAACGUGCCGAUCCCCAAAAAGCGUAAGCUUGGACCCAAGACUGUGGACUGCAUUAAUUUGGGCUACGCUAAGAACAGCGUUGGCUAGAGAUUUCUAGUAGUGAAAUCUGAGUUACCUGACCAGAAGGUCGGUACAAUCAUAGAGUCUAAGGAUGCUACAUUCGUUGAGGAUGUUUUUCCUAUGAGAGAUAUGCAAAGCACUUCUAGACAGGAAUCUGAGGAGACUCCUGAGCCUGCCAUUCCUAUGGAAUAUUAUGAACGAACACAUGAUGAAAAUCCUGAGGAGGAUGACGAGGAAACCCUUGGUAGGGGCAAGAGACAAAGGACUGCAAAGACCUUUGGUGAUGAUUUCUUCGUGUACCUCGUGGAUGAUACUCCCACUUCUAUCUCAGAAGCGUAUGCCUCUCCAAAAGCUGACUACUAGAAGGAUGCGGUCCGUAGCGAGAUGGAUUCCAUCAUGGCUAAUGGGACAUGGGAGAUCACUGAGCGUCCCUAUGGUUGCAAACCAUUGGGAUGUAAGUGGGUGUUCAAGAAAAAGCUUAGGCCCGAUGGUACGAUUGAAAAGUACAAGGCCAGGCUUGUGGCCAAGGGCUAUGACCAGAAAGAAGAGGAAGAUUUCUUCGAUACUUAUUCACAUGUGGCUAGACUGACCACCAUUCGAGUAUUACUCUCGUUGGCGGCCUCACAUGGUCUUCUCGUCCAUCAAAUGGAUGUUAAGAUGGCUUUUCUGAAUGGAGAGCUAAAUGAGGAAAUCUACGUGCAACAGCCAGAUGGCUUUAUGAUAGAUGGUCAGGAAAGGGUGUGUAAGUUGCUGAAAUCUUUAUAUGGCCUGAAGCAAGCACCUAAGCAAUGGCAUGAUAAGUUCAAUACAACUCUGACAUCUGUUGGUUUCGUUGUUAAUGAGGCUGACAAAUGUGUAUACUAUCGCCAUGGUGGGGGCGAAGGAGUUAUACUGUGCUUGUAUGUUGAUGACAUACUGAUAUUCGGAACAAACCUCAAAGUCAUUGAGGAGGUCAAAUCGUUUCUGUCUCAGAACUUUGAGAUGAAGGACCUUGGUUUGGCUGAUGUUUUCUUGAACAUCAAGCUACUGAGAGAUAAUGAGGGUGGGAUCACACUUCUGCAAUCCCAUUAUGUUGAGAAGGUGUUGAGUCGUUUUGGAUAUUUGGACUGCACACCAUCUCAAACACCAUAUGAUCCUAGCGUGUUCAUUCGAAAGUCCAAAGGCAUGGCUAAAGAUCAAUUGAGAUACUCUCAAAUCAUUGGUUCAGUGAUGUACCUAGCGAGCGCAACGAGGCCUGACAUCGCGUUUGCUGUGAGCAAACUGAGCCGGUUUGUUUCUAAACCGGGUGAUGUACAUUAGCAUGCUGUUGAAAGAGUUAUGCGCUAUCUGAAAGGUACUAUGAACUAUGGACUUCACUAUACCUGAGAUCCGUCGGUACUUGAAGGGUAUAGUGAUGCGAAUUGGAUCUCUGAUGCUGAUGAGAUGAAGGCCACAACUAGGUAUAUGUUUACUCUUGGAGGUGGCGCUGUUUCCUGGAAGUCUUGCAAGCAAACGAUCUUAACAAGAUCGACAAUGGAAGCAGAAUUAACAGCAUUAGACACUUCUGGUGUUGAAGCAGGAUGGCUUCGAGAUCUUUUGAUGGACUUGCCACUGGUUGAUAAACUGGUUCCGGCUAUCUUUAUGAACUGUGAUAAUCAGACUGACAUCACCAAGGUGAAGAGUUCAAAGGACAACAGGAAGUCCAACAAACACAUAAGAAUGAGAUUAAAAGCUUUCAGAAAAUUAAGAAACUCCGAAGUGAUAGCAUUGGACUAUGUCCAUACGGCUAAGAAUCUGGCAGAUCCCUUUACGAGAGGGCUAUCACGUGUAGUGAUAGAUAGUGCAUCGAGGGAGAUGGGUAUGAGACCCACAUGAGUUGCCAUGGUGGUAACUCAACCUAUGUGAUCGGAGAUCCCGUGAAGUAGGACCUGGGAAAACAAGCCAGUGGUGAACUGAGGAGAGUAACUUUACUAACCCACUCUGUUGGAGAUGCAAUACUCUCGGAAACCGUAUGGAAGGAUGACUACUGUCUUAAUGUGUUCCAAGGCUUAUAUGUACAAGCAAGAUGCUAUCCUACAGAGCGAUCUUUGGAGGAACACACCUAUGUGAGCCCGACUGCUAGUCACAGUCUAUGAGAUUGGGGUGAUCUCUAGUAAGCUCAUGAAUAGGCCAGGAGUGUGACUUAUAUGCUCCACCCGAGGGGUCAGCCUUCGGCGGCCUAGUACUAGUAAGACAUGUGGUGAAACUUCUUUACGCUAAACUGACAAUUCAAGGCAUCGUCCAUUGUUCAGUUGUGAAGGAGUGUAGCUACUUGCUCUAGGUGAAGCUCAACCUUAACAGGUCUUCACUGAAACACUAGUAUAUCAAAACAGCGUUUGGAACAAAGGACAAAGUGGGCCCCUGAGAUCUGGCGUGGGAUUGUUGAAAUGUGAGAUGGGCCUAGAGCCCAUAUGAAAAUUUCAGAUUUGAUCUCUAAGGGCCCAUGUAGGUGGCAUGACAAGGUGGUGGGAAGUUUAGUCCCACCAUGUUAGUGGAAGGAAAGUUGGAGUGGUUUAUAAGGGUGGCUCUUCUACAUGCUACUGGAGCUUGAGAAGAGAAGAGGCCCUCGCGCACUCCUCCUUCUCCGCUCGCCUCGCCACGACGCGUCGCGCCGCGCCGCGGGAUUGAGCCGAGCCGAGCCGAGCUCCUAUGCGCUUCUUUUUGCCGGUCAGGAACGGAGAGUCUUUGACAGGUAGGGCCACGAUCUGAGACGUUGGAUCGUGGGCUACCGACUUGGAUGUGGGUUCAGCCCACGUCUCUCCACGCCCGGCCGCACAUAUAUAUGUGGGGCGCUGCCAACCCUAGCCGCCGCAAAAAACAGAACGCAUCUCCGCCUCCAUGCCCACGUCGUUCCACUGCUGCUGCUGCCGCCGGCGACUCCAUCCCGUUCACCGCGUACACGGUUGACGGGAGAGCAGGUCUCCAAAACUCCGUCUCUCUGGUUCCUGUACGGGAGAGAGGCGGAUAGGUUUUUGGGAAGCGACUACGCGACUGCUCGCCUCCGAUCCACUAUGUCCGCGCCGUCUCCGUCAUCACCAUGUCCAGCGACGCCGAACGCGCCACCGCCGAGAAGACUGAGGCCGACAAGAAGGCCGCCGAGGACGCUUCUGCUGCUGCUGUCACUGCGGCAGCGGCUUCUGCAUGGCCUACUGGACGGUAUACUGCGUUUAUCCCUCUCCUGAUAAUUUCUGUAUUAGCAGUGCUAGCAUCAUGUGUAGGUUUGUCUACUAUUUGCAUAGUACGUGCUUGUUUAGAUCAGUACCAGUAUGUUCCUAGUUCUGUCAAUGCCAUGCUCGUUAUCUACUUAUGGAUUAAAUUAGUCGAAAAAUUGCCUAUUUUCUCAGCAAUCCAAAAACCUAUUAUGUGUAGGAAUUUUUCGGCAAGUGGCUUUGCCGCAGCACUGAAACCGGAUAAGUUUACCGGUACAUAUUUUAAGCGUUGGCAGACAAAGACCACUUUAUGGCUCACGGCUAUGAACGUGUUCUGGGUCACCGGGGUGUCCACGGGAAUGAUUGCUCCUGAACAGGAGAAGGCGUUCAGGGAGGCAAGCACUGUGUUUCUCGGAGCAGUUCUUAGCGUGAUCGGAGAUAAACUGGUCGACGCAUAUUUACAUGUGCAUGUCACCAAGGACUUGUGGGAGGCACUCGAAUCUAAGUUCGGGGCCGCCGAUGCAGGGAGCGAGAUGUAUAUUAUAGAGCCGUUCCACGAUUACAAGAUGGUUGAGAACCGUCCUGUACUGGAGCAGGCUCAUGAGAUUAUAUGCAUUGUUAAGGAGCUUGAGCUUCUGAAGUGCGAGUUACCGGGCAAGUUUGUCGCGGGCUGCAUAAUCGCUAAGCUCCCCAAUUCCUGGAGGAACUUUGCCACCACUCUGAAUCAUCAGAGGCGUGAAUUCUCUGUGGAGGAUGUCAUUGGCCAUCUGAGUGUUGAGCAGAAUUCGAGGGCAAAGGACUCGCACGGAAAAGGGUCCGAAGGGACUUCUGUUGCCAACAUGGUGAACCGGAGGAACUUCAACUCCCACAAGUUCAAGGGAAAGAACGGUGUCCAACAGAAUAUCGACUUCAAGAAGAAGGGUAAGAGGACCUUCAAGAAGAACAAGAAGGAUGAGGCCUGCUUUACUUGUGGUUCGGCUGAACACUGGGCCAACAAGUGCCCAAACAAGUUUAAGAAGUCAGGACAGGACUCCAAGUCUGUCAACAUGAUUGUGGGCAACAAUGAGAAUGGUGCAUCUGGGUACGGUAAUUUAUUUACUAUUUUUUAGUAUUUCAGCCUACCGAUUGGUGGGUGGAUACAGGUGCAGGUGUUCAUGUGUGUGCUGACAUUUCAUUGUUCUCUUCUUACCAGGUCACAGGCCACGGGUCCGUAUUGAUGGGGAAUGGCGCGAGUGCUUCUGUUCAUGGUGUUGGCACGGUCGAUCUGAAGUUUACUUCGGGAAGGAUCGUGCAGCUGAAGAACGUGCAGCAUGUCACCGCCAUCAAGAAGAACCUCGUUAGUGGCUCCCUUCUAUAUAGAGAAGGGUUUAAGUUGGUAUUCGAGUCUAAUAAAUUAGUUCUUACUAAGUAUGGACUAUUUGUUGGAAAAGGUUAUGAGAGCGGAGGGAUGUUCCGCCUUUCCCUCACAAAUUUCUGUAAUAAAGUCGUGAACCAUAUUCAUUCGAGUGUUAAUGAAUCUGAGGUUUAGCAUUCACGUCUUUGUCACAUAAAUUUCGGUGUUAUGACGCGGCAAGCUAAGUUGGAUUUAAUCCCGAGUUUCACUUUAGCCAAAGGUUCUAAGUGCCUGUCAUGUGCGCAAGCUAAGCAACCUCGCCAGCCUCACAAGGCUGCGGAGGAGAGACACUUGGCACCAUUAGAACUCAUACAUUCUGAUCUUUGUGAGAUGAAUGGUGUAUUGACUAAAGGUGGAAACAAAUACUUCAUGACAUUGAUAGAUGAUUCCACUAGAUAUUGCUACGUGUAUCUGUUAAAUACUAAAUAUUAGGCUCUACACUACUUUAAAAUCUAUAAGGCAGAAGUUGAGAAUCAACUUGAAAAGAAAAUUAAACGAUUCCGUUCAGAUCGUGGUGGAGAGUACUUCUCGAGUAAGUUUGAUUCCUUCUGUGCGGAACACGGCAUUAUUCAUGACAGGACGCCUCCCUAUUCACCCCAGUCAAACGGGGUUGCCGAGAGGAAAAACCAUACUCUAACUGAUCUGGUUAACGCCAUGUUAGAUAUGUCGGGUUUAUCCAAGGCAUGGUGGGGGGGGCUAUAUUGACGGCAUGUCAUGUCCUGAAUAAAGUUCCGAUAAAGGAUAAUGAGAUCACUCCCUAUGAGAGAUGGGCAAAGAGAAGGACAACACUCUCGUACUUGCGUACUUGGGGCUUUUUGGCGAAAGUCAACGUGCCGAUCCCCAAAAAGUGUAAGCUUGGACCCAAGACUGUGGACUGCGUUAAUUUGGGCUACGCUAAGAACAACGUUGGCUAUAGAUUUCUAGUAGUGAAAUCUGAGUUACCUGACCAGAAGCUCGGUACAAUCAUAGAGUCUAAGGAUGCUACAUUCUUUGAGGAUAUUUUUCCUAUGAGAGAUAUGCAAAGCACUUCUAGACAGGAAUCUGAGGAGACUCCUGAGCCUGCCAUUCCUAUGGAAUAUUAUGAACGAACACAUGAUGAAAAUCCUGAGGAGGAUGACGAGGAAACCCUUGGUAGGGGCAAGAGACAAAGGACUACAAAGACCUUUGGUGAUGAUUUCUUCGUGUACCUCAUGGAUGAUACUCCCACUUCUAUCUCAAAAGUGUAUGCCUCUCUAGAAGCUGACUACUGGAAGGAUGCGGUCCGUAGCGAGAUGGAUUCCAACAUGGCUAACAGGACAUGGGAGAUCACUGAGCGUCCCUAUGCUUGCAAACCAUUGGGAUGUAAGUGGGUGUUCAAGAAAAAGCUUAGGCCCGAUGGUACAAUUGAAAAGUACAAGGCCAGGCUUGUGGCCAAGGGCUAUGACCAAAAAGAAGAGGAAGAUUUCUUCGAUACUUAUUCACCUGUGGCUAGACUGACCAGCAUUCGAGUAUUACUCUCAUUGGCAGCCUCACAUGGUCUUCUCGUCCAUCAAAUGGAUGUUAAGACGGCUUUUCUGAAUGGAGAGCUAAAUGAGGAAAUCUACAUGCAACAGCCAGAUGGCUUUAUGAUAGAUGGUCAGGAAAGGAAGGUGUGUAAGUUGCUGAAAUCUUUAUAUGGCCUGAAGCAAGCACCUAAGCAAUGGCAUGAUAAGUUCAAUACAACUCUGACAUCUGUUGGUUUCGUUGUUAAUGAGGCUGACAAAUAUGUAUACUAUCACCAUGGUGGGGGCGAAGGAGUUAUACUGUGCUUGUAUGUUGAUGACAUACUGAUAUUCGGAACAAACCUCAAAGUCAUUGAGGAGGUCAAAUCGUUUUUGACUCAGAACUUUGAGAUGAAGGACCUUGGUGUGGCUGAUGUUAUCUUGAACAUCAAGCUACUGAGAGAUAAUGAGGGUGGGAUCACACUUCUGCAAUCCCAUUAUGUUGAGAAGGUGUUGAGUCGUUUUGGAUAUUCGGACUGCACACCAUCUCAAACACCAUAUGAUCCUAGUGUGUUCAUUCGAAAGUCCAAAGGCAUGGCUAAAGAUCAAUUGAGAUGCUCUCAAAUCAUUGGUUCACUGAUGUACCUAGCGAGCGCAACGAGGCCUAACAUUGUCUUUGCUGUGAGCAAACUGAGCCGGUUUGUUUCUAAACCGGGUGAUGUACAUUGGCAUGCUGUUGAAAGAGUUAUGCGCUAUCUGAAAGGUACUAUGAACUAUGGACUUCACUAUACCGAAGAUCCGUCGGUACUUGAAGGGUAUAGUGAUGUGAAUUGGAUCUCUGAUGCUGAUGAGAUGAAGGCCACAACUGGGUAUAUGUUUACUCUUGGAGGUGGCGCUGUUUCCUGGAAGUCUUGCAAGCAAACGAUCUUAUCGAGAUCGACAAUGGAAGCAGAAUUAACAGCAUUUGACACUUCUGGUGUUGAAGCAGGAUGGCUUCGAGAUCUUUUGAUGGACUUGCCACUGGUUGAUAAACCGGUUCCGGCUAUCCUUAUGAACUGUGAUAAUCAGACUGUCAUCACCAACGUGAAGAGUUCAAAGGACAACAUGAAGUCCAACAAACACAUAAGAAUGAGAUUAAAAGCUGUCAGAAAAUUAAGAAACUCCGGAGUGAUAGCAUUGGACUAUGUCCAUACGGCUAAGAAUCUGGCAGAUCCCUUUACAAAAGGGCUAUCACGUGUAGUGAUAGAUAGUGCAUCGAGGGAGAUGGGUAUGAGACCCACAUGAGUUGCCAUGGUGGUAACCCAACCUAUGUGAUCGGAAAUCCCGUGAAGUAGGACCUGGGAAAACAAGCCAGUGGUGAACUGAGGAGAGUAACUUUACUAACCCUCUCCAUUGGAGAUGCAAUACUCUUGGAAACUGUAUGGAAGGAUGACUACUGUCUUAAUGUGUUCCAAGGCUUAUAUGUAUAAGCAAGAUGCUAUCCUACAGAGCGAUCUUUGGAGGAACACACCUAUGUGAGCCCGAUUGCUAGUCACAGUCUAUGAGAUUGGGGUGAUCUCUAGUAAGCUCAUGAAUAGGCCAGGAGUGUGACUUAUAUGCUCAACCCGAGGGUUAGCCUUCGGCAGCCCAGUACUAGUAAGACAUGUGGUGAAACUUCUUUACGCCAAACUGACAAUUCAAGGCAUAGUCCAUUGUUCAGUUGUGAAGGAGUGUAGCUACUUGCUCUAGGUGAAGCUCAACCUUAACAGGUCUUCACUCAAAACACUAGUAUAUCAAAACAGCGUUUGGAACAAAGGACAAAGUGGGCCCCUGAGAUCUGGUGGGGGAUUGUUGAAAUGUGAGAUGGGCCUAGAGCCCAUAUGACAAUUUCAGAUUUGAACUCUAAGGGCCCAUGUAGGUGGCAUGACAAGGUGGUGGGAAGUUUAGUCCCACCGUGCUAGUGGAAGGAAAGUUGGAGUGGUUUAUAAGGGUGGCUCUUCUACAUGCUAUUGGAGCUUGAGAAGAGAAGAGGCCCUCGCGCACUCCUCCUCCUCCGCUCACCUCGGCACGCCACGCCUCGUCACGACGCGCCGCGGGUUGCGGGAUUGAGCCGGCCGAGCUCACUCCUAUGCGCUUCGUUUUGCCGGUCAGGAACGGAGAGUCUUUGACAGGUAGGGCCACGAUCUGAGACGUUGGACCGUGGGCUACCGACUUGGACGUGGGUUCAGCCCACGUCUCUCCACGCGCGGUCGCACAUAUAUAUGUGGGGCGCUGCCAACCCUAGCCCCCACGAAAAACAGAACGCAUCUGCGCCUCCACGCCCACGUCGUUCCUCUGCUGCUGCUGCCGCCGGCGACUCCAUCCCGUUCACCGCGUACACGGUUGACGGGAGAGUAGGUCUCCGAAACUCCGUCUCUCUGGUUCCUGUACGGGAGAGAGGCGAAUAGGUUUUUGGGAAGCGACUACACGAUUGCUCGCCUCUGAUCCACUACGUCCGAGCCGUCUCCGUCAUCACCAUGUCCAGCGACGCCGAACGCGCCGCCGCCGAGAAGAACGAGGCCGACAAGAAGGCCGCCGAGGACGCUUCUGCUGCUGCUGUCACCGCGGCAGCGGCUUCUGCAUGGCCUACUGGAGGGUAUACCGCGUUUAUCCCUCUCUUGAUAAUUUCUGUAUUAGCAGUGCUAGCAUCAUGUGUAGAUUUGUCUACUAUUUGCAUAGUACAUGCUUGUUUAGAUCAGUACCAGUAUGUUCCUAGUUCUGUCAAUGCCAUGCUCUUUAUCUACUUAUGGAUUAAAUUAGUCGAAAAAUUGCCUAUUUUCUCAGCAAUCCAAAAACCUAUUAUGUGUAGGAAUUUUUCGGCAAGUGGCUUUGCCGCAGCACUGAAACCGGAUAAGUUUACCUGUACGUAUUUUAAGCGUUGGCAGAGAAAGACCACUUGCUAUGAACGUGUUCUGGGUCACCGGGGUGUCCACAAGAAUGAUUGCUCCUGAACAGGAGAAGGCGUUCAGGGAGGCAACCACUGCGUUUCUCGGAGCAGUUCUUAGCAUGAUCGGAGAUAAACAGGUCGACGCAUAUUUACAUGUGCAUGUCGCCAAGGACUUGUGGGAGGCGCUCGAAUCUAAGUUCGGGGCCGCCGAUGUAGGCAGCGAGAUGUAUAUUAUAGAGCUUUUCCAUGAUUACAAGAUGGUUGAGAACCGUCCUAUACUGGAGCAGGCUCAUGACAUAAUAUGCAUUGUUAAGGAGCUUGAGCUUCUAAAGUAUGAGUUACCGGGCAAGUUUGUCGCGGGCUGCAUAAUCGCUAAGCUCCCCAAUUCCUGGAGUAACUUUGCCACCACUCUGAAACAUCAGAGGCGUGAAUUCUUUGGGGAGGAUGUCAUUGGCUAUCUGAGUGUUGAGCAGAAUUCGAGGGCAAAGGACUCGCACGGAAAAGGGUCCAAAGGGACUUCUGUUGCCAACAUGGUGAACCAGAGGAACUUCAACUCCCACAAGUUCAAGGGAAAGAAUGGUGUCCAAUAGAAUACCGACUUCAAGAAGAAGGGUAAGAAGACCUUCAAGAAGAACAAGAAGGAUGAGGGUUGCUUUACUUGUGGUUUGGCUGAACAUUGGGCCAACAAGUGCCCAAACAAGUUUGAGAAGUCAGGACAGGACUCCAAGUCUGUCAACAUGAUUGUGGGCAACAAUGAGAAUGGUGCAUCUGGGUACGGUAAUUUAUUUACUGUUUUUUCAGUGUUUCAGCCUACCGAUUGGUGGGUGAAUACAGGUGCAGGUGUUCAUGUGUGUGCUGACAUUUCAUUGUUCUCUUCUUACCAGGUCACAAGCCACGGGUCCGUAUUGAUGGGGAAUGGCACGAGUGCUUCUGUUCAUGGUGUUGGCACAGUCGAUCUGAAGUUUACUUCGAGAAGGAUCGUGCAGCUGAAGAACGUGCAGCAUGUCACCGCCAUCAAGAAGAACCUCGUUAGUGGCUCCCUUCUAUGUAGAGAAGGGUUUAAGUUGGUACUCGAGUCUAAUAAAUUAGUUGUUACUAAGUAUGGACUAUUUGUUGGAAAAGGUUAUGAGAGCGGAGGGAUGUUCCGCCUUUCCCUCGUAGAUUUCUGUAAUAAAGUUGUGAACCAUAUUCAUUCGAGUGUUAAUGAAUCUGAGGUUUGGCAUUCACAUCUUUGUCACAUAAGUUUCGGUGUUAUGACGCGGCUAGCUAAGUUGAAUUUAAUCCCAAGUUUCACUUUAGCCAAAGGUUCUAAGUGCCUGUCAUGUGUGCAAGCUAAGCAACCUCGCCAUCCUCACAAGGCUGCGGAGGAGAGACACUUGACACCAUUAGAACUCAUACAUUCUGAUCUUUGUGAGAUGAAUGGUGUAUUGACUAAAGGUGGAAAGAAAUACUUCAUGACAUUGAUAGAUGAUUCCACUAGAUAUUGCUACGUGUAUCUGUUAAAUACUAAAGAUGAGGCUCUACACUACUUUAAAAUCUAUAAGGCAGAAGUUGAGAAUCAACUUGAAAAGAAAAUUAAACGAUUCCGUUCAGAUCGUGGUGGAGAGUACUUCUCGAGUGAGUUUGAUUCCUUCUGUGCGGAACACGACAUUAUUCAUGAUAGGACGCCUCCCUAUUCACCCCAGUCAAACGGGGUUGCCGAGAGGAAAAACCGUACUCUAACUGAUCUGGUUAACGCCAUGUUAGAUAUGUCGGGUUUAUCCAAGGCAUGGUGGGGGGAGGCUAUAUUGACGGCAUGUCAUGUCCUGAAUAAAGUUCCGAUAAAGGAUAAUGAGAUCACUCCCUAUGAGAGAUCGGCAAAGAGAAGGACAACACUCUCGUACUUGCGUACUUGGGGCUGUUUGGCGAAAGUCAACGUGCCGAUCCCCAAAAAGCGUAAGCUUGGACCCAAGACUGUGGACUGCGUUAAUUUGGGCUACGCUAAGAACAGCGUUGGCUAUAGAUUUCUAGUAGUGAAAUCUGAGUUACCUGACCAGAAGGUCGGUACAAUCAUAGAGUCUAAGGAUGCUACAUUCUUUGAGGAUAUUUUUCCUAUGAGAGAUAUGCAAAGCACUUCUAGACAGGAAUAUGAGGAGAGUCCUGAGCCUGCCAUUCCUAUGGAAUAUUAUGAACGAACACAUGAUGAAAAUCCUGAGGAGGAUGACGAGGAAACCCUUGGUAGGGGCAAGAGACAAAGGACUUCAAAGACCUUUGGUGAUGAUUUCUUCGUGUACCUCGUGGAUGAUACUCCCACUUCUAUCUCAGAAGCGUAUGCCUCUCCAGAAGCUGACUACUGGAAGGAUCCGGUCCGUAGCGAGAUGGAUUCCAUCAUGGCUAACGGGACAUGGGAGAUCACUGAGCGUCCCUAUGGUUGCAAACCAUUGAGAUGUAAGUGGGUGUUCAAGAAAAAUCUUAGGCCCGAUGGUACGAUUGAAAAGUACAAGGCCAGGCUUAUGGCCAAGGGCUAUGACCAGAAAGAAGAGGAAGAUUUCUUUGAUACUUGUUCACCUGUGGCUAGACUGACCACCAUUCGAGUAUUACUCUCGUUGGCGGCCUCACACGGUCUUCUCGUCCAUCAAAUGGAUGUUAAGACGGCUUUUCUGAAUGAAGAGCUAAAUGAGGAAAUCUACAUGCAACAGCCAGAUGGCUUUAUGAUAGAUGGUCAGGAAAGGAAGGUGUGUAAGUUGCUGAAAUCUUUAUAUGGCCUGAAGCAAGCACCUAAGCAAUGGCAUGAUAAGUUCAAUACAACUCUGACAUCUGUUGGUUUCGUUGUUAAUGAGGCUGACAAAUGUGUAUACUAUCGCCAUGGUGGGGGCGAAGGAGUUAUACUGUGCUUGUAUGUUGAUGACAUACUGAUAUUCGGAACAAACCUCAAAGUCAUUGAGGAGGUCAAAUUGUUUCUGUCUCAGAACAUUGAGAUGAAGGACCUUGGUGUGGCUGAUGUUAUCUUGAACAUCAAGCUACUGAGAGAUAAUGAGGGUGGGAUCACACUUCUGCAAUCCCAUUAUGUUAAGAAGGUGUUGAGUCAUUUUGGAUAUUCGGACUGCACACCAUCUCAAACACCAUAUGAUCAUAGCGUGUUCAUUCGAAAGUCCAAAGGCAUGGCUAAAGAUCAAUUGAGAUACUCUCAAAUCAUUGGUUCACUGAUGUACCUAGCAAGCGCAACAAGGCCUGACAUCGCGUUUGCUGUGAGCAAACUGAGCCGGUUUGUUUCUAAACCGGGUGAUGUACAUUGGCAUGCUAUUGAAAGAGUUAUGCGCUAUCUGAAAGGUACUAUGAACUAUGGACUUCACUAUACCGGAGAUCCAUCGGUACUUGAAGGGUAUAGUGAUGCGAAUUGGAUCUUUGAUGAUGAUGAGCUGAAGGCCACAACUGGGUAUAUGUUUACUCUUGGAGGUGGCGCUGUUUCCUGGAAGUCUUGCAAGCAAACGAUCUUAACGAGAUCGACAAUGGAAGCAGAAUUAACACCAUUAGACACUUCUGGUGUUGAAGCGGGAUGGCUUCGAGAUUUUUUGAUGGACUUGCCACUGGUUGAUAAACCGGUUCCGGCUAUCCUUAUGAACUGUGAUAAUCAGACUGUCAUCACCAAGGUGAAGAGUUCAAAGGACAACAUGAAGUCCAACAAACACAUAAGAAUGAGAUUAAAAGCUGUCAGAAAAUUAAGAAACUCCGGAGUGAUAGCGUUGGACUAUGUCCAUACGGCUAAGAAUCUGGCAGAUCCCUUUACGAAAGGGCUAUCACGUGUAGUGAUAGAUAGUGCAUCGAGGGAGAUGGGUAUGAGACCCACAUGAGUUGCCAGGUGGUAACCCAACCUAUGUGAUCGGAGAUCCCGUGAAGUAGGACCUGGGAAAACAAGCCAGUGGUGAACUGAGGAGAGUAACUUUACUAACCCACUCCGUUGGAGAUGCGAUACUCUCGGAAACUGUAUGGAAGGAUGACUACUGUCUUAAUGUGUUCCAAGGCUUAUAUGUAUAAGCAAGAUGCUAUCCUACAGAGCAAUCUUUGGAGGAACACACCUAUGUGAGCCCGACUGCUAGUCACAGUCUAUGAGAUUGGGGUGAUCUCUAGUAAGCUCAUGAAUAGGCCAGGAGUGUGACUUAUAUGCUCCACCCGAGGGGUCAGCCUUCGGCAGCCCAGUACUAGUAAGACAUGUGGUGAAAAUUCUUUAAGCCAAACUGACAAUUCAAGGCAUAGUCCAUUGUUCAGUUGUGAAGGAGUGUAGCUACUUGCUCUAGGUGAAUCUCAACCUUAACAGGUCUUCACUGAAACACUAGUAUAUCAAAACAGCGUUUGGAACAAAGGACAAAGUGGGCCCCUGAGAUCUGGUGGGGGAUUGUUGAAAUGUGAGAUGGGCCUAGAUCCCAUAUGACAAUUUCAGAUUUGAUCUCUAAGGGCCCAUGUAGGUGGCAUGACAAGGUGGUGGGAACUUUAGUCCCACCAUGCUAGUGGAAGGAAAGUUGGAGUGGUUUAUAAGGGUGGCUCUUCUACAUGCUAUUAGAGCUUGAGAAGAGAAGAGGCCCUCGCGCACUCCUCCUCCUCCGCUCGCCUCGCCACGCCAUGCCUCGUCACGACGCACCGCGGGUUGCGGGAUUGAGCCGAGCUGAGAUCACUCCUAUGCGCUUCUUUUUGCCGGUCAGGAACGGAGAGUCUUUGAUAGGUAGGGCCACGAUCUGAGACGUUGGAUCGUGGGCUACUGACUUGGACGUCGGUUCAGCCCACGUCUCUCCACGCGCGGCCACACAUAUAUAUGUGGGGCGCUGCCAACCCUAGCCGCCGCGAAAAAUAGAACGCAUCUCCGCCUCCACGCCCACGUCGUUCCUCUGCUGCUGCUGUCGCAGGCGACUCCAUCCUGUUCACCGCGUACACGGUUGACGGGAGAGAAGGUCUCCGAAACUCUGUCUCUCUGGUUCCUGUACGGGAGAGAGGCGAAUAGCUUUUUGGGAAGCGACUACGCGACUGCUCGCCUCCGAUCCACUACGUCUGUGCCGUCUCCGUCAUCACCAUGUCCAGCGACGCCGAACACGCCGCCGCCAAGAAGACCGAGGCCGACAAGAAGGCCACCGAGGACGCUUCUGCUGCUGCUAUCACCGCGGCAGCGGCUUCUGCAUGGCCUACUGGAGGGUAUACUGCUUUUAUCCCUCUCCUGAUAAUUUCUGUAUUAGCAGUGCUAGCAUCAUGUGUAGAUUUGUCUACUAUUUGCGUAGUACGUGCUUGUUUAGAUCAGUACCAGUAUGUUCCUAGUUCUGUCAAUGCCAUGCUCGUUAUCUACUUAUGGAUUAAAUUAGUCGAAAAAUUGCCUAUUUUCUCAGCAAUCCAAAAACCUAUUAUGUGUAGGAAUUUUUCGGCAAGUGGCUUUGCCGCAGCACUGAAACUGGAUAAGUUUACCGGUACGUAUUUUAAGCAUUGGCAGACAAAGACCACUUUAUGGCUCACGGCUAUGAACGUGUUCUGGGUCACCGGGGUGUCCACGGGAACGAUUGCUCCUGAACAGGAGAAGGCAUUCAGGGAGGCAAGCACUGUGUUUCUCGGAGCAGUUCUUAGCGUGAUCGGAGAUAAAUUGGUCGACGCAUAUUUACAUGUGCAUGUCGCCAAGGACUUGUGGGAGGCGCUCGAAUCUAAGUUCGGGGCCGCCGAUGCAGGGAGCGAGAUGUAUAUUAUAGAGCUGUUCCAUGAUUACAAGAUGGUUGAGAGCCGUCCUGUACUGGAGCAGACUCAUGAGAUAAUAUGCAUUGUUAAGGAGCUUGAGCUUCUGAAGUGUGAGUUACCGGGCAAGUUUGUCGCGGGCUGCAUAAUCGCUAAGCUCCCCAAUUCCUGGAGGAACUUUGCCACCACUCUGAAACAUCAGAGGCGUGAAUUCUCUAUGGAGGAUGUCAUUGGCCAUCUGAGUGUUGAGCAGAAUUCAAGGGCAAAGGACUCACACGGAAAAGGGUCCGAAGGGACUUCUGUUGCCAACAUGGUGAACCAGAGGAACUUCAACUCCCACAAGUUCAAGGGAAAGAACGGUGUCCAACAGAAUACCGACUUCAAGAAGAAGGGUAAGAAGACAUUCAAGAAGAACAAGAAGGAUGAGGGCUGCUUUACUUGUGGUUCGGCUGAACAUUGGUCCAACAAGUGCCCAAACAAGUUUAAGAAGUCAGGACAGGACUCCAAGUCUAUCAACAUGAUUGUGGGCAACAAUAAGAAUGGUGCAUCUGGGUACGGAAAUUUAUUUACUGUUUUUUCAGUGUUUCAGCCUACCGAUUGGUGGGUGGAUACAGGUGCAGGUGUUCAUGUGUGUGCUGACAUUUCAUUGUUCUCUUCUUACCAGGUCACAGGCCACGGGUCCGUAUUGAUGGGGAAUGGCGCGAGUGCUUCUGUUCAUGGUGUUGGCACGGUCGAUCUGAAGUUUACUUCGGGAAGGAUCGUGCAGCUGAAGAACAUGCAGCAUGUCCCCGCCAUCAAGAAGAACCUCGUUACUGGCUCCCUUCUAUGUAGAGAAGGGUUUAAGUUGGUAUUCGAGUCUAAUACAUUAGUUGUUACUAAGUAUGUACUAUUUUUUGGAAAAGGUUAUGAGAGCAGAGGGAUGUUCCGCCUUUCCCUCGCAGAUUUCUGUAAUAAAGUCGUGAACCAUAUUCAUUCGAGUGUUAAUGAAUCUGAGGUUUGGCAUUCACGUCUUUGUCACAUAAGUUUCGGUGUUAUGACGCGGCUAGCUAAGUUGGAUUUAAUCCCGAGUUUCACUUUAGCCAAAGGUUCUAAGUGCCUGUCAUGUGUGCAAGCUAAGCAACCUCGCGAGCCUCACAAGGCUGCGGAGGAGAGACACUUGGCACCAUUAGAACUCAUACAUUCUGAUCUUUGUGAGAUGAAUGGUGUAUUGACUAAAGGUGGAAAGAAAUACUUCAUGUCAUUGAUAGAUGAUUCCACUAGAUAUUGCUACGUGUAUCUGUUAAAUACUAAAGAUGAGGCUCUACACUACUUUAAAAUCUAUAAGGCAGAAGUUGAGAAUCAACUUGAAAAGGAAAUUAAACGAUUCCAUUCAGAUCGUGGUGGAGAGUACUUCUCGAGUGAGUUCGAUUCCUUCUGUGCGGAACACGGCAUUAUUCAUGAGAGGACGCCUCCCUAUUCACCCCAGACAAACGGGGUUGCCGAGAGGAAAAACCAUACUCUAACUGAUCUGGUUAACGCCAUGUUAGAUACGUCGGGUUUAUCCAAGGCAUGGUGGGGGGAGGCUAUAUUGACGGCAUGUCAUGUCCUGAAUAAAGUUCCGAUAAAGGAUAAUGAGAUCACUCCCUAUGAGAGAUGGGCAAAGAGAAGGACAACACUCUCGUACUUGCGUACUUGGGGCUGUUUGGCAAAAGUCAACGUGCCGAUCCCCAAAAAGCGUAAGCUUGGACCCAAGACUGUGGAUUGCAUUAAUUUGGGCUACGCUAAGAACAGCGUUGGCUAUAGAUUUCUAGUAGUGAAAUCUGAGUUACCUGACCAGAAGGUCGGUACAAUCAUAGAGUCUAAGGAUGCUACAUUCUUUGAGGAUAUUUUUUCUAUGAGAGAUAUGCAAAGCACUUCUAGACAGGAAUCUGAGGAGACUCCUGAGCCUGCCAUUCCUAUGGAAUAUUAUGAACGAACACAUGAUGAAAAUCCUGAGGAGGAUGACGAGGAAACCCUUGGUCGGGGCAAGAGACAAAGGACAGCAAAGACCUUUGGUGAUGAUUUCUUCGUGUACCUUGUGGAUGAUACUCCCACUUCUAUCUCAGAAGUGUAUGCCUCUCCAGAAGCUGACUACUGGAAGGAUGCGGUCCGUAGCGAGAUGGAUUCCAUCAUGGCUAACGGGACAUGGGAGAUCACUGAGCGUCCCUAUGGUUGCAAACCAUUGGGAUGUAAGUGGGUGUUCAAGAAAAAGCUUAGGCCCGAUGGUACGAUUGAAAAGUACAAGGCCAGGCUUGUUACCAAGGGCUAUGACCAGAAAGAAGAGGAAGAUUUCUUCGAUACUUAUUCACCUGUGGCUAGACUGACCACCAUUCGAGUAUUACUCUCGUUGGCGGCCUCACAUGGUCUUCUCGUCCAUCAAAUGGAUGUUAAGACGGCUUUUCUGAAUGGAGAGCUAAAUGAGGAAAUCUACAUGCAACAGCCAGAUGGCUUUAUGAUAGAUGGUCAGGAAAGGAAGGUGUGUAAGUUGCUGAAAUCUUUAUAUGGCCUGAAGCAAGCACCUAAGCAAUGGCCUGAUAAGUUCAAUACAACUCUGACAUCUGUUGGUUUCGUUGUUAAUGAGGCUGACAAAUGUGUAUACUAUCGCCAUGGUGGGGGCGAAGGAGUUAUACUGUGCUUGUAUGUUGAUGACAUACUGCUAUUCGGAACAAACCUCAAAGUCAUUGAGGAGGUCAAAUCGUUUCUGUCUCAGAACUUUGAGAUGAAGGACCUUUGUGUGGCUGAUGUUAUCUUGAACAUCAAGCUAGUGAGAGAUAAUGAGGGUGGGAUCACACUUCUGCAAUCCCAUUAUGUUGAGAAGGUGUUGAGUCGUUUUGGAUAUUCGGACUGCACACCAUCUCAAACACCAUAUGAUCCUAGCGUGUUCAUUCGAAAGUCCAAAGGCAUGGCUAAAGAUCAAUUGAGAUACUCUCAAAUCAUUGGUUCACUAAUAUACCUAGCUAGCGCAAGGAGGCCUGAUAUCACGUUUGCUGUGAGCAAACUGAGCCGGUUUGUUUCUAAACCGGGUGAUGUACAUUGGCAUGCUGUUGAAAGAGUUAUGCGCUAUCUGAAAGGUACUAUGAACUAUGAACUUCACUAUACCGGAGAUCCGUCGGUACUUGAAGGGUAUAGUGAUGCGAAUUGGAUCUCUGAUGCUGAUGAGAUGAAGGCCACAACUGGGUAUAUGUUUACUCUUGGAGGUGGCGCUGUUUCCUGGAAGUCUUGCAAGCAAACGAACUUAACGAGAUCGACAAUGGAAGCAGAAUUAACACCAUUAGACACUUCUGGUGUUGAAGCAGGAUGGCUUCGAGAUCUUUUGAUGGACUUGCCACUGGUUGAUAAACCGGUUCCGGCUAUCCUUAUGAACUGUGAUAAUCAGACUGUCAUCACCAAGGUGAAGAGUUCAAAGGACAACAUGAAGUCCAACAAACACAUAAGAAUGAGAUUAAAAGCUUUCAGAAAAUUAAGAAACUCCGAAGUGAUAGCGUUGGACUAUGUCCAUACGGCUAAGAAUCUGGCAGAUCCCUUUAUGAAAGGGCUAUCACGUGUAGUGAUAGAUAGUGCAUCGAGGGAGAUGGGUAUGAGACCCACAUGAGUUGCCAUGGUGGUAACCCAACAUAUGUGAUCGGAGAUCCCGUGAAGUAGGACCUGGGAAAACAAGCCAGUGGUGAACUGAGGAGAGUAACUUUACUAACCCACUCCGUUGGAGAUGCAAUAUUCUCGGAAACUGUAUGGAAGGAUAACUACUCUCUUAAUGUGUUCCAAGGCUUAUAUGUAUAAGCAAGAUGCUAUCCUACAGAGCGAUCUUUGGAGGAACACACCUAUGUGAGCCCGACUCCUAGUCAUAGUCUAUGAGAUUGGGGUGAUCUCUAGUAAGCUCAUGAAUAGGCCAGGAGUGUGACUUAUAUGCUCCACCCGAGGGGUCAGCCUUCGGUAGCCCAGUACUAGUAAGACAUGUGGUGAAACUUCUUUAUGCCAAACUGACAAUUCAAGGCAUAGUUCAUUGUUCAGUUGUGAAGGAGUGUAGCUACUUGCUCUAGGUGAAGCUCAACUUUAACAGGUCUUCACUUGAACACUAGUAUAUCAAAACAGCGUUUGGAACAAAGGACAAAGUGGGCCCCUGAGAUCUGGUGGGGGAUUGUUGAAAUGUGAGAUGGGCCUAGAGCCCAUAUGACAAUUUCAGAUUUGAUCUCUAAGGGCCCAUGUAGGUGGCAUGACAAGGUGGUGGGAAGUUUAGUCCCACCAUGCUAGUGGAAGGAAAGUUGGAGUGGUUUAUAAGGGUGGCUCUUCUACAUGCUAUUGGAGCUUGAGAAGAGAAGAGGCCCUCGCGCACUCCUCCUCCUCCGCUCGCCUCGCCUCGCCACGCCUCGCCUCGUCACGACGCGACGCGGGUUGCGGGAUUGAGCCGAGCCGAGCUCACUCCUAUGCGCUUCUUUUUGCCGGUCAGAAACGAAGAGUCUUUGAAAGGCAGGGCCACGAUCUGAGACGUUGGAUCGUGGGCUACCGACUUGGACGCGGGUUCAGCCCACGUCUCUCCACGCGCGGCCGCACAUAUAUAUGUGGGGCGCUGCCAACCCUAGCCGCCGCGAAAAACAGAACGCAUCUCCGCCUCCACGCCCACGUCGUACCUCUGCUGCUGCUGCCGCCGGCGACUCCAUCCCGUUCACCGCGUACACGGUUGACGGGAGAGCAGGUCUCCGAAACUCCGUCUCUCUGGUUCCUGUACGGGAGAGAGGCGAAUAGGUUUUUGGGAAGCGACUACGCGACUGCUUGCCUCCGAUCCACUACGUCCGCGCCAUCUCCAUCUCCGUCAUCACCAUGUCCAGCGACGCGGAACGCGCCGCCGCCGAGAAGACCGAGGCCGCCGAGGACGCUUCUGCUGCUGUUGUCACCGCGGCAGCGGCUUCUGCAUGGCCUACUGGAGGGUAUACCGCGUUUAUCCCUCUCCUGAUAAUUUCUGUAUUAGCAGUGCUAGCAUUAUGUGUAGAUUUGUCUACUAUUUGCAUAAUAAGUGCUUGUUUAGAUCAGUACCAGUAUGUUCCUAGUUCUGUCAAUGCCAUGCUCGUUAUCUACUUAUGGAUUAAAUUAGUCGAAAAAUUGCCUCUAUAAACUCCGAACUCCGAACUGUCUCAAACUGCUCCCCUAACGGCACCUCUUUGACAGACUUGGGGCCCAAAUCCUUCAGGUUUGCCUCUAUAAACUCCGAAGAACAUUAUCACUUCACUUCAGUGGAAAUUUUGGUCAGCUACUCUGAAACUGCUCCCUACCGGCGCAUCUCUGAAAGACUUGGCGCACAAAUCCUUUUGGUUUCCCUCUAUGAACUCCGAAGAAUUUUAUCACUUCACUUCAGUGGAAGUUCUGGUCAGGUACUGGAACAUACAUACAAGGAUCAAGCGACUGCGCUCUACUGUCCUAUGACGUGUGUGCGCUCAGCUGGCUCACAUUUCCGUUGUCACUCAUGGUGAGGGUUGCGUGUUGCUUCAGUGCUGCUUCGAGCCGCAAGAUGAGCAUUCCACGGAUCCCCAGAGCGGUUCUUACCAUACCGAAUUUCUUACCUUAGACAUCGUGAGCUUGAAUUGAUUUAUCUGAAGUUCUAUCAGGAAGCGGUAAACAUGUGUUCUCGAUGACAAUGCUGAAUAGCUCGAAGGCAUCAAUAUCAUGGUUGUUGCACCAUACAUUAGCUGACAUUAAUGUAUGUCGUUCUUAAUUAUUUAAGGGUAAGACGAGAGAUAGAACAUGCUCAUAUAAAGUUUGCAACUUGUGUGGGCAAGUAGAGAUUGGACGUUGCUAGGUGGAACAUGUUCAUAUAUGGUUUGACAAGAAGCCAUCAAGCCAUCUGCAUAACUGUGCGGGCAAGGAGUAGAGCUCAGUGUUUGCGUGGUUCAUACCAGGACUAGGAAGCAUCAGGAUUUGUGAUUACACUCGCCUAUAUUUCUACACGCGAGGUAAAAACAUUAGUGUGUUUGCUGGCUGGAAGUGCAUUGCGUCAGAGGAUAAAUAGUGAACAAGAUGGGCAGUAGUCACGACCAGGAACUUCAGAGGCUUUACUUAAGGCAGUGUUCCAAGUUCUGUACCAUUUUCAUUUGGUUAUAGGAUGGCAAGAAGUCCAUAGUCACCUCAGUCCCAUUCGUACUUCAUACAAGUCCAGAUUACAAGAUGGUAAUUUAAAUAACGAAUCACUCAUGAAAAGGAGAUUAUUUUUUUCCCAGUUGGCUAAAUUAUAGGGACCGUGAUUAAAUUUGUCAGAAAGAGAAAAAAAUACUAGUAUUGUGAAGAUACCAUCUAUUCAUUCAGUAUCUCAUUUUAGAAGAGAACUUUGAUGUGCAACCAAAUGCUGAGAAUUAGGCGGUGAGAACAGAGCGCACAGCAAAUGGCGCUCAAAACAGAGGCGACAACAAGUCGUACUGCUGUUUCAGUGUAGUACAGUUUCAGUUAAUUAGGCACCAGAAGAUAUUUCUUCAUUACAAACAAAAAAAUAAUAAAUUAUGACAUGACUUACUGACAUUAGGUGUAGCAGAGUAAAUUGCACGAAACCACCACUUUGAAGGUUAGAUUUGCGAAAAACACUACAAUACAUUUUUUUGGCAGAAAACACCAUGUCUACGGUAAUCUUUUUGCAAAAGACACUGAUCGGCGGAUCGGGCUCAGUUAAAUGAGUUUAUGACAGGUGGGGUCCAUUUUUUGCCUAUGUGGCAUGACUUUUUGUGCCAGGUAGAUUUUAAUCUAAAAUUAUAAACUAGACCCUAGAAUUUUACAUAAACACCCCUAAAUCAAAAAUGAAAAACGCAAUUAGGCCCCGCUUCUCGAUUUGUCGUCGCCGGCCGUGGGUGCAGAACGCCGUCGUCGGCUUUUGGCCGCUCGUCGUGGCCACGGUCGCGAGUAAGGCCCAUGAGCUCCUCCCGGCCAUGGAGGCAUUCUGGUGGUGGCUUCAGGACGCCGCUCCCGUCGCGCUCCCUUACGUGCUAGCCAUCGUCGCGGUCGCUGGGGCGUCGAGGAAUAGCAGCCCGCCCCUGCUGCCUGAUCACACUAGUAGAAAAAGGGUCAAAUGUGAAGCACAUUAGUGUCGGUUUGAAUUUGAGCCGGCACUAAUGUGUUUAUUAGUGCCGGUUCCAACGGCCAGGCGGGCGGACAUAAUUAGUACCGGUUCGUGGGGUAACAAUUAGUACCGGUUCAUGCCACGAACCGGUACUAAUGAUGCUGUGUCAGGCUGUGGGCCCCACGAACACCUUUAGUACCGGUUCAUGGCAUGAACCGGUACUAGAGUUUCUUAUUAAGCUGAUUUUUAGCCCCACCUCGCGAGGAGAGAGACAGUAGGAGCGGUUUAUAAGCCGUGAGUGCAGAGACGAUGAAGGAGAGGUGCAAUGCUCACCUGCAGGUUGCUUAGCUUCAAGCCUUUUGGAAUAGAAUAGAUUGCACGGAGCUAUGUGCAGUGUAGUCUACCCUAUUCCGAAAGGCUUGAAGCUAAUUAACCAGCAUUGCGCCUUUUUUAUUUUUAAUAACUUAUUAGAACUCCGGACUUCUUGUGUUACGGCAAAAACUGAAUGCACUUCGUGUACAAACUGGACAAUCUCUUUCGAAGUAUCAGGGCCGGUUUCGGACGAAAACUCAUCUGUUACACCGGCACUUCAUUUUUUAAACUUAUUACAACUUCAGACUUUAUUGCGUUCAGUACACACCAUUCUAAGCCACGUCAUCAAUUUUCAACCCUUUUUUAGUCCCACCUCGCUCCCCUAGCAAGAUUUUGACCACCUUAAAUAUGAUACUUCUCAAACUAUCACAAACAUUUGGUCUUCAUUGAACUCUAUGUGUAGGAUCUGUGUCUUCAUUUGGUCUUCUCAAACUAUCACCACCUUAAAUAAUGCAGAAAAGAAAAAAAUUAUAUAAAGCAAAAAUAUUCACAAAGAAACUAAAUACAGCAAAAAAAACUACUUAGAAAUAAAUAGAAGAAAACAAAUAAAGNNNNNNNNNNNNNNNNNNNNNNNNNNNNNNNNNNNNNNNNNNNNNNNNNNNNNNNNNNNNNNNNNNNNNNNNNNNNNNNNNNNNNNNNNNNNNNNNNNNNNNNNNNNNNNNNNNNNNNNNNNNNNNNNNNNNNNNNNNNNNNNNNUCAGAAAUAAAUAGAAGAAAAUAAAAAACUAUAUAAAAAAUUACUCAAAAAUAAAUAGAAGAAAAUAAAUAAUGCAGAAAAGAAAAAAAUAUUAAAAAAAUUGUUGGGGCGCUGCCCGGUGGGCCUGCCAGACCUAGGGUGUGCAAAUUCAGGCCCAGAAGGGCCAGUAGGCUCACAGGACAGCACGCCGGAGUUAGGCCCAGAAGCCUGCCAUAUAGAGGAGUUCAAAGGGGCAGCCGCGGCUGCGUUUAUAAAUCAGUGCGGCUACCCUUCGCUCGGCGAGGUGGGACUAAAAAUAACGCACCACGGGUGGCAGCGCACGGCCUUUAGUACCGGUUGGUGGCCCCAACCGGUACUAAUGGUUGUCCUUUAGUACCGGUUGGCGCCACCAACCGGUACUAAACACCCUCGUUUUCCGCCGCUUUGCCUGGCCAAAAUUAGCCUUUAGUACUGGUUGGUGGCUCCAACCGGUACUAAAGGCUCCUCCUAUAUAUAUGGCACUUACGAAAAUUCAGUUCCAUCGACCACUUCUUCUCCACUUCUCACGCGACAUCUAUCGUGCCGCCGCCGCCGCACCGUCGCCCCCGCCGCCCUCGCGCCCGUCGUCGCCGUCCCUAUCGCCCCCGCCGCCCGUCGUCGUCGUCUCGCGCCGCCGUCCCGUACUACGUCGUCGUCUCGAUCNNNNNNNNNNNNNNNNNNNNNNNNNNNNNNNNNNNNNNNNNNNNNNNNNNNNNNNNNNNNNNNNNNNNNNNNNNNNNNNNNNNNNNNNNNNNNNNNNNNNNNNNNNNNNNNNNNNNNNNNNNNNNNNNNNNNNNNNNNNNNNNNNNNNNNNNNNNNNNNNNNNNNNNNNNNNNNNNNNNNNNNNNNNNNNNNNNNNNNNNNNNNNNNNNNNNNNNNNNNNNNNNNNNNNNNNNNNNNNNNNNNNNNNNNNNNNNNNNNNNNNNNNNNNNNNNNNNNNNNNNNNNNNNNNNNNNNNNNNNNNNNNNNNNNNNNNNNNNNNNNNNNNNNNNNNNNNNNNNNNNNNNNNNNNNNNNNNNNNNNNNNNNNNNNNNNNNNNNNNNNNNNNNNNNNNNNNUCUAUUGUUUAGAUUAAUGUUAGAUGAAUUUCGUAGAUAAGAAUGUUAGAAUGUUAAUGUUAGAUGAAUUAGAACUAGUUGAAUUAAUAGAACUACUUUAUUUUCAGUAAGAAAAUUUAGGUAUAUGAGAUUAUUUGAACUAGUUGAAUUAAUAUAACUAGUUUAUUUUUAGUAAGAAAAUUUAGGUAUAUUAGAUUAUUUGAACUAGUUGAAUUAAUAGAACUAGUUUAUUUUUAGUAAGAAAAUUUAGGUAUAUGAGAUUAUUUGAACUAGUUGAAUUAAUAUAACUAGUUUAUUUUUAGUAAGAAAAUUUAGGUAUAUGAGAUUAUUUGACUAGUUGAAUUAAUAUAACUAGUUUAUUUUUAGUAAAUGCUUAGUUGAAUUAGUUGAAUUAAUUGAAUUAGUAAGUGGUUAAUGUUUCGCCUAUAUGAACAUAUAUAGGAAAUGUCGUCUGACGACGGAAAAAAUUUCAUUAUGUGCAAAUACUAUGAAGACCAGCGCGGCCUGUGCGACAGAAAUUUCCUUGUUGAUGAUAGGCGAUUCAGCAUCAAGCUGGAUGAGACCUUCGAAUUCGAUACAGUAAGUCACAACAACAAGUCUGUUUUCGUAAUUAAGCAUGACUUAUAUAUGCUUCAUUUGCCUGACUUAUAAUUUUUAAUUUUCACUAUUCUAAUAGCGCAUCCCCUGCCAUGCAAGAAUUUUUGUCUUGGAUAAGAUAGGUUUCAGUGAUAUGGAAACUAUGGAGGUAAAGAGAGUUUACCUGAAAACUGAGCAUGGUUAUACUUUCAACGUCAAAGUAUACAAUGCAAAGACGUACACCUAUUUUGAAUGCAAAACAUGGCAAGCACUAUGCAAGGCUUAUGCAUUUUAGCCUGAUAUGGUUAUCACCUUCGAUAUUCGUCAGGAAGAUGAUAUUGAAAGUAAUAGAGACAUAUGGGUCGAUGUGCAGACGCCUCCAGUUCUACCAUUAUGUGAGUUCUUCUCAACUAUAUUUUUGUCUUUGAUAUUGCUUAUUCAAAAAUAAUUGACAACUUAUUUCUAUUGACAACUUAUUUCCAUUUAAGCAAACAUGUCCAGUGCUUGGUAGACAGGACCUACUACUGUCCCGGAGCUGAACUAAACUGCGAGGAGAUAAGUCAUUAUGUUUCAUGGCUUGAGGAUCUUCAUACUGUCAAGACAAAUUUUCUUCCUGGACUUAGAAAUGUUAGUACUCAAAACGUGCGACCAAUAGUGAUCCUAUUGAACUACGGUCACAUCUAUUUAGGAAUGAUGGUAAAAAAUUUACUAUUUGUCCUCAGUGCAUCUUUUGCAUACAUAAUUUUUUUGCUAAACUUUUAUUGCUAAGUAUAUUAAUUAAUUAAGUACUAUACGAUGUUCUUCAACAGGGACUCUCAAUGACAGUUGUGCCUCAGGGGAUCGAGACUAAAGGUCGCAUGUCAAUUGUUAGCUUACGGCCAAGAUAUCCUGCAUUGCACAUGAGUGCAUUCAUGAUUUUUAGAAGCGAUGAAUGCUUAAUAGUAAAAGAUUGGAGGGAAAUUGUUAACGAUCGCAAAGAAGUACUAGGGGGCAGCAAUGAGAAGCGUAGCCCAUGAUUAGGAGACAGGUUCAUCUGCAUGCAGCACAGACCAACCCGUACUAAAACCCUACGCGCACCCAGGCCUGGCUCGUGCCACGUGUUUGCACUUUAGCGCCGGUUCGUAAUGAACCGGUACUAAAGGGGGGCCUUUAGUCACCACUCUUUAUUGCCGGUUGGCGAACCGGCACUAAAGGCCGUCACGAACCGGCACUAAAGGCCGGUUCUGCACUACUGUCAGGUGUCGGGCGGGGACAGUGGAGGCCGAUGUGGCCGGAUCCGGUUGGGGGCAUGACGACGACGGCCUGGGGAGGAAGGGGCGGGGGACACCGGCUCCGUCAAAUCACCGGCGCAUGGUUCCAGCGACCUGUGCCUCUCCCUCGCCAGUGCAUGGUGGAAGGCCGGUCCUCGACGAGGCGGAGUAUGGGGGAGGGAGGGACGGACCACGGGCGGCGUCAUGUGCCUCGCCCUCGGUACAGGAACGGCGACGGGGGCCUCUGCCAGGAUCGGGAUGGGGGCGGCCGUGGGAUGGGUGGUUUCCGCCGUGGUCGGGAUGGGCCUGGGAAGCAGGGACAAAAAUUUAGGGGGCUUUUUCGCAUUAGACCUAAACAGUUAUGCCACGUAGGCAGAAAACGGACCACAUCUAUCAUAAACGCACUUAAACGAGCCAUAUCCGCCGAUCAGUGUUUUUUGCAAAAACAUUAUUGAAGACAUGGUGUUUUCUUUUUAAAAUGUAUUCUAGUGUUUUUCACAAACCUAACCUUCAAAGUGGUGAUUUUUUGCAAUUUACUCAAUGUAGCAACUGAUUAGAGGCAUCCGUUUCAGAAACAUUCGAAAGAAAACAUUUGGGAACUGGCAAACCCUAGAAACAGGGGUACUUAUUUCAGUUUAUACUUUAGCUUAAUCCUGAUGUAUCCCUCAUACAAGGGAGCACAGUAAAAAGAAGAAAUUAGGUCUAGCCACUGAACUCGGAAAAAUGACUGAAACUACUUCGCUUAUGUUGCCUCUCAUGAUGAUUACCGAAAAAUGUUUUCACCCCGUUUUAUAUGUACAGCAACAACCAACAAAGUGAUCGACACAAACUACAACACAACACACCAACACACACACACACACACUCUGAUCGACAUGAAGUGGACACUAAGGAGCCGCCGGAGCUCUUCCAUGAGAACCUAUGAAGAGGUGAAUUUGGAAGACGACGAUCCAAGAGCUCCAAAACGGUGCCUUCACGAAGGACUCGGCACCAAAGCAGAGCCACCGCCUGAUCCAAGGAUAUUGAUUUUGAUCCGGGUCACGACGAAGGGAAAGGACUAACCACAACAGAGAGUUUAGGAAUUAGGAAGAUGACGAUGUCCAUGGGCGCCGCCUCCGUCGGCAUGGCCGAGCCAGACAGGGCUUUCACCCCGGCAGCAAACUCCGUCUUUACUCUUUUGAAGAGUUGGAGCUCAAAUCCUUCGUGUUUGCCUGAUAGCAGGCGCUUCCAAAUGACACCAGGGUGUGUGUGCGUGCGAUAAACUUCUGACCAAUAUAGGACCCCUUCUCAAAUGAAAUAGCAUUCAGGCCUGUGAGAUUGUACUCGAGUGAAAUUGCUUCACCUGAUUCAAAAGAAUAUAGUUUUAGCAGAAGACGAAAGAACAAGCAUUUUGUGUUUAAGCUGGAAAUAUGGGGAAACGCCGUGUAACAGCCAAAAUUGCUCGGUAUAAUUAGGAAAGCAGUCAAAAGGAUUAGAGAAAGUAUGUUAAUUGUGCUGUACGCAUAUAAGAUAAUUAAUUAGACAUUCCAUACGAACUUGCACAUGUGCUACAAGAUGACUGUAUGCAUCACCCUGGUGAACGAUUCACUAACCUACCUACAAGAGAAAGCGUUUGCUUCACACCCUACAAGAGACAAGAGACAAGAGACAAUAUACUGUAAGCUCUUCCUUGUAGAUAUUAUAUACCAUUGUUAAACAUCCAUCACCACUACUGACCAACCUGAAUGAACUGACAAACCAUGAGUAAGCAAUCUAAUUCCCAAAAGAUGCAUAGAACCACCACUUUCGCAUCAUAGCUCUCGAAAAACGACCACUUCACAAAACGUGACAGUUUGCACCACACCGAAAAAUUGACAAUGGCAAAAAACACUGCACAAAAAAAUAGCGCGUUUUGACAUGGCCGAUCACUCAUGGCCCGACUGCGAGGCGUUAACGGCUAUGUUCGAAGCAACUGGGCUAGCCUCACUCCCAUCCCUCACUCUAUCCCUCUCCCGUCUCUUUAGGGCAUGGCAGCGGUGGCGGCUCCGGAUCCAUCGACAAGGAUAUGGUGGGGGUGGGGGCAAGGUGUGGUGAACGGAGCUAGUCACCUUCGUUGGCCGGCAUUACAGGGGGCACGCGCAGCGCAGAGGAAGAUUAUGCGGCUAGAGCAUAUUCAUCCAUCACAGAAUAUUUCAUUUUUGCGACGUUUGGAGCAAAAUCUGUUGAGCUACUAUCAAAUGGUGCUGGUCCAGCCCUAGGUGAGCUGCCUCCCUCUAUCUACUAGCAAAUUUGGUUGGUGGAAUUCUAUGGUUUCAGAUUUAGAAACAAGGGUUUGCUGGUUUGUUGUGAACUCAAUCUUGUUUUGAACUUAUGUAGUUAUCUGAAUCUCGUUGUUUAUGACUGGACAAAGUUGUUAACUAAACCUAGCCUGCUGAAUCUUUGUUGUCACUGCACCAAGUUGUUAACUGAAUUUUUGUUGGCACUGGACCUAGUUGUUAACUGAAUCAAUGAUGUAUGCCAUUGUUGUUGAGGAGAGGAGAGGGAAUAGGAUUCAACACACAUCGACUAUGCUCAGAGGCUGGGUUUAAGUACAGGUUGCUGUCCUCAGCCGAGCCAAGAUCGUGGGUAUGCCACUACCUCAGGACGUGCACCACUAGCUAUACAACUGCUGCACGAUCCACACUAUAUCGUAUGGUGAUUUAUACAAGGUGCGUACGGUAUNNNNNNNNNNNNNNNNNNNNNNNNNNNNNNNNNNNNNNNNNNNNNNNNNNNNNNNNNNNNNNNNNNNNNNNNNNNNNNNNNNNNNNNNNNNNNNNNNNNNNNNNNNNNNNNNNNNNNNNNNNNNNNNNNNNNNNNNNNNNNNNNNNNNNNNNNNNNNNNNNNNNNNNNNNNNNNNNNNNNNNNNNNNNNNNNNNNNNNNNNNNNNNNNNNNNNNNNNNNNNNNNNNNNNNNNNNNNNNNNNNNNNNNNNNNNNNNNNNNNNNNNNNNNNNNNNNNNNNNNNNNNNNNNNNNNNNNNNNNNNNNNNNNNNNNNNNNNNNNNNNNNNNNNNNNNNNNNNNNNNNNNNNNNNNNNNNNNNNNNNNNNNNNNNNNNNNNNNNNNNNNNNNNNNNNNNNNNNNNNNNNNNNNNNNNNNNNNNNNNNNNCGGUACCAAAGACUGGACCGGAAUUCAGAGAAAACUUCCGUUGACAGACCUUUGGUCAUGAUAUCGGCGAGCUGUUGGCGAGUGGGGAUGUGGAGAACGCGGAACCCGCCGAGCGCCACCCGUUCACGGACGAAGAGGAUGUCCAGCUCAACGUGCUUCGUGCGACGGUGGUGCACUGGAUUGGCAGACAGGUACACGGCCGACACAUUUUUGCAGUAGACGAGCAUGGCUUUGUCAACGGGGCAGAAGAGCUCGCCGAGCAGCUGCCGGAGCCAGAUGCAUUCAGCAACGGCGUUGGCGACGCUGCAGUAUUCGGCCUCUGCACUGGAGAGGGAGACGACGGCCUGGCGUUGGACGACCAGGAGACGAGCGCGUCACCGAGGUAGAUGCAGAAACCGGAGGUAGAGCGGCGCGUGUCGGGGAAGCCCGCCCAGUCCGCGUCCGUGAACACGCGCAGGUCCAGAGUGCGCGAGGCGCGGAGAUGGAGCCCAAGCGCCGGCGUGCCGCGCACGUACCGCAGCACACGCUUGAUCAACCUGAGAUGGCACUCCCGGGGAUCGUGCAUAUGCAAGCAGAUUUGUUGGACGACAUAGGCGAGCUCGGGGCGUGUUAUCGUCAGGUACUGCAAGGCACCGGCGAUGCUGCGGUAGGCGGAGGGGUCGGCGACGCGAGGCCCAUCGGCGGUGAGCAGCUUGCUCUUUGUGUCGAUCGGCGUGGGUGAGGGCCGACAUGUGUCCAUGCCAGCACGGUCCAGGAUAUCGGCAACAUACUGCUGCUGACAAAGGAAGAAGCCGGCCGGCGUGCGCGCUACGCGGAUGCCAAGGAAGAAGUGAAGAGCCCCGAGAUCCUUCAUGGCAAAUUCAGCGGUGAGCUGGGCGACGACGUGGCAAAGAGUGGUGACAGACGAGGCGGUGAGCACGAUGUCGUCGACGUAGAGAAGAAGAAGCGCAGUGUCGCAGCUGUGGCGUCGAACGAAGAGCGAAGAGUCGGACCGCGUGGCGACGAAGACGAUGGUCUUGAGGAAGCCGGCAAAUCUAAGAACCCAAGCGUGCGGCACUUGCUUCAAGCUGUAGAGGGACUUGGAGAGGUGGCAGACGUGGUGUGGGCGAUCGGCGUCGACGAAGCCAGCGGGCUAGAGGCAGAAGACCUCCUCAUCCAGCGUAUCGUGGAGGAAUGCAUUGGAUACGUCAAGCUGAUGGACAGGCCAGCCGUGCGAGGCAGCCAGGGUGAGCACGGUGCGGAUGGUAGCGGGCUUGACGACUGGCGAGAAGGUCUCGCCGUAGUCGACGCCGGUGUGCUGGCGAAAUCCUCGCACAACCCAGCGGGCCUUGUAGCGCUCGAGGGAGCCGUCGGCGUCGUACUUGUGCUUGAAGACCCAUUUGCCGGUGAUGAGGUUGGCACCGGGCGAAUGUGGCACGAGCUCCCAAGUGCGGUCGCGCACGAGAGCGUCGAACUCGUCGCACAUGGCGGCAAGCCAAUUGGGGUUGCGAACGGCGAUGCGUACCGAGGCAGGGACCGGCGACACCCUCCCGGACGUGCUUGUAGUAGCGGCGAGGCCGUCGUGGUAGCGCGGAUUGGGGCGGAAGACACCAGUCUGCGCACGCGUGACCAUCCGCCGGGGCGCUGCAGGAGGAGUGGCCGGAGGAGAAGUCGCGGGCGAGGAAGACAACGAAGAGCGCACUGGGGAGGCAGGCGAAGCGGUGGUGCAGCAGGAGGUUGCAGCCGAGCCGUCGAUCGAAAGAUCAACGCCCCCAAGCGACUGCAUGGCGGGUAGGCGCGAGCUCGUGGCCGAGGCGGCGCCUGACAGGUCAGCGCUCCCACGUGACUGCAUGGCGAGGGGGCGCGGGUCCGCGCACGAGCCGUCCGAUGGAGAUCCAGCGGGUGAGUUUGAACGCGCGGCUUGCGCGCGCGAGGCGCUCGAUGGAGAGCCCGCCGGCGAUGAGCCAGCGGCCAUGAGUGAAGAAGAGCAUGACGCACGAUCGCGGAGGCGCCGCUCGCCCAUAGGAACCUGCAAAAUGGGAGGAGCAAACGCAGGCGGUGGUGGAGCGGCGGAGUUAACUGUGGGUGGUGUGGCGAAGGGGAAGAUCGACUCGUGGAAGCGGACAUGGCGAGAUGUGAGCACGCGACGCGUCGUGGGGUCGAAACACCUAUAGCCGCGGUGGUCAGAAGGGUAGACAAGGAAGAUACACGCGACGGAGCGAGGAGCAAGCUUGUGUUUGGCCGUGGCAGCGAGGUUUGGAUAGCACAAGCACCCGAAGACGCGUAGGAGGGAGUAGUCAGGAGCGACACCUAGGAGAAGCUCAUGGGGCGUGCGUGGUGCGCUAGCAUGACACGGCCGGCGAUUGAGGAGAUAGGUGGCUGUGUUGAGGGCUUCGACCCAGAAACGUGCCGGCAUGGAUGCAUGAAAGAGGAGAGCACGCACACUGUCAUUGAGUGUCCGGAGGAUGCGCUCGGCCUUCCCGUUCUGCUGGCUUGUGUAAGGACACGAGAGCCGGAGAUGAGUGUCGUGGCGACUAAGUAGAGAGCGGACGGCAGCACUAUCGAACUCAAGCCUGUUGUCGGUUUGGAGCGAGAAGAUAGGAAGCUGAAACUAUGUUUUGACAUAAGCAUAGAAAUCAAGCAAGACAGGGGGUACUUCCGAUUUGUGUUUGAGGGGAAACGUCCACACGUAAUGUGUGUAGUCAUCUAGCACAACCAAAUAAAACUGAUAGCUAGAGAUGCUCACAACGGGAGAUGUCCAUACAUCAAGAUGCAGUACAUGAAAGGGAAACAUGUUGGUGUUGGUAGAACUGCUAAAGGGCAGGCGGACGUGCUUGCCCAAACUACAUGCAUGACACGAAUGUGGCGCGGACUUGCUGAAGCUAAGGUGAUCGGCGCCCAGACGGAGCGAAGCGUGCCCGAGCCAUUGAUGCCACAAGGUGGAGUCGACGAAACCGGCGAAAGCCGAACACGAGGGGAGCGUCGGGCGGCCGACAGAGUAGAGAUCACCGUGAGAGUCACAUCAUAGGAUCACCGCCUUGGUUUUAAGGUCCUUGACAGAGAAGCCAAAAGCAUCAAAUUCGACAGAAAUGGGAUUAUCACGACAAAUGCGGCAUACUGAAAGCAAGUUUGUAAUGAGAGAGGGAGAGACAAGGACGUUGCGGAGUUGGACAGGUGAUGUGCCCUCGAUGAGAGCACCGUCACCGACGUGGGUGAUCGGUAGAUGAGCUCCACUGCCAACAAUUAUAUGAGAGGGGGAGCGACAUGGACGGAGGGAAUGGAGGUUACCAGGCCACGAGGACAUGUGAGAGGAGGCCCCAGAGUCGAGGUACCAGUCUGAAGCCGUGCCCGACGAAGAAGGCCCGGCCGUGGCACUGUGGAGCGCCGCCUGGAGGGACUGCAUGUCCCACGGCUGAGGCGGCGGCGCGGUGGACGAGCUGGCGCCCGGGGAUCCAUAGCCAUGGAAUGAGCCGCCAGGGUAGCCGUAGCCAGGAGGCGGACCGCUAGGGGCGCCAUAGCCGGGCGGCGCAGGCGCGGCGAACAUGGCCUGCUGGUGAGGUGUGCUGAGGCGCGGCCCGAGGACGCCGGCGCCCGGGGCGCACCAGGGCAUGGGCCAGGCCUGGACGAGCCCCGUCCAGGAGUUGGCACCAGGAGCCGGCGCGGGGUAGGUGGGUGCGUCUGCGGGCGGCAGAGGAGUUGGCGCGGCAGGUGCGGGGGAGCCGUGCCCAGCGUAGAGAGCGUGGGCGGACUGCUGCCGAGCUGCCUGCUCAGCGCGAUGCUCCUCCAAGAGAAGGAAGGAGUGCACCUGGAGGAACAUCGGGAGCGGGUUCUGGCAUGUGAUAUGCGGGAUGACGGAGUGGUACUGGCGGUUGAGGCCGCGGAGGAGAUGGAAGACCUGUCGUGGGUCAGUUACCGGCUAGCCCAGAUCACGGAGUUGGUCGGCGAAGGUCUUGAGCUUGGUGCAGAAUUGCAUCACCGUCAUGUCGCCCUGGAUGGUGGCGUGGUACUCAGCGUCGACGUACACUACGCGAGCCAUCUGGUUGUUGCGGAAGAGCUCGUCGACGGCGAGCCACACAAUGCGGGCCGUGUCCUCGGGCUGCUUGAUCGCAUCGAGGAGCUCCAGCGGUAUGGUGGCAUAUAGACAGUGGAUGACGGUGUGGUCGGCCAUCUGCCACUCGGGGUCGUCGGGGCGAGGAACCGCCUCGGCAUCGACGUGCACACGUAGGCCGAACAUGCCAAGCACCGUGUCGAAGUGGCGCCGCCACUGAGCGUGGUUGCCGGCGAGGAGGUCGAGGACAACAGGAACAUGGCGAGGAUGUCGAUGGUCUGGAGAAUGGCGGAGGGAAAGGAGGGAGGCGGCGCGGCAGGCACGGCGGGCGCGGCCGGCGCGGGUGGGGCGACGUGCUGGAGAGGAGCGGCGUUGAGGACGCCGGCCGCACCGUCGACGGAGGAACGAGGGAAGAGGACGGGGAUGUCGUCCAUGGCGGAAGCGGAAUCGGCGACCGGAGAAAGGGGUACUGGUUGCGGGUAUCUGAUACCAUGUUGAGGAGAGGAGAGGGAAUAGGAUUCAACACACAUCGAUUAUGCUCAGAGCCUGGGUUUAAGUACAGGUUGCUGUCCUCAGCCGAGCCAAGAUCGUGGGUAUGCCACUACCUCAGGACGUGCACCACUAGCUAUACAACUGCUGCACGAUCCACACUAUACCGUAUGGUGAUCUAUACAAGGUGCAUACGGUAUAGAACUACCUAGUCUAACAAUUGUACAUUGGUGUUAAUUGAAACCCGAUUUAGCUAACUGAAAUAAUGCAUUUAACAACCAAGUUCAUAGUAAGAUGCAGUUAACUGAAUCAGUUCACAAUUCACAGCAAGAUUCAAUUAACUGAAUGAAUGCAGUUGUUCACAACAAGAUUCAGUGAUGCAGUUAACAAUUGUCACUGAAUUUUCAUGUGCUAUUUUACUGAAUUUUAGGGUUUGCAAAUGGUUAACUGUUGUAGGGUUAGUUACUCUUGUGGACUGAUUGAAGUUGACACUGUAUGAAGCUGACACUAAAUGCAGCUAACUAAAUUUGCAGGGUGUUGUGCGGUGGGUAGAUGAGUUAAUUUUGGGUUGAGUGAUGAAGUGGACAAUUUGACCACAGAAGGAAUGAGUCGGUGUACAUGGGUUAAAGUGAUUUGACUGAUGUGAAGUGUUAGUAGGUGUGCUUAAUUUACUGUUCAAGGCAGUAAGUGUCCCUAACUAGGAGAGAACUUGCAAUAUUCAUGCUAGGAAUGUUCAGACUUUAUUCAAUCCAACUAUACUAACAUCUUAUCUUUGCAUUGACACCUAGAGCACACAUAUAGUUCCCUAGUAAUCUGACCAAAAAAAUUGGGGAUUUAGGUUCUGUGACAUUUUAUCUUUGUACCGACACCUACAACAUAAUUAUAGUUCUUUGAAUGGAAACCUAGAGCACCAUAGUUUACCAUUUAUAAUAGAUAAUAUGAGCACCAAUAUGAGCAAUGUCAUUCAGAUAAUGUGACCACAAAGAUUAACAAACCAUGACCACAAACAUUCAAAAAGAUAAAUAAAUAUCAUAGAUGAGUUCACAAACCAUGACCACAAACAUUCAGCAACCAUGACCUCACUGUGUGCCCGCCAGAAUGGAUCCAGGGAAUCCUUGCCCCCCCCCCCCCAGCCUAGACCAAGUUCUCGAUCAGUGGGCGGUGGAGGUCUGGCAAUCUGGCCCUUUCCUGAUGGUUGGCAGCUGCCCUCACUGCGCGCGCACAAUUUUUGAGGAUUGUAGUGCUAGCAUACCAAGUGCCCGCCUCGCACGCAUAGGAGUGCUUGGUGCUGUCGCCGUUGAAGAUCGAGGUUUUCUUUGCUUUGGUGGGCAGGAGGAAGUUGGAUGGGGAGGCGAUGGAGAGUGGUGGUUAGCUGUGCAAGGGGGGUGAAUGUGAAUGAAUGCACUUUGUGUGUGUGUGUGUGUGUGUGUGUGUGUGUGUGUGUGUGUGGAGACUGGGGUUUUCUGGAGAAACCGAACGGGCGCACUCAAUCGAUCGAACCACCUGAGCGUAAUUUUGUUAUGAGAAAAGUCGAAGGUGCAGAGGCCAACCCAGCAGCCAGGUAAAUAUAAAGAGAAUAUAAACGACCGAAUGCCCCCAGCCCAGCCCAGCAAAUGACCGAACGCGACCCGCCCAGCCCAGCCCAGCAGCUUCAUCCCUUGCGAAAAAAAGAAGGCCGUUAACGCCCGUUAGCGCCUCGCCGUCACCGCUAUCGGCCCGUGAGUGAUCAUCCAUGUCAAAACACGUUCAUUUCUUCGCUGAGUGUUUUUUGUCACUGUCAUUUUUACGUCGGUGGAAAGUGUCACUUUUUUAAUGUGGUGGUAUUCCGAGAGCUAUGGCGUAAAAGUGGUGGUUUUAUGCAUUUUCUCUCACUAGAUACUGCUGCUUUCAUCAACAAUUUACUGUUUUUUCAUGUAUUGCUCCUGUACAAUUUAAUUGUAUUGCCGGAUACCAGUUGUAUCUACUGAAGCCCAGGAGCACACCAGUGAGCGUGAGGCGGCCUAUCGCGAGCCUUUUCAGGGGUGUCUUGAUCCAGAGCUGGCGGAGGCUAUGGCACUCCGUCGAGCAGUUUAUAUGGCACGGGCGAAGAACUUUUGCCUUCCUCUUGUCCAGCGCCUUCACUAUCCAGUGGAUGAUCGCUCCUCGGUGGGUAUAUAUGGUGGUGGCUGACAUCAAGCAUGCAGACUCUCUUGGGUGGUCUUCAAACACGUUCGUUGGAAGUUUAAUUUGUUAGCUCAUAUAUUAGGUAAAGCUUGCAUGAACUACAGUAGUAUGUGUGUGUUUUUUCUGCUCCGGACUGCAUCCGGAAGACUAUUUGUAACUUUGUUGCUUAAUCUAUAAAAUGCUGAUGUACACAAAAAAACAGCUGGUCUCUGCUGUUCUAGGACCUCUGUGUCAGAACACCAGUGUGGCUUAAUCACCUUGACUCUCACUUCCAUGUUUCCACUAACCUUGAGGGACAAGUUUCUCUGUGGUGUUUCUUCAAGCCACAGGCCCAUAAGAUAACCAUUUCACAGUAGUCGAGGGCAGUGCUAACUGGUCCGAAUUUUUUGUUGCAGACAUAACAAUUGCAUGCGGGUAUUACUUUCCUCACAUAUUGUCACAUAUUACCCCAUUGCAUGACAAUUAUUUGUAGCGCUGUUAUUUCACUAAUAUUGUUGUGCAUAGUCAUUGUCUAUUUAUUCACUAAAAUUGACUAUCAUGCAGUUAGUUUUUUUCUGAUGUUAACAUAUUUCUGACAUUUUGGAGAAUAAAAUGUAUGGAGAAGUUUGAGAAGUUCUACGAUAGUAGAAAAUAAAGUGCAACUAAAAUUCUUGUUGCUGGAAAUGGUUCAACUCGGGAAGGUACUAAGCCACCUUGCAACAUGUAUUGUACAUUGUGUUUCUAGGCAAUGCAAUGUUCAUCCUUCUGUCCUCUCUGGAUCUUGCAAUGUUGCAUGAAGGACACAUCUAAAAUAUUAUUCAAAAUGAAACUAACAUGUCAAUGUCUAAUGGCUUACAAUUGGCAAUGAUAUGACACACAGUGGCUAACAGUGGGAAUACACACACCACCGCAACCAUGACAAACUGCAACCCUUAAAACAAACAUGCAUGGACCUAUAAAAACAUCAAAUAUCCCAGGUUAUAGUUGGAGCACCAUAACAAUGCAUUCCAGAGAUGCAACACUCGUACGACAAAAUUACCGGAAAUAGCGAGUGAAGGUGAGAGUAUGGGUUUUUACAUUAUAGGUCACACAAUCCAAGACAAUGCCUACACAAGGGAGAAUCUGCACAAUUGUUGUUGUUGCUGUUGGAUCCCACCAACAUGCUAGAUUGAAGCUUACGUGUUGGAGCCCAAAACCAAACGUUGCAUUAGCCAACAAAUUAAUGUAAGGUUACUCCUCAAUGUCUGAUGCAGAUGUGACGAACGAAAUGAGCACCUUCAAUGUGAAGCGCCAAGGAUGGUCACCAUAGGGACCAUGCGCAAGAAAACUAACAAAGGCAGUAGAGUGUGAGGAAGAGGCAUCAUGACCGCAUGAGACAGGAGGUGGAUGUAAUUCCAGUAAGCUGGUAAUUCCUGGUGCCUUCCAUCCCUACAUCUAUCAAGUGUGAAUCUCUAAUGUGCAGAGACAGAACAAUUAAAACAGAAAAUGAGAUUGUACAUUUCUACGCCAUUGAGGGAAAAAGAGGAGUAUUUAUUCACCGCUUUCUUCGGUGAAGCCUUGCCCUUAUAAAAUACAUGGAUGGUAGGCUGUGACAUCAAGUCCUCCAAUAACUGCAAAGAAUGUGUUAGUUGUGAGCUUGGUCCUCAUAUGGUUUUUUUCGAUAAACGGAAUAUAUUAAUAUCAAGAUGAUACCAAUUACACCCAGCCUCUGCAACAACAUAAUAUCCAAAGCAACUAGUCUCUAGACAUCACGGAUGCACACAGCCAAAAAAUAUAAGAAGAGAAAAAAACAAAGGCCCUGUCGAAACAAAGAGAGGCUCACAGCUGCAAGAGCACCACUAGUGAUGGCAACACGUAGACUCCGAAAAGGAUUCUCCAGAAACGACGCCUUUAGAAAGGUUAUAGUGCACAAAUACUAUCGUCGUCCGGUCCAACUAGCACAGUCAGAUCCUGGAUUUUCACCCUGGAGAAGAUCCAAUCUCCAAACAAUGCCUUCAGCAAGGAAACGACUAGGAAGCCGCCAUUGUCAGGUACAAGACCUAGGGAGACCACCAAGAACGAAGUCUGCAAGUGUUGCUGCCCCACUCAUCGAGAUUACUGCUGCAAAAUUCCAAUUGUCCAACACGCAAACUUCUUUCGAUCUGUCCCAUCCAGUCUUCUUCUACAUCACCGCCAUUACCAAGUUCACACAGUAUAAGUGUGUAGAACAUCUGGCCUUCAAUCCAUCUAGACAUAUCCACCUCCGUUAAUUUUUGGCCGAUGAGGUGGAUAAUACGAUGUGGUGGUGCCCCCUCUUGUACCUCGUCACUGUGAUCCGUGCUUAGUGACGAAGAUCUCGAAAAAGGCCACACAACGGUACCAGACAAGAAAGAUCUGUGGGCAGCCGCGGAUGGCAUCAUGCCCCUCGCCUCCGUCACUAUGGACGACCGCGGCUGGAGGGGCGCGCGCCUCGCCGGAUUGUGACCGAACGCCGCUGUCCACGGCGAGAAUGGCGCCACGAUCUUGGCCAGGGUUAUCUCAGCAAUCAGAUCAGAUCAGAUCGACAUGGAUGUGGGGAUGGGAGAAUGAGCUAGGGCGAGGGAAAAAAGGAAGGAAACUCUGAGGACGCCCCGCCGCCGCCGUCCGCCGUCGGACGGCCUCCUCCAGCAGCGGCGGGGGUAGGGGGAGGUGAGGGAGAGGCCGGCGGCGGCUGGUAGUUGUGUCCCCCGUGUCGCCCGGUUGAGGACGACGCGGGGUCGGGAUCCGGAUCGCCGUAUAUAGAAAGACCGAGAUAAACUGGUUAAUUGUGUUAUUUAGAACAACUAGCAAUGUGCCCGUGCAUUGCAACGGAUCCAAAGUGGAAUAAUACUUGUUCACAAACUUGAAAGAAAACAUUCUAGUUUUGAUAUACAUAUAGCACAAAAAAUACAUUAUAUUUCACUCCAAAUAUAUUCCUCGGGUUCUUUUGAUGAGUUGAGUGAGGCGUGUGGUUGGUUUCAAGAUACUAAUGGGUUUUCUGUAAAUUAGAGCUGAGAAGUGGCCUAUUCUUGCAAAAAGGCCACAGAUUAUCUCACAGUCGUUAGAUGCAGAUCUAAUGGUUAGAAAUGACGAAUGGCAGACACAUCAUCAUCACCAACUGAAUUUUUCAUAGGACUAGAAAUUGAUAUUGUUAUCUUUUUCAUUUGCAAACCAUAAGGGCAUUAGACACUUGCCUAUGACACUAAAGUAGUGCAUGCAUCCGAUAAGCUGCUGACAAGGAUAGCACCCCAUCUUAAAUAAAUAGCACUCGGGCUCAUAUUAGAAUUGCUCCUGUCCAAUAAAAUUUGGAUGUGUUCUGUAGCCAUGGUCGACAGUGCGACGACUUCUGUUCUGUACACCCACUUGCUUAUAGGUUCCAGCCACCCCAGAGAAUGAGUGGGGCUAGAUUAUCCAUUGUAAUUAUGAUUAGUAAAUAUGGGAAAUAUCCUUUGGUUCCUCGGUGCUUAUACACCUCAUAUGGGACAAAAAAAUUAAUAAAAAAUGUCAAAAAUUUUGGAAGUGUUUCUCCAAUAAAGUUGACUUCCUUUUGCACUAGUAUAUAAAUCUCCAAUGAACAGAAACCCCACAUCGACUUCACAGGAAGAAAACAAAUUUACUUGCUAUUAUAGGUCACUAUUCACACUAUUUUGCCAAAAAAAAUAUCUUUUUCGAAAAGAACUCAAUAUGAAUUUUUCUUUUUGUGGAUUUUUUACCAGUGCAAUGAAAGGUCAAGUUUAUUUCAAAAAUAUUUUCAGUAAUUGUUGACAAUUAAUUUAAUUACUAAUUUUUUUAGUUAGGGUGUCUAUACACUAAUAGACUAAAAGUUCGCCUAGUAAAUAUUAGUAUUUUGUAGUCAACCAAGAUAAAUACCAAAAGGACACUUCUAAUAAAAAUUUGAAAAGGGGUAACCCGUCCUUGAUCAUUUUCAUGCACAAAUCAGUCAACUCUUUUUAUUUUGGUGGGAUGUACCGGAACUAUCUUUAUGUCCCACACGGUUAUUAAGUGGAGUGUGAAGUAUAUUGGGAUUCUGUCGGGUAGGUCAGGCCUAGACCAAAAGCUCGUAGCUUGUGAGCUUAAUGAAUCGCUCGGUAGCUCUGCUCAUUAGCGAGCAAGCUAGCGAGUUUCAUGAACAGCUCAUUAAUACAACAAAACACAUAUUUUCAUGUUAAGUGGCAACAUUUAUUGGCACCUGAACGGGUCUUAUUCCAUCUAAUUGACGCCACCCAGCCCAUAGGAGCCAAUAAAUAGCGUACAUUCUCAUGUCAUAACUUUCUUCCGUCAUAAAAAAUACAUCGUAGUUGAAGCAAAAGGAGGUGAUGCUUGUUAAAGAGUACUCACGAUCUCUCACGAACUUAAUGAUAUUUAAGCAAAGAGAGCCGAUCAGAGUUUCUUGCUCGUUAGUCGGAUCCAUAACUUCACAGCGUUAAUUCCAAACAUAGUUUGGCAUUUUCUCUCCUUAUUAGAGAGGAGACUUCCUACCAGAUAUAGCAUAUGAUGGUCUGGACUGAUUGCAUGUAGUAAACUGGAUUGGGAGACAAAGUGCCUAUACGGGCCUGACCAUGAAUAGUCUAUUUGUAAAAAGCCAGUUGAGUUUUUGUGAAUAUCUUUAAAGAGCCUCUUUGGUUUCUUGGAAACUACAAGAUUCUGAAGUGGGGCUGCUGAUACACACGAGCACACCAGCAUCACACUCCAAAGCGAAUCAACUAGAGAACAAUCUUAAAACUGUGCAUCCUUAUUGACACUUAUGAUACUACUUAUCUCGUUUUCAUCUUCCAGCAAAGAGAAUUUGGUAAAGCUUUUACGGGAACAUGACCCGAUGAUCUUACUAAUUUUAUCGAUGUAUGAGUAUUUACUGGGAAAGUAACGGUUGCUUGGGCCCAUUUCCGCUCUUCAUCGACCGGACGACUUGAUACAGCGAAUGUGAAGACUAUCUCAGAAUAUGAUAAUCUAAGGAACUGCAGAGUGGCCAUGUGGACUUUAUAGCAAUGUUGAAUAACACGAAAGCAUUAUUAUCAUGCAUGCUUGGUGCACCAUAUAUUAACAGAAAUUAAUGUAACGAUGUUCCUAAAUAAUUAAGUGUGAGAAGAGAGAUUGAAAAUGAUCAUAUAUACUAGCUUGCAAAGAAGAUAUCAUGCGUGCAAGUGCUGGCAAGUAGAAGGGGUAUGUCGUUGCUACGUGGAGAAUGCUCAAAUUUUGUUUGCAAAGAAGCCAUCAACCGAUAGCUAUCUAAAUACCUGGGAGGGCAAGGACUAGAGCUUGGUCUUUGCUUGGUUCAUACCAGCAAUACCACAAACGUAAUGUACACAAGUUUUGCACUUAGCUGGAAUUGGAUUCGCACUUGCAAAUGCCACCAAAACCCACUCGCAUCCUAGGACGGGGAAGCGUGAGGAUUUGUGAUUACGCCUGCCUAAAUUUCCACACACAAGGUACAAUAUCAGUGUGGUUGCCUGCUUGAGAUGUACUCCCUCCGUCUCAAUAAGUGUCUCAACUUUGUACUAGCUCUAGUAUAAAUUUUUACUAAGCUCAAGACACUUAUUUAUUUUGGGACGGAGGGAGUAUUGCUUUAGAGGAUUCUCAGUGAACAAUGUGAGCAGCAUUCACGACCCGGAAACCUAGAGGAUUCACCUUGGGAAGCCUUCCAAGUUCCAUACUAUUUUUAUUAGGUUACAAGAGGGCAAAGAAGUUGAUACUCACUUCAGUCCCAUUUGUGAUUCAUGGAGUGCAGCAUUCUAGUUGGCCUGCCAUGUUUGGAAAUCCUUAGAAAGGAGUAUUUAUUUUCUCCCAAUUGGGUGAAUUAUAAGGGCGACGAUUAAUCUUGUCUAAAAGAAAAUAAAUACUUCCUCCGACCCAAAUUAAUUUUUGCAGUUUAGUACAACUAUAGUACAAAAAGUUGUACUAAAACUGCAUCAAAGUUAUGCUCUAUUCAUUCAACAUCUCUCAUUUUAUCAGAUGAAUUUUUUAGGUGCCGCCAAAUAGUGAGAAUUAUGCCUCCAAAACAUAGUGGAGAGCAAAAUGUGCGCUCAAAACAGAACAGGCGCGGCUGCAGUGUUGUUUCAGUGUACAGUUUCAGAUAAUUAAGCAUGAGAAGAUAUUUUUCUCGCAAAAAAAACACAAGAAGAUUUUUCUUCAUUCAGAACACAAACUAACAACUUUGGACAUGAGUUGAUGACAAGAUGAAAUAUCUGCAACAUUAGAGCUUCCGUUCGAGAAACGUUCCAAAGAGAACAUUUGGAAAGUGGCAAACCCCAAAACUGGGAUACUUAUUUCAGUGUAUACUUUGUACAGUACAACCUCCGUCAUAGUUUAUUGGUCCUCUAUGAAUUUUGUGCCAAACUUUGACCUUAUAUUUAACAAACAAAAUGUUAAUACAUGUCACUAAAUUCAACGAUAUUAUUUUUAGUGACAUGCACUAAAAUUUUGUUAAUUAAAUUUGUGGUUAAAUUAAGCACAAAAUACGAAGGAGACUAAUAAACCGGGGUAGUAGCUUUAUUCUUGAUCUAUCAUUAAUACAAGGGAGUAGAGUAAAAAAACAAAUUAGGUCCAGAAACUGAUAGACCACAGGAUACGGUCAGGUACCCUUUGCUGAACUCUUCGAAACUGCUCCCAAACGGCGCCUCUCUAGAGCGAAGGGCGGCUAUGGUGAAGAUACUGGAGAGAUCCAUCAUUCGUCCGUGCAUCCAGUCUAGCUUCGAUUAGACAAUUUGGAUGUGCUCACUGAUCUCUGGCGAGAUAGCUACGAGGUGAGUGCACACCCUGCCGGCCGCCGCUCCGGUGCCGGCGGCCACCACAACACGCCGCGUCCACCCCGGGCACGGCGUCCACCUUCUCGCCGCACGCUACUCCGGCUGCGACGUCCCCAAUAGUUACGGUGUGCCUCGCCGCGCGGCUGGGGUUUUUUCCUCUCCUCCUUCGUUCUCGGUUUCUGCUUCAUCCCAGGCUGGUACCUUCCUAUAACUCUUUCUGGUCUUGGUGCGCCCUGCCUGUUGCUUUGACGCAUGCCUUUGCUCGGCUUUGCAUCCUUGCCUGCUACAUCGUCGCUCUAGGUCUUGCCGUAUGGUUUAGCUGCAUUGCUGCCCUCUUCUUUUGCUGCGUCGUAGGUCUAGCCGCUUGUUUUCUCGCUCGCUCCAUGGAUGGAAUGCGGUUCCAGGAUGAGAUGCUUCUCCAGUAUGGUUGCGCCACUGUCGAGGUCGUAGCGGGCCGUCGCCGCCCCGACGGCAUCCUUGCCGUCGUGCUUAAUGACGGCAUCUCCCUCUCGUCGGAUUUCUUCGCCUCCCUCCUAGUCAGCUGGUUCGGUGGUUUCGCUAGCGGCUACUUUGUCAGACUGCGGCAGAGCGGUUGUUUUCCUUCCAAGUUGCCCAUGCAUGCAUCGCAAAGGAGAUCGUGCUCCGGGGAUGCUGGACGUCUGGUUUGCUUCGUGUCAGGAUGUCUUUUCCUGACCUGUCCUCUUCCGCUCUUUCCUUGUCGAACCGGCACGUCCGCUCUUCUGCAUGGAUGGCUAAUUCUGCGCUGCCCUCUGUGCUUGGCCCCCAUCCCAUGCAAUCGAUGAUCGCCCCCAUGCACGUCCCCCGUGCCCAGGAUUUCGGGAAGGUUGGCACGAGCUCGCAUGCUCACCCCUCCGCCUCCCCUCUCUCUCCUGCUGCGCAUGCGGUUAGUUAUGAUCAUGCGCCUGUCAGCCAGGAUGCGUUAAAUCCCUCCCGCCUUCCAGCGCCUCAGGUUUCCACCAUCGCCGAAACAUCCUGCCAUGGCUCCGACGAGUGUUCCGGCAGCGUCUCGGGAUCGCUGCGGUUCGUUUCGCUGGGUCCUCUAUGGGCACGGCAUUCGCCGUGUUCCAACGGGAGGAGGAGCAGGCUGCGGCCUUCCGUGCGAGCCCGAUGUACGUCGGCUCCCACACGGUCCGUCUCCUGCACCAUGGUGCGGGGGACAAUGCCUUCUCCUUCUCCUACCGGCACGUCGUCAGCCUCUCGCUGGAGAAGCUUACUCUCGAGCUCUGGGGGGGGUCGCCGCCUCUGUCGCUGGCUUUGCGAGCAUCCUUGGUGUGGAGCAUGCAUGCUUGCAUUGCAACGACUUCUCCAGUGUCUUCGUGCUCGUCAAGGUGGAGGUGCUCCAACAUAUCCCCCACCACCUCGCCUUUCAUUGUCUCGACGGCGCCGGCGCCUACGUUGAUGUGCUCAUCAACGAGAUCUGGGACGUGGCCCGGACUCUUGGAGCCCCGACUCCGCCGUCGCAGCCGCCAUCCGCUCGCCAAUUUGAUGGUGCGGGUGGCAGCCCUGGUGCCGACCACGCUCUCCCAAGGACGGUGCCUCGGCAAGGUCUCUCGUAGCCGCGUGGCCGCCGGGCGCCCUAUCAUCUUGAAGGCAAAGAUGGCAUGGCUACCCUAGCAUAUCACGCCUUCCUAUAGCCCCAUAUCGCCUCCGUGGGCGACUUCAUGGCCAGGUCGAAGCUUUCUUUCAAGCCCAAGCUCGUUAAGGGAGCCACCUUUUCCCUGCCCACGAUUGUGCAGCUCAUGCACGAGGACGAGCCUCGGGGUUGUCUCUGCCCCGUCAUCCUGGCUGUGGAUGCCGUCCUGCCACUUGCUACAGUCUCCUUCGAUCCGGACGCCAUGACUCAGCCUGGACACGGUCCGGUCCGGUCCGGUCCCGGUCCGAGCCGGCGUUUGGACCGGCCUCCGGCGGUCCGGUCCGGACCGGACCGAGCUGUCCAGCGAGCUCCUUUUCCAGGACCGGACCGAAAGGGUGCUGGCUCGGUCAAGCUUUUGAGGACCGUGUGGACCGAUGCCACUAGUUCUGCUAGCUGCUGUUUAGGUCCUAGUUAGUUAUUUGGGUCCUAGGUAGCUGCAGUUUAGGUCCUGGUUAGCUGCAGGUUAGUCAUCUGUUAAAUCCUGGAUGAAACUGACGAACUGAAUUUUCUGAAUCUGACGAAACUGAAUUUUCUGAAUCUCCCAGUUCGUGUUCUGUAUCCGACGAAACUGAAUUUUCUGAAUCUGACGAAACUGAAUUUUCUGAAUCUCCCAGUUCGUGUUCUGUAUCUGACGAAACUGAAUUUUCUGAAUCUGACGAAACUGAAUUUUCUGAAUCUCCCAGUUCGUGUUCUGUAUCCGACGAAAUUGAAUUUUCUGAAUCUGACGAAACUGAAUUUUCUGAAUCUCCCAGUUCGUGUUCUGUAUCUGACGAAACUGAAUUUUCUGAAUCUGACGAAACUGAAUUUUCUGAAUCUCCCGGUGCAUGCCCACUUCCGGAGAAAUCACUCGCCAUGCAACGUGUGCAUGCCCACCUCUUGACUUAGUUUCAGGUUAGAUCAGGCGGUUGUGAGAGAUCGUGGCAUGGCAUGAUUUGAGCUCAUGCAGCGGCAACAUAGCUACGUACGGGUGGACGUGGGAUGCCACUUUUCGUUCCUCUCAGUUGUAAGGGAAACAUCUUGACCUGCAGCUCCUUUCAUGGCACGAUUUCGGCUCUUGCAGCCGCAAGUUGGGGUCAAGGUCAUGUUCGAGAACUCCAGAUCGGCAGCAGUCUAAGCACGAUAGCGAUGGCGACUGGCGGCAAGAAGAUGCGGCGCACGGGGAGGAGAGGAAGGAAGGAAUGGGGAAGCUCGGGGACAUGGUAGUUCGCCAAGGGGCUGCCGGUGUCCGCGACGACGAGGAACGGCGGCGGCGGUGACAGCGAUCCCUCGGUCCGACCGAGCGGCUCGGUUAAAGACUGGACCGGACCGACAUUUUUUCGGGCCCAAUAUCGCAGCCCGGACCGACCAGUUUUCCUACCGGUCCUGGACCGUGCGGUCCGGUCCUCAACGGGCCACGAGCGGGCCCAAAAGCCCGCUCGUUCCGUCCAGGCCUAGCCAUGACCUUCUCCUUCAAGCUGGAGCUGAGCCGCUGCCGCUCUGCCGAGGGAUCGAUCCAGGUCCGGGCGGUGGCUCUAGAUGAUGGCUUCUUCCCGUGCUUCAACCUCCGCUCUGAGCUCAUUGCGUGGAAAAGAUGUCGCUCCCUCCUUUUUAAAUUCUGACCGCAGGAUGAAGCCGGCUUGAUGUGCCCUCGCACCAUGCCGCUCCUGCCUUCCGUUGAAAACCUGCACCCUCCCAAACCCAUCGAGCCCCUGGGCUGCUCCCCACUGUUGGGCCCCUGCUUGCUGCCAACUGUGUCAUCCUUCCUUCUGAAGCAUACUUCCCUGCUCAUGCUCGCGUACAAGCCCAUCAGGUUCUUGCCACCCGGCCCACCUGCUCCAGGCCCUUCAAACACGCUCUUGCCCUCGGCGAGGGCCUGCUAAACUGCGACCGCUCCCCUGUCGUCUGCUCCAAUCUUAAGCACAGAGCCUGCGCCAUGCUCCCCGCUCAUGUGGCGGCGGUCUUCUGCUCUUGCUACACGCCGCCACCGCAGCCUGCUGCUAGCGAUCUCCGCUCUUCCCCUCCUACGCUGCAGCUUCUUGGCGUGUCAGCUCCAACUGGCGCCCCGGCCCUACUCCCACCUAUUGGCCAGGACAAUGUGGAUCUGGCCCUUGGUGUGGGCUCUGACCCAGGCUCGGGCGAGCCGCUCCCGGCGACGGGCGUUGUCGUCGGCGAUGGAGGCUCGGCUGCCCCAGCAAUGGAGGCGCCUCCCACUGCCACGCGCCGCAGUCCCCGCAUCCUCAAGAUGUACGAUGGCGAGCGCGUCAGCUCGGUGGAGCGCGCUUCCAAAAGGAAGGCUGCUGAGCGUGCCGCAAGCUCCGGAGGCUCUCGCCGGUGCCCAAGCUCCUCUGCCAGCCGCUGCAAGAAGGCAAAGGUGGUUUCGGUCGCCAACCUCCUGGAUCUUCAGUUCUCCAGCACUCCAGGGCCAAGCUCAAGCAGCUCGCCAAGUAUUGCGACCUCAAUGUGGCUGCCAUCCUCGACGAAGCUUCUUCCUCUGCGUCGGCCGGCGCAGACCCUACUACGGCCUCUAACAGUUCUUCUGCUUCCUCCAUGGGUGACGCGUAUGUUCCUGAUGUGUAGGUCGCUUUUUGCUCUGCUAAAGCUGGUGUGCUCUGUCGUUGUUAGUGUCAGCAUGCGUAGUAUGCUUAGUUUGUCGCCUGCUUUUAUCCUAGCUCUAGUCGAUCUUGGGGCCUUUCCAGUGCCUCUCUAUGUUGCUGCUUUAGGGUGGUCUCAUGUUGGUUCAGUCUGUAUCGCGUCUGUUACUACUUUGCUCUCUGCUGCUAUGUUAACGAGAGCAUGUUUCUUAUCUUCCUUCAUGCUCGUCCCCUCUCCUCUUUUGCAUGGGCAGUUUGCACCUUUAUCCAUGAAAGUUCUUGAUUGGAACGUUCGGGGCCUGGGUGAUGAGAACAAGUGUUCGCUGGUUCGAGAUGUUAUAACACCCUGUCGCCCUAGCAUUCUUUGUUUGCAGGAAACCAAGCUGGAAGUAAUCCUAGCCAAGAAACUGCAUAGUUUCCUGCCGGCCUACCUCGAUCAGCAGUCCAUCAUGCCCUCAUCAGGCUCCUCUGGUGGCCUGCUCAUGGCUUGGGAUUCGUCUGCUGUCUCCGAGCAGAUCCUUGCCACGAACAAGUAUCAUAUCACAGUCAAGCUGUCAUCUACAUUUUCCAACUCUACUUAUGUUGUUACUACGGUUUAUGCGCCUUGUGUUGCUCAAGAGAGGCCAUUGUUCUUUGAAGCAAUUGAUAGCACCGUACAAGCAGUCUCUGAACCUUGGUUGGUCCUCGGUGACUUCAACAUGUAUCGAUUCCAGGAUGAAAAAUCACGAGGACGUGUGGAUUGGGCUAUGAUGGAGCUGUUCAAUGACUGGAUCAGAGGUCAUGGUUUGGGUGAUGUACAUAUUUCUAACGGAAGCUUCACUUGGUCUAACAAAAGAGAGCAUCCAACUCUGGUUCGGCUAGACCGUGUUCUUGUGAAUGCCCAUUGGCUCCUAGCUUUUGCUCACUCAUCGGCCUCGGUGGUUCCCUCUGUCACCUUGGAUCAUGUGCCUAUCGUUGUGGAGUUUGACAACUUGAGGCUUCGAUCACUAGUAGAAAAAGGGUCAAACGUGAAGCACAUUAGUGCCGGUUUGUAUUUGAGCCGGCACAAAUGUAUACAUUAGUGCCGGUUCCAACGGCUAGCCGGGCCGCUCUCAUUAGUACCGGUUCGUGGCUAACCUUUAGCACCGGUUCGUGCCACGAACCGGUACUAAUGAGAGUGGUGGCAGGACAUUGUCAGUCUGGCCCCCUCCAGCACCUUUAGUACCGGUUCUUGGCACGAACCGGUACUAAAGGUCGUCCUACAUAAACCCUUCGUCCACCCGAGCUCGCUCUGUUCUUCCCCUUUCCCCUCUCCUCUCUGUUCUUCCCCUCUUCCUCUCGAGCUCAUCACACAUUUUGCCCAAAAUUUGUCAAGAUUUGAAGGCCCCCAUCCAUUCAAAUGAUUACAAAGGUUAGCAACUUUGUCCUUUCAUCUCUCAUUGCUAGAUUAGCUCUUGCAAUGCUUUAUAUAGUUAUUAAUUUGUGAGUUUAGUAAUUUUGGAGGAAAUAUAUAUAUAUGUGCUAGUAUUUGAUUUAUAUGCAAUUUGAGGUUAAAAUAACACUUAGUUUGCAUAUGUAGGUGUGGUUUACUUAGUGCCUUCUAAAUCUCUGUCGUAACCACCGUCGAUCGCCCGCACCAUCCCGUCGCCGGCACCACCUUGUGGUGAGCCUCUUGUUCAUGAAAUUUUAUAUAAAAAAUUGAUGUUUGUGUGAUUUGGAUAUAUAUAGUUACUCGUAUAAUAAUUAUCUUACCCGUACGUUAUUUGUUAUACAUAGUGCCAUGGUUUUGAUAUCCGUCCCCGUCGGCCCUCGUCCUUGUUAUGAUUCGGAUGUGGUAUAUUCUCUUUUAAAACUAUUUAUUGCAUUUCGUGUUUAUGACAAAUUAUGCCCAUCAAGUUGACAUCGAUAUUUUUAUCUAGGAGGUAUGUGAACCGGAAAUUCCAACCGACCCUAUUGUUGAGAGGUUAAAUUUAGUUGAAAGAGAAAACGAGUACUUGAAAGAAAAAUUGAAAAGAAUUGAGGGGGAGAAGAUGGAAUUGGAGUUGCAUGUUGCCGAUGUCGUCGAUGAUCACAAGAUCAAGAUGGAGAAAAUGCGCUUGAAGAUUAGAAAGAUUAGAAAAUAUGCCAUCGAUAGUGAGGCUUGGUAUCAUUAUGCUGUUGGAUCAAUUGUUACCUUAGUUGCGAUAUUGAUCGCAUUUGUUGUUGCAUUUAAAUGCUUUAGCUAGAGAGUUAUUUGUUUGUUGCAUUUAAGUGUUGUAUGAACUUUAUGUAUGAACUUGUAUUAAUUUGGUCUAUUCGGUGUUGUGUAAUGAAGAUGAGCCGGCAAUGGAUGUACGAUGACCGAUGCUCUCCCCAGUUUGUUGAGGGCGUGCAUACUUUUCUGCUUGCGGCUGAGGCAAACAAGCGGGCGGAUGGUUUUAUGCCUUGUCCAUGUGUUGGCUGUAAGAAUGGUCGCAAUUACUCUACGUCAAGAACCAUUCACGUCCACCUAUUUGAGUCCGGUUUCAUGCCCCACUAUAAUGUUUGGACCAAGCACGGAGAAAGAGGGGUUAUGAUGGAAGACAAUGAAGAAGAAGAGUACGACGACAGCUAUCCUGGCCAUGGGUUCCCUGAAUACGAUGAUACAACAAUGGGGGAAGAAGCUGAGCCGGUAAUGCGGGAAGAAGCUGAGCCGGCAAUGCGGGAAGAAGCUGAAGAAGAGGCAUCAGAUGAGCCCGUUGAUGAUCUAGGUCGGGCCAUUGCCGAUGCAAAGAGAAACUGCGCAAGUGAUUUGGAGAAGAAGAAGUUGCAGUGCAUGUUAGAGGAUCACAAAAAAUUGUUGUACCCGAAUUGCGUAGGUGACAAGAAAAAGCUGGGCACCACACUGCAAUUGCUGCAAUGGAAGGCAGAGAAUGGUGUAUCUGACAAGGGAUUUGGAAAGUUGCUGGUAAUGAUAAAGGAUAUGCUUCCAAAGGACAACGAAUUGCCCGAGAGUACGUAUGAAGCAAAGAAGGCUGUCUACCCUCUAGGGUUAGAGGUGCAGAAGAUACAUGCAUGCCCUAAUGAUUGCAUCCUCUACCGCGGUGAGUACGAGGAUUUGAACGCUUGCCCGGUAUGUGGUGCAUUGCGCUAUAAGAUCAGCCGCGAUGAGCAUGGUGAGGUCGAGGGCGAGCACCCCAGGAAGAAGAUUCCUGCCAAGGUGAUGUGGUAUUCUCCUAUAAUACCACGGUUGAAACGUUUGUUCCGAAACAAAGAGCAUGCCAAGGCGAUGCGAUGGCACAGAGAAGACCGUAAGAAAGACGGAAAGUUGAGAGUACCCGCUGACGGGUCGCAGUGGAGAAAAAUCAAAAGAAAGUAUGGGAAGGAGUUUGCAGAUGACGCAAGGAGCGUAUGGUUUGGUCUAAGUGCAGAUGGCAUUAAUCCUUUUGGGGAGCAGAGCAGCAACCAUAGCACCUGGCCUGUGACUCUAUGUUUGUAUAACCUUCCUCCUUGGUUGUGCAUGAAGCGGAAGUUCAUUAUGAUGCCAGUGCUCAUUCAAGGCCCUAAACAACCCGGCAACGACAUUGAUGUGUACCUAAGGCCAUUAGUUGAAGAACUCUUACAACUGUGGAAUGGAACAGGUGUACGUGCACGGGAUGAGCACAAACAGGAAGAAUUUGACCUAAAGACAUUGCUGUUCGUGACCAUCAAUGAUUGGCCUGCUCUCAGUAACCUUUUAGGACAGACAAACAAGGGAUGCCAUGGAUGCACGCACUGUUUGGAUGAUACCGACAGUAUAUAUUUGAAUAGUUGUAAGAAGAAUGUGUACCUGGGACAUCGUUGAUUUCUACCGAGCAGGCAUCCCGUAAGAAAGAAAGGCAAGCAUUUCAAAGGUGAGGCGGAUCACCAUACGAAGCCUCGCCACCGUACUGGUGCUGAUGUACAUGAUAUGGUCAAGGAUUUGAAGGUGAUAUUUGGAAAGGGUCCUGGCGGACAACCUGUUCUAAAGGACGCUGACGGACGCGCACCCAUGUGGAAGAAGAAAUCUAUAUUUUGGGACCUGCCAUAUUGGAAAGACCUAGAGGUCCGCUCCGCAAUCGACGUGAUGCACGUGACAAAGAAUCUUUGCAUGACCCUGCUUGGCUUCUUGGGCGUGUAUGGGAAGACAAAAGAUACACCUGAGGCACGGGAGGACCAGCAACGUAUGCACGGAGAAGACGGCAUACAUCAGGGUCAUGCAAGCUACGCUCUUACCAAAGAAGAGAAGGAAAUCUUCUUUGAAUGCCUGCUCAGUAUUAAGGUACCGUCUGGCUUCUCGUCGAAUAUAAAGGGAAUAAUAAACAUGGCAGAGAAAAAGUUCCAGAACCUAAAGUCUCAUGACUGCCACGUGAUUAUGACGCAACUGCUUCCGGUUGCAUUGAGGGGGCUUCUACCGGAAAACGUUCGAUUAGCCAUUGUGAAGCUAUGUGCAUUUCUCAAUGCAAUCUCUCAGAAGGUAAUCGAUCUAGAAAUCAUACCAAGGUUACAGAAUGAUUUGGUGCAAUGUCUUGUCAGUUUCGAGUUGGUGUUCCCACCAUCCUUCUUCAACAUCAUGACACACGUCCUAGUUCACCUGUGCGAAGAGAUUAACGUUUUGGGUCCUGUAUUUCUACACAAUAUGUUCCCCUUUGAGAGGUUCAUGGGAGUCUUAAAGAAAUAUGUUCAUAACCGUGCUAGGCCAGAAGGAAGCAUCUCCAAGGGCCAUCAAAAUGAGGAGGUCAUUGAGUUUUGUAUUGACUUUAUUCCUGACCUUAAGCCGAUUGGUGUUCCUGAAUCACGGCAUAAGGGCAGACUGGAUGGAAAAGGCACGCUAGGAGGGGAACAAAUAAUAUGUAUGGACGGACAUUCUCUCACUGAAGCACACUACACAGUUCUACAGAAUUCCUCCUUGGUGGCUCCGUAUAUGGAUGAACACAAGAAUUUGCUAUGCUCCAAACACCCGGAGCGGUCUGAUGACUGGAUUACACGUGAACAAACCAGAAGUUUCGCCAGCUGGUUGCAGACACGUACCAUGCAUGACACCUCUAUUGAAGAUGACCUGUACUUGCUGUCCCAGUUACCAUCUUCGAAUAUAAUGACUUUCAAAGGGUACGAGAUAAAUGGUAAUACAUUUUACACGAUCACCCAAGAUAAGAAGAGCACCAACCAAAACAGUGGUGUCCGCUUUGAUGCAGAAACCAAGACGGGAAAGGAAACAUAUUAUGGUUAUAUACAAGACAUAUGGGAACUUGACUAUCGACGUGGUUUAAAGGUCCCUUUGUUUCGGUGCAAAUGGGUCAAUAUGACACGAGGCGGGGUAACGGAAGACCCGCAGUACGGAAUGACAACAGUGGAUCUCAACAAUCUUGCGUAUGCAGACGAACCAUUCGUCCUAGCCAAUGAUGUGGCACAGGUUUUCUAUGUGAAGGACAUGUCUACCAAGCCAAGAAAAAGAAAAGAUAAGAAAGCGAAUGCAUCGUACGAUGAGCCAAAGCGGCACAUAGUUCUUUCUGGGAAGAGAAACAUCGUGGGAGUGGAUGACAAGACAGACAAGUCAGAAGAUUAUGAAAAGUUUGAUGAAAUUGCUCCAUUCACAGUGAAUAUUGACCCGAGCAUCCCGUUAAAUGAUGAAGAUUUUCCAUGGUUACGGCGCAAAGGGACACACGCGAAGAAAAAGUUUCACACCCAAAGAUCUNNNNNNNNNNNNNNNNNNNNNNNNNNNNNNNNNNNNNNNNNNNNNNNNNNNNNNNNNNNNNNNNNNNNNNNNNNNNNNNNNNNNNNNNNNNNNNNNNNNNNNNNNNNNNNNNNNNNNNNNNNNNNNNNNNNNNNNNNNNNNNNNNNNNNNNNNNNNNNNNNNNNNNNNNNNNNNNNNNNNNNNNNNNNNNNNNNNNNNNNNNNNNNNNNNNNNNNNNNNNNNNNNNNNNNNNNNNNNNNNNNNNNNNNNNNNNNNNNNNNNNNNNNNNNNNNNNNNNNNNNNNNNNNNNNNNNNNNNNNNNNNNNNNNNNNNNNNNNNNNNNNNNNNNNNNNNNNNNNNNNNNNNNNNNNNNNNNNNNNNNNNNNNNNNNNNNNNNNNNNNNNNNNNNNNNNNNNNNNNNNNNNNNNNNNNNNNNNNNNNNNNNNNNNNNNNNNNNNNNNNNNNNNNNNNNNNNNNNNNNNNNNNNNNNNNNNNNNNNNNNNNNNNNNNNNNNNNNNNNNNNNNNNNNNNNNNNNNNNNNNNNNNNNNNNNNNNNNNNNNNNNNNNNNNNNNNNNNNNNNNNNNNNNNNNNNNNNNNNNNNNNNNNNNNNNNNNNNNNNNNNNNNNNNNNNNNNNNNNNNNNNNNNNNNNNNNNNNNNNNNNNNNNNNNNNNNNNNNNNNNNNNNNNNNNNNNNNNNNNNNNNNNNNNNNNNNNNNNNNNNNNNNNNNNNNNNNNNNNNNNNNNNNNNNNNNNNNNNNNNNNNNNNNNNNNNNNNNNNNNNNNNNNNNNNNNNNNNNNNNNNNNNNNNNNNNNNNNNNNNNNNNNNNNNNNNNNNNNNNNNNNNNNNNNNNNNNNNNNNNNNNNNNNNNNNNNNNNNNNNNNNNNNNNNNNNNNNNNNNNNNNNNNNNNNNNNNNNNNNNNNNNNNNNNNNNNNNNNNNNNNNNNNNNNNNNNNNNNNNNNNNNNNNNNNNNNNNNNNNNNNNNNNNNNNNNNNNNNNNNNNNNNNNNNNNNNNNNNNNNNNNNNNNNNNNNNNNNNNNNNNNNNNNNNNNNNNNNNNNNNNNNNNNNNNNNNNNNNNNNNNNNNNNNNNNNNNNNNNNNNNNNNNNNNNNNNNNNNNNNNNNNNNNNNNNNNNNNNNNNNNNNNNNNNNNNNNNNNNNNNNNNNNNNNNNNNNNNNNNNNNNNNNNNNNNNNNNNNNNNNNNNNNNNNNNNNNNNNNNNNNNNNNNNNNNNNNNNNNNCGUCGCCGCCCCGGCCGUCGCCUCGCCGUCGCCGUCGCCCGCUGUGAGCUCUCCCCCUCUAACCCCUCUCCCUCGCCCCCGGCGGCCACCAUGGGCGCCGCCCCUCCCCGAGCCCAUACACACACACACACAAGCAUGCAUGAACACACACACACACACACACACACACACGUACAUAUGUAUUUUGUAUGUUUAAUUAGUUUAGAUUAUUUAGUGUUUAAUUAGUAUAUACGUAUUUUAUAUGUUUAAUUAGUUUAGAUUAUUUAGAUUAUUAUUUUUUCACUAUUAUAUAUGUAUGAAUGCAUGUUAGAUGGAUAUAAUUAGUGCUUAAUUAGUAUGGAAAUUUUUUAUAUAAUGUUGUUUUUCAGUUUUUUAAUGGAUGUAUAGAAGUUGUGUUUUCUGUUUUUAGUGUUAGAUGCUUAAUUAGUAUGAAAUAGUAUAUAGAUUUUUGAAAUAGUAGAAAUGUUAGAAAUUUUAGUUAUCAAAAUCCAAUUAUUAAAAAAAUAUUACCUUUUGCGGGCAUAUAGCUAGUAUUUGUUCUCGACGAUGCCCGGCCCGCAUCCUCGCCGUCGUCCCGUCCGCGACGACGUCCAGCCGACCCAUGUCCGGGACUGGGCUCCGCCGGGCUGGCACUGGGAGGUGCUGCCUGGAGGGGCGCGCCGCUUGAUGAGGAACCCGGCCCCGGGUCCCGUCGUCGACCCUGAUCUCGUUUGUUGGCGUUCGCAUGGGCCAGUUUCGGUGCGGAGGGACCCGGCCCCGCCGGAGGUGGUACGUCGCCGUGUCAGGGAGGAGGACGAGCACGUCCAUCGCUACAUGGUUGCGUUAGAGGGCGGCAGGUUCUCCAAUACCUGGCAGUAUCUUCGGGGAUCUCACUUCAGCUAUGAUCCUGUGAGGGUUCCUUCUCUUUGGGUGUCCAUCGCCCGCACCGCAGGAACCGCGAGUGUCCUAGAUUCUUCUGUAGUAUUCGAUCUUUAAUUAGCUAGCCAGUGAUGUAUUAUUCAAUAUUAUAUAUUAUUCGAGACGAUGUAUUCGAGAUUAUAUCUAUUAUUCUAGACGAAGUAUUCGAGAUUAUAUCUAUUAUUCGAGACGAUGUAAUUUGAAUACUAAAUUGUUUUAUAUUUCUUUUGAAUUAGGUAAAUAAAAGCUAUGGCAGACAAUACCGACAAAGAGGGAGAACAGACCAUGUUCGAUAUGAUACGCGGGCCAGAUGAUGAUCAGAAUGAAGAAGAUUAUGACGGCUCCGAAUUUCUAAACAACACCGGAGAGGGUGAUAUGAUAUUCGAUCGCGACGACCGAAUUGAUGAAGUCAUGAACUACGAUUAUGACGAUGACGAAGAACAUGUUGAUCCUGAAACAACAAAGACCGGCGAGGUAUAUAUAUUUAUAUAAGCAGGUAUCUGGUGAUCAUCACAUGUUUUAAAUGACUUGAAGAUAUAUUAACGAAUCGAUCUUUGUUCUUUCAGCCAUCCUGAUCGAGCAAAUCUUCAGGCAAAAGGACGAAACGAGGCCCGAACAAAAAGUUAAAGGAGGGCGUAAAGUACAAUAUCGAGGCAGUCAGACCUAAUGGCGAACCACUAGCGCCUAAGAAGAUUGCAAACAAGUUCAUUGGUCAGUGCAGAGUUCUUGUGAAGGACCAACUCCCGAUCUCCCUUCAAGAAUGGAGAGAGCCAGCAAAAGACAAAAGACAAAAAGGCAAAGAGGACGCUGCUCCACGUCCAGAUGUUACUUUUGUUGACAAGAAUCAAAAAGAUCUGCUUUGGGAUACUCUCAUGGAACAUUUCACCCUACCAGAUCAUUUCACAGAAGCAGAUGUGCAGAAAGUCAAGGACGCUGCUCUUAGGAAGAUGGCGGUUGCAUUCAAGAACCACAAGAAUCGUGAAUGGGACAAGUACAUGAAGGGAGGAAGGAAGACUCCAGUACUCGAGGGAACACUAGAGAACCAACGUGCUCAUUGGGACGAUUUCGUGAAAUUCAAGGAUUCGGAAUUAGCUAAGGAACGGUCGAGAAUAAACAAGAAGAAUGCCGAAAAAAGGAUAAGUUCCAUAAGCUGGGGCCAGGUGGCUAUGCGGUGGCAAUGCCUAAGUGGGAUAAGUCUGAGAAAGAGAUGGAGGAUGCAGGUGCCACUCCAGUUACUAAGAGCUGGCCCCCCAGGGUCAGGACUUGGUUCUAUGCGCAUGGGGGGGAGUUGGACCCGAAGACAGGCAAUGUUUCGACGAGGGCAAGUCUGAAGGGAGCCGACGAUGCGAUACUUGUUGCAAUAGAAGAGGCACGAUCGGGGGUGUUCCAGCCCAACAGAGAGAACGACGAGCUUACGCGUGCCCUGGGUAAUCCUGAACACCCGGGAAGAACACGAGGCAAGGGCGCUAUUCCGUGGUAUGAGGGGUGUUCAGACUGGAACACCGACUACAGAACCCGUGCGAGAAAGAAGAUUGCGGAGGAGAAGAAGAGGAAGAUGGAGGAGGAGCAGAGGAAGCGGGACUAUGAACGCCUUCAAGGCCUAGAAGCAAGUCAAGCGGAAUUGGUAGUCAAAUUCCAGCGGCAGCAGGAGCAGAUCGACUCACUUACCCAGCAAAGGGGGUCUUAGCAGCUGCAGCAGCUAGCGAAUGAUCCAGCAUUGGAUAGCACCGUCCCAUCCAUGCCGAGAAGCAGCGUGGGUUCCGCCCCGGACGACGCAAUGCUGGGUAGAUACCCCGUGGAUGACAUCACGGAGAACACUAGCUACGAGCUACACGUCAAAAUGAAGAACAUAUCCAUGAAGGUGGCGGACGCCGUUGCUUUUACAAAUCCCCCCGAGGCAACCUUCCAUUGCAACCCGAUUCCAGCGGGCUAUGCUCGUGUCUUGGUUGAUGAGGUGGUGGACCCAUAUUCGGAGCUAGAGCUUGACUAUCAUGGAGGUGACGACGAGCGCUUUCUCGGAGACGACAAACAUCGUAUCAUCCUAUGGAAAAAGGAUUGCAUCAUCUUUCAAAGGCCACCGACACCGCGUCAGCCGACUCCUCAUCGAAGUCCACCACCGAGUCAGCAGUCUCCCGCUCCUGCAAGUCCACCAAGUCCGGCAAAGUGUCAGGCCACUCCUCCUCCAAGUCCGGCAAAGUGUCAGGCCACUCCUCCUCCUCCAAGUCCGCCACAACGUCAGACAUCCACUCCUCCUCCAAGUCUGGCACAACCUCAGGCCACUCCUCCUCCAAGUCCGGCGCAGCUUCAGGCGGCCACUCCUCCUCGUCCAACUCAGCCCCGUCAGCCGUCUCCGCCGCCUCAGCAAUCACAGAAGAGACACCCCGCAGCUAUGGUGCGUAGCGGCACGAGUCGAGGUAGUACAGGAAGUACAGGCGGAGGCAAGCGAUAUAAAUAUGGUCCAAGCCUCACGCCUCUUCCGCAGAGGGAUUAUGACAGGUCCGAGGAGGAAAUCGCAGCCAUAUCGAAGUCCGAGGUGGAAGCCCAUUUUGCACCGAAACCGCCAACGCCGCCAAGGGAGAAAGUGCCUGAGGAAACGAUUGACCACUUCAUUCGUAUGGCUCAACCACCAGCUCCCAAGCCUGUUGACACAGACUAUGAGCGCCACAUCAGGAAGUUAAAUCGAGAACGUCUACGUAAGGAGGCGAGCUCGGGAUCGAGCAAACAAGAAGCAGCUGUCAAAAAUGCGGGAAAACCAUUCCCCAUCUGGGAGAACAGGCGACGCAAUCGAUCCCCUCGCUUGUUGUGCCAACAACACGUGACAGUACGCGCGCCCAAUAUUAUUGUGGGCAAACAGUUUACGUUCCUGAGGUGGGCAAUGUGGUAAUAACGGAGGAGCAUAUAAUGCAGGCUGAAGUUCUCAAAAUCACUGUUGGACAACUCCUUGAGAUCGAGCCCAUGCCCGUGCUUAGAGAGGAUGAAAUAAAACGGAAAUAUGUCCGGGGCCAACCUUUGGUCGAGCCAGACAAGGUCAAGAACCUCCCAACGAGAAUGUAUGAAUUGCAUCAAUGGUACAUGAACAUUACCAAGAUUUCCGAUCGAUUGUCCCUCAUGGUGAAUGUCAAGGAGGAGCAUUACUACCAUGAGAAAGAUGUGUCCAUUGAGUAUUAUGAACUGUUUCAGUUAUACAAUCAAGACGCACUCGAAAAAUCUAUCGUCAGUUGCUAUUGUCUGUAAGUGAUUUCUUUCUGUAAUUUAAGUCUCAAGCUAGCUGUAGUGAUCCUUUUGCUCAAUCAUUACCUGUAAUUAUCCUCACUAUAUUCUUUUCUGUGGUAUUAUAUGCAGGAUGAAGAUGUAUGAAAUGAGAAAAGGUGGACGCUAUGGCAUUGGGUUCAUUGACCUAAACACCGUUAAUGAAUACACAUGGAAAAUAGAUGAACGUCAUCAAAAGGCCGUAGAGGACAGCAUGCUAGAGUUCUUGAAGAGCCUCAAAUACAAUGAAGAUAUACUACUUCCUUACAACUUCCAGUGAGUCACACUGUCUUGUACUACAAAUUCUCUGUUUUUGCAUACUAGCUAGCUACAUGUUUUUGCUUACAUAUGCCCGCUUAAUUAAGACAUGCAAACGUGUGUGCAUGCAGAUUUCACUGGGUCUUGUGUAUCAUUAAAGUUGACGUCGGAACAGUUGAAAUACUGGACUCACUACUCAAAGAAAAAACUGACUAUAACAUCUUGUUUGGGAUAGUCAACAGGUAAUUUCAAUCAUUAUUAAUUAUAUAUCUCGGCCUAUUUAGUUCGUCAUUUCAUGAUAUGAACUAUUUAAUAACCCCUUUAUUCAUUUUCUUUGUCGGCGGGCAGGGCUUGGGCAAGGUUCAUCAGGGUCACGGAAGGCGAAUGGAAAGAAAAGCUUAAAUGGGGAAGACCCAAGGUAAGUAAUUAAGUAGUACUAGCUAGCUAGCUAGCUGCCAUCUUUUUAAUUACCAUGCUUGAUUAAUUAUUAUCUGAUCAAAUUCCAUUCUCGUAAAGGCCCUGAAGCAGGCGCAGGGGACUGAUCUGUGUGCAUUCUGCGUUUGCGAGAACAUUUGCAUGAUGGCGUCCGAAAGGAGCAGAUCUCAAAGACAGGAAUGGGUACGCUUGUCAAAACACUAUUCACAAUUUUUACACCAUUAUCGAUAUCUAGUCACACAACUAAUAUACAUGCAUAUUGAUCUCCUUCUUAACAGUUUAGAGAGGUGCGGGCGAAGCUCCUAGAAACGGAGCGCGUAGAAGCACUUCAAGAGGAAAUAGCGGGAUUUUUGCUCGACCAGGUCAUAAAUCCGAAGGGAGAACUAUUACCCGCUACCGCCCCCAUGAAAACCACUUCCAAUUGUCAUCGUGCUCCGAAGGCACCAAUUAGGCUAUAAUGCCACUGGCUCCGAAGGCAACAUGCAUAUGUAGGAGAAAUUGUAUAUAGCUAUACAUGUGUGUAUGUGUGAAUUAAUUAAUAUGAUGGUUUGUGAGACAUUGAUGAUAUAUAUAUGCAUGAUUGGUUCUACUAGAAAUUCUAUUUAUAUAUAUAUAUAUAUAUAUAUAUAUAUAUAUAUGCAUAACGUGUACAAUGUGUAGUAUCGUAAAAUACCAGCAAACGAAAAAGAAUUAAAAUGGAAACACAAAAUUAAAUGAAAAAAAAUCAUAAAACUAAAACCCCCCAAACCUUAUAGUACCGGUUGGUCUUACGAACCGGUACUAAAGGGCUCCAGGCCCUUGGAGCUGGCUCGUGCCACGUGGUUUCCCUUUAGCACCGGUUCGUGCUGAACCGGUACUAAAGGGGGGGCCAUUAGUGCCCACACUUUAGUGCCGGUUAUGGAACCGGCACUAAAGGGCCUUACGAACCGGUGCUAUUGCCCGGUUCUGCACUAGUGGAUGCAGGUUUUUUCGAAUGGAGAAUCACUGGCUUGAGUUGGAAGAAACCAGGGCAGUCAUUGAUAACAGUUGGAGAAGUGGUACUAGGCAAAUCUCCUCUGCUACCUCUCUUCUCAACUUUAAAAUGAGAAGAGUGCGUGCUGCCCUUAGGAGAUGGAAACGGAACAGAGCGGGCUUGGAGUUACUGAUAAAUAACAACAAGGUUGUAGUGGAUUACCUCAAUGUUGUUGAAGAACGUCGCCCCUGUCGGAUAUCGGAUUCCGGCAAAACCCUUAAGGUUCGAACUCUGGGGUGCGCACGAAAAUCUUCUCCCUACCGAAACACGCCCACAGCCUCGCCGCGAUUCUAAGCCAGAACGAUGAACAACACAAGAGACACGAGGUUUAUACUGGUCCGGGCCACCGUUGUGGUGUAAUACCCUAAUCCAGUGUGUGGUGUGGUGGAUUGCCUCUUGGGCUGAUGAUGAACAGUACAGAGGAAGAACAGCCUCGCGAGGAGAGGUGUUGUUGUGGUGGUGUGGAUGAGCUAGGUUCGGAUCAGAUUCCCUCCUAUUGUGGUGUCUUAGCCCUAUUUAUAGAGGCCCUGGUUCUCUUCCCAAAUAUUGAGCGGGAAGGUUGCCAAAAACGGACAUUUUGAAAGGGGACAGCUAGUACAAGUUAUCCUGACUAAAGGUGCUGGUGAUGACACCGUCUUGGGCUCCACGGUGACCUCCAUCCUGCCGUCCUGCUGGUCUUGGUCCUGUUGCACCUAUAUGGAAACCUUUGCCUGACGCCUCGGUACUCCUCAUCUGCGCUUGCCUCCUUUGCACAGGCUGGCGCCCGCCUGGUCUUGAUCGUCAUGGCUUGCGUCAUGAGCACCUCGCGAGGUACCACUUGCCUUGAUCUCUUCGCCUCCUCGCGAGCCUGCCUGAUGAGGCUGCCCCUGAGGAGGCCUUGCGUCCUCCACCCCGCGAGGCUCGGCCCCUCGCGAGGGUCUUGAGCGUUGGUUGAUGAAGACGGGCCAUACCGGGCCACUGGUUGAGCCAUGCUGCAGGCCGCAUGCAGGCAAGUCUGGGGACCCCCGUUCCAAGAACGCCGACAGUAGCCCCCCGGCCAAAGGUGCACUCGGACUUGGCUUAGCAGCGAAGCCAAAGGGAAAGUGCGGAGUGCUGCGGGCCCCAACAGCCUACAACCUAGGUCGCCGCAUGGCGAUUGAUUGGACGUGGGCGUCUCCGCUUCCCUACGCUGCCUCGACAACUGCCCGAUUUGACAAGUCCCUGCUGCAUGCAAAAAGAGUCAUCAUUAUCUGUGAUUGUGGAGGCCGAUGGUCGGCCUCCCUUUGGGCUAUAAGUACGGAGGGGCAUGAGCCCCCGUUGUCCAUAUCUUCUUGCUCCGCCUGCUUCUUCUCCCUUGCUCCUCCUCCAUUCUCGACGCCAAUGGCACCGAUCCGUAGAUUCUCAGCCGAAGAGAAGGGGAAGGCCCCCCGGGAGGUGCCUGACACGCUCCCAACAAAGAAACGGCGGGUCCCAUGCCGCCGCGACGAGGUUGCGAGGUCGGAGAUGACGAGGCCUUGGUGCGAGCGGCCACCUCCUGGGUUCCCGUUGCCCUUGUACGCCCGGGCCGAGGGCCCUGGGAAAGAGACAACUAACAACACCGCCCGCGCCACAUGCGAUGUCGACGAGCCGUGGCGGUGCGCGCCGUUGCUCCUAGAGUCCACGCCGCGAACUCCUCUCGCGAGCUCGUGCUUCACGCUGCGAUGCCUCCAAACACCUGGAUCCGCUUCCCUUCAUUCUUCACCAUCAAGAUGCCGCCGAGGGGGCCUCUCGAGCUUUGGCUGCAACACGCCGACUGCGUUGCUCCGGCAACCGGAGCGGAGGUUGAAGUCGUCGCUCCGGGCAAGGUCUUCAUGACCCGAGGCUGGGGCGAGGUUGCCCGGGUCUGCCGAACAGGGGGUCCCCUCGUUAUUCAUUUUUAAUACGAUGGCGCCUCUUUGAUGCUCUUCAAGGUCUUCGACACAGAAGGUCGCCGCCUCGAGUGCUGCCCCAGAGGAGGCAGUCGGGACAUCGAUGUGGCAGGGGCUAGGCCUGCCGCUCGCUUCCCCAACGGCUCCUCCGGCAGCAACGGCGAUGCUUGGGAUUCCAGCGACUCUCCUGAGCUCAUCGUGACUCCGGAGACAAGCGACGACAGCUACGUGCCCCCAAGCUCGCGGCGUGCCCGAAGCAAGGCGGUUGCAUCAGGCCAUCACCGCAGCUGAUCUGGAUGGGGUUGGCGCGGGCCUCCCGUGGCCCACUGUUGAUGAUGGCGUCGGUCAUGGAGGCACAAGUAGUUAGGGCUCCUUAGGAUUCGCGUCUUUUGUUCCCUGUGAGGAAUAGAGAAAACACCCCGUGGGGGCAUGUAAAGGGUCUGCGAUGUAUUUUGUUGAUAUUAUCCUUAGUAUGAAGCAGUGCAUAUGCUUGUCCUGUCCCGGCUUGGUUCCCUCAUUCUAACCUCGCGACAACUUGGUGCUCUAUGCUGACAGGUCCCGGUCCCCAGGCAGGCUUCAGCCGUCGCUGGUAUGCCAAGUCGCGAUGACGUGGUCAAAGCCAGGAGGUGAGCGGCCCGAGGUCUAGUAAGAGCCCCUGAGGCGCGAUGCUCAGGAGGUCCCCUUAAGCACACAAGCAGCCGUUGAAAGGUGAAAAAGGAAGGCAACAUCACCGUCACAGAGUCGCAUUAAGUGGAGAUUCUGUGCCGCGUCGAUUUGCUAUUCCAGGCGCGAAACUUAUCUCGAAACAUGGAGUCAUUCCUCCGUGUUGCGCCAGACUUGCACGUCGGCUGCUGGGAUGUAGCUGGGUUAGGCCUUUGCGAGCUUCCCCUCUCUUCCCCAUACUCUCCUUUGUGCUCUACGUCCUCAGGUCCCGGCCCUCGAGCGAGCUCAGCCGCCGCUGGUAUGCCAGGUCGCGAUGUCGUGGACAAGGCCAGGGGGUGAGGGCUGGAGAGCCAGUAAGAGCUCCUGAGUCGCGAUGCUCAGGAGCCCCCCGUUUAACGCGCAAGCGGAUCGCGUGGGAAAGAGAGAGAGAGCUCGUGGUGCCACCCGCUGUAGACCUCAGGAGGUUCCUGUAAACCAACACGAGGAAAAGCACGGGUUGCCAUUAUGAUUUCUGGCUAGCCAUUGGUUGCUCCGAGGGAGUGGUGACAGCACUGAGGGCCUGGUGAGGUGACGCUGGCAGGGCUGCCGUGGGCCAGAGCUCGACCACUCAGAUUUGUCGACGUUGCAGGGACUGACCCAUGCGCAGUGGGCAGCUCCAGUGGUAGAUGUCAAUCGUUCAGGCGAUAAUCACAGGCAGGUUAAGCAUGAAAGGCAAAUCAGCUUAGAUAAAUGCAAGAGGGAUACAUUCCACUGGGUCAGGCCCGAGUGGCUUGGGGAUGAUGCAGCCCGAGGGGCGCCCCCAGCAAGGUAAACUAAAGACAUAAGCAAAAAGGGAUACAUGCCGCAGGGACGGACCCAUGCGGCAUGGGAAUGAUGCAGCCCUGAGGGUGCUCCCAGCUGAAAUGAACUCGGGAGAUGUCACGUGGUACCAUUGUAGAGGGGGUGUUGGAGUAGCUGAAGAUGCGCGAUGAAGAGGCCGAUUCUCACGAGCCACCGGAGCCCUGAGCCUCGGGAUGCUCUGGGGGUCUAGGCGGCUCCUCGAGGACCAUCUCCAUCUCCGCCAGGACUGCGUGAUUCCUGGCCUCCUGAGCUGCCAAAAUGCUCCGCAGAUGACGCUGGGCGGUGGCAGCCGUGUUCGGCAGGCCGAAAGGCAUGCGAACGUAGCUGUGCGGCGGGCCCUCGCAACGUCCCACGCGCGAAGGCUAGAGGCGCUCCUGAGAUGCGGCUCAGUUGAGCCCUGGGACAUCAACGCAGACGCGCAGCGCACCAUCCUCGCCUGGAUGGGGAGCUACGCCAGUCAAAUCGCGAUCACCGCGCACGACUAUUGCUUCCUGAAGCUCCUGAGUGGCCCUGGUGGUGAACUCCUGAGGGUUGGGCCUUUCUCACCCCAUACCUUCCUGAGGGAAACAUGCUGCGAAGAAUGCCUCCAAGUGGUGCCUGAUCGCCUCCCUUGUGAUUUUGGCAAAGUCUGAGGCCCUCCAAAAGAGAGCCCCCGAGCCCUGCUCAAGGAGGGCGCCGGGCGCGCCUUCCUAUGCGACGGAAGGAGGCACCCCUUGCAUGGGGUGGAUCCUGACGCGACACCUCCUGAGAUGCCAACCUCCUGAGGCCUUGAGCUGGGACAUGUCUUCUUCUUCUUGGGGACUGCCUCAGGAGGGUUCUCGCCCUUGCUGUCCGGGUCCUCGACUGAUGCAGCUUGGAAGGCGCGCUCGAGGGAGCACACCGCAUCCUUCUCUUCGCAGGGGAUUGUGAUGAUUCCGCCGCUUCCUGGCAUCUUGAGGACGUUGUAGCCGUGGUGGGUCACUGCCAUGAACUUGGCCAGGGCCGGAUACCUGAGGAUGGCAUUGUAUGGCAGGCGGAUGUGGGCGACGUCGAAGUCGAUGAGCUCAGUGUGGUAGUUGUUGUGCUAUCCGAAGGUGACAGGGAGGCGGACCUGCCCUAUCGGGGUGGUGGGGCUGUCAGUAACUCCUGAGAAAGGUUUGGUAGGCUAAAGUUGAUCAUAUGGCACUUGAAGGUUGUUGAACAUCUCGACUGACAAAAUGUUGAGCCCUGCGCCGCCAGCAAUUAGGGUCCUGGUAACUUGCACGUUGCUGAUGAUUGGGGAACAAAGCAUUGGGAGGACGCCAGCGGUAGCCACACACUUGAGUUGAUCUGCUGAGCUGAAAGUGAUGGCGCACUUGGACCACCUGAGCGGGCGCGUGGCCUCGAGCUUGGGGAGGACUGCAUUCACCUCGCGAGCAAACUACUUGAAGAUGCUGAUAAGUUGGGGCCUGGGCACCACCCAAGAUGCAAGAGAUAACACGUGGCUCCUGGAAGCCCCCAAUCCUCUCGUCCUGGUGGUGGUCGUCGUUCCUUCUUGGUGGCAGCGGCAGAGGAGGAAGGCCUGCAUUGUCCUGCGGGCGGUCCUCGCGAGGAUGAUCCCUCCAGGCUCCCUCGCAAGGCUGGUCCUACCAAGGGUCCUCGCGAGGUCGGUCACGCCACUCCUGCGAGGGCCACAAUCGUCCCAUCGUCCUCCGCCUCGUACUCCUCCUCGGCCAUAGCCUCGGUCAUUGCGCUGGGGGCAUCGACCAAAGUGUCCUUCUUGAACGGCCCUGAGCUCCUGGCAUUCAUUGGUGUUGUGGGUGUGGAGGUUGUGGUAGGCGCAGAACGGUCGGCUGCCCUUGGACGACUCCAGCUGGUCCCUGCCAUGCUUCGUAUCUGGUUCUGUUGCGAGCACGGCUUCUCCUUUGCGCUUCACGUCCUUGGCCUUGGCCUUCUUCUCUACUGGGUCAGCAGCUGGAAGCUCGAGGAGGGAGAGGUGUCCCUCCUCAGCUAUUGCGCACUUGGUCGCCAGGCUGAACAGCUCCAGGGAUGUGCACAGAUCCUCGUGGAUGGCGAGCUCCUCCUCCAUCUUGACUUCAUGGAUGCCAUAAGAGAACGCUGAGAUGAUGGCCUCGUCCGUCACCUUGGGGUUCUUGAGGUGGGCGUUGUUAAAGCGCUGGAUGUAUUUCUGCAGGGUCUCUCUAGGCUGUUGCCUGAUGCGGCGCCGGUCACCCGCGGCCAAGGGGCGGUCGCGCGUGCCCUGGAAGUUGGCGAUGAAGCGGCUAUGCAUCUCAUCCCAAGAGGAGAUCGAGCCGGUGGGCAGAUUCAGGAGCCAGGAGCGGGCACCAUCCUUGAGCGCCAUGGGAAACUAGUUCGCCAUGACCUUUUCGUCUCCAUUGACCGCCUCGAUGCCCAGCUCAUAGAGCUGUAGGAACUCCGCGGGGUCGGCAGUACCAUCAUAGCGAGGAGGCAGGUCUGGCUUGAACUUGCCGGGCCAGGCGACGCUGCGCAGCUCGGUGGUGAAGGCCCGGCAACCUGCUGUGUCCACCGGAGCCCUUUGCAGACGCGUGGCUUGCUCUUGGUGGUUCCAGCGCACCACCGCCAGGGGCAGCACGGGGUCUUGGCGUGCUAGUGCAGGGAUGAAGUUUUGUCGUGCCAGUGCAGGGUGCACGGGAGCACCUUCUUGAGGCCGAGGGUUUUCCUGGCAUCUUCUUUCUUGUCGCGCGGGCGCUGGACGCGGUGGGUCACGUCCAGGGGCCGCGCGUCUUGGAGCCAGGGCGCCUUCUUGGGGAGGAGGUGGUGGAGGCGCUCCCUGAGCCGCGUCGCCCAUGCAUGACGGAGGGCGAGGCAGCGAGAGGGACGGCGCGGGAGAGCCCCCUGCGGCGCUGACAAGCUCGGUGAUGCGAGCGAGCCAUUCCUCGUAGAGGUCGUCGACGGGGCGGUAGUGCAGGAGCUCAUGUGCUCGGAGCAACGCGGCCUGCGCGUCCGUGGGGGCGCGACGAGCAUGACACGACGAACCAGCUCGGGUCCGCGACGGAGUGGCGGUGCGGCCUUCCCGCCGCACCGAGGGGUGCAGCGAAGAUGCUUGCUACUCGUUCCCCGCCGGGACGGUGGCGGCAUUGGUGGCAGUGAUGGAGAACGACGAGGAGGCCCGCCAACGGGAGCCGUCUGGGCGACGCGGGCGGCGAGAGCAGCCCGGCGCUCGGCGCGAGCUCGGUGAGCGCCUGCCAUGGAUGUGACGAAGCGAUGGGUGAUACGUCUCCAACGUAUCUAUAAUGUUUGAUUGCUCCAUGCUAUUGUAUUACCUCUUUUGGAUGUUUAUGGGCUUUACUUUACAUAUUUAUAUCAUUUUUGGGACUAACCUACUAACCGGAGGCCCAGCCCGUAUUGCUAUUUUUUUGCCUAUUUCGGUAUUUCGAAGAAAAGGAAUAUCAAACACAGUCCAAACGGAAUGAAACCUUCGGGAGCGUGAUUUUUGUAACGAACGUGAUCCGUAGAGCUUGGAGUGCAAGUCAAGAAGCUCCCGAGGACCCCACGAGAUAGGGGCCGCGCCCCCCUGUAAGGCGCGCCCCCUUGUCUCGUGGGCCCCUCGGGCGUCCACCAACGUACUUCUUCCUCCUAUAUAUACCUACGGACCCCGAAAACAUCCAAGAGCACCACGAAACACAAUUUCCACCGCCGUAACCUUCUGCAUCCACGAGAUCCCAUCUUGGAGCCUUCGCCGGCACUCUGCCGGAGGCGGAAUCGACCAUGGAGGGCUUCUACAUAAACAUCCUUGCCCCUUCGAUGAGUUGUGAGUAGUUUAAUUACCACAGACCUACGGGUCCAUAGUUAUUAGCUAGAUGGCUUCUUCUCUCUUUUUGGAUCUCAACACAAUGUUCUCCCCCUCUCUUGUGGAGAUCUAUUCGAUUUCAUCUCUUUUUGCGGUGUGUUUGUCGAGAUCCAAUGAAUUGCGGGUUUAUGAUCAAGUUUAUCUAUGAAUAAUAUUUGAAUCUUCUCUGAAUUCUUUUAUGUAUGAUUGAGUUAUCUUUGCAAGUAUCUUCAAAUUAUCAGUUUGGUUUGGCCUACUAGAUUGGUCUUUCUUGCCAUGGGAGAAGUGCUUAGCUUUGGGUUCAAUCUUGCGGUGUUCUUAGUGACAGAAAGGGUUCCAAGACACGUAUUGUAUUGUUGUCAUCGAGGAUAAAAAGAUGGGAUUUAUAUCAUAUUGCAUGAGUUUAUCCCUCUACAUCAUGUCAUCUUUCUUAAUGCGUUACUCUGUUCUUAUGAACUUAAUACUCUAGAUGUAGGCAGGAGUCGGUCGAUGUGUGGAGUAAUAGUAGUAGAUGCAGGCAGGAGUCGGUCUACUUGUUAUGGACGUGAUGCCUAUAUACAUGAUCAUGCCUAGAUAAUCUCAUAACUAUGCGCUUUUCUAUCAAUUGCUCGACAGUAAUUUGUUCACCCACCGUAAUACUUAUGCUAUCUUGAGCGAAGCCUCUAGUGAAACAUAUGGCCCCCGGGUCUAUCUAUUAUCAUAUUUGCUUUCAAUCUACUUUAUUUGCAUCUUUACUUUUUGCAUCUAUAUUAUAAAAUACCAAAAAUAUAUUUAUCUUAUCAUACUAUCUCUAUCAGAUCUCACUUUCGCAAGUGGCCGUGAAGGGAUUGACAACCCCUUUAUUGCGUUGGUUGCGAGUUCUCAGUUUGUUUGUGUAGGUGCGUGAGACUUUUGAGGAGCCUCCUACUGGAUUGAUACCUUGGUUCUCAAAACUGAGGGAAAUACUUACGUUACACUUGCUGCAUCACCCUCUCCUCUUCGGGGAAAACCAAUGCUAGCUCAAGACAUAGCAAGAAGGAUUUCUGGUGCCGUUGCCGGGGAGGUCUUCGCUCAAGUCAAGACAUACCAAGUACCCAUCACAAACCCAUCUCCCUCGCAUUUACAUUAUUUGCCACUCGUUUUCCUCUCCCCCACUUCACCCUUGCCGUUUUAUUCGCCCUCUCUUUCCCAAUCCCCUCCUCUCUUUUCGCUUGCCUUUUUCUGUUGCCCGUGUGUUCGCUCGUUUGCCUUGUCGUCAUGGCUAGUCUCCCUAUCCUCUUUAUUACUCCCGAACAUGAAAUCCUCAAUUAUAAACAACGGGAGGGAGAAAAUUUAAAAGAUGCUUGGCAUAGAAUUUGCAAUGCUCAAAAUAGAUCCACUAGGAAGCUUUCUACUUUCGUUCUUCUCUACAAUUUUUAUGUAGGCAUCACUCCUUGGAAUAGAUGUGUUCUUGAUACUAUCGCCGGAGGUGAUUUCUUGAGUAGCCAUACGUUUGAUGCUUAUAAUGCUAUGUUAGAUUUGUUUGGACCACCACCUCUUUUGGUUAAUGGAACUGUUUUAACCUUAGAACACGUUAUGCAACGGCUGAAUAUUAUUGAAAAUAAAAUUGCCACUGUUGAGUUGGUUGAAAAUUUGAAUAAAAAGAUUCAUAAUCUAAUCACUCAAUAUGAAUCUAGGGUUGGAGUCACCUUGAAAAAUCUUAAAGAGAAAGAACCUAUAGUUAAUGAAAAAAUAGAUCUUGAUUCUGCUAGAAUUGGUAAACUUGAGGAUAUAAUUACCAACUUAGGUUCGGCGUUUUCUCCCAUGAAAAACACUCCAAAACCCCCUACAAAAACCACUAAGUUUAUUUAUGUUCCUAAAAAUAAGGGUGAAACUUCUAGUAAGGGAGACGCGGACCUCAAAUCCAUAAGUGUUCAUCCCAAUUGUCUUUCUAUCGUUAAGGAACCUUUUGCUACAAACGAAUUUCUUGAUUUUUUGCCCAAAGGCUUAAUCAUUGCUGAAAAAGGAGAACCUCCUAAAGAUUAUAAGUGCUCUAAUGAGGAAUCAAGUGCCAAAGAUGGCACUACUUGAAUCUAUCUUCGCUUUUAUGCCUAUCUAGGGGCGUUAAACGAUAGGGCUAGUUGGGAGGCAACCCAAUUUUUCUUUAUGUUUUUUUGUUUUUUCCCCUGUUUAGGAAUAAAUGUUGCAUCUACUCUAUGUUUAGAUGUGUUUUUAUCUUUUAGUUAGUGUUUGUGCCAAGUAGAACCUAUAGGAUAACCUACGAUGAUAGUUGAUUUGAUUCUGCUAAAAAACAGAAACUUUGCACUCACGAGAAAAAAUUCAAUAAAUCACAGAAACGUGCUUUUGCAUUGAUUCUUUUUGCUGAUGAUCAAUAAACUAAUUGUCCAGUACGUCCUAUUUUGGUAGGAAUUUUAGAGUUCCAGAAGUUUUCGUUAGUUACAGAUUGCUAUAGACUGUUCUGUUUUUGACAGAUUCUGUUUUUCGUGUGUUGUUUGCUUAUUUCAAUGCAUCUAUGGCUAGUAAAUUAGUUUAUAAACCAUAAGGAAGUUGUAAUACAUUAGGUUAAACACCAAAAUAAAUAAAGAAUGAGUUCAUGGCAGUACCUUAUGUGGUGGUUUUGUUUUCUUUCACUAACGGAGCUUAUAAGAUUUCUUGUUGAGUUUUGUGUUGUGAAGUUUUCAAGUUUUGAGUAAAGCUUUUAUGGACUAUGGAAUAAAGGGUGGCAAGAGCCUAAGCUUGGGGAUGCCCAAGGCACCCCAAGAUAUUCAAGGAUAGCCAAAAUCCUAAGUUUGGGGAUGCCCCGGGAAGGCAUCCCCUCUUUCGUCUUCGUUCAUUGGUAACUUUACUUGGAGCUAUAUUUUUAUUCACUACAUGAUAUGUGUUUUGCUUGGAGCGUCGUGUAUUAUAUUAGUCUUUGCUUUUUAGUUUAACACAAUCAUCCUUUCUGUACACACCUUGUUGGAGAAGCCUAUUUUAUUAGAAUUUGCUAGAAUACUCUAUGUACUUCACUUAUAUCUUUUGAGCUUGAUAGUUUUUGCUCUAGUACUUCACUUAUAUCUUUUAGAGCAAGGCGGUGGAAUAAUUUUGAAGAAAUUGCUAGUCUCUCAUGCUUCACUUAUACUAUUUUGAGAGUCUUUUAGAACAGCAUGGUAUUUGCUAUGGUUACAAAGUUGUUCUUAGAAUGAUGAGCAUCCAAGUUAGGUAUAAUAAAAACUAUCAUAGAAAAAGAAUUGGAUGCUAUGAUCAACUUGAUGCUUGAUAAUUGUUUUGAGAUAUAAAGGUAGUAAUGUUAGGGUCAUGCUAGUGGGUAAUUAUGAAAUUGAGAAAUACUUUUGUUGAAGUUGGCAAGUCACGUAGCAUGCAUGUAUGGUAAAAGUUGUGUGACAAAUUAGUUGCAUAGGGUGCUCUUUUGAGUGUCUUCCUUAUGAGUGGCAGUCGGGGACGAGCGAUGGAAUUUUUUUCCUACCAAUCUAUCCCUCUUGGGGCAUGUGUAGUAGUACUUUGCUUCGCGGGCGAAGUAGACUUUUGCAAUAAUUAUAUGAGUUCUUUUUUGACUAAUGCGAGUCCAUGGACAUAUGCACACUUAUCCUUUUACUUUGCUAGCCUUUAUUAUUACCGUGCAACUCUCGCCGGUAUUGAACCCUUUAUUUACCUUCCUCAAAACAGCCACCAUACCUACCUAUUAUGGCAUUUGCAUAGCCAUUCCGAGAUAAAUUACCAUGCAACUUUUCACCGUUCCGUUUAUUAUGACACGAUUCAUCAUUGUCAUAUUGCUCUUUGCAUGAUCAUGUAGUUGACAUCGUAUUUGUGGCAAAGCCACCUUCAUAAUCUUCAUACAUGUCGCUCUUGAUUCAUUGCAUAUCCCGGUACACCGCCGGAGGCAUUCAUAUAGAGUCAUAUCUUGUUCUAGCUUUGAGUUGUAAUUCUUGAGUUGUAAAUCCAUAAAAGUGUGAUGAUCUUCAUUAUUAGAGCAUUGUCCUAGUGAGGAAAGGCUGAUGAUGACUAUGAUUCCCCCACAAGUCGGGAUGAGACUUCGGACUUUACAAAAAGAAAGAAAAAAAUGAGAAAAUAAAAAAAUUGAGAAAGGCCAAAAAGAAAAAAAGAGGCCAAAGAAAAGAAAAAGAAAAGAAAAAAAAGAAAAAAAGAGAAAAAAAUAAAAUGAGAGAAAAAGAGAGAAGGGACAAUUGCUACUAUCUAUUUUUCCACACUUGUGCUUCAAAAUAGCACCAUGAUCUUCAUGAUAGAGAGUCUCAAAUGUUGUCACUUUCUUAUACUAGUGGGAAUUUUUCAUUAUAGAACUUGGCUUGUAUAUUCCAAUGAUGGGUUUCCUCAAAAUGCCCUAGGUCUUCGUGAGCAAGCAAGUUGGAUGCACACCCACUUAGUUUCUUUCGUUGAGCUUUCGUAUAUUUAUAGCUCUAGUGCAUCCGUUGCAUGGCAAUCCCUACUCACUCACAUUGAUAUCUAUUAAUGGGCAUCUCCAUAUAGCCCGUUUGUAUGCCUAGUUGAUGUGAGACUAUCGUCUCCCUUUUUGUCCUCACAACUACCGUAAACCACCAUAGUGUUAUGUCCAUGGUUUGCGCUCAUGUAUUGCGUAAGAGUUGAAAAAGCUGAAGCGCGUUAAAAAGCAUGAACCAAUUGCUCGGCUCGUCAUAAGGGUUGUGCAUGAUGGGAGUAUUUUGUGUAAUGAAAAUGAAGCAUGGCCUAACUAUAUGAUUUUGUAGGGAUAAGCUUUCUUUGGCUAUGCUAUUUUGAUAGCACAUGAUUAUUUAUUAGUAUGCUUUGAAGCAUUAUUAUUUUUAUGUUUUAUAAGCUUUUAUCUUGAAUCAUUUGGAUCUGAACAUUCAUGCCACAUGAAAGAAAAUUACAUUAUGAAUUAUGCUAGGUAGCAUUCCACAUCAAAAAAAAUUAUCAUUUACCUACUCGAGGACGAGCAGGAAUUAAGCUUGGGGAUGCUUGAUACGUCUCCAACGUAUCUAUAAUUUUUUAUUGUUCCAUGCUAUUAUAUUACCCCUUUUGGAUGUUUAUGGGCUUUACUUUACACAUUUAUAUCAUUUUUGGGACUAACCUACUAACCGAAGGCCCAGCCCGUAUUGCUGUUUUUUUGCCUAUUUCAGUAUUUCGAAGAAAAGGAAUAUCAAAUGGAGUCCAAACGGAAUGAAACCUUCGGCAGCGUGAUUUUUGGAACGAACGUGAUCCGGAGAGCUUGGAGUGCAAGUCAAGAAGCUCCCGUGGACCCCACGAGAUAGGGCCCCCCCUGUAGGGCGCGCCCCCCUGUCUCGUGGGCCCCUCGGGCGUCCACCGACGUACUUCUUCCUCCUAUAUAUACCUACGGACACCGAAAACAUCCAAGAGCUCCACAAAACACAAUUUCCACCGCCGUAACCUUCUGUAUCCACGAGAUCCCAUCAUGGAGCCUUCGCCGGCACUCUGCCGGAGGGGGAAUCGACCACGGAGGGCUUCUACAUCAACAUCCUCGCCCCUCCGAUGAGUUGUGAGUAGUUUACCAUAGACCUACGGGUCCAUAGUUCUUAGCUAGACGACUUCUUCUCUCUUUUUGGAUCUCAAUACAAUGUUCUCCCCCUCUCUUGUGGAGAUCUAUUCGAUGUAAUCUCUUUUGGCGGUGUGUUUGUCGAGAUCCGAUGAAUUGUGGGUUUAUGAUCAAGUUUAUCUAUGAAUAAUAUUUGAAUCUUCUCUGAAUUCUUUUAUGUAUGAUUGAGUUAUCUUUGCAAGUCUCUUCGAAUUAUCAGUUUGGUUUGGCCUACGAGAUUGGUCUUUCUUGCCAUGGGAGAAGUGCUUAGCUUUGGGUUCAAUCUUGCGGUGUUCUUACCCAGUGACAGAAAGGGUUGCAAGACACGUAUUGUAUUGUUGCCAUCGAGGAUAACAAGAUGGGGUUUAUAUCAUAUUGCAUGAGUUUAUCCCUCUACACCAUGUCAUCUUGCUUAAUGUGUUACUCUGUUCUUAUAAACUUAAUACUCUAGAUGCAGGCAGGAGUCGGUCUACUUGUUAUGGACGUGAUGCCUAUAUACAUGAUCAUGCCUAGAUAAUCUCAUAACUAUGCGCUUUUCUAUCAAUUGCUCGACAGUAAUUUGUUCACCCACCGUAAUACUUAUGCUAUCUUGAGAGAAGCCUCUAGUGAAACCUAUGGCCCCCGGGUCUAUCUAUUAUCAUAUUUGCUUUCAAUCUACUUUAUUUGCAUCUUUACUUUUUGCAUCUAUAUUAUAAAAUACCAAAAAUAUAUGUAUCUUAUCAUACUAUCUCUAUCAGAUCUCACUUUCGCAAGUGGCCGUGAAGGGAUUGACAACCCCUUUAUUGUGUUGGUUGCGAGUUCUCAGUUUGUUUGUGUAGGUGCAUGGGACUUUUGAGGAGCCUCCUACUGGAUUGAUACCUUGGUUCUCAAAACUGGGGGAAAUACUUACGCUACACUUGCUGCAUCACCCUCUCCUCUUCAGGGAAAACCAAUGCUAGCUCAAGACGUAGCAAUGGGACGCAGAUCAGCGAAAAGAAGAUUUUGGCGCACCCCUACCUGGCGCGCCAAAUGUCGGAUAUCGGGUUCCGGCAAAACCCUUAAGGUUCAAACUCUGGGGUGCGCACGAAGAUCUUCUCCCAACCGAAACACGCCCACAACCUCGCCGCGAUUCUAAGCUAGAACGAUGAACAACACAAGAGACACGAGGUUUAUACUGGUUCGGGCCACCAUUAUGGUGUAAUACCCUAAUCCAGUGUGUGGUGUGGUGGAUUGCCUCUUGGGCUGAUGAUGAACAGUACAGAGGAAGAACAGCCUCGCGAGGAGAGGUGUUCUUAUGGCGGUGUGGAUGAGCUAGGUUCGGAUCAGAUUCCCUCCUACUGCGGUGGCUAGCCCUAUUUAUAGAGGCCCUGGUCCUCUUCCCAAAUAUUGAGCAAGAAGGGAGCCAACAACGGCCAUUUUGAAAGGGGACAGCUAGUACAAGUUAUCCUGACUAAAGGUGGUCUUCGACUGCCAAAGGUGCUGGUGAUGACGUCGUCUUGGGCUCCACGGUGACCUCCGUCCUGUCGUCCUACUGGUCUUGGUCUUGUUGCGCCGAUAUGGAAACCUUUGUCUGACGCCUCGGUACUCCGUGUCUGCGCUUGCCUCCUUUGCACCAAAGAGGAAAUGAGGAGACUGCGCAGGCUAGCGCCCGCCUAGCGCCCGCCUGGUCUUGAUCGUCAUGGCUUGCGUCAUGAGCAGCUCGUGAGGUACCCCUUGCCUUGAUCUCUCCGCCUCCUCGCGAUCCUGCCUGAUGAGGCUGCCCCGGAGGAGGCCUUGCGUCGUCCGCCCAGCGAGGCUCGGCCCCUCGCGAGGGUCUUGAGCCUUGGUUGAUGAAGACGGGCCAUACUAGGCCAUUGGUUGAGCCAUGCUGUAGGCUGCAGGCAGGCAAGUCUGGGGAACCCCGUUCGCAGAACGCCGACAGCCUCCUGUCCCCAUUGGCGGUUGUUUUGCAAAAGUUUGCGGCAGCCAAAGCUGCUCAAUUAAUCCAGUGGCAAAUUGCUCAUGGCGGAGAAGAGCUAAACUACGCUGGUGUGUCUCAGGUGACGAGAUCUGCAGUUUCUCCCAUGCUGCUGCCAACGGCCAUGCCAAGCGCAACAAAGUCCGUGUUCUGGUUCAGGAGGGAGUGGAACACUUCGAUGAUCAACAGAAGUUGCAGCUUGCCACAGCUUAUUUCUCUGAGCUGUUGGGUCAACCGUCCUCCUCACUGCCCCUGUCGACCUUACUGCUAUGUAUGAGCCUACAGAUUUCUCUUGGCUUUCUAGAGAGUUUUCCUGGGAGGAGAUUGUUCAAGCAAUCAAACAUUCACCGAACAAUUGCAGCCCUGGCCCGGAUGGGUUCACAAAUGAGUUCUAGAAAGCUUUCCACGACGUUAUCAAGGAGGACCUGCAAGUCUUUUUUGAUCAGUUCUUCCACAACCAGGUGGACCUCUCUGGCAUCAAUCAAGCACACAUUUCCCUCUUACCCAAGAAGGAAACCCCCUUGGAGUUGUGUGAUUUUAGGCCAAUUUCUAUUGUGCAUAGUGUGCCUAAACUUGCUGGCAAGGUCCUUGCUCGAUGUUUACAGCUGCAGAUACCCUCUCUGGUUCACUCCCUGCAGUCAGGUUUCAUCAAGGGUUGGUCUAUCAUUGAGAACUUUGCUAUGGCUACUGACAUGGUUCAAACUGCUCAUAAGAGGAGAAUACCGAUAGUGGUCCUUCAACUAUAUUUCCAGAAGGCGUUUGAUACUGUAAGCUAGGCAUGCCUCUUCAACAUCUUGCAGGCCCGUGGUUUUCCCUCGUGCUGGAUCAGUUGGAUUACAUCGCUCUUGACCAUUGCUAGCUCUCGUAUCAAGCUUAAUGGUGAGUCGGGGGAGUGUUUUGCUGCAAAAAGAGGUUUCCGUCAGGGCGACUCCAUCUUGCUGUACCUAUUCAUUUUGGUUGCUGAUGUCCUUCAAAGACUUUGCUGCUCACGUUUUGAAGAUGGAAGUCUACUUCACCCGCUUGGCUCUGAUCGGAUGUUCCCUAUUCUGCAGUACACUGACGAUACAUUGCUUCUGUUCCAGGGUAAUAUCCAGCAAGCGGCAAUUGUUAAGAAAAUCUUAGCUGACUUCUCAGCCUUCACAGGACUGCAUAUCAACUUCCAUAAAAGCACCUUGAUCCCUAUCUGCAUCGACUCCAUCAGCACGGAGGAUAUUGCCGACCUGUUUGGAUGCCCAAUAUCAAGCUUCCCGUGCACUUACUUGGGCAUGCCACUAUCCUUACACAAGAUUAAGCAUGGUAUGUGUCGGUGCCAAAACCGGCGGAUCUCGGGUAGGGGGUCCCGAACUGUGCGUCUAGGCGGAUGGUAACAAGAGACAAGGGACAUGAUGUUUUUAACCAGGUUCGGGCCCUCUCGAUGGAGGUAAAACCUUACUCCUGCUUGAUUAAUAUUGAUGAUAUGGGUAGUACAAGAGUAGAUCUACCACGAGAUCAGAGAGGCUAAACCCUAGAAGCUAGCCUAUGGUAUGAUUGUUGUUCGUCCUACGGACUAAAACCCUCCGGUUUAUAUAGACACCGGAGAGGGCUAGGGUUACACAGAGUUGGUUACAAUGGGAGGAGAUCUACAUAUCCGUAUCGCCAAGCUUGCCUUCCACGCCAAGGAAAGUCCCAUCCGGACACGGGACGAAGUCUUCAAUCUUGUAUCUUCAUAGUCCAGGAGUCCGGCCAAAGGUCAUAGUCCGGUCAUCCGGACACCCCCUAAUCCGGGACUCCCUCAGUAGCCCAUGAACCAGGCUUCAAUGACGACGAGUCCGGCGUGCAGAUUUGUCUUCGGCAUUGCAAGGCGGGUUCUUCUCCAAAUCCCAUAUACCUGUUGAAUAGUGUCCGGCUUCUGGUGAAUGUUGCGCUCCUUGGCUUCUGCGCCCAAUAAUGGCCAUCUUCCACGUGUCAAAAGAAUGCGAAAAGACAUGAUGUUUUUUUCAUUUAUACCCCCCCUAGCUACACAAAUGGGCUGCCUAUAAAAGAGACGGGGAUUUAGAUCCGAAUCACACCAUCCUCCCUCCGUGAGCAUUCAUCGGAGCACAUUCGACAGAGAUCCAUUCCAUCAUGGCCGGUCGACGCAGCUCCUCCUCUCGCCCCCCAGCCCUCAGCCUGGAGAUUGAGAGAGGUGUUCCGUCCCGCACAGCGAGCUAGUGGUGCUCCAAACCAAGGGGCUUCUCCCCCAAGCUUACAUGGUCCCAGUUCGAGCCGGGCUUGCCACCUAUAAUGGCGGAGAGCAAGCGGAGAGCGUCCCCAAUCCCUCCAAAGGAGGGCGGGCAUGCCUUGUCCCUUAUUUGAUAAGAGGGCUCGAAUUUCCAAUUCAUCCGUUUCUCCGGGGGCUCCUGGAGUUCUAAGGCCUCCAGUUACACAACCUUACGCUUGCCUCCAUAUUGCAUAUUGCGGGCUUCGUAGCCCUUUGCGAGCUAUUUUUGGGCAUCGAGGCCCAUUUCGCGCUGUGGAAGAAGCUAUUCUGCCUCGUGCCCCGUUCUCAGGAGGGGUCGAUAUAUCAAGUGGGCGGAGCCGAACUAUGGCGCAUCGCCGGGACCGGAUAUCUUUCUGGAACCCCAAAGAAGGCGUCCGAAGACUGGCCUUCAGGAUGGUUUUAUAUAGAAGACGUCCCCUUGCCGGACCCUGUUCGGAUCGGCCUCCUUGAGUUCGAUAAUGCUCCUCUGAAGAAGCACCUAAGCUGGCGUCCAUGGAGCCCUCGGAAGGAAAAUGACAAGGACGUCCCUUAUCUGAUGAACCGGAUAAGGUUGUUAGCCCAUUCCGGACUGGCCAUGAUCGAGGUCAUGGCCACAUGCAUUAUGCGGGCGGUGCAGCCGCUUCAGUACAGAGGCCACCCAUGUGGGAUUUCAACGGGGAGGACGACGCCACCCGGUGCGGCCGUAAGGGACCGGAAACGGCCGCCGCUCUAAUAGAGAUCUUAUCCGCUUUGUACAAGGGAGAAGAGGAGGAAUUCCUCCGCGUCAACCCACAGGGCGGAUUUUCUAUGUACAAUCCUCCAAGCUAGGUAAGCGAACACUUUCACUUGCCCAUCCGUUGCAUAUUCCCAUACUUAAGUAUUUAGUCUAGCAAUUUCAACGCAGGAGCUACGCCGGACAGUAAAGGAGAUAAACAACCCUCCUCCACAACCCGAGGACCCGGAACGGUGCCUCGACCCGGAUGCCCAAGAGGACCCGGACUUAUGUGUGGAGCUGAUCGAUGGGGUGUUUCAUCAAUUGAGCAAGGACAACACCUUAGUGGCCAUUACGGCUAAUUAUCCUGGACUACUUCCAUCCUCACAAGUAACCGAGACCGAAGUCCCAGUACCUUUAAGAUGAUCCACACGUGCUUAUUUUUGAUCACCGUAUAUCAAUGGUGUUUUUGCAGGGGAAGUCCUUGAGGAGCCGGGCCGAGCCCGCGGCGGCUAGCCAACAAGGGGCAUCAAGGCCUAGCAGGCUGAAAAGAAGUGCGGUCCGGAUUGAGACGCCGACGCAACGGUACGGCGUGUCAUUUUAUUCCUAGGUUGUUUUCCCUCAAGGCAUACUAACGCUCAUGCUUUUUCUAGGAAGAAGAGCGCUCGCCGGACUAUAUCCGGAGAGGUUGCCAAUCACGCCUCUACCGGCCAGGCUCCAAGGCCGGAUCCGGAAGCGGAGGCGAACACGAGGCGUGCACCGGACGCUCCUUCGACAGAGGAUGCGGACGGGCUGUUUGCCACCAAUUCCGAGGUGGAGAGUUCCAUGAACCACAGGCGUCGUCGGACGAUUCUUCGUGACGCUUGUUUCUCCCAAGAGGCAUUGGAUGCCUUUAAUACAAGAGAUGCGUACCUCCGUGCCACUCAAAAUGGUCUAGCCAGAGCCACAGAGCAGUAUGUAAAAGACAUACGGGUGAGAAAAUUUGAUGGUUAUAUAUGCCAGUAGCCCCAGAGACUUGAAAUAGUUAGAACAACUGAUUUUAAGGAUCAUUUGUUAUGCAGGAUCUUACAGAAAAGAAUAUCCAACUGUCCCAGGAGCUGGAAGAAUGCAAGGCCCAACUUGAGGCCGCACUAGCCGCGCCAGGGGAGGCCAAGGAGACCCCCUCUAGUAAUAUAUGCUUCGAAAGCUAAGUAUGUUGAAGAGUGUGGCGUGCUUGCAAAGCUGACAAUAACAUUGCAGAUGGCGCCGGAGUGGAUCCGGACAAGCAACAACUCUUGCGCUGGUUAAAGGCCGGCGAGAGGGUGCUUACGAGGGUGAGGCAAGAGAAGAAUAAGCUCCAAGAUGCCAACACCCAGCUGGGCGAGGAACUAAAGGAUGUUCGUGCUCAGCUGUCGGACUCCGUGAAGGAGAAUCAGCGACUUCGACGCGGCAUUUUUAGUAAGUGCUUGAAUGAACUACGAAAGGAAGAGUUCGGCGAGGAAGUCGAUUGACAGAGUUAUGUCUGUAGGUAUGCUGACAGGUCGACCUGCGAAGGAAAUGCCCAGUUCUACGGGUGACCUUCUUCCCGAGCUCUCACAACUGCACGAACAAGUUCGACAGGUGAUUCAAGGCGUCGCCCAGGCCUUGUGGCUGUCCGUCUCCAUGCCCGAAUGCCUUGGAGAGCUUGCAGAGAAGCUGAAGGGAGCGCAGCAGCGCUUCCGAUUAUGGAAGAUAUCGGCCUGCCGUCAAGGCGCCAGGGAGGCCUGGGCCAUGGUGAAGACGCGGUACACGAAGGCUGACCCAAACCACAUGGCCGAGGUCGGACCUGUAGGGCCCGAUGGGAAGGAGAUCCCUGCCAGUUUAGUGUACGGCCAGGUAGAGUUGGCCGCCAAAUAUUCCCAACAAGACUGUAAACUAGACAGCAUGUUGAAUGGUAUUGAAGAGGAAUAUACCUAGUCAAAUUGACUAUGUAAUUUAAAAUGACAUGUAAAAUGCCUUCUAGCCGGAUUGUAGAUCGUUUGUCAUGGCGGACCUUUUCGCUUCAACCUCGGGACCCGAUAGUCCGGAGUGUGUCCGAAUACCCUCUCGAUUAUGUAAGAACCGGGGCAUGCGUGGAGACCAGGCGUAGGGGUCAUUAGUGCUUUAUCAGACAAGUGCCCAACUAGUUAUGUUAUAUUACAUGGUUAGUAAGAAACAUCUUCCAAGGAGAAUAGUUCCAUUAGGGGUUCCUUUCCCUAGCAGGCAUGCCCUAAAGUGCAUGUCCGGACUACUAAAAAAGCAGAAAAGCAUCUGGGGGCAGAUAAAUAAACGUGUGGGAGAUCAUUUUUUAGUUCACCUACCGAAUAUUCCCUUAAGAAACACUAGCUUUCGGCUUCACCCAGUCUGAGGUACACAUCCGGCUGACCCAACAGUAACAAUCGCAGAGGUGCUCCCUUUACCGCCUAGCCGAACAAUCGGGAACAUAGGGGUAAGCACAGGAGCCAGGCAACCCAGCUUGGCCAAAACUUAAGGCAUAUCGAUGCAUAUAAUGGUGAAUAAAAGGUACAUGCGGAAGUGUGACACAUGUGUUGGGCAUGAGGCCCAUAUAAACAAGCUUCUGUUAAAGAAGGCCCCAGGUAUAAUGAGCACGGAUAGCGCAUCGAUUGUGUCCGAACGAGGCACAAGCGAGCCCUUAAAAGGAUGUAAGAGAAAAGGAGGGAGAAGGAGAGAAAUAUAAGACAGCUAAUGUGUAAAAUAUGGAUAGAGGAAGGAGACGAACACAGAGUCCGGCGCUAGGCGUAGAAUCUUCGUAGACGGGCUGCGUUCCAUGGGUUCGGCUCGAGUUGAUUAUCCGAUGUGUUUCGCAGACGGUACGCUCCGCCAGUCAGGACUUGGUCGAUUAUGAAGGGACCUUCCCAUUUGGGCUUAAGUUUGUCCUUUUUCUUGUCCGGCAGGCGUAGAACUAGUUCGCCAACAUUGUAAGUUUUGGCCCGUACUUCUCUGCUUUGAUAUCUUCGAGCUUGCUGUUGAUAGAAUGUGGAACGGGCUUUUGCCAUGUCGCGCUCCUCUUCCAAGGCAUCCAAAUUGUCCUGCCGAUCGAGCUCGGCUUCCCUUUCUUCGUACAUGCGCACACGAGGUGAGUUAUGAAUUAUGUCGCAGGGCAGAACUGCCUUUGCGCCGUAUACCAUAAAGAAUGGUGUAAAUCCGGUAGUGCGAUUUGGCGUGGUCUGCAGCCCCCAGAGUACGAAGUCGAGCUCCUCUACCCAGUGCAUGUUAGAUUCCUUGAGGGAUCGCACUAGUCUGGGUUGGAUGCCGCUCAUGAUUAGACCAUUUGCUCGCUUGAAUUGACCGUUAGUUUGUGGGUGAUAGACUGAAGCGUAGUUGAGUUUGAUGCCCAUGUUUUUGCACCAGAGUUUUACCUCGUCAGCCGUAAAGUUCAUGCCGUUAUCAGUGAUGAUGCUGUGGGGGACGCCGUAACGGUGUACGACCCCUGAUAUGAAGUCUAUCACCAGUCCGGAUUCGGCCAUCUUAACAGGCUUGGCCUCUAUCCAUUUGGUGAAUUUGUCAACCAUGACCAAUAGGUAUUUUUGCUUGUUGGUUCCUCCUUUAAGGGGUCCAACCAUGUGAAGCCCCCAGACCGCAAAGGGUCAGGUGAUGGUUAUAGUUUGGAGGGCGGUGGAUGGCAUAUGGCUUUGGUUAGCGAAUAAUUGGCAACCAACGCAUCGUUGGACUAAGUCCUGAGCAUCUACCCGGGACGUCGGGCAAUAAAAUCCAGUACGGAAGGCCUUGCUUACAAGAUCCCGGGCUGCGGCAUGGUGCCCGCCGAGUCCGGCAUGACUUUCAGCCAGAAGGUUCCGCCCUUCCUCUUCGGAGAUGCACCUUUGAAGGACUCAGGUGGUGCUUUUCAUAUAAAGCUCUCCUUCAUGGACUUUAUAGGCUUUAGAUCGCCGCACUAUGCAGCGUGCCUCGUUUUGGUCCUCAGGAAGUUCAUGCCUAGUUAAGUAGGCUAAGAAUGGUUCUGUCCACGGGGCAAUGACUGCCAUUAUUACGUGGGCUAAGGAUGUUACCUCGUUGGCGGAGCCUCUCGUUGUGUCAGAAUGUUUGGUGUCAGGUGGUGCGGCUGGGUCCGGUUGUUAUUUCCGGAUUCCCCUUCCCACUGACGGAUGGCUUGAAUAGCCUCUCCAAGAAAAUGUUGGGGGGACUGCAUCGUGCUUUGCGGCGAUGUGUGCCAAGACGUCUGCUACCUGAUUGUUUUCCCAGGCUAUAUGGCGAAAUUCGAGCCCCUCAAACCGAGCUGACAUUUUUAGGACGGCGUUGCGAUAAGCUGCCAUUUUCGGAUCCUUGGCGUCAAAAUCUCCAUUUAUUUGGGAUAUCGUGAGGUUCGAAUCCCCACGCACCUCUAGGCGUUGGAUGCCCAUGGAUACUGCCAUCCGGAGACCAUGUAGAAGGGCCUCGUAUUCGGCUGCAUUGUUAGAGUCCGUAUACAUUAUCUGGAGUACAUAUUGAACUGUAUCUCCUGUUGGGGACGUCAGAACGACACCAGCCCCCAGACCCGCUAACAUUUUGGAGUCGUCGAAGUGCAUGAUCCAGUUGGAAUAUGUGCCGUACUCUUUAGGGAGUUCGGCUUCAGUCCAUUCGGCGACAAAAUCGCCAAAACUUGCGAUUUGAUAGCUCGCGGUGGCUUAUAGGUUAUGUCGAAAGGGAGGAGCUCAAUGGCCCAUUUGGCAAUCCGGCCCGUUGCAUCGCGGUUGUUUAUAAUAUUGUUAAGAGAUACUUCGGAGGCUACUGUUAUUGAACACUCUUGAAAGUAGUGUCGUAGCUUCCGGGAUGCCAUGAACACCGCGUACGCUAUCUUUUGAUAAUGCGGGUACCGUGACUUCCAUGGAGUGAGGGAGUGGACACGUAGUAAACUGGUUUUUGAAGGGGGAAUUUGUGUCCGUCCGUUUCUCGUUCGACGACGAGCACUGCGCUCACAACUUGAUGAGUUGCCGCAAUGUAUAAUAGCAUUGGUUCGCCGGUGUUAGGCGCGGCCAGGACCGGGUUUGUUGCCAAUAUGGCUUUUAUUUCUUCGAGUCCGGCCGUGGCGGCAUCCGUCCACUCGAAGUGUUCGAUGCGCCGGAGGAGGCGAUAAAGGGGUAAUGCCUUUUCUCCCAAGCGGGAGAUGAAGCGGCUUAGAGCCGCCACGUAUCCAGUCGAUUUUUGUAUUUGCUUGAGGUCCUUUGGAAUAUCCAAUUGUGACAGAGCUCGGAUCUUGGUUGGUUUGCUUCAAUUCCUUUACCGGAUACAAUGAAGCCCAAGAGCUUUCCGGCUGGUACGUCGAAAACGCAUUUUUCUGGGUUAAGCUUGAUGUCAUAUGCUCGGAGGUUAUCGAAUGUGAGCCUCAAGUCGUCUACUAGAGUUUCGACAUGCCACGUCAUCUACGUAUGCUUCAACUGUUUUGCCGAUCUGGUUUGCCAGACAUGUCUGAAUCAUGCGCUGAUAUGUUGCGCCGGCGUUUUUGAGCCCGAAGAGCAUUGUGUUGAAGCGGAAUGGGCCGUAUGAGGUGAUGAAUGCCGUUGCGGCUUGGUCUGGUUCUGCCAUCUUAAUUUGAUGAUAGCCAGAGUAUGCAUCGAGGAAACACAAUAAAUCGUGUCCUGCGGUAGCGUCGAUGAUUUGAUCGAUGCGGGGGAGGGGGAAGGGAUCCUUUGGGCAAGCCUUGUUGAGGUCCUUGAAAUCGAUGCAUAGGCGCUAGGAUUUGUCCUUCUUUGGUACCAUCACCAGCUUUGCUAGUCAGUCCGGAUGUUUUAUAUCUCUGAUGAAUCCGGCCUCCAGUAGUUUGGCUAACUCCUCUCCCAUGGCUUGUCUCUUAGGUUCAGAGAAACGCCGAAGAGCCUGCUUAACAGGCUUAAAUCUUUUUAGGAUGUCUGAAGGGUGCCAGGCAAAAAUGUCCCAAUUUUCGCGUAGGAAUUCUCGUAGUGCGGCGUCUACAUCAGGGUUUAAUUGUGCCCCGAUGGAGGCCGUUUUUGUAGGGUGCGUUGGAUGGACUUGGAAUUUGACUAUUUCGUCUGCUGGUUUAAAGGAGGUGGACUUGGAUUUUUUAUCGAGUAUCACGUCGUCCUUGUUCACCGUGGAGCGCAGCGCAGUCAGUUCUUCGGCCACUAAGGCUUCGGAUAGUGCCUCAAGGGCCAGUGCAGCUGUCUUGUUUUCGGCGUGGAGUGCUAUGUCCGGGUCACUAGCAAGAGUGAUGAUUUCAUUGGGUCCGGGCAUUUUGAGCUUCAUGUACCCGUAAUGGGGUAUAGCUUGAAAAAUUAUGAAUGUCUCUCGCCCUAACAGAGCGUGGUAUCCGCUGCUGAAGGGGGCCACUUGAAAUGUGACCUCCUCGGACCUGUAAUUAUCCGGCGUGCCGAACACCAGAUCCAGUGUGAUUUUUCCUGUACAUCACGCUUCCCGACUGGGGAUUAUUCCUCUGAAGGUUGUGUUGCUUCGCUCAAUGCGGCUCCAGUCUACUUCCAUUUUUCGAAGGGUUUCCUCAUAAAUAAGGUUCAAUCCGCUGCCACCGUUCAUGAGUACCUUGGUAAGUCGAAAGUCGUCCACUAUUGGACUGAGGACCAGUGCGGCUGGUGCUCGGGCUGUUCGGAAUUUAGGUUCAUCACUGGCAUUAAAGGUAAUAUCCGUGUCACUCCAUGGGUUUAUUGUUGCUACUUGGUAGACUUCUGCAAGGCUGCGGAGUGUUCGUUUCCGUAUGUUAUUUGAUGCAAAAGUCUCGAAGACUGUUAAUACCGUACUGGUAUCCUUGGGCUGGUGCUUUGUGAAUUCUGGAGUUAAAAGCUCCUCGCCACUCCUGACCACCUGCCGAAGUAUCCAACAUGCUCUAAGGCUAUGAGUUGGUGUGGCGUCCUCUGUACUAUGGAUUUUACAGGGUCCAUUGAGCCAUCCCUCCAGUACGGUUCCAUGCCCUAUAGAGGGUUUUGCUUUUUGGUGUUUAACCCAGGUGCCUGGUGAUAAUGCACCCUUUUAUUUCGGACUAGGGUUGUAUUUAGGGCCGGAUCGUCCCAGAAUUUUAUUUCGGUUUUCUGGACGCUUUCCAUCACACAAUAUUUUUGUACUAUGGAUGCCAAGUCAGCGAAGCGUGUAAUUUCACGACGACUUAUGGCGUUGAGGAUUCCGACGUCCGUGCAAUUAUUGCAGAAGAAUGAAAUUGCAUCCUCCUCGCGGCAGUCCUCUAUCAUGUUCAUAACCAGGAGGAAUCUGGACCAGUAAUGGUGUACUGUUUCUAUGGGCUCUUGCCGAAUUUGGGAUAGAUCCCUUAUAUUUGGGUGGGCGGGUGGAGUUAAAUCUGGAACCUCGCCCAAUCUGAGACUCAGGGGCCAAGGAGUUUCCGAAUUCGGAAGCUUGGGUUCUUGAAUGUUGUCCAAUGAAUCUAGCCCGCUGCCUGACUUUAGGUUCAGGGCUCGAGUGACGUCCUCCCCUCCGAGGGUAUCCGGCUUGGAGGGGUCGGGAAUCCGGACAUAACUAGUCCUUGAGAUAGAUGAAGACUUGCCGCAUUGUUCCUCCACCACUGCGACAUGGUGGGUGACCUGGGGAGAGUUAAUCUCUCUCGGAUCGGGUUUAAGCCCAAUCUGAUCGUAGUCUGUAUCGACUCCCAGGGCGGCGAUGCGAUCCAAUAGCUCGUUUACGGAAGAGAGCUCCAUCGGAUCUAACUGCUCGGCGAGUUUUGAGUUGACGUGGAGGUUGCUUUCGAUGACCCGAGAAGUCAUCAUCGGCGCGGCGGUCGAACAGGCGGUCAUAAGAAAACCGCCUAGCCGGAGAGUUUGGCCGAUAGCCAAAGCUCUUUAGCGACAGCGCCGUCUUUAAAGACGGGAUGAGGCAUCCUUCCUGAUGGCGACUGCACAGCGGAACUCUCAAUGAAAGCACCAAUGUCAGUGUCAAAACCGGUGGAUCUCGGGUAGGGGGUCCCAAACUGUGCGUCUAGGCGGAUGGUAACAGGAGACAAGGGACACGAUGUUUUUAACCAGGUUCGGGCCCUCUCGAUGGAGGUAAAACCCUACUCCUUCUUGAUUAAUAUUGAUGAUAUGGGUAGUACAAGAGUAGAUCUACCACGAGAUCAGAGAGGCUAAACCCUAGAAGCUAGCCUAUGGUAUGAUUGUUGUUCGUCCUACGGACUAAAACCCUCGGGUUUAUAUAGACACCGGAGAGGGCUAGGGUUACACAGAGUCGGUUACAAUGGGAGGAGAUCUACAUAUCCGUAUCGCCAAGCUUGCCUUCCACGCCAAGGAAAGUCCCAUCCGGACACGGGACGAAGUCUUCAAUCUUGUAUCUUCAUAGUCUAGGAGUCCGGCCAAAAUGUCAUAGUCCGGUCAUCCGGACACCCCCUAAUCCGGGACUCCCUCAGUAUACUUCUACCUAUCAUCCACCAGGUUGAGAAGAGAUUAUCAGGCUGGCUUGCUACCUUUCUAUCAAUGGAUGGCCGUUUGACCCUCAUUCAGUCAAUGCUGGCUAGCAUUCCAAGCUACUAAAUGACAUGUUUUCUUUGGCCUAAGGAAUCCAUCAGCAAGUUGGAAAAAUUGUUGAGGGCUUUCUUUUGGCAAGGCAAGAUACAGUUAAAGGUGGCCAAUGCCUAGUUGCUUGGCACUUCGCCACUCUACCACGAUCUUCCGGUGGUCUGGGUAUCAGGGAUCUUUCCCCUCAUAACCAAGCGCUGCUCAGCAAGUUCACAACUAGGGUUUUGCAAUCCUCGGAUGUCCCAUGCUUUCAAUGGUUUGCUCAACAGUACUGCAAGCAUAAUAUACCUCUGAAAAACUACAACCGAGACACGGAAAUCCGGAAGAAUUUCAAGCAGUUUAUUCCUGUUGUUCUAGCGUCCUCUCAAUGCUCGUUCGGUAUCGGCGCACAUACGUCCUUCUGGCAGGACAAUUGGUUACCGGUCGGGCAACUCUGCUUCGCUUUGCCGACCCUCUUCUCUUAUGCCAAGGAUGUCAGUUGCACAGUGGCUUCUCAGUUCUCCCACGGUACCUGGCGCAUUCAGCUCCAUCUUAACCUAUCAGCUACUGCCAUUCGGGAAUUGCAGCCGCUGCACUCUUUUCUUGCAGUUGCACCAGCAGCAUCCGAUUAUGACAUCAAAACUUCUGCUAUACAUCAUAAGCCCAUCACUACAUCCCAGGUUUACCAACUUCUUACUUUCAGAGGUGUGCGCUACGAGUUUAGCUCCUGGAUUUGGGACCAGAUCAUCCCUCUGAGGUACCGCGUUUUUCUGUGGCUGGCCUUCUGGGGGAGGCUCAAUACGAGAGAGAACAUGUUAAGGAAACAAUGGUCAUCGAUCACCACGCAUCCAGACUGCGACAUCUGCCCCGCCAAAGAGUCUGCUAGUCACCUUAUUCUGCACUGCUACCCGGCGUCGGUCAUAUGGGACGCACUCCAUAUUAACAACCUUGCGUCCAACUCCGCGGACCUGAUCACAUUCAUGCAAAGAGCACAGCUGACUUGGGCCACUUCCAGCGAAGUACACAUUCUAUUCGCGGUGGUUGCUGUCACACUUUGGCACGCUAGAAAUGAUCGAGUGUUUACUGCUAAACGAUGGUCAGCCACAUAUCUCAGGCAAUAUGCGUCGUAGCUCCUCUGACACAUGGCAGCACUGGGCCACAAAACAGGUUGACAAGGAUGCUCUUACAUGCUGGAUACAUCUACUAGGCUAAUCUAGCUUUUAUAGCUUGUGACCCGCUUACAGCCAUGGCACCACGGUGCUCAAUGUAAGCUUCAUGUAAUCGACCUCUUGGUCCCCAGGCCCAGGCCUGUUUUGAAAUAUAUAAGGUAGAACCUCGUCUACCUUUCAUUUUAAAAAAAAUGGCACCUCUCUGAAAGACUUGGCACACAAAUCCUUUAGGUUUGCCUCUAAGCACUCUGAAGAAUUCUACCACUUCACUUAUGUGGAAGUUUUGCUCCUGCUGUCCUGGAACGUGUGGCGAGGGUUGCGUUUUGCUUCAGUUCUGCUUCGAGCCACAAGAUGGCCAUUCCACAGCUCCAGAGAGCAGUGCUUACCAUACCAACUUUCUUACCGAAGACAUCAUGAGCUUGAAUUGACUUAUCAGAACUUCUAUCAGGAAGUGGCGAGUGGAAGCAUCAAUAUCAUGGUUGUUGCACCAUACAUUAUUUCUGACAUUAACGUAAUGGCGGUCCUACUAAUUUAAGGGUGAGACGAGAGAUAGAACAUGCUCUUGCAACUUGUGCGGGCAAGGAGUGGAGCUCGGCCGUUGCUAGGUGAAACAUGCUCAUACAUAGUUUGUGAAGAAGCCAUCUGUGCGGGCAAGGAGUAGAGCUUGGUCUUCGCUUGGUUCACACCAAUGAUACCACAGACGUAAUGUACACAAGUUCUAUACUUAGUUAGAACUGGAAUUGCACUUGCAGAUGCCACUAAAACCCACUAACAUCCUAGGACUAGGAAGCAUCAGGAUUUGUGACUACACCUGUCUAGAUUUCUACACACGAGGUAACAAGAUCAGUGUGAUUUCCGGCUGGAGGUGUAUUGCUUCCAAGGGCUAGAGAUGUAUAGGUUCAGAGGAUUUACAGCAAACAUUGGAAGCAGACGAAGCAACUCAGAAGAUUCAGAGAGUUUAUUCAUUCUCUCACAAUAGGCCGAAUUAUAGGAACCAUGAUUACUAUCUACUAGUUCAGUAUCUCCCAUUUCAGAAGACAUAUCUUUUUAGGUGCGGCGAAACUAGGGGCUUCAAAAGAAGUCAACAGAAAAAGGCGCUCGAAGCAAAACAGAGGCGACAACAGCAUGAGAAGACAUUUCUUUAUUCCAAACACAAAUUAACUAGUUUGAACAAGACAUACUGACGGGUUAAAAUAUCUGCAAAAUUGGAUCAUCCGCUUCAGAAACGUUCAAAAGAAAACAUUUGGGUGCUGGCAAAACCGAAAACAGGGGACUUAUUUUUAGUGUAUGCUUUGUACACAGUAGCUUAUUCUUGAUCUAUCAUUGACACAAGGGAGUACAGUAAGGAAGAAACUAGGUGCAGAAAUUGAUAGACAAUAGACCAAGAAACAAGGUCCAGAAACUGAGAGACCACAGACCACGGUCAGGUAACCUACUAACCUUUGCUAAACUGUCUGAAACUCCACACCUGCUCACAGCGCCUCUAUGAAAGAAUUGGCGCCCAGAUCCUCAGAUUUGCCACUAUGAACUACGAACAACUUCAUUACUUC
rnacentral:lncRNA from 1 species